rnacentral:lncRNA from 1 species
CCGCAGGAACUCGGUGCUCAGCCUUCACCUGUUGGCAGGUUAAACAUCUAGCAACGAACUCACCAACAUCCUUUUUCAUCCCGGGCCACCAAUAAAAUAACUUCAAGUCCUUAUACAUCUUGGUGCCUCCCGGAUGUACAGCAUACGGUGCUCGGUGUGCUUCUUGAAGGAUGUCCUCUUUAAUGCCAAAGUCCGCCGGUACACAAAGUCGUCCGCGGAAACGCAUCAAUCCAUCACCGUCUAAAGUGAAGUCACCGGUGCAACCAUCAACCAUCUUACCUCGCAUCUUUUGCAACUCCGAGUCGGAAGCUUGCUUUUCUUUAAUCCUUUCCAAAAGUGUAGGUUGCACCACUAAAGUCAUCAGUCUCAAAGGUGUAUCAGGAGCCACCACCUCCAACUCCAACCGCUUCAUCUGCUCGAUCAACGGCGGUUGAGUAACCACAAGCAUCGCUAAGUUCUCCGUCGAUUUCCGACUUAGCGCAUCCGCCACCACGUUAGCCUUGCCCGGGUGGUAAAGUAUCGUCAAAUCAUAAUCCUUGAGUAGCUCCAACCAUCUGCGCUGCCUCAAGUUCAACUCCUUCUGAGUGAAAAGAUACUUUAAGCUCUUGUGAUCCGUAUAUACUUCGCAUCGCUCGCCAUAGAGGUAAUGGCGCCAUAGCUUCAAUGCAAAGACUACGGCCGCCAACUCCAAGUCGUGAGUGGGGUAAUUCCUUUCAUAAUCCUUCAAUUGGCGAGAUGCAUACGCGAUCACUUUCCCGUCCUGCAUCAAAACACAGCCCAAUCCAUUAAAGGAAGCAUCACUAUAAAUCACAUACCCUGCUCCAGCAGUCGGCAAGGUAAGGAUCGGGGCAGUCGUCAAUCGCUGCUUCAACUCUUGGAAGCUCCUUUCACACGCAUCAUUCCAAAUAAACUUGGUGCCCUUAUGCGUGAGUCUCGUGAGGGGAGUAGAUAACUUCGCAAAUCCCUCGACAAACCGUCGGUAGUAGCCGGCCAAACCAAUGAAGCUCCGUAUCUCGGUCACGCUCGUCGGCCUCGGCCAAUCCUUGAUAGCUUCAAUUUUCCUCGGGUCCACGGCUAUGCCUGAUCCUGAAAUCACAUGGCCCAAAAACGCCACCUCUCUAAGCCAAAAUUCACACUUUUUCAACUUGGCGUAGAGCUUCUUUUCCCGAAGCACUUGAAGUACAAGUCUCAAGUGUUCCUCGUGAUCCGCGUCACUCCGGGAAUACACUAAGAUGUCGUCGAUAAACACCACAACGAACCUGUCUAAAUAAGGCUUGAAAACACGGUUCAUCAGAUCCAUAAAAGCUGCCGGGGCAUUAGUAAGCCCAAACGGCAUAACAGUAAACUCAUAAUGUCCAUACCGUGUUCUAAAAGCCGUCUUCGACACAUCCUCAGGUCUGAUCCUCAACUGGUGAUAUCCCGACUGCAAGUCAAUCUUGGAAUAUACACAAGAUCCCUGGAGCUGAUCAAAUAGAUCAUCAAUCCUCGGUAAUGGAUACUUGUUCUUAAUCGUGACUUUGUUAAGUUCACGAUAGUCCACGCACAAGCGAAGUGAUCCAUCCUUCUUCUUCACAAACAAGACCGGUGCUCCCCAAGGUGACACACUCGGUCGCACAAAACCCUUAUCCAGAAGAUCCUGCAACUGUGCCUUCAGUUCCUUCAACUCUGCCGGUGCCAUCCUAUAGGGUGCCUUUGAGAUCGGGGUAGUCCCGGGGACGAGAUCUACCACAAACUCAAUCUCCCUAUCAGGGGGCAUGCCUGGAAGCUCCGCUGGAAACACAUCUCCAAACUCCCGCACUACGGGGAUAUCCUCAAUCCUAGGGGCGUCAUCCACACCCCGCAACACAACAGUAGCCAAGUAGGCUACGCAGCCUCUACUAAUCAACUGCCUAGCUCGAGAGGAGCUAAUUGUCAUCGCAAACAGCGAACUCUGGCAUCCUCGGUACACAACCUCCGCCUGCCCCGGCUCUCUAAAUGUCACCGUUCGAUUCUUACAAUCCAUGGUGGCAAAGUACUUGGUCAGCCAAUCCAUGCCCAACACAACGUCAAACUCCCCGAGUUUAUGCAAAGCUAGCAAGUCCACGGGCAUGAUCCAAUCUCCAAUCCUAACAAGGCAACUGGGGCAAAACUCCCGAAUGUCUAAAAAGUGAUCGGGUACAACAACUCGUCCAGGAUGUAACAAGGAUACAAGUGGGAUGCCAUGCAACUCGGCAAACAGCCGGUCUAUGAAUGAAUGCGAUGCACCGGUAUCAAACAAAGCUCUAACUCGAAUACCAUGAAGUAAAAUGAUACCUGCGACCACAUUCUCGGCUGCCGCCACCUCCUCAGUUUGGGCCGCGUACAUGCGCCCGCUCGGGGCCUGUCGUGACCCCUCCGUCUGCCGCUGGACAGGUGGCCGACCGGCCUGGUGAUGCGCAGAAGAUGUCCCAUGGCUGGUACCUGGCGAAGCUGGUGCAGAUGCCGAAGAUGGCGCUGGCAAUGGACUCCUCGGGCAGUCCGACUGGAAGUGGCCCUCCUGGCCACACAAGAAGCACCUGCCCCGGCUGCGUGAACACUGCCGCGGGUAAUGAGGAUUGCCACAGAUCACGCAGCGGGGGGCUAGGCGACGAUCGGGUCCUCCUCGCUGGGUAGACUGGCCGCGUCCUCGGGACUGGCUCCUGCUCCUGGGAUGCCUCGGCGGCCUCCGUGAGUGCGUCUGACUCGCACCCUCAGCCGCGAGCCUCUUCCCCUUCCCUUUCUCCAAGCUCUCGCGACGCUCCUGCAGAUCCGCCGCUCCUGCUUCCACUAUCAGAGCUCGAUCUACCACCUCCCGAUAAGUCUGGAGGUUGGAAGACUGCACCAAUCGGAAGAUAGAAGGCCGCAAACCGCGCUCAAAGAUGCGGGCCUUGUCCUCGUCGUCCCUCACAACAAACGGUACAUAGUGUAGUAUCCGGGAGAAUUCCCUCUCGUACUCAGCCACUGACCGCUCAUCCUGACGCAAGCUGUGCAAAUCCUGCUCCAUCUUCCUCUUGACGCUGGUAGGAAAGUGGUGCGCCAGAAGAAGCUCCUUGAAUCUAGUCCAUGUAAUCGCUGCCAAGUCGGUGUUGGGGUUGUCCUGGAUAUCCAUCCACCAACGAUAGGCCUCGCCGUCCAGAAAGUGAGUGGCGAGCCAAACUCUGUCCCUCUCCUCGACGAAGGUAUCUCGAAACAGCUUCUCCAUAUGCAUCAACCACUUCUCGACAAUCCAGUGGUCGACGUUCUCGCCAUCAAACGUCCUCGGGCUGCACCUCCUAAACUCACUGAGGCGAUCCAUGAGCCGAUCCCGCUCGGCUCCCUCGGCCAUCACGGGGAAAGCUGCUCCCGUGGCCGGUCUCUAAACUAGUAAUACUGCAGCCACCUCCUCCCGAGGUGCGGUCGCCGGUGCCGCACGUGAAGAACUGGGCGCGGGGGACUGCGCCCUCGGUGCGACGUCCACCACGGGUGCUGGCGGUGUAGGGCCCUGGGUCUCCCUCGAAGCUGCCGCCUGUUGCAGUAGGAGGUCCUCAAGAUGCUUCAUCCGCGCCUCCUGCCGCUGAGCCACCUCGGCCUGUCGCUGCGCCGCUGCCGUCUGCUGCGCCAACAGAUCAGUGAGGAUCGCAAGCUGGGCCCUCAGGUCACGGACCUCACUGGAUCCGGAAGUAGCGGAGGUCUCGACCUCCUCGGGGUGUGCCGCAUCAUCCGCCCCGGCAGACUGGUAGCGUUAAUCGCAUCGUCCACUACAAAACAUAAAAGCGCAACGUUAAUAACCACGCUAUCGCAUCGCCGCUCAAAACGAUAAAACCCAAAUCAUGCGAAAGUAGGGAAUUUUCCUUCACCUACUAACUCCUAGUUACGUUGUCGGCGCCCACGUGAACCCUCUGCGAAUAAUAGGAGCCAUACAUUCCGAUCAAACUCUAACUUUUUAGAGAUUAUCAAGACACCCAAUCAAGAUACUUUCGCUCACAAGUCAAAUAGACCUCGUCUCUCACGAGCCUAUUUCAUACAGUCCAACCGGCCUAGGUUUGCUUAAGUCCACUAAGACUCACCCUAGGCUCUGAUACUAAUUAAUCUGUCACGCCGCGGGACCCCGCGGAGGCCUCCCGGUAGCGUGCCCAGACCCGCCAUAUGUUACACAUAUAAGCGUCUAGAAUAAAAGCGGAAGUAAAAGCAAUAGUAGGACAAAUAGAAGAAGUGAAAUAACUAGCAACUAAUGAUAUCAGAGCGAGUAUAGUUCUAACAUCUACACCAAAAUAAGAAGUAAAGCUAAACAAUAAAAGGAGUCAUAAGUAGCACCAGAUCUGUCUCAAAAGCUACAAAAAUGAUAGUUUCUAGUACACUGGUACAGCUCUCAACCUCUCCAAAAAGAAAUAUAUCGAGAGGUAGACCACCUUAAACUCGUCUCUCGCUGAAGGGCUAACUCGAAGCGACGCCCUUACCACGGUCCCUAGCCUCUCCUGGCGUGCGAAGGCUCGCAAAGAAAAUAUAACAGAGGGCGUGAGAACUAUAAUUAUAGUUACCAGUGGCAAUUACUGACCUCAGCUCAUUGCCACACUAGGCCCAAAAGAAAAGGGGUAUGUCAAAAGCGAUAGCAAUAACGAGUAAUUUGCAUCUAUGAAAGUAUAAUGAAAAAGGUAAAAUAUUACUUGCAAUAACAUAGCAUUCAUGUCAUGCACAAAGAUAUGUCUCUACUUAGCCAUAAAAUGAUAUCAUGGUUUCGCUUAAAUGAAAUUAUGAGGAUUAUCCCUUAUCUAGUGCAACAUUGUUAUAUGAAUGCAAUUAAACACUGCCUCCUAGUCAUACUACAUAUAUGUUGUUAACCCAAAGUCCAAACCUAUGCUAGAAGCAAGUCCGAGUAAUCCAACUACCACUCUCUAUUUAGUAUGAUUUAUAACAAACUCAUCCCGUGUCGAUUUCCAUUUCCAAUUAGGACCUACCAAGAGUAGUCCGGCUUGCGUCGCCUAAGUGCCGUGGUAGCCCAACAUCCCUCUCUUGGAAUGUGUCUGUCCCACUCGACCCCGUAGGCUUCUCAAUACGCACGAGCGAACAUAAGUCGCAUAGGCUAACUCCGGAGUGCCGGCUUGUAGAGGAGCGACCCUCACAAGCAUGUGCGAAUUGAGCACAAAUGGCAAACAAGCGAAGGUCACUGUCUCAAAAACUCUAUCCACAUGUCUCACACUGGCGAGGUCAAUAGCAUCCCAAGGAUCUAGCCCAAUGUUCUCUAAAUGAUGUCCCAACACUCACUUGCUUAGUGCCUCCUUAUGACACUUAAGCAUCACAACAGAUCGAGCCCAAAUCUUAUUCUAUAUUUCAAUUAAACAUAAUUACCAAUGAUUACCAUGAACCCGGGCCCAAUGCCUCUUUAUGACAUUGUCCCAAUUCUCAAAUAGUCCAAGUUCUCAAGCCCUCUCUAGGCUUCUAACAUUCCUAAUGUCACAAUUGGCAUAUAGGUCAAAUGCAUGAAAGCAAGAUUCAUUCCAUAUAGGAAUCAUGGUUCCCAAUCAUAACUAGAAUGCCUAAGUUUACAUGCAUGCACUCUACCACAUAGGGGUCUAAAAUUUCACUAUAAAUAUAUGCAUGUUAAGCUUCUAAAAUUCAUAUUAAUACAUUUAACAUGAAAUGCAUGAAUUUCUAUUUUACGAAACAUAUUUUGCUAAAUAUAGGAUUUCUCAUAUCAUAGGCUAGGUCAAACCUACCGAACCGUCGCGUGCUCCUUCGAUUCACCGAACGGAGUUGUCCCGAGUCUCAAAAUACCCUAAAAGUAUAGAGCGACAAGAUACACGGGUAUUACGAUCAACUAUAGAUCAAACUUUAACAAACUUGGCAAAAGGCUAAAACUCACCUAAUGUUGAGGAAAAUCUCUCUCAAGCUCCAAAGAGAGCUAAACCCCUCAAUCAAGUCAAGAAGGUUCAAAUCCAAUCAAUCUAGCCUCAAAGCCCUAAAUCAAAAAAGCCCCAAAAUCAACCCUAAAUCUCAUUUCUAGGUUCCAAGAGCAAAAUCUAUCAAAACAAGAAUCAAAGGGUAGAAUCAAAGUACUAACCUCUUUAGAUGCCUCAAAACAAGGCUCUAAAUCUUCUAGGGUUGAGAUUGGUCCACCACCAAGCCUUACAAGCAAGCUCCAAGCCUUGCAAAGGUGGGAAAGAGAGAAAGGGUUGAGCUCCAAGCUCCCUCAAGCUAGCUCCUCUCUUUCUUCUCCUCCUUCUUCUUCUUCUGCUCUCUCUAGAAAGUGUAGGGAGAGGGUGAAAUGAGAAAAUGAGAGAGGGAAGAGAAGGAAAUGGCUAAUAAGCCAUCUAGUGUAACAAAUCCGGAGGAGCCCUCAAAAAUUCAAAUAUUACAUCAGCCCGAACUGCGGCCAGUUUUUCGCCCAGAGGGACCGGUCUCUCCCCAGCAGGGACCGGUCUCUCGCUGCGAACCCGAAAAAUCAUCGUUCGGGAACCGGUCUCUCCCUGCGUGGGACCGGUCUCUCUCUGCGAAGGCGCGCUCGGGGACCGGUCUCGCCCGCCAGGGACCGGUUGCCUCAGGGCUGCCGCAACACUGUUCACUGGGGGACUGGUCUCUCCUUCCAGGGACCGGUCCCCGAGAGUCAAAACUCUCAGGACUUGUCCAGAAUUCCAGUUUUCGAACUUUUUAGGUCGGAAAACAUUCUACAACCCUCCACAAAGUGUGGAAAAGCUCGAAGUACAUUCAAACACUCGAACCUCGCAAUUUGCAAAGGUCCAGUGUGUUACAUCAACCCUGUACCGGUACACAGCCCUGCUGAGGUUACCCGAGAGCUGACCAAAAACCCGACUUUUCGGACUUUGGUGUUAGGUUUUAAAUCUCCAAUCUCGGGGCUCGAACUAGGGGGCGGAACAUAGUCAACGACCCUCCACGAAGUGUGGAAAAGCUCAGAAUACAAACAAACACUCGAACCUUGCAAUUUGCAAAGGUGCAGUGCGUCACACAUAUAUAUAUGUAUAUCGCACUCAUAUGUAUACGUAUACGUAUACAUAUACAUAUACAUAUACAUAUACAUAUACAUAUACAUAUACAUAUACAUAUAUAUAUAUAUAUAUAUAUGUAUACAUAUACAUAUGUAUAUGUAUACAUAUAUAUAUAUUGUCACGCCCCGAGGUCCCUUUUUGGAUUUAAAAGCCAAUGCGGAAGUGCCCUAGUUUGUUUUUUGAAAACCUUGACCCGAGAGGAUGUAAGAUCCGCCACAAAUACAGGGCAUCCACCGUUCACACGGGCAGAGUGUCACGCCCCGAGACUGCUACCAAUUUGGUCCGGUUCGGACGUAUCGAACAGACGCCGAACGAACAGCACCUCCCAUGUCCGCCCAAGGCUAAGCAACGAGAUCAUGUACAAGAAUUUGCCCAGGAAAAGAAAUUCAUUACAUACACAAUCAACAAGAGCACCACAAGUGCUAACAAGUAAGAGCAAGAACCACAAGUGUACAACAAGUGAAUAAAGAGAAAUAUUCUAGCUAUUACAACCAUUCAACAUUAAUUCUUUUAAUUACAUUUCCAUCUCCAAAAAUGUAAUACAAGUUUACCUCCAAAAUAUAUAAGUAGGUCUGUAACAUAUUACUUCCCCGUAAGUCGUGCCGAGUUCCGUCGAAAUGUGUGGAACGCGGAGUGGAACGAGUUGGUAUAGGUUCAAAGUGCAUUGGAACCUAUAUAGACAUUAAAGGGACCCGAGAGAGUGAAAUUGCAAAAUCUGGCUAAGUUCUAGAUUUUGGACUCUCGGGGACCGGUCCCUAAUGGAAGAGACCGGUCCCCGUAUGCGUAGCCUGCCCAGAAAGCUGAAAAAUCGGCUAAGUCUUGGGAUGCCAGGCUACGGGAACCGGUCCCUGUGGGGAGAGGCCGGUCCCCGUAGGUGAAAAAGUUGGGGAAUGGCUUAGUUGGGAAAUGUUGCUCUCGGGAACCGGUCCCUGAGAUGAGAGACCGGUCCCCGUGCGCGUGGCCAGCCCAAAAAGAUGAAAAUUUAGCUAAGUCCUGAGAGGUGUACUCUCGGGGACCGGUCCCUGCGGGGAGAGACUGGUCCCUGCGGGGAGAGACCGGUCCCCGUAUGCGAAAAUUGCCCAGGUUGGGCUAUUGCAAAAAUAGAAAGUUGAGGGGUUUAAGUGCAAAAGUGGCAUGUGUUGGGUAUAUGGGUGUGAGGGAUGAGUGUUAGGGCUCAUUCUCUCCCACACCAACAAAACACUUCCCUCUCUCUCUCUAAAAACUCUUCUCCUCUCUCUCCUUCUCUCUCUAGGGCUUGGACCAAGGAAGGAUUUAGAGGACUUGGGUGGAGAAGAAGAUCAAGUUGAUGGUGUAGCUUGCAAGAGUGCAAGUGAUCAAGGAAAAGCUUGAACCAAAGGUGAGAGUUUUUGGUUUUAAGUUAGGGUUUUGGUUUGUUUCCUUCUAGCAUGCUUCUAGGAGAUGAUUAGAGGAUUUCCCCCAUGUUUCUCAUGUGUAAGGACUAGAAAUGGGGAAGAUGGUAUUGUACGAGGACCUAAUUUUAGGGUUUUUGGAUUUUGAGGUCGAAGCUUGGGUUUGAUCUCAUUUUAACCUAAUUGGUAGGUUAACGAACACGUUGGUGCGCUCGGUUUGGCGAUACGACGAGCGUGCGCGAAGAAAUUGAGGAAACAGGCUAAAUUGGUACAGAUUGCCGCAGCUCGCGGCGAAAGCGUUUAAAAUUGUGGAAAAUUGCAUUCCGGCAUCCUUGUAACACUAAAAGGUGGGGGGUACUAUCCGGAAACACCGGAUCUCUUUCUAUGUCUAUGUCACUUUAUUUGAGCAUCUUGUAUCAUUGCAUUCUUGCAUAUAGGGCAGCUUAUUUAUGUGUGCUUAAUUGAAUUGCAUUUAGAUGCUAAAAGAACAUGUGAAUGAUGAAACACCAUGAGGACUUGUAUGUGAGAACCCUAUGUGCAUGUGAAUGCGAGAAAAGACUUGGAUAAUAGUAAACAAGGGUGACAUUGGCAUUAGUGACCAUAUUGGCACCGAAAAUGUAAAGGACUAAACAAGGUUUAACUUAUUGUAGUAUCAGGACCAUUGCGGCUUUGUGCAUUGAGACAGGUUUGGCAAGAUUUCCUCAAAUUGAGGAUUGGAUCGUACUCACACUAGCUUUGGCUUGAGGAAGGUAGCUCCUCCUCAAGCGGUGUACUCCGGAGUGUAGACACCACGGGGAGCGGCCCCGUCAUUGUUCCCUCGGGCAGUAGUGCUAGUAGCCUCCCCCGGUAGACGGGAAUUGUGGUUUGUGAGAUUCGGGGUGAACCAUGUGUACCUCGGGAUGAUUGGGUAAAGGCCAAAAGAAAAGAAAAUGAAUGAGCAAGGACAUACAUGCAUAAUUAUCAUGUACUGCUAUAUCUAUCUAUCUGUGGAUUGUUUUCUUGCAGGCAUUGUAAUAGAUUUGCAGUAGUUGGUUUGCAAUCUAUCGUUUCUUGAAUUACAUAUGCAUGAGAUAGACCUAGUGGGCGAGUCGGCGCGGUCGGCGGCCGAACCCACUGGGAACUUCGUUCUAGUUCUCAUUACCACUAACCCUGCAGAUCCGUGCGCGAGCGGGGUGGCGGAGGAUCGAGGCAAGGGUAUCGCGCCAUAGACAGUGGCCCUCGGAGUUUUAGGCAUACCCUAUAUAUUUUGGUAUAUUCAACUUUUGUAUGUUGAACUAGUAAUAUAAAUGAUGUAAACCUUAUAUUUUGGUUAAAGGCCAAUGUGAUGUAAAUGAAUGGAUAAAUAAAUGUAAAUGUAAUAGUUUACUUGUGUUUGAUUCAAAGGUAAUCAAAUGACUUGUAUGUUGAAUGAUUAGUUACUUUCGAUGCUUUCACCUGUUGGUUGUUGUUUGCCCUCGUGCAAACCUUGUAUAUCUUGCAAUUUCCUUGUUGACUUGCUUGUAAUAUACAUGUUGUUGGAGCCUUGGGCGGACAGGGGAGGUGCUAUCCGUUCGGCGUCUGUUCGCGUGCCCGAACUGACCAAAUUGGUGGCUCCGGAGCGUGACAAGCUCUCUAACAUCUAUCCAAAAUAUACAUCAUCAUCGUCUAGUACACGAGGGUACUCUAAAUGCAUAUAGGAAGCUACUAACUACUUAGGGCGCUAUGCCCUUGCCGCGGUCCUCGCCCGGCGAACACGUAUUCGGCCCUGCAACAAAGUGGGGUGAGAACUAUAUAAAUAUAGUUCCCAGUGGGUUUGGCCGCCGACUCCGCCGAUCUUCCCACUAGGUCGAAGCAGGCACAGAUAGAUAGAUAGUUAGAUAGGUAGAAAUAAAUUGCAACUAUAUUCUACCAUGCCUUCAAUGAUAAGCAAUGCAUGCAAUGUCCAUUUUGCAAUAAUUUUACUAUCAUGCUAGUAUAAUGUCAUGAGCAUAUAUGCAACAUAGUUAUGCAAUCUACCAACAUACACUAUGUCUAGUCAAGUAUGAAUGCAAAUCUGCUAUGCCAUUCAUGUACUUUACCCAAUCUUCUUGGCUAACCCGAAGGUUACGCCCUCGACUCACUCUCAAAUCUCAUAGGUGAGGAGAAUCUGCACUCGCACACCGAGACCAUCUGCGGGACAACUACGUCUGCCCCUAUCGUGAAGUACUCCGGAGACCACUACUUGAGUGGAGCGACCAUACCAAGUGUAAACAGACUAGUGAGUAUGAUCCAAUCCUCACAAGAGGAUACCCUAUCUACAAGGGUCAUAGUUUCUCUGCUGCACAGUUCGUAAUACACAAUUCAUUACUCGGGAACUCUACUAUCCCUAGAAUCAUGUCGUGUUUACUACUCUAGAUUCGAUGCCACUCGUUCAAUCAUUGUAGUAAAUGUUUUUUACUAAUUGACAUGCCACUCGUUUAUGUUUAGUGUUUCCACUACACUAAUCCAAAUGCCACUCUUCUAGGCUAUCACAUGUCCAAGUUCAUCUCUUUAUGCCACUAUAGGAUUCUAUGUCACAAGACCCAAUCCUCAUGCAUCCCUAGUCCAUGUGUUAAGCCUACAAUGCUACACUACUAAGAAAGCAAGCAAGGAAUUAGAAUUGCAACUAUCUACUAAUCCUAUAAUGCUUAAUGUUAAUAUAUGAAUAUUGUCAACAUAUAGAACUUAGACAUAAAAGAAAAUCCGGAUGCUUCGGGAUGGACACCCCCUACCUUCUUAUGCUACCAAGGGGCUAGGAUUCUGAUUUCGUGAUUUUUAGAUGCUUCCUCAGCGUUCCAGGCGAAAACGAAGCCCAAAAACGCCUUUUUCCUCAAUAUCUCUUGCGUAGCCUCGACAAACCGUCGAACCGAGCGCACGAAUGCGUUCAUGAACCUAACAAUUAGGUUAGAGAGAGGUCAAUUGAGAUCAAAACUCUGCACAAGCAAAAGCCCUCUUUUGGAUGCCCUAGAUCUCCAUUAUUGCAAAAUGCCACCUACAAGCAUUUACUCUUGCAAUCAAUGAGAUCAACUACAUCUAGGGGUCCACUAGAGUCCAAUUAAUUGAGUUCCAAAGGAUCUAAGCAAGCCCUAACACAUCUACCAUGAGAGGGCUUGGUGCUUACCUCUACAAGCAAGCUCCAAUGGUGAGGAAGAAGAUGAAGUGGAUGAAAAUCCCACUCCUAGCCUUUUUCUCUUUCUUUUCCUUCUUCUCCUUGUUCUUCUUCUCCUUCUUCUUCUUCUCCUUCUAGAGAGUGAAAGGGAGAGAGUGUGAAUGUGUGUUAAGGGGAAUGAGAGAAAGAGAGAGGGAAAAUGCCUACUUAACCCCUCUCAUUGCCUAAUUGCAAAAAACCCCUCCACUUUGCUUCCUGUGCACUGCCCAGACUGGGCAGAAUUCGGGUGCAGGGACCGGUCCCUAUACGGGAGGACCGGUCCCCGAGAGCAACCUCACAUGCAGAGCCCUCAGGCCAGCCCUUCACACGUAUGGGGACCGGUCUCUCCACCAGGGAUCGGUCCCCGAGAGUGAUUUUUGCGCAGAGGCCUUUUGCCUCUUUUCCACGCAUACGGGGACCGGUCUCUCCCGUCAGGGACCAGUCCCCGAGAGCAAACUUCUGGCAGACCUCUUUCUGCCACUUUCCACAUGUACGGGGACCGGUCUCUCCCUCUAACACACUGGACCUUUACAAAUUGCGAGUUCGAGUGUUCGAUCUGUGUUCUGAGCCUUUCCAUAGUUUUUGGAGGGUCGUAGAUAGUAUUCCGACCCAUGGCUCGCAUCCCGAGAAUUGGAGUUUUAAACUUGGCACCAAAAUCCAAAAAUUUGGAUUAAGUGGUCUGCUCUCGGGUUGCCGCUUUAGGAUUGUGUACCGGUUCAACCUUGAUGGUUGUACCGGAACACAAUUUGUACCAGUACAGCCUUGAUGUCAUACCGGUACAGAUGCGUUUUCUAGCCAACUCGAGACUCGGGUUUGCUGUCUCGCAGCAUUUGUACCGGUACACUUUCCCGUGUACCGGUAUAUUUUGGCAGACUGCAAAAGUUGCAGCUUUGAGGGGUGUUUUUGCUAUUGUAGCAACUCUAUAACAGCCCCCACGCCCCCUAGAGCCUUUUUUGUGCUGAGAUCACAGGAGCUUGAGGUAGGGGACCUCCUCUCUUCCCCUCUUUGGAUUUGAUCCCCUUUUUACAUGGUUUUUGGUGGUUUGAUCUUCUCUUUUCCUCCUUGGUGCUAUUUCCUCCAUGUUGAAGGCUUGGAGCAUGGACUUGGAGCUUGAUAGAGGGAAGAUCAUCACUUCUAAUGGACUUUGAGCUUUGAUUGAAGCUUCUAAGAGGUAAGUAACAAGUUUCUUUCCUCUAGAUUUCUUGUUUUAAGGGUUAUUUUGAGAUGAAACCCUAGAAUGGAAACUUAGGGUUGAUUUUGGGCAUUUUGGAUUUAGGACUUUCGGAGCUUGAUCUCUUGGAUUAGAACCUUCCUCUAGGUUGGAUUGGAAGGGUUCUAGCUUCCUUUUGAGGAUCAAUAGAGAUUAUCACCAUUUUAGGGGAGUUUUCGCCCCUUUGCUAGUAUUGGUUAAUGUUCGAGCCUACUGCUUUUCGUAACGUAUGUGUAUCUCUUCUCUUGUGACCUUUAGGAUAUUAGAAAAAUUAUGGACAACUCCGUUCGGCGAAACGAAGGAGUUUUAGCGAAGCUUCGGUGGGUUUGACCUCGCCAAAAAUGAGAAAAUCUCAUUUUUGAUGAAUUGAAUAUCGUAAAAUGAAAAUUCAUGUAUUUUCAUGUUAGAUGUAUUAUUUAUGAAUUUUAGAAUACGUAAAAUGCUUAUGUUGUAUACAAUGCAUUUUUGGACCUCUAUGUAGUAGAGAGCUUGUAUGUGAGAUAUAUGCUUGAUGUUUAGCAUUCGCAUUUGGGACUUGGAAUCAUAUUUCAUAUAGUAAAAAUGACUAAUGUAUUAUACCCUUGGACAUAAAUCUCAAUUGGAGAUAGGAAAAGAUAUUAGGCCAUAAAGUGACUUUGGACUUGAAUAUUAUGUGUAUUAGUGAGCUAAUGUCAUAAAGCGACAUUGAGCUCGGGUUAUAUAUGAACCUUGUAUAUAAUGCCAUAAAGAGGCAUGGGAAUUGGAACAUGCUUGGACAUAGCAAUGUUAUAGUGUCAUAAAGAGGCACUAGACUUAGUGAAUGUUGGAACUUCACCUUGUGACAUAGAACUAGACUGAUGGUUACUAGUGACUAUUACCAUGUUAGAGACAUGAUGAUUGGGUACUUGAGACGGUGAUUAUGCUUUCUUGCCAUUUGGGCUUAUUCGCACAUGCUUGUGAGGGUCGCUCUCUACAAGCCUGCACUCCGGAGUUGGCCUAUGCGACUUAUGAUUGCUCGUGCGGUAUCGAGAAACCUGCAGGGUCGGGAGGGAUAGACUCAUUCCUAGAGUGGGAAUGUUGGAGCUACCACCGGCACUUAGGUGGCACAAGCUGGACUACACUUGUGUAGGUCCUAAAACAAGAUUGGACAAUGACAUCAAUAUAUAAUGAUAAUCACUACUAGAUAGGGUGUAGUAGUUGGAUUACCUUGGCAUUCUUAAUGCAUAUAGGUGGACAUUUGAGACAUGUAGUAAACUUAGUAAUAUCGCUCAUUGCAUUAAAGUAUACUUGCUUGCCAUGUGGAAUCAUACCUGUUUUGUAUUAGACAUGCUCAACCAUAGUAGAAUGAAUAUACAACAAAUUGUCAUCAUAUUAUUUGUGGCAUAAUAGUUUAGAAUUUGUACAUGCUUUCAUAUCUGCAGUUUAUUUUUCGUUGCUUUUCAUAUCUACCUUAUUCUUUUGGGCCUAGUGGUGCAUUAUGCUGAGGUCAAUAAUUGCCCACUGGAAACUAUAAAUUAUAGUUCUCACACCCCCUGUUUCUUGUUUCCUUUCAGAGCCUUCCACACCGGGUGAGGCUAGGGACCGCGAAAACGAGCUAGCUCUUUGGCGAGGGACGUAUCAAUAGGUGGUCUACCUCUCAUUGGUUUUAUUUUGGAGAGGUUGAGAGUUGUACCAUGUAUAGGACCAUGCACUGUGUAUUUUGAGACAGAUGAUGUAUUUACUUUAUGUUUUAUAUUAGUGUAUUAGUUUCCUUUCUCUCUACUUGUUGUUAGUAUUUAGCUGUUGGUUGCUCUAAUAUCUCUAGUUGUCUUACUUCUUCUUGCUUCAUAUCUCUAUUGUUGUAGAUGCCUUAUAUGUGCAGGCAUAUGGCUGGUCUGGGCAUGUACUGGGCCGACCUAUGCCGAGUCCUGGGGCGUGACAGAUUAAUUUGGUAUCAGAGCCUAGGGUUGAGUCUUAGUGGACCUAGCAAAUCUUAGGCCGGUUGGACCGUAGGAAAUAGGCUCGUGAGAGACGAGGUCUAUUUGAUUUGUAAGCGAAAGUAUCAUGAUUGGGUUUUAUUAUAACUCUAAAAAGUUGGAGUUGAAUCGAAGUGUAUAGCUUCUAACUUCGCGAAGGGUUACGUUGGCCGCCGACAACGUAACAUCGGGAGUUAGUAGUAAAGAACACUUCCUUAAUUUCGCAUGAUUUGGGUAUUUAUUUGUUGAGCGGGGCUGCGAUAGCGUGGGUUUUACGAACAUGCGCUUUUAUGUUGUUGUAGUGGUAAUGCCGAUUACACGCUCUAAGUCGGUUGGAGCGGACAAUACGGCUAAUCUUGAGGAAGUGGAGACCUCCGUUACCUCCGGAUCCGGCGAGGUCCGUGAGUUGAGAAGCCAGCUUGCGGUCCUCACUGACUUGGUCGCGCAGCAGGCGGCGGCGGCUCAGCAGCAGGCGGAUGCGGCGCGCCGGCAGGAGGCGCGGAUGAAGCGUAUGGAGGAUCUUUUGUUGCAGCAGGCGGCAGCCAGGGAGGCUCUGGUCCUGCACCACCCGCGCCGGUAGAGGUGGUUGCGCCCAGGGUGUCAUCCCCUGCACUCGACACUUCCCGGACGGCCCCUGUGGUGGCACCUCGGGAGGAGGACGUUGCGGUACCACCAGCUCGGUGCCUUUAGCGGAGACAGCUUUUUCCGUGAUGGUUGAGGGAACCGAGCGGGAUCGACUCAUGGAUGGCCUCAACGAGUUCAGGAGGUGCAAUCCGCGGAUUUUCGACGGAGAGAAGGUGGAUCACUGGAUAGUGGAGAAGUGGCUCAUGCAUAUAGAGAAGUUAUUCCACGACACCUUCGUGGAGGAGAGGGACAGAGUUUGGCUCGCCACACAUCAUCUUGACGGCGAGGCCUACCGUUGGUGGCUGGAUAUUCGGGACAACCCGAACACGGACUUGUCGGCGAUCUCGUGGAAGAGAUUUAAGGAGCUUCUGAUGGCUAAGUAUUUUCCAGAGAGCGUCAAGAGAAAGAUAGAGCAAGACUUGCGCGGCUUGCGCUAGGAGGAUCGGACGGUGGCCGAGUACGAGAGGGAGUUCUCUCGGCUUUUGCAUUGCGUGCCUUUUAUCGUGUGGGACGACGAGGACAAGGCUCGCAUUUUCGAGCGUGGAUUACGACCCUCGAUCUUUUGACUUGUGAAAUCCUCCAACCUUCAGACCUAUCGAGAUGUAGUGAACCGCGCGCUCAUCAUGGAAAGCGGAGCGGUGGAGUUGCAGGAGCGCCGCGAGGGCAUGGAUAAGGGGAAGGGUAAAAGGCCCGCGGCGGAGGGUGCGAGUCAGACGCACUCACGGAGGCUGCCGAGGCACCCCAGGAGCUGGAGCCAGUCGCAAGGAUGUGGCUCGUCUACUCAGCGAGGAGGACCUGAUCGUUGCCAGGCUCUGCGCUGCAUGAUUUGCGGUGGUCCUCAUUUCCCACGGCAGUGUUCACGCAGUCGUGGUAGGUGCUACCUGUGCGGCCAGGAGGGCCACUUCCAGUCAGAUUGCCCGAGGGGCCCAGUGCCAACGCCAUCAUCGGCAUCAGCACCAGCUUCACCGGGUUCCAGCUAGGGGACGCCUUCUCCUCACUACCAGGCCGGGCGGCCACCAGUUCAGAGGCAGAUGGAAGGGUCACGAUAGGCCCCGAGCGGGCGCAUGUACGCGGCCCAGACCGAGGAGGCAGCAGCAGCUGAGAAUGUGGUGGAAGGUAUCAUUUUAUUAAAUGGCAUUUGAGUUCGUGCAUUAUUUGAUACCGGUGCAUCGCAUUCAUUCAUAGAUCGGCUAUUUGCCGAGUUGCAUGGCAUCCCCUUUGUUUUCUUGUUGUAUCCGGGACGUGUUGUUGUUCCCGACCACUCCUUGGAUAUUAGAGAGUUCUGCCCCAGUUGCCCUGUUCGGGUAAGAGAUUAGAUCAUGCCCGUGGAUUUACUAGUUUUGCAUAAGCUUGGAGAAUUUGAUGUUGUUUUGGGCAUGGAUUCGUUGACCAAGUACUUCGCCACUAUUGAUUGCAAGAAUCGAACGGUGACGUUUAGAGAGCCAGGGCAGGCGGAGGUUGUGUACCGUGGAUGCCAGAGUUCGCUGUUUGCGAUGACGAUUAGCUCCUCUUGAGCUAGACAGUUGAUUAGCAGAGGCUGCGUAGCCUAUUUGGCUACUGUUGUGUUGAGGAGUGACGUCGACACUCCUAGGAUUGAGGAUAUUCCUAUAGUGCAGGAGUUUGGAGAUGUGUUUCCAGCGGAGCUACCAGGCAUGCCACCUGAUAGGGAGAUUGAGUUUGUGGUAGAUCUCGUUCCCGGGACUACUCCAAUCUCAAAGGCACCCUAUAGGAUGGCACCAGCGAAACUGAAAGAGCUGAAGGCACAGUUGCAAGAUCUUCUGGAUAAGGGUUUUGUGCGACCGAGUGUGUCACCUUGGGGAGCACCGGUCCUAUUUGUCAAGAAGAAGGACGGAUCACUUCGCUUGUGCGUGGACUAUUGUGAACUUAAUAAAGUCACGAUUAAGAACAAGUAUCCGUUGCCGAGGAUCGAUGAUCUAUUUGAUCAGCUUCAGGGAUCUAGUAUGUACUCCAAGAUUGACUUGCAGUCGGGAUAUCACCAGCUAAAGAUUGCACCCGAGGAUGUAUCAAAGACGGCUUUUAGAAUACGGUACAGACAUUAUAAGUUUACAGUUAUGUCGUUUGGGCUUACUAAUGCCCCGGCAGCUUUUAUGGAUUUAAUAAACAGUGUUUUCAAGCCUUACUUAGACAUGUUCGUCGUGGUGUUCAUCGACGAUAUUUUGAUCUAUUCCCGAAGUAAUGCGGAUCACGAGGAACAUUUGAGGCUAGUACUUCAAGUGCUUCGGGAGAGGAAACUCUAUGCCAAAUUAAAAAAGUGUGAGUUUUGGCUUAGAGAGGUGGCAUUUUUGGGCAAUGGGUCCUUGUUCUUUAUCGUUACCUUGUUCAACUCGCGAUAAUCUACGCAGAGUCGAAGUGUGCCAUCCUUUUUCUUCACAAAUAGCACCGGAGCUCCCCACGGUGACACACUCGGCCUCACGAAGCCCUUAUCGAGCAAGUCUUGUAGUUGACCUUUUAGCUCCUUUAGCUCCACCGGUGCCAUUCUAUACGGCGCCCUUGAAACUGGUUCUGCCCCGGGAAUUAAGUCAAUGACAAACUCAACUUCCCGGUCCGGUGGCAGUCCCGGUAAUUCCGCCGGAAACACAUCCGGAAACUCGCACGCUACUCGAAUAUCUCCCAACUCUGGGUACUCCUUUCGAGCAUCCACCAUGGUUGCCAAAUAGGCCUUACACCCUCCUUUGAUCAUUUUCUUCGCCCUUACAGACGAUAUAGUCGCCGCGAAGCGCCUACUUUUGCACGCUUGGUAGACUAACUCUUCUUGAUUAGGCUCACGAAAAGUGAUCACCUUGCUUUCACAAUCUAUCACCGCAUAGUACUUGGAGAGCCAGUUGGUCCCCAAGAUAACAUCGAAUCCCCACAUCUGAUCUAGCACUAGCAGAUCAAUCGGCAUAAUCCAAUCGCCUAUUUGCACUGGACACGCCAAACACUCAUUAUGGACACUGAAUGAAUGCUCUGGAGCGUUCACCCACCAGUAAUCCUCAUUGUAUACCAUCUCUAUGCCAUGUGUUUUAGCAAAUGAAGUGCUAAUGAAUGAAUGAGAUGCGCCUGUGUCAAACACUGCUCUAGCUCUAGUGCCUUUAAUCACAAUUAUACCUGCCACGACGUCGUCGGGUGCUGCAGGUUGUUGCUCCUCCACCUGAGCGGCAAAGACUCGGCCGCUAGGCGCUCUCGAUCCCUCCGGCUGACGCGGUGAUGACGCGCGCCCAGCCGACAUCGCCGGUGGUAACCCCGCAAGCUGUCUCGGGGUAGACGGUGUCGAAGCCGCCGUCGGCGCAGAUGACGUCCACGACGGGCACUCCCGGAUAAGAUGUCCCGGUUGGCCACAUUUGAAACAUUUGCCGUCUCGCUGCGGGCAAGUCGACACCCUGUGCUCACCACCACAAAUGACGCAUCGAGGUGGUCUCCAAUUCCUCGACUGCUGUCGGGGAUACCGAGGGGGUUUCUUAGCAUUUGGCCGGCCCCCGGCACCGCCCGCCGCUCUUUUCUUGCCCUUGUCCUUCGACUCGGCAAUAGCUUCCCUUUCUUCACGUACAUGGGCGCUACCGUGCUCCGCCCACAAGGCUCUAUCGAAGACCUCCGCAAAGGUCGACAGCUUCAAAAUUUGCACUUUCUCAUAAAUUCGGGGUUGGAGUCCUCGCAAGAACCAAUCCGCCCAGUCCCGAUCGUCACGAACAACAUCGGGAACGCAAUCAAUAAGGUGGGAGAACUCUUGCUCGUACUCCCCCACCGAUCGAUCGCCCUGUCUCAACUUGCGAAACUUGUCCUGUAGCUUCCGCUUCACCGUGUCGGGGAAGUAGUUCGCGAACACCGCUCUCUUGAACUCUUCCCACAUCAUAGGCGGGAGGUCGAUAAGUCGAUCCCGCCUAACUCGCUUCCACCACACCUUCGCCGCUUUCUCAAAACAGUGUGUGGCAAGGUACACCCUGUCCUUCUCCGAGGUAUUGAGAUCCUCGAAGAGCGUCUCCAUCGAGUCGAUCCAUGACUCCACGAUCGCCGGCUCCACCAAACCGCCCUCGAAGGUAGGUGGGUCGAACUUCUUGAAUUGUAUAAGCGCCGCUAACGUGCGCUCUCGCUCCCCUUCUACCGCCGCGCUAUCGGGAUUUGAGGUUCCCGAUCCGGCCGGUAUUACCGUAACUGGAACAGCCGCUGCUGCCGCUGCUCCCUCAUCCACGCUCGGCACUACCACAGGGGGCGCGACACGCUCGUCGCCCGCCUGGGCCGCCGUCGCCUGUUGUCGCUCCAAGGCCUCCUGGAGCCUUUGAAUCUGCUCCCCUUGGCGUUGAACAGACUCCGCUUGUUGCCGCACUACUCCGAUAAGCGCGGCCAUUUGCUCCCUAAGCUCUCCAUCGCCACUUGCUCCGGAUUGCUCGGGCACCGCAUUCGUUUUCUCCGGCAUCGACCUUGCCUGCGAUCGACGUCGAGGUGCCAUUGCUUCCUGAAAAGAAGCAACUCGCAUUAGUCACUUGACCAACAUUACUUGACCAUACCCAAUUAGGCGAAAGCAACAUACACAUUCAUCCUUGCCUCAAGCGUCAUGUCGUCGGCCGCCCGACACAACACUAGAAGUAGAGGAUAAACGAAAAUUAAACUUAGCCUCUAAUCACAUUAGAGACGUCCCUACAUAACCCAAUCACAUGCUUUCGCUAACUUGAUCCCACGUCACUCACGUUUUCUAGAUCCUUAAGGCCUUCUAAUCCUAAGGGUCUCUAGGUCCAUUCCUAUUCUUUCACUCUUGGCUUUGAUACCACGAUAUCUGUCACGCCCCGAGACCGAUACCAAUUUGGCCCGACCCGAGCACGUCAAACAGACGCCGAGCGGACAGAGUUUCCCCUAUCCGCCCAAGGCUCCUCACAUGUACAUUUUCAUCAAUAGAGAAAAGCACUAGCGGAAACAUACACAAACGGCUUACACGAGGGUAAGCAAUAGACAUUAGUGAAAGAAAAAGAAAACUAAACAUUCACUUGUACUAUGAUUCAUUUUUUGAUCAUAUACAUUGCAUUCAUCUUGUUCAUUUUUGAAUUCCUUAUAUUUCAUUUCAUCAUUUCUUUCUUACAUCACAUUUUCCUCAACAUACACAUUACAUUCUUUUUUUUACAUCAUUUACCAUCAUGUACAAAAGAUGAUCAAAGGGUGUCUACUAACAAAAUGUAACCCAACUUUGGUGGCCUCUGACUAAGGCGCGAUACCUUUACCUCGGUCGCUCGCCGGCUCGCUCGGUCCCGGCUCUGUGGAAAUAGUGGGGUGAGAACUACAACAAAGUUCCCAGUGGGUUCGGCCCCAACAUCACCGACUUUCCAACUAGGACUAACUCAGGCAUAAUAGAAAGAAUAAGCUGCAUAUAGUAACCAAUCUACACAUGAUGCUAAUAUGCCUGAACAAUAAAGCAAGGAAUAUGCUCAACAUUAACAUAUGCAGAUUAUGCAAGUUCUCUCGUUCUUUACCUUUACACUUUGUUCUUUGUUCUUUAUUCUUUGCUCUUUGUUCUUUAAUCUCAAGGCUAACUCGGGGGUAUCGCCACCUUAACUUGCUUCACAUUAAGUCCAUCAUCGCAGGAACUCACCCGCUAGGACCGUCCUUCGGGUUUACUCCAACCCGUGAUGCAUAACUCCGGAGCGCAUUGCCCGAGGAGGAGCGACCGCCCUCGAGCACGGAACUCAUAGCAAGUAUGAUCAUAUCCUUAACUCAAAGGAUUUAAAAGUUCAAUCUUGACUUUACACUAGCUCUAGUGUUCAUUAUAUCACUUUAUGUUGCUAACUCUAGCAAUCAUGGUUCUCUACAUUUCCUUACUUUUGCUAACUUUAGCAUUCUUGUUCUUUACAUUUCUUAUUCUUAUUGCUCCACUUUACUUUAACUUUACACAUUAUCAUUAUCAUCAUUCUUUACAUCACUUUGGUUCCUUGACUCACACUAACUCUAGUGUCACUUUACUUUACGUUUUUCAAUGCCACUCGAUCUAUGUCAUAGUGUCACUCUGUUCUUUUGCUCACUUUGAGUGCUCACUUUUCUCUCAUGCAUACACAUAGGGUUUUUACAUUCAUAAGGUUCUCAACCAUCACAUUAGGCAAGUUGUACUCACAAUCAUGCAACAUCACAUUCUCAUCAUUUCUUUACCCUAAAAUGCAUGCAACAAAUAUGUAACAUAUGCUCAAUUGAAUGACACAUUAGGCAUAGAGAGAAGUUCAACGAGUUUGGAAAGCACCACCCACCUCGUAGGUCUCUUUAGGUGCUCCGACGAUUUUCUUGGGAUUUUUAGACUCCUCGUUCUUCACCUGCGGCGAAACGAAGCCAACUUAGGCCAUUUUGCCCAUAUCUUUCUACACACUUUUCGUAAUGCUAUUCCGAGCGCACCAACGGGUCGGAAAUACCCCCAAUUAGAUUUUUAGAGGGUCAAUUUCAUUUAGGAACCCCCAUGAGCAAAAGCCCUAAUUUGGGUGCCCUAGCUCCAUAGCAUACAUCAAACCUAGGGUUUGAUCUCAAAGAGAAGCAAAAGUAGCUUCAUUCUACUCUAAAAAGUCCAUUAGAACCAUUUUUAGACAAAUCAAAACCCUACUUAGGGUUUCACCAUGAGAGGUGAUGAAGCUCACCUCAAGCCUCACCAUUUUCAUGGUCUUGAUCUCUAAAGAAGCAAAAGAAAAGCUUCAAAUACUCAAAUGGUUCCAUAAAACUCAAUUUAAGCUUAAUCCAAACCCUAGAUUAGGUUCUACCAUGAUUAGGGUUCAAAGCUUACCUUGUAAGCUCUCCUUUUCCACGCUAGAGGGGAAGAAGAUGAAGUUGCUUCACCUCUUGAUCUUCUUCUUCACCUUAUUUUCCUUAUUUUCCUUCCUUCCUUUCUUUCUUCUUCUUCUCCUUUGCCUUCUAGAGAGAGAGGGAGAGAAGAGAGUGUGUGAGAGGGUGAGAAUGAGAGAAAAUCUCAUUAGCCCUCAUAACAUAGCUAUUGGGUUGCAUAAUUGCUAAUAAACCCCUCAACUUUCACUUUAAUGCACUGCCCGAACUGGGCUGAUCGCGCAGGCAGGGACCGGUCUCUCCUUCAGGGACCGGUCUCUCCUUCAGGGACCGGUUCCCGAAGGUCGUCCGAGCGCAGCUAGAACUGCUGCGCGCAGUGCAACCGGUCUCUCCUUGGGGGAUCGGUCUCUCGGGGACCGGUCUCUCAGGUAGGGACCGGUUCCCGAGAGCUAGCUUCUCAGGACUUAGCCGAUUUUUCGGCUGUCUCAAUUCACACGUGUUCGGGGACCGGUCUCUCCCACCAGGGACCGGUCUCCGAGAGCUCAAAACUGCAGAAUGCAGAUUUUGAUUCUAUAGCUCUCGAAAACCUUCCGUAACUCACUUUUAAUCAUUUUAACACCUUCGGACUUUCCGAAGUGUACCGUCCUCGCACUUUGGUUAACUUGACUAAAGUUCGACAUUUAUUUCCCGAAUUUUCGGUAUAUUACAUCUAACGUGCCAACAGGUAAAAACUGAGCAUCGAGUCCCCACGAAAAAAUUGCAGAGCUUAUCGAUUCUAGUGUGAAAGUGGGAGAAGAUCACCAUGGACUUCGUGAUGGGAUUGCCCCGCUCACAGGCCGGGCAUGAUGCUAUUUGGGUGAUCGUGGAUAGGUUGACGAAAUCAGCUUAUUUCAUAUCUAUUAUACUACUUGGACUGGUGAGAGACUCGCAUAGGUAUAUCUUGAUGAGAUUGUGCGAUUGCACGGGGUACCUACUUCUAUAGUUUCGGAUCGAGAUCCCCAUUUUGUAUUCCAUUUUUGGAGUAGCUUACAGGAUGCUUUGGGCACGCGCUUUGAUUUCAGUACCGCUUUCCACCCUCAGAGUGACGGGCAGUCAGAGCGCACUAUACAGACUCUUGAGGAUAUGCUUCGAGCCUGUUUUAUCGACUUCCGGGGAGGAUGGUCGCAGUAUCUACCGAUGGAAGAGUUUGCUUAUAAUAAUAGUUAUCAAGCAAGUAUCAAGAUGGCACCAUUCGAGGCACUUUCGCGACUUCAUUGGAGUGAAGUUGGCGAGAGAUUGACUUUAGGCCCCGAUGUGCUCCAGGAAGCAGAGGACAAGGUUCGUAUUGCUUGGGAGCGACUGCUGACAGCCCAGAAUAGGCAAAAAAGUUAUGCUGACAAGCGUCGAUGAGACUUGGAGUUUCAGACUGGAGAUCAUGUCUUUUUGAAAGUCUCGCCGACCAAGGAAAUUAGAAGAUUUGGUAUCCGGGGUAAGUUGAGCCCCUGAUACAUUAGACCGUAUGAGAUUUUGGAGCAUGUAGGUCCGGUAGCGUAUCGACUUGCUCUACUGCCGAAUCUAUCGAGUGUACACAAUGUAUUUCAUGUAUCGGUCCUUCGAAAAUACAUCCAUGAUCCGGCUCAUGUGUUGGAUGCUAUACUAGUGGAGCUGAGGGAUGACUUAAGCUUUGAAGAGCAGCCUUUGAGGAUUUUGACUCGCGAGGUGAAGAGGCUGCAGAACCGUGAGAUUCCCUAUGUGAAGGUGCUUUGGAGCAACCACGAUGAACGCGAGGCCACUUGGGAGUUGGAGAGCGUGCUGUAGGAGCGCUAUCCCCAUCUUUUUAAGAUAGAGGCUUGAGGUACUUUGCUUUUCGAGUUUCGCGGACGAAACUCUUUUUUAGGAGGGGUGAAUGUAACACACUGGACCUUUGUAAAUUGCGAGGUUCGAGUGUUCGAUCUGUGUUCUGAGUCUUUUCACAGUUUUUGGAGGGUCGUAGAUAGUGUUCCGACCCAUGGCUCGCAUCCCGAGAAUUGGAGUUUUAAACUUGGCACCAAAAUCCGGAAAUUUGGAUUAAGUGGUCUGCUCUCGGGUUGCCUCUGCAGGAUUGUGUACCGAUACAACCUUGAUGGUUUUACCGGAACACAAUUUGUACCGGUACAGCCUUGAUGUCAUACCGGUACAGAUGCGUUUUCUAGCCAACCCGAGGCUCAGGUUUGCUGUCUCGCAGGAUUUGUACCGGUACACUUUCCCGUGUUCCGGUAUACUUUGGCAGACUGCAAAAACUGUAGCUUUGAGGGGUGUUUUUGCUAUUGUAGCAACUCUAUAAUAGCCCCCACGCCCCCUAGAGCCUUUUUUGUGCUGAGAUCACAUGAGCUUGAGGUAGGGGACCUCCUCUCUUCCCCUCUUUGGAUUUGAUCCCUUUUUCGCAUGGUUUUGGGUGGUUUGAUCUCUCUUUUGCUCCUUGGUGCUACUUCCUCCAUGUUGAAGGCUUGGAGCUUGGACUUGGUGCUUGAUAGAGGGAAGAUCAUCACUUCUAGUGGACUUUGAGCUUUGAUUGAAGCUUCUAAGAGGUAAGUAAUAAGUUUCUUUCCUCUAGAUUUCUUGUUUUAAAGGUUGUUUUGAGAUGAAACCCUAGAAUGGAAACUUAGGGUUGAUUUUGGGCAUUUUGGGUUUAGGACUUUUGGAGCUUGAUCUCUUGGAUUAAAACCUUCCUCUAAGUUGGAUUUGAAGGGUUCUAGCUUCCUUUUAAGGAUCAAUAGAGAUUAUCACCAUUUUAGGUGAGUUUUUGCCCCUUUGCUAGUAUUGGUUAAUGUUCGAGCCUAGGGCUUUUCGUAACGUAUGUGUAUCUCUUCUCUUGUGACCUUUAGGGUACUAGAAAAAUAUUGGACAACUCCGUUCGGCGAAACGAAGGAGUUUUAGCGAAGCUUCGGUGGGUUUGAUGUCACGCCCCGAGCCCGCCUCUUUGGUCGGAUUCGGGCACGCCAACAGACCGCCGAACGGACAGGGUUUCCCCUGCACGCGGACAGAGUCUCCCCUGUACGUUCAAGGCGUCGCAAUCAAUACAAUUACAAGAGGUUCCAAACAGGAACAAUUGUCAACAACGAUUGCAUAAGGAAGGUAUCAAACAACAUAACACAUCCUAUAUUAUUACAAUAAUUCAUCUCAUCAUUUUACAUCGCAUUUUUUCAUUACAUUGAUUCUCAACUUCCAAAUAUACAAUCGAUUUCUAAACAUAAUAUUACAACAUCGAUUCUUUUCUUUUCUUUUCUUAUACCCCUAAGAAGCCGACUCAGGGUGCUGCUAUCUGGUCUCUGUGGUAGGGCGCUAACUACGGAGCUACGCCCUUUCCUCGCGCCGCCGCGCCGCUCGCGUGUGAACCUGUACCCCCAAAAACAACAACACGGGGGUGAGACUAUUGUCCAUAGUCGUCAGUGGGUACAGCCACCCAAGGGAAAAGCUCAACCCACCAGGUCCAAAGGAGGCACUGCAACAUGUUAGUCCAACAGAUAUAUACAUAUAACAUCAUGCAAUACAUGUUCAUGCCUCACAAAUAUGCAAAUUAUGCAACUCUUAGUCAUUCUUUACCAUUAGCCUUUCUUUACUCUUUAUUCUUUAUUCUUUAUUCUUUAUUCUUUAUUCUUUAUUCUUUAUUCUUUAUUCUUUAUUCUUUAUUCUUUAUUCUUUAUUCUUUAUUCUUUAUUCUUUAUUCUUUAUUCUUUAUUCUUUAUUCUUUAUUCUUUAUUCUUUAUUCUUUAUUCUUUAUUCUUUAUUCUUUAUUCUUUAUUCUUUAUUCUUUAUUCUUUAUUCUUUAUUCUUUAUUCUUUAUUCUUUAUUCUUUAUUCUUUAUUCUUUAUUCUUUAUUCUUUAUUCUUUAUUCUUUAUUCUUUAUUCUUUAUUCUUUAUUCUUUAUUCUUUAUUCUUUAUUCUUUAUUCUUUAUUCUUUAUUCUUUAUUCUUUAUUCUUUAUUCUUUAUUCUUUAUUCUUUAUUCUUUAUUCUUUAUUCUUUAUUCUUUAUUCUUUAUUCUUUAUUCUUUAUUCUUUAUUCUUUAUUCUUUAUUCUUUAUUCUUUAUUCUUUAUUCUUUAUUCUUUAUUCUUUAUUCUUUAUUCUUUAUUCUUUAUUCUUUAUUCUUUAUUCUUUAUUCUUUAUUCUUUAUUCUUUGCUAAGGGCACUCGCACCUUAGGCGCAUUAUACACAUUUGCCAUUCUUUAUAACAUUAACAAACGUUUCUCAAUUGUCAUUCUUUCUCAAUUGUCAUUCUUUCACAGGGUUACCUUUACCCUAGCCAACUAUGCCACUCGACUCGGUCUUGAGUCAAUUCAUAAUGAAUACAAGAUCCACUUUCCAAUCCAUGAUUCCUUUUUGUUCUUUGUUCUUUAAUCUCACGGCUAACCCGGGGGUUUCGCCACAUUAACUUGCUUCACAUUAAGUCCAUCAUCGCAGGAACUCACCAGCUAGGACCGUCCUUACGGGUCUACUCCAACCCGGAUGCCAAACUCCGGAGCGCAUCGCCCGAGGGGGAGCGACCGCCCUCGAGCACGGAACUCAUAGCAAGUAUGAUCAAUCCUUAACUCUAAGGAUAUGUAGUUGGAUCAUGGUUUUACACUAACUCUAGUGUUCUUUACAUCACUUUAUGUUGCCACUCUAGCAAUCAUUGUUCUUUACAUCUCUUUUACUUUUGCUAACUCUAGCAAUCACGUUUUUCACAUUCCUUUACUUUAAGCUAUCUUUAGCUUUCACAUUCUUUAACUUUACACGUUCUUUAUGCCACAUUACAUUACAUUGUCUUUAGCCAUUAUCAUUAUUCUUUACAUCACAUUGCUUUGCCUUGUCUCAAGCCAUUAUCAUUAGGUUCUCACAUUACAUCUCAUGCAUACACAUAGAUUAUUUAGAUUCUUAAUCAUUCUAAUAAGCACGUGUACUCACAUCAUGCAACAUUACAUUAUUAUCAUCACAUUGUUUUACAUUAUCUUUAGCCAUUAUCAUUGUUCUUUACAUCACAUUUAUUCUUUGAUGUCCCACACUAACUCUAGUGUCCACUUUACCAUUUCGAAUGCCACUCGAUCUAUGUUCAACAUGCAUAUAUUUUGUCAUCCAUUGGUAGUCAUUACUUAGCAUUUUAUGCAUUCGUUAACAUUUACUACAUGCAUUCUCGGUUAGUACAAAUCUCAUACUUUCAUUUGACAUCUAUUUAGCAUUUCUAUAAUAUGCACAUAUAAAUUAACAUCAACUCAUGCAUUCAUUUGGCAUCUAUCUUUAUCAUGCAUUCUUAAUUAGCAUACUUUAUCAUGCAUUCUCAAAUAGCAUACUUUAAUCUUUAUCAUGCAUUCUUAAAUAGCAUACUUUAUCAUGCGUCAAUAGUAAACAUACUACACUUUAGCAUGGAAAGCGACCUAAUCGCUUCGGUGAGCACAACCCACCUCAUUUCGCAUUCCGAUUGCUUGUCGACACUUGCAAUCGGCGUCCCGCGGCACCCGUAACCCGGUUUGGCCCGAUCUCUCACGCGACCACCCGAACGGCCUCCAAUUCACGAUCCGAAAAUUAAAGGUCUUCGGUUAUGUGCCACGAAGCUUCAAAUCCAUUUUCAUGAAUUUACGAUAUCGCCUCGGCCCUCCCGGCGGACCUGAAGCCUAAACGUCCGUUUCUUUAAUAACUUCGCAACGGCUCGUCGGAUUGCCGAACCGUCUUCGCCAACGCAUUCGUUUACCUAGCAAUUAGGUUUAUAUAGGGUCAAUUUAGAUCAAACCCUUACAUUUUACAAAACCCCAUUCGGAGCCCUAAUAUGCUAUUAACCUCAAAAUAAUCCAAAAUCAAAUGGAUCAACAUGCUAACAAAGCUCAUUAGAGGCUAUUAGAAUACUUAAAGCUAAGGAUUAAGCCAAAUCCUAAAAGCUUACCUCAAUGUGAACGCCGCGACGACAACACACCGCUCCAACGGGCGCACGAAAGCUCAAUCCGUCGCCUCCAACGCGUUCGCAAGCAUAUUCUCCACCAACCCCGCGAAUUUGAGCGAGAGAUAUAGAGAAAUGAGAGAGAUCUCUAGAGAGAGAAAGAAGGGUUUCUCUCUCCCUUCUCCAUGCGCGCGUGGGUGGCCAUGGUGGUCGGCUGAAGGAGAAAGAAGCAAANNNNNNNNNNNNNNNNNNNNNNNNNNNNNNNNNNNNNNNNNNNNNNNNNNNNNNNNNNNNNNNNNNNNNNNNNNNNNNNNNNNNNNNNNNNNNNNNNNNNNNNNNNNNNNNNNNNNNNNNNNNNNNNNNNNNNNNNNNNNNNNNNNNNNNNNNNNNNNNNNNNNNNNNNNNNNNNNNNNNNNNCAGAAAAGAAGUAGGCACAAAGAAGGAAGAAGAAGUGAAGGAGGUCAAGGAGACAAAGAGGCUUACUUUUCUCCGUCGAUAGGUGCAAGAUAAGGAGAGCUUACAGGUAUAGCUAUUGAACCCUAAUGUAGAUAAAACCUAGAAGAUGAGUUUGGGAUGACUAGAAAUGGAUUUUAAUUGAGAGUUUAAAGAUUCUGAAGCUUUUUUUGCUUUUUAGAGAUUCAACCUUGGUUUGCUAUAGAGUGUCACUUUGGACACCUCUCAUGGUGAAAUCAAGCAUAGGGUUAUUGGAAAAGCCUAAGAAUGGUUCUAUGGGACUAUUAUAGAGUAUACGUGAAGAUCUUUUGCUGUCCCAAAGAGAUCAACCUAGGUUUUGAUAUACAUUGGAGCUAGGCACCAAAUUGGGGCUUUUGCUCAUGAGGUUUCUAACGAAUUGACUCAAACAAACCAUAAUUGGGCGGUAUUUUCGAUGCGUUGGUGCGCAUGGCAUUACGUUAGAAAAGUCAAAGUAAGUUUAUGAGCAAAAUGGCUAUAAUGGGUUCUUUUAUGGCCCGCAGGUAAAGAACGAGCAUCUAAAAAUCCAAAGAAAAUCAUCGAGCAGCCUUUGUAAGCCUACGAGUGAGAGUGGUGCUUCUCAACCAUUGAAUUCUCUCUAUGACCUAAUGUGUCAUUCAUUUUGGUCAUGUAUGUAUAAUAUGUGUUGAUUUAUAGGGAGUAAAGAAAUGAUGAAAUGUAAUGAUGCAUGAUUGUGAUUUUGACAACUUGCAUAAUAUGUAUGAAUCGAGAACCUGUGUAAAUUCGAAAACCCUAUGUGUAUGCAUGAAGAGAAAAGUGAGAUCAAGUGAGCAAAAGACAGAAGUACACUAUACAUAGAUCGCAGUGGGCCAUUUGAAAAUGUAACAGUAAGAGACACUAAGAGCUUAGUUGAUGCAAGAAACCAAUGUAAUGUAAGAAUGAGGAGAUAACAAUGUUAAACGUUAAAGUAUGUGGGUGUGUAAGAAUUAUAAUGUAGAGUUAGCAAAAGUAAAAGAAAUGUAAAGAAUGUGAUUGCAUGAGUUUGCAACAUAAAGUGAUGUAAAGAACACUAGAGCUAGUGUAAAGUCAAGAUUGAACUUAUAAAAUCCUUUGAGUUAAGGAUAUGAUCAUACUUGCUAUGAGUUCCGUGCUCGAGGGCGGUCGCUCCCCCUCGGGCGAUGCGCUCCGGAGUCUGGCAUCCGGGUUGGAGUAAACCCGUAAGGACGGUCCUAGCUGGUGAGUUCCUGCGAUGAUGGACUUAAUGUGAAGCAAGUUAAUGUGGCGAAACUUCCGGGUAAGCCUUGAGAUUAAAGAACAAAGAACAAGGAGCAAAGAAUAAAGAACCAAGUACAAAGUAAAGUCAAAGAACAAAUGAGUUUGCAUAAUCUGCAUAUAUUUAAUGUUGAGCAUACUUCUUGCUAUUCGUUCAGGCAUAUUAGCAUCAUGUUAUAGAUUGGUUACUAUAUCCUGCUUAUCCUUUCUAUUAUGCCUGAGUUAGUCCUAGUGGGAAAGUCGGUGAUGUUGAGGCCGAACCCACUGGGAACUUUGUUGUAGUUCUCACCCCACUAUUUCCACAGAGCCGGGACCGAGCGAGCCGGUGAGCGACCGAGGUAAAGGUAUCGCGCCUUAGUCAGAGGCCACCAAAGUUGGGGUACAUUUUGUUAGUAGACACCCUUUUAUCAUCUUUUGUACUUGAUGAUUAGUGAUGUAAAGAAAGGAUAUAAAUGUAAAGCUCAUUUUGAGGUAAAUGUGAUGUAAGGAAGAAAUGAUGAAAUUAUGUAAUGAAAUGCAAAGAAUCCUAAAUGUAAGAAAUGGAUGCAAUGUAUGUGAUCUAAAAUGAAUCAUAUUACUGGUGUAGAUGUUUAGUUUUCCUUUCUUUCACUAAUGGCUAUUGCUUACCCUCAUGUAAGCCGUUUGUGUAUGUUUCCGCUAGUGCUUUUCUCUAUUGAUGAAAAUGUGCAUGUGAUGAGCCUUGGGCGGAUAGGGGAAACUCUGUCCGUUCGGCGUCUGUUUGACGUGCUCGGGUCGGGCCAAAUUGGCAUCGGCUCCGGGGCGUGACACCCCUAUUUCUAUGUUUCCUUUUCAGAGCCUUCGGCACCGGCGAAGGCACGGGAUCGCGGCAAGGGAGUCGCAUAGCUAGAUAGCGGAGCUUGCUGUUGCUCCUAGGUGGUCACUCUCUUCUUUUUGGUUUUGUGAGAGAGAGAGUUUUGUUACCAUGUAUAGAGACCACCCAUAUUUUUAUGUUUAGCAUUUGUAUUUGGGAUUCUUCUUGUACUACUUCAUGCUUUUAUCUAGUGGACUUUCAGCUUUAUGUUCAUUUCUUUUAUUGUAGCUCAUAGAUACACUUUGCUCUGAUACAGCUAGAUGUUCUCUCUCUUCUUGUCUUAUUUAUCGUUUUGUUUUAGACGCCUUAUAUGUUUUAGACAUAUGGUGGGUCUGGACACGCGCUGGGCGGACUUCCGCUGGGUCCCGGGGCGUGACAGAUUAGUUUGGUAUCAGAGCCUAGGAUUGAGUCUUAGUAGACCUAGCAAACCUUAGGCCGGUUGGAUUAUAGAAAAUAAGCUCGUGAGAGACGAGGUCUAUUUGACUUGUGAGCGAAAGUAUUAUGAUUGGAUACCUUGAUAACUCUAAAAAGUUACAGUUGAAUCGAAGUGUAUAGCUUCUAAUUUCGCGGAGGGUUACGUUGACGGCCGACAACGUAACAUCGGGAAUUAGUAGUGAAGCACACUUCCUUACUUUCUCAUGAUUUGGGGCAUUACCUUCUUGAGUGGGGAUUCGAUAGCGUGAGUUUACUAACUUACGCUUCUAUGAUGUUGUAGUGACGAUGCCGAUUACACGCUCCCAAUCUGCCGGAGCGGAUAACACGGCUAACUUGGAGGAGGUCGAGACCUCCGCUAUCUCCGGAUUCGGCGAGGUCCGAGAGUUGAGGAGCCAGCUUGCGGCUCUCACCGACUUGGUGACGCAGCAGGCGGAGACGGCCCGACAGCAGACUGAGGCAGCGCGCCGAUAGGAGGCGUUGAUGAAGCGCCUGGAGGAACUUCUUCUACAGCAGGCGACAGCUUCCAGGGAGACUCAGGCCCCUACACCGCCAGCACCAGUUGUGGACGUCGCGCCGAGAGCGCCAUCCCCUGCCCCCAGUUCUUCACGAGCAGCGCCCGCGGCUGCGGCCGCGCCUCAGGAGGAGGCCAUCGCGGUACCACCUGUGCAGAGGCCCUCGGUUGGAGCAGCUUUCCCUACCUUGGUCGAGGGAGCGGAGCGGGACUGACUUAUGGUGCGCCACAAUGAGUUCAGGAGGUGCAGUCCUCGGAUCUUUGAUGGCGAGAAGGUCGACCACUGGAUCGUAGAGAAGUGGUUGAUGCAUAUGGAGAAGCUCUUCCGCGACACCUUCGUGGAGGAGAGAGAUCGAGUUUUGCUCGCCACACACCACUUGGACGGCGAGGCCUACCGCUGGUGGUUGGAUCUCCAAGAGAACCCCAGCAUUGACUUGGCGGCUAUAUCUUGUAAGAGGUUCAAGGAGCUUCUAUUGGCGCAUUACUUCCUGACCAGUGUCAAGAGGAAGAUGGAGCAGGAUUUGCGCAACUUGCGCCAAGGAGAUCGGACUGUAGCCGAGUACGAGCGGGAGUUUUCUCGGCUUCUUUACUGCGUGCCUUUCGUCGUGCGGGAUGACGAGGACAAGGCCCGCAUCUUCGAGCGAGGGUUGCGACCGUCGAUCUUCCGGUUCGUGCAAUCCUCUAACCUCCAAACCUACCGGGAGGUGGUGGAUCGCGCGCUCAUUGUGGAGAGCGGUGCGGCUGAUGUCCAGGAGCGGCGAGAGGCUAUGGACAAGGGUAAGGCCAAGAGGCCUACGGCUGAGGGUGCGAGCUAGACGCACUCUAGGAGGCUGCCGAAGCACCCUAGGAGCCAGCAGCGUGGGUGCGGCUCGGCAGCACCGCGAGGAGGACCUGAUCAACGCCGACCUCCCCAGUGUGUGAUCUGCGGUGGUCCUCACAUUCCACCGUAGUGCCCACAGUGGGGAGGCAGGUGCUUCCAGUGUGGCCAGAAAGGCCACUUUCGGACUGAGUGCCUGAGGGGUUCGUCACCGGCACCGUCGACUGCAUCGGCACCGGCUCUACCAGCCGUCAGCCAGGGGACUCUAUCGGCACAGUACCAGCCUGGGCGGCCACCCGUCCAGCGCUAGAGCGAGGGAUCUCGACAGGCCCCGAGUGGGCGUUUGUAUGCUGCUCAGACCGAGGAGGCGGCGGCAGCCGAGGAUGUGGUUGCAGGUAUCAUUUUACUUGCUGGUAUUAGAGUUCAUGCUUUAUUUGAUACCGGUGCAUCGCAUUCAUUUAUAGAUCGGCUGUUUGCUGAGUUGCAUGGCAUCCCUUUGGUUUCUUUGUUGCAUCCAGGACAUGUUGUAGUACCUGACCACACUCUGGAUAUUAGAGAGUUUUGCCCCAGUUGCCCUAUUCGGAUAGGAGAUUGGAUCAUGCCUGUAGAUUUGCUAGCUUUGCGCAAGCUUUGGGAUUUCGAUGUGGUCUUGGGUAUGGAUUGGCUAACCAAGUAUUAUGCCACGAUUGAUUGCAAGAAUCGCACGGUUACUUUUAGAGAAUCGAGGCAGACUGAGGUUGUAUUUAGAAAAUGCCGGAGUUCGCUUUUUGCGAUGUUGAUCAGCUCAUCUCGAGCUAGGCAGCUGAUCAGCCGAGAAUGUGUAGCCUACUUGGCUAGUGUUGUGUUGAGGGGCGAGGAUGACACCCCAAGGAUUGAGGAUAUCCCGAUAGUACGGGAGUUUCAAGACGUGUUUCCAACUGAGCUACCGGGUAUGCUACCCGAUAGGGAGAUCGAGUGGGUGGUAGAUCUCGUCCCUGGGACUACUCCAAUCUCGAAGGCACCCUAUAGGAUGGCACCGGCGGAGCUAAAGGAGCUGAGGGCACACUUACAGGAUCUGUUGGACAAGGGCUUCAUUCGACCGAGCGUCUUACCGUGGGGAGCGCCAGUUCUGUUCGUCAAGAAAAAGGACGGAUCACUUUGCCUAUGUGUGGACUAUCGUGAACUCAAUAAAGUCACGAUCAAGAAUAAGUAUCCGUUACCGAGGAUUGACGACUUGUUUGAUCAGCUUCAAGGAUCGUGUGUGUUUUCCAAGAUCGACUUGCAGUCGGCAUAUCACCAGUUGAAGAUCAAAUCCGAGAAUGUAUCGAAGACGGCUUUUAGAAUACGGUAUGGACACUAUGAGUUCACAAUUAUGCCGUUCGGACUUACAAAUGCCCCGACAGCUUUUAUGGAUCUGAUGAACCGUGUUUUCAAGCCUUACUUGGACAGGAUCGUCGUGAUGUUUAUCGACGACAUUUUGGUUUAUUCCCGAAGUGAUACAGAUCACGAGGAGCAUUUGAGGCUUGUACUUCAAAUACUUUGGGAAAAGGAGCUUUAUGCCAAGCUGAGAAAGUGUGAAUUUUGGCUUCGAGAGGUAGCCUUCCUUGGACAUUUAAUAUCGGGAUCGGGUAUAGCCGUGGAUCCUAAGAAAAUUGAGGCUAUCAAGGAUUGGCCGAGACCGAUGAGCGUUACGGAGAUUCGGAGUUUCCUUGGACUGGCCGGUUACUACCGGAGAUUUGUCGAGGGGUUUGCUAAGCUAUCUACUCCCCUCACGAGGCUCACGCAUAAAGGUGUCAAGUUCAUCUGGAAUAAUGCGUGCGAGAGAAGCUUCCAAGAGUUGAAGCAGAAACUGACGAUCGCCGCUAUCAUAACACUGCAAGUUGCUGUAGCAGGAUAUGUAGUUUACAGUGAUGCAUCUCUUAAUGGAUUGGGCUGUGUUUUGAUGCGGGAUGGCAAGGUGAUCGCGUAUGCUUCUCGCCAAUUGAAGGAUUAUGAAAAGAAUUAUCCUCCGCACGAUUUGGAGUUAGCGGCCGUAGUCUUCGCAUUGAAGUUAUGGCGCCACUACCUGUAUGACUGUGACGCACUGGACCUUUGCAAAUUGCGAGGUUCGAGUGUUUGAUCUGUGUGACGAGCCAUCUCAGACUUUCUGAAGGGUCGUAGACAGUGUUCCGACCCAUGGUUCGAGUCCUGAGAAUUGAGGUUUGAAACGGUGUACCAAAAUCCAAAAAGUUGGAUUUUUGGUUAGCUCUCGGGUUGCCUUCAGCAGGCUGCGUACCGGUACGGGUUCGCUUGCUGUACCGGUACGUGAUCGAUUGCUGUACCGGUACGCGGUUGUGUACCGGUACACAGACCAAUUCCCAGCAAACCCGAGGCUCGGGUUUGGCUUUUCGUGGGUGGUGUACCGGUACACAAACCCGUGUACCGGUACACAGUGCAGAGCGGGCUGUUUUCGUGGAGGGGUGUUUUUGCAAUUGUUGCAACACCUAUAUAUGACACCCCAGCCCCUUUGUGAGCUCCUUUGAGCCCUAGACCAGUGGAGAAAAGGUGAGAACUCCUCCCCUAUGGUUUCUUCUCCAUUUUUGUCAGGUUUUUGCUAGUUUUGAUCUCUUUUCUCUUCUCCUUCUUGCUUUUUGUGGGUAUUUCACCAUUGGAGAAGUGUGAGAUCUUGGUUGAAGCUUGUUUGAGGAUCAACCUUCAACCCUAGAGGACUUUGGAGCUUGGUUUGAAGCUUCUAAGAGGUUAGUAACUAGAUCCCUUCCUCUAGAUCUAGCUUUUGUUGGAUUUUACUAGAUCAAACCCUAGAUUUUGAAUUUUAGGGUUAAAUUUGGGGAUUUUCGUUUUGAGGGCUUUUGUACCAAAUUGAUGGGUUUAGAACCUUUGUUUAGGUUAGAUUGGAAGGACUUUAGCUCCCAUUUGGAGAUUGUGAGAGCUUCCUUCGCAAUCGGUGAGUUUUUGUCAACCCUAGCCCUAUAUGCUUAAUGAUUGAGCUUAGCGUCGUUUGUUUCGACUAGAUGACACUUGUUCUUGUACCUCUAAGGUACUAGGAGACUAGAGGACACCCUCGUUGGAGCGCACGAGGAGUUUCGUUGUCAUCGGUGGGUUUGGCUUCCUUGAAAUUGGAGGAAAUUCCUCCUAAGUGGUUAAAUACUUUCAUUCUCUUCAAAUUCAUGCAUAUUCAUGUUUAGUAGCAUCUAUGGGAAUUUUGAAUGCUUGGAACUCAUAUGUUAUGCAUCAAGAAGGUUACUCUAUAUAGUAGAGAGACAAAUGUGCUUUGUUAAUAUGCAUGCGACGAAUAUCCUAUGAGAUGAAAGGAAAUAAAGUUUCAUGCUUCGAUUUUGACUAGAAAUUAUAAGUUCUUGAACUUAGUAUCCAUGUUGGGACAAAAUGAGCCAUAGUGUCAUAAAGAGGCACUUGGACUAGAAAAUUAUUAAACUGCAACAUAGAGACUUGAUAAUAGGCCACAUUGACAACAACUAUAUUCCAUAUUUGAGAUAUGAUGAAAUAGCGACUUGGCCACGAGGACAUUUGCUAUAUACCAUGCUACUGAACAUGAGGAUUUGGUACUUGCGACUGAUCGUUUGAUUACUUGCCAUUGUGCUCAUUCGCACAUGCUUGUGAGGGUCGCUCCCUACAAGCCGGCACUCCGGAGAUGGCCAUCGCGAUACAUAUUCGCCGUGCGGGAUUGGGCGCCGAAGUGGAUUGCCGUGGGCCAGGCACACUCCUAGGGUGGGGGUGUUGACUACCACGGGGCCAUUAGGCUCGGCACCGGCCAGACAGCCUACGGGUGGGUCUCAGGGCCAUAGACAGCCUUCGGGUGGGUCUUUUCAGAUUUAACUUGAGUAUUCAUCAUGACAUGGGGACUGAUGAUUACUUAGAGUAUAUUUGGACAUUGACAUAGAAUAGUAAACAACGGGAACUUUACUAUUUGCAUUGUAACAUCUGUAUGUUUUAGUUGGAGACAUCUUACUUCAUCAUAGUUGCUUCAUACUUUCUAUUUAGCUAAGUAGAGAUAUCAUGUUUAGUAAGUUACAUUUUUUACAUUCCCUUUCACAUUUUCUAACUUAUAUCACUGAGCAUCUAUUGUAGCCUUGGCUUGUGUGCAUUCACUGAGUCUAGAAUUGCCCACUGGAAUUCAUAUUCUAAUAGUUACUCAUGCCCGACUGUUUUAUUGUUCCUUUCAGAGGCCUUCGUAGAUAAUACCGGCCGGAGGCGCGGGAUCGGCGGCAAGUGGUGUGCGUACUAGUAGCCAGGAAGGUUUAUUUUGCGCUAGGUGGUUGCUUCUUCUCCCUUUAUAUUUUGAAGAAGGUGUGAGGCUUUUGUAUGCCAUGUAUAGAGAGGCCACCUGUUACCCACUUAUAGCAGACUCUGUAUUUGGGAUCCCUAUUUACUUACUUUAUGUCUCUAUUUAGUGGAUUUUUCAGUUUUAUCCUUAUUUCUUGAUGUAGCAUUUAGACAUUUUAUUAUGCUCUGAUACUCCCUAGAUGCCUUUUAUUAUUGCCUUUUAUUAUGUUGUUUGUGUUAGACGCCUUAUAUGUUGUAGACAUAUGGCGGUCUGGACACUGCCCGGGCGGAGCCUCCGCUGGCUCCCGGAGCGUGAACAAAUGACGAGGCGGUGUGAUUAUAUCACGAUCACAAUGAUGCCUUAAAUACUGUCACCUUCAAAGGAGUAUAAACUAGGUAGUGCAGAUGAAUUUGGAGCUACUUCAAGAAUUAUUGAUCUGACGAUCCUAUAUCACCCGGCAAGGUAACGUGGUGGCGGAUCGCGGAAGUAGGAAAUCAACAGAGACUAGCCGAUGCCAUGUUGUUACUCAACCGCAGUUGAUCGAAGCAGAUGAAGCGGUUGAGUUGAUGUGUGACUCUGACACGCCCCUGAAGUGGUUGAUGACUUGGUGUUGCAACCUACAACUUUUGGAUCGAAUUAAAGAAAGCAAGCUUCCGAUGUGGAGUUGCAAAGGAAUCAAAGGAUAAAAUCUGGUUGAGGUUUGCAUACAGGCAAUUUCCUUGUGGAUGACCAAGAUUUGAUGCGUUUCGUAGACGCAUUGUGGUUAGCGGCGGUAUUCGACAAAUUAAAAGGAUAAUUCCUUCCAAGAAGCGCACCGAGCGCCCUAUGCUAUACAUCCGGGAGGCACCAAGAUGUACAAGGAUUUAAAAUUGCUCUAUUGGUGGCCCGGGAUGAAAAAGGACGUUGGCGAGUUUGUAACUCGUUGUCUAACUUGCCAACAAGUAAAAGCUGAGCAUCGAUUACCCGCAGGAAAACUUUAGAGUUUGUCUAUUCCCGUAUGGAAGUGGGAGAAAAUCACCAAGGAUUUUGUGACUGGAUUGCCUCACUCUCAGGCUGAGCAUGAUGCUAUAUGAGUGAUUGUGGAUAGGUUGACGAAGUCGGCGCAUUUCAUACCUAUUCAUACUACUUGGACAGGAGAGAAGCUCGCACAAGUGUACCUUGAUGAGAUUGUACGACUUCAUGGAGUACCUACAUCGAUCGUAUUGGAUCGAGACACUCGAUUUGUGUCUCAUUUUUGGAGGAGUCUACAGGACGCCCUAGACACCCGAUUGGACUUCAGCACUGCUUUCCACCCUCAAAGUGAUGGGCAGUCGUAGCUCACCAUCCAGACUUUUGAGGAUAUGCUCCGAGCAUGUGUGAUAGACUUCCAGGAAGGAUGGUCGCAGCAUCUACUGAUGGCGGAGUUUGCUUAUAACAAUAGUUAUCAAGCAAGCAUCAAGAUGGCGCCCUUCGAAGCACUUUAUGGACGGAAGUGUAGAUCGCCACUUUAUUGGAGUGAAGUCGGCGAGAGAUUGGCAUUAGGCCCUUAUGUGCUCUAGGAAGCUGAGGACAAGGUUUGAACAGCUCGGGAGCGACUUUUGACGGCACAAAGUAGACAGAGGAGCUACGUCGAUCGACGACGGUGAGACUUGGAGUUCCAAGUUGGAGACCAUAUUUUCUUGAAGGUCUCGCCGACUAGAGGGAUCAAGAGAUUUGGGAUUCGGGGUAAGUUGAGCCCCCGUUUCAUUGGACUGUAUGAGAUUUUGGAGCGUGUAGGUCCGGUAGCGUAUCGACUUGCUCUACCACCGAACCUAUCGGGCGUGCACAACGUCUUUCAUGUAUCGGUCAUUCGAAAGUACAUUUUCAACCCGACUCAUGUGUUGGAUGCUACACCUGUGGAGUUGCGAGACGACUUGAGCUUCGAGGAGCAACCAGUGAGGAUUUUGGCUCGCGAGGUGCGGAAAUUGCAGAAUCGGGAUAUUCUGUACGUGAAGGUUCUUUAGAGCAACCACGGGGAGCGGGAGUCCACGUGGGAGCUAGAGAGCACGCUGCGGGAGCGCUAUCCCCAUCUUUUUCAGAUGGAGCUUUGAGGUAUGUGUUUGCUUUUGAGUUUCGCGGACGAAACUUCUUUUAGGAGGGGUGAAUGUAACACACUGGACCUGUGCAAAUUGCGAGGUUUGAGUGUUUGAUAUGGAUUCCAAACUUUUUCACACUUGGUGGAAGGUCGUAGAUGGUAUUCCGACCUAAAAGUUCGAUUUCUGGAAUUUUGGCUAAGUCCUAAGAGUUUUCACUCUCGGGGACUGGUCCCUGGUAGGAGAGACCGGUCCGUCCGGAACAUUAUUGCGGCAGGACUUAAGGCAACCGAUCCCCUGGCCUGAGAGACCGGUUCCCGAACGUUUGUUUUGCGGGGCAGGCUAAGAGACCGGUCCCAGGUGUCGGGGAGACCGGUCCCUCAGUACGAAAACUGCCCAUAUCGAGCAGUGCACAGAUUGCACAGUUGAGGGACCUUAGUAGAUUUUGUUACCAUAGGAGGCUUAUAUGGUCUUUUCUCUUCCUCUCACUCUCAUUUCUCCCCUUCACACUUACUCUAAAAAGAGAAAGAGAAGGAGAAGAAGAGGAAGAAGAAGGAGAAGGAGAGGAGCUUACUUGGAGGCUUUGGAGCAUCAUCCCCUUCCUCUCAUCUCAACAUUGGUGGCUUGGAGCUCGUGGUUGAAGCUUCGUAGAGGAUCAAACUUCAACCCUACUUGGUUUAGAGCUUGGGUUGGAGCUUCUCUUGAGGUUGGUAGCUUGUAUUCUCCAUUUAAUACAAGUUUUCUAGAUUUUACUAGAUGAAACCCUAGAUUGUGGAAUUAGGAUUUAUUUUUGGGGGUUUUGGACUUGUGGCUUUUAGAGCUCUAUUGAUGGGAUUAGAACCUUAGAUUAGGUUGCUUUGGAAAGGAUUUGGCGCCGAUUUGAGCUUUGUUUGAGGAUUUCUUCACCUAUGGUGCUAGGAGAGGGCCGUACCGGUACCAGACUGGCCACCCGAGAAGCCAGCCCUCGGGUUUGGCCUCUGUCAAGCUGUUUAACCGUUGACUAAAUCAGGUAGUACCGGUACCAAGUAGCAAACCGAGAAACAGUAGCUCUCGGGUUUGAGCAGAUUACCAGGGGCGUACCGGUGAUGCAAUCUCGCGUACCGGUAUGCAGUGCUGCGAAUAGCAGGCGGGUCUGCUGCAAAUAAAAAGAGUUGGAGGGCUUAAAUGCUAUUGUAGCAGCUUAUAAAAAUACCCCAUCUUCUCCUCUCUCAUUCACAGCCAAAAACACACCCUCCUCUCUCAUUGUUCUCCCUCUCUCUCUAGGAACUCUCUUAGAGGUGGAUCAAGAGGAGAUUUGAAGAUAAAUUUGAAGGAGAUUUGGAGCUUUGGAAGAUCUAGAGCUCUCCUACAAGGUGAAGCUUGUGGAGUUCAUAGGCUAAGGUGAGGUUUCUUGUAAGAUUGAUGUUAGGGUUUGGUUUUAUACCCUAGAACACUUGGAUUUGAUCUUCUUACAUAAAAGGAAACCUAGUAGAGACCAUGGAACUCAUGAAAAUCUAUGUUUGUCCAUGAGCUCUCAUGGUAGAUUUCUAGGGUUUGCUUUAAAUGCCCUAAGAAUGGUUCAAAUGAUCUAGAAAUAGUUUGAGGAAUUUCUAGAUGAUAAUAAGCUUACUUUUGCUUAUCUUAGAGAUCAAUAUGGUGCAUUGGGUUAUAUGGCAUUGUUAGGGCACCAAAAUUGGAGCUUUUGCGCAAGGUUUGUUUAAAGAUAAAUUGACCUUAAAGAAACCAAAUUGGAGAUAUUUUCAACUCGUUGGUGGACUCGGUUCGCCGAUCCGACAAGCCUACGAAAAGAUAUUGAGAAAAAACCUAAUUUGGCUUUGUUUUGCCGCAGGUGAGAGAAUAGGCGCCCAAAAAUUCCGAAACUUGAACCGUUGCACCUUUACAACCAUACGAGGUGGGUGGUGCUUUCCGAAAUUCUCGAAUUUCCUUCUAUGUCUAAAGUGUCAUUUUUGAGCAUAUGUAUGUAUAGUAUCUUCAUGCAUUGUAGGGUUGAUUUGUAAUAUAUUAUUUGCAUACUUGUAUUAUAAAGAUGCAAUUGAGAUGUUGAAUGAAAAUGUAAACCCUAUGCGUGCAUGAACGAUAACAAGAACCUAGAUGUGACAAGAAUCUAGUGACAUUAGAGACAUAAUGACAUUAUGACAUGAAUGGUUGUGUGGCAUUAAUGAGUGUUGAAUGCUAAAGACAAACACAUAGUGUGUGUGGCAUUAACGAGUCAAGAAUGCAUGAGAACAAGUAUAAAGAACAUUUAGUGUGUGGCACUAAUGAAUGAGUAUAAAGAAUGCAAGACAAUGGCAUAUGUGACAUAGCAUCCUCAAAGUUGAGGCAUCCUUAUAGUUAAGGAAUAGAUUGAACUUGACAUCCUUAAAGUUAAAGAUUUGAUCAUACUCACCUAUAAGUCUUGGCUUGAGGGUGGUAGCUCCUCCUCGAGCGAUAAGCUCUGGAGUAGUCAUCACUGGGUUGUAGCGAGUAUCUCCCCAUAGGACGGUCCCGUCAGGUUGUAGCGAGUAUCUCCCCGAUAUUAGAGAUUUGAGUUGGUGAGUCUAUUGAGGGCUAAACCUACGAGUUAGCCAAGAGAUUGAGCUAUGGAAUGGUGAUCUUGCAUGCAUCAUGAGCAUUCUAUUUGAGUAUAUCAUUGAUUAUAUCUUGUUCAGGCAUAUUAGCUACAUUUGUAUAGUUUGGUUACUAUCUAUCUGUUCAUUCUUCUAUUAUGCCUGAUCUAGACCUAGUGGGAAAGUCGGCGAGGUCGGCGGCCGAACCCACUGGAAACUUUGUUGUAGUUCUCACCCCACUAUUUUCCACAGAGCCGGGACCGAGUGAGCCGGCCCACAAUUGUGGUAAAGGUAUCGCGCCAUAAACAAAGACCACCCGAGUUGGUUUUCAUAUUUUGUAUAGUUGUAUACCCCUUUAUAUCAUCUUUGGUACUUUGAUGAUUAUGGAUGUAUGAAUGAUGCAAAUGUAUUAAUGAAAGAAUGUAAAGAGUUCUAUUUUGGAGUUCACGUGAUGUAAAAGAAAUGAUGAAAAGAAUGUGAAUGUUGAAUGCAUUUAUGUGAUUAAAAGUUGAUCAUAUUACUUGUAUAUUGUUUAGUUUAGUACUUUCACUUUUGGCUAUUGCUCGCCCUCGUGCAAGCCAUAUAUAUCGUUGUUCCACUGCAGAAUUUAUAUAUACAUGAUUUAUACUUGUGUUGAGCCUUAGGCGGACAGGAGAGGUGCUGUCCGUUCGGCGUCUGUUCGACGUGCCCGAACCGACCAAAUAAGUCGGACUCAGGGCGUGACAGAUAUAAUGGUAUCAGAGACUAAAAGUGAAAGUAUAGGAUGGAUCUAGAGACCCUUAGGAAUGAAAAAUCUUAAGGAUCUAGGAAACGUGAGUGACGUAGAAUCAAAGUAUAGCGAAAGCUUCAUGAUUGGGUUGAUGUUAGUAAGUCUCUAAUAUUGUUAGGGGCUAAUCCAAGUUGAUAUUUGUUCUCUAUUUCACGUGUUGUGUUAGGCGGCCGACAACAUAAGUCUUUGGAAUGAGAAUGAAUACACUUGUUUGCUUUCGCCGGAUUGGGUUUGUUUGAGUAUGUUGGUCGUGUAGCUAACAUGAAUUGCUACAUUUCAAGAAGCGAUGCCUCGUGGUAGACCCUGAACAAGGUCGAGGCUUGAGGAGCCGAAUGCGGCCCCCGAGCAAUCCGGAGCAAGUGACGACGGGGAGCUUUGGGAGUAAGUGUCCGCAUUUAUUGGAGUAAUGCGACAACAAGCGGAGUCUAUGCAACGCCAAGGGGAGCAAAUUCAAAGGCUUCAAGAGGCCUUAAAGCGACAGCAGGCGGUGGCCCAAGUAGGGGCCGAGCACCCUGAGCCCCCUAUAGUGGUGCCGACUAUGGUAGAGGGAGUGGCGGCGGCGGCUGUGCCAGUCACAGCGAUGCCGGCUGGUUCGGGAACCUCAAAUCCCGAUAGUGCGGUUAUGGAGGCGGAGCAGGAGCGUGCACUUGCAGCUCUCGUUAUGUUCAAGAAAUUCAGCCCGCCUACAUUCGACGAGAAGAAAGUAGAGUCGGCGAUGGUGGAGUUGUGGAUUGACGGGAUGGAGACGCUCUUCGAGGAUAUUUAUACCUUGGAGAAGGACAAGGUGCACCUCGCCACUCAUUGUUUUGAGAAGGCGGCGAAGGUGUAGUGGAAAUGGGUGAAGCGUGAUCGAUCUUCCGACCUCCCGCCUAUGCUUUGGGAGGAGUUUCGGAGGUUGAUGUUCCAGAAUUAUUUCCCCGACACGGUGUUAUGUAUUUUGAGUUGGCAAGUUUCGUGAAUUGAGUCGAAGUCUUGAAGAGUUCGGUGCAUAUUGUCGAAGAUCAAAGAAUCCAAGGCUUCGAGAACUCAGAAAUAUCUCAUGAUAUGAAUCACGAUGCUCAGAUAAGUUUUUGAUUUAUGAUAUGGUGAUUCAUACUUAGUUAUAGAUGUUAGAAUCAUGAAAAUCAAAGAUUAGUGGAUCAGAAAGUGCUUUGGAACUUUUGAAACCCGAGGUUGUGAAAUUCUGAAAACUGCAUGUCACGCCCCGAGACCGAUGCCAAUUUGGCCCGACCCGAGCACGUCAAACAGACUCCGAACGGACAGAGUUUCCCCUAUCCGCCCAAGGCUCAUCACAUGUACAAUUUCAAUAAGAAGUGCACUAGCGGAAACAUACACAAACGGCUUACACGAGGGUAAGCAAUAGCCAUCAGUGAAUUUCUGAAGAUUUGACUUAAUCUUCGAACUCUAGUCAGUAACCGUGUGAAACCUUCACACCCUUAUCUAUGUUCACCUUUGCUUCACUAUUUUCUUAAGGUUAACGGUUCCAUUGAGCUUACGACUUAAAACAUCAACUAAACCAGCUUUACUUGGUAUACUACAGUUUUACUUUUCCUUAACGAAGGUUUAAUUUAACUAUCGAACCCUUCCAGGGAACCACAUAAAACCUUCACAAACCCACUUUAGCCUCGCUUUUGCCUUUUAAAUCUUAAAAGACAUUCCUUGCCCUGACUCUUUUAAUCGUCUUUUACGUGUCACAGUCUUUUAAUACUUUUAACCGUCUCUACAGUCCUUGUAAUAAUACUCCGAUCUAAACUUCAAAGUCUAAAAAGACUGUGGACAUCUCUCUCUUUAUCGUAGACCUUCAAUAGCCUAUUUCUAAUGUCAAGCCCUGUCAAGCGUCACUGGUUUGCCCCAGCUUUGACUUUACAAUUUUAAAGUCACCUGAACAAUUCAUUUUUGCUUGUAAGGACGGUUUAAACUCGAGUUAGCCUGACAGCCUUCCCGAAUGCCUUCCAUAAACUAGGCUCAACGCGUUGCCUGAAAUCAGCUCCCCGUAAUACCAUUAAAGGCGUACGAAUCACCUAAAGGUGAUUCAAGGGACGGUCCCUUGAAGCUAGGAAUAAGGGGGGAGAAGUACGACGUAUGCAUCUCUCUCUCUUUCUCGUCUCUUCUCUUUUCUUUUCUUCCCUUUUCUCUUCUUCUUCUUCUUCUUUUUUCUCUUCUUCUUCUUCUUCUUUUCUCCAUUCUAAAAUUGGAGAGGGAGAACGGAGAGAGAGGGACGUAGAACAGAGGGAGAGGGACGACGGGUCGUAGUCAUCGUCGUCGUUUGACGACGACCUCGUCGUCGGUCGUCGUGGUCGUCGACGACCUCAUCGAGUGUCGUCGUCGUCGUCGUUUGUCGUAGUCGUCGUCGACGUCGUUAGUCGUCGUCGUCGUCGUCGGAAUCGUCGUCGUCGUCGGAGUCGUCGACGUCGGUCGUAGUCGUCGACGUCGUCGUCACGUUCGUCGUUCGUCGUCGUCGUCAACGUGGUCGUCGUCGUCGUCGACGUAACCGACGUCGUCGUCGUCACCGUGGUCGUAGUCGUCGUCGAGUCGUCCUCGACGUCGUCGUCGUCGUCGUCGUCGAACCUCGUCGACGACAGUCGUCGUCGUCGACGACGGGACGUCCCCGUCGUUCGUUCCUUUCUUUUCUUUUCUUUCUUUCCUUCUUUUCUUUCUUUCUUUCUUUUCUUUCUUUUCUUUCCUUUCUUUUCUUUUCUUUUCUUUUCUUGUUUCCUCUCUGCUUUAGUAUGCGCAUUGAGAGGGGGAAGUAAGGAUCGAUAGUUCCCUGGCAGGAACUUAGUGGGAAUCACAGCUGCGAAAUACAUAAUGCCCUGGACUAAGUUUCGUUUGCGCAACUCGGAUCAAUACUCGUAAGCCUUACGGACAGUCGAUUGGCUCAAUUUCGCAGGAUAUGUUCUUUUUAUUAACAGUACUGAUUGUUAAUUUCAGUUUUCGACCCGUUUUGGUCGCAAUGUCUCGAAUGUAAUUUUAUCGGAUUACUUCAGAUGCUAUUUUCUUAUUUAGUGUUAGAAAAUCUAACUUCAAAUCUAGCCUGAUAAUAAUGUUCCUGAAUUUGCAUUUUCAUAAUUUUCUGACACUGUGCAUUUUCUCUAUUUUUCUCAGUCCGUUUUUCAGAGAUUCAAUUUUCGUUUUCGCUCCCGAUUCACACACUUCAAAAUACACAAGGCACUCUCUCACAUAUCAAUUUAAUUUGAGAAUUCCUUGCAUUUGAAUUAUGCGUUCAUUGUCGACCAUAAUCAAUACAAAAUCCAGAUUCGAGUUACUUUGGCAUUGGCAUUUUUUAUCAAUUGUUUUCCCUUGUAUGCUUCACAUUCAAAGUGUUGCCAAUGAUGUAUAGCUUUAUAGGAUUCGGUUUAUGAAGUCGUUUAGUUAUGUUUAGGCUAUUGUGCCCACUUUGAUCCAAUUAUGUAAUUGUUUGAGUUCUGAUUCGAGUCUUAGGUCUACUCAAACGGUAAUGAUACUCGGGAGCCAGUAGCCCGAGGGAGGCCGACGCCUGGGGAGACCGGACUUAAAUAGUGCAAGUAUGAUCUUUACUUAUAAAGGUUUGUUCAAUCUUGAUAUACACUAGUUAGUGUUUUUUAUAUUAUGUUGCACUCAUGCAUACAUUCUUACAUUUUCAUUUCUUUGCUAUUAGCAAUCAUUUCUUUGCCAUUAUUUCUUUUAUUUACCUUGUCAUGUUAUGCUGUGUAAUCAUUUAGUUCUUACAUUACAUAAUUGUGUUUCCACAUUAAGCUUUAUCGAAUGCCACUCGAUCUAUGUCAUUGUGUCACUCUGUUCUUUUGCUCACUUUGGGUGCUCACAUUAACUCUCAUGCAUACAUCUAGGGUUUUUACAUUAUUAGGUUCUCAACCAUCUCAUUAUGCAAGUUGUGCUCACAAUCAUGCAAUCAUCACAUUUCAUCAUUACUUUACCCUAAAAUGCAUGCAACAAUAUAUAGAACAUAUGCUCAGAGAAUGACACAUUAGGCAUAGAGAGAAUUUCAAUGAGUUUGAAAAGCACCACCCACCUUGUAGGUCUCUUUAGGUGCUCCGAUGAUUUUCUUAGGAUUUUUAGAUGCCUCGUUCUUUACCUGCGGCAAAACGAACCCUUAUUAGGCCAUUUUGCCCAUAACUUUUCAUACACUUUUCGAAAUGCUAUUCCGAGCGCACCAACGCGUCGGAAAUACCCCCAAUUAGGUUUUUAGAGGGUCAAUUGCACUUAGAAACCUUCAUGAGCAAAAGCCCCAAUUUGGGUGCCCUAGCUCCAAUACACAUAUCAAACCUAGGGUUUGAUCUCAUUGGGAAGCAAAAGUAGCUUCACUACACUCUAAUUAGUCCACUAGAACCAUUCUUAGGCUUUCCAAAACUCUAGUUUGGAUUUCACCAUUAGAGGUGGGUUGAAGCUCACCUUGGGCUCAACCAUGGAUUUGAUCUCUAAAGAAGCAAAAAGAAAGCUUCAAAUACUCUAAAAGCUCCAUAAAAACCAAUUCUAGGUUUACCCAAACCCUAGUUUGGGAGUAAUCAUGAAAAGGGGAAAAGCCUACCUCAAAGCUUGCCCUAACUUGCACUAGAGAGGAAGAAGAUGAAGCUCCUUUAGCUCCUUAAUCUUCUUCUUCACUUUCUUCUCCUUCUUCUCUUCCUUUCUUCUUCUUCUCCUUCUUUGUCUUCUAGAGAGAGAAAGAGAGGAGAGAGUGUGAGAGGGAGUGGAAUGAGAGGAAAAACCCCUCAGCCCCCUAACAUAGCUCAAUGGGUUGCAAAAAUGCUAAUAAACCCCUCAACUUCCACUUUAUUACACUGCCCGAGCUGGGCAGUUUUCGCAGGCAGAGACCGGUCUCCCCGAGCAGGGACCGGUUCCCGAACGUCCACCCUGCGCAGCCAGAGCCGCUGCGCGCAGAGCAACCGGUCUCUCCUUAUGGGACCGGUCUCUGGGGGACCGGUCUCUCAGGCAGAGACCGGUUCCCGAGAGCUAUCCUUCUAGGACUUAGCCGAUUUUUCGGCAGUCCCAUUUCAUACGCGUUCGGGGACCGAUCUCUCCCACCAGGGACCGGUCCCCGAGAGCUGAAAAUCUGCAGUUUUACAGAAUUUGAUUCUUUAGCUCUCGAAAACCUUCCACAACUCACUUUUGAUCAUUUUAACACCUUCGGACUUUCCGAAGUGCACCAUCUUCGCACUUUGGUCAAUUUGACUAAAGUUCGAUAUUUAUUUUUCGAAUUUUCGGUAUAUUACACUGCAGCUGUUAACCGAUAAUGCAUUGGACUAUUAACCAGUUAUGCAGUAUAUGGAAUUUUCUGUGUCAUCUUUUGGUACCGGUACCAACAUGAUGCAGUACCGGUACGUAGUGUAAAACCCGAAAACUUUCUAAUCCGACUCUAAUUGAUUCUAAGGUCUAUAAAUAAGCUUUAAGGGUUCUCUAACUUAUUGAAGAUCAUGAGAAUACAUGUUUGAGAAAUCCUAGAGGCUAGGAUUUCGUUCUAAACCUAUUUUCUACAAAUUAGCCUCUUUUAGGUCAAUUCGAGGUAUUGAAAAUUGAUAUCUAUAUGUCGAAUUGAUCUACUCUUCGCUUAGAGAUUCUUCUCUGGUUUUUAUCGAUACUCUAAGCGAAGGAUCACCAUAAUCAUGAUGUUCUUCAUGAACGGCGUCGUGGAUUCGAUGUGAUCGAAGGCGGUUCGAGGAUUCGGAUCGUGUGCUCGUAGAUUCGAGUGGCGUUCGUGGAUUCAGACGUGUGCGAGGCGUUCGUGGAUUCGAACGUGAGGGCGUGGACAACCCGGAGAAUUGUGCGAGAUUCAUAGGAGGUUAAGAGAGGUCGAGUCCGUGGAGUCAGUAAUCACCUUGUAAUCUUUUCUCUUAGUGAAUUAUUUUUUUGCGUGUUGGUCCCGUAGAUUUUUUACUCCAAGUUGGAGUUUUUCCACGUAAAUCUCGGUGUGGUUUUUAUUUUUCGCAUUUAUAUUUUAUCGCAUUGAGAUUUCUGAUUUUUGGCCGUUACACCUAUUCACCUCCUCUAGGUGUUUGAUGCAAUCUAGAUAGAUCAUAGGGCUCCUCGUAACUUACACACGGUGAAGCAAAAGCUACAAGAUAAAUUCCGCAAGGUAGGGCAGAGUGAUCGAUCGGUGGGGGAAUAUGAGCAAGAGUUCUCUCACAUUAUCGAUUGCAUCGCGGAUGUGGUUAGGGAUGAUCAGGAUCGGGCCAAUUGGUUCUUGCAAGGACUUCGGCCGGAGAUUUAUAAGGCCGUGCAGUUGUUCAAGCUCACGACCUUUGCGGAGGUCUUCGAUCGAGCGUUGUGGGCGGAGCACGGCAAUGCCUACGCGCGAGAAGAGAGCGGGUCUAUGGACAAGGAAUGAGAUAAGGGCAAGAAGCGGACUGCGGGUUGUGCUGAGGGUCAAUCGAAUGCAAAGAAGCCCCCUCGGUAUCUCCGGCAGCAGUCGAGGAGUUGGAGGCCUGCUCGUUGUGCUAUUUGUGGUGGUGAUCAUCGACCGCCGGCAUGCCCGCAGCGCGAUGGAAAGUGUUACAAGUGCGGCCAAGCGGGGCAUAUUGCUCGGGAUUGCCCGAGUUGGACGUCGUCUGCACCGACGGCGACAUCAGUUCCUUCUACCCUGAGAUAGCUUGCGGGGUUGCCUCCUACUAUGUCGGCGGGACGCGCAUCAGCAUCGCAUCAGCCGGAGGGAUCUCGAGCACCUAGUGGGCGGAUUUUUGCCACUCAGGUAGAGGAGCCUACUGUACCAGAUGAUAUCGUGGCAGGUAUUAUUUUAAUUAAAGACACUAGAGUUAGAGCUUUAUUUUACACGAGUGCAUUUCAUUCAUUCAUUGGUGCAUCAUUCGCUAAGACUCAUAGCAUUGAAGUGUUGUAUAGCCUGAAUUAUUGGUGGGUUGAGGCACCAGAGCAUUCUUUUAGUGUUCACGAGGAGUGCGUGGCUUGUCCAGUACAGAUGGGUGAUUGGAUCAUGCCGGCAGAUUUGCUAGUGCUAAACCAAAUGUGGGGUUUCGAUGUAAUCUUGGGGAUCGAUUGGCUCUCCAAGUACUACGCAGUUAUUGAUUGUGAGAGCAAGGUGAUCACUUUUCAUGAGCCUAAUCAAGAGAAGUUAGUGUAUCGGGCAUGUAAAAGCUCGCGCUUCGCGGAGACCGUAUCGGCGGCGAGGGCGAGGUAAAUGAUUAAAGCUGGAUGUGUAGCCUAUUUAGCGACAAUAGUAGAGACUCAAAGGGAGCACCCGGAACUUGGGAGUAUCCGAGUAGCAUGCGAGUUUUCGGAUGUAUUUCCGGCGGAGUUACCGGGAUUGCCACCAGACCGGGAGAUUGAGUUCGUCAUUUACUUGGUUACCGGGGCGGCGCUAAUUUCGAAGGCUCCGUAUAGAAUGGCACCGUUGGAGCUAGUAGAGUUGAAAGCUCAGUUGCAAGACUUGCUCGAUAAAGGCUUUAUAAGGCCGAGCGUGUCACCGUGGGGAGCUCCGAUGCUAUUUGUGAAGAAAAAUGAUGGCACACUUCGACUCUGUGUGGAUUAUCGCGAGUUGAACAAAAUGACAAUCAAGAACAAGUACUCGUUGCCGAGAAUCGAUGAUCUAUUCGACCAGUUGCAAGGGUCGCGGGUAUAUUCGAAGAUUGAUCUUCAGUCGGGGUAUCAACAGUUGAAGAUCAUGCCGAAAGAUGUGCACAAAACGGCGUAUCGUACGCGGUAUGGCCACUACGAGUUCACGGUAAUAUCGUUUGGCUUACUAAUGCCCCGGCAGCAUUUAUGGACUUGAUGAAUCGAGUCUUUCGACCGUUGUUAGACCGGUGCGUUGUGGUAUUCAUUGACAACGUAUUGGUUUAUUCACGGAGCGAGGAGGAACACGAGAAACAUUUGAGAACCGUGUUGCAAAUACUCCGAAAAGAGAAGCUCUAUGCCAAGUUGAAGAAAUGUGACUUGACUUUCAGAGGUCACUUUCUUAGGCCAUGUGAUAUCCGGGAGCGGAGUCUCGGUGGAUCCAAAGAAAGUCGAGGCGGUUAAAGAUUGGCCUCGCCCGACAAGUAUAGCGGAAGUCCGUAGUUUUCUUGGACUUGCGGGAUACUACCAGCGGUUCGUGGAGGGGUUUGCCAAAAUAACUACUCCACUAACGCACUUUACGCACAAAGGAGUGAAGUACGUGUGGACCGACGAUUGCGAUCGGAGCUUCGAGGAAUUAAAGGAAAGGUUGACAUCGACCCCGAUGCUUGCUCUGCCGACGCCUGGGGAGAGCUUUGUAGUGUACAAUGAUGCCUCGUAUAUUGGUCUCGGGUGUGUUUUGAUGCAAAAUGGACGAGUGAUUGCCUAUGCUUCUCGUCAAUUGAAGAGUUAUGAAAAGAACUACCCGAUUCACGACCUUGAGCAAGCUGCAGUGAUAUUCGCGCUAAAAUUGUGAAGACAUUACUUAUACCGUGAGCAUUGUGAGAUUUACACGGAUCAUAAGAGUCUCAAAUACUUGUUCACACAAAAAGAAUUGAAUAUGCGACAACGGCGGUGGUUAGAGUUGCUAAAAGAUUAUGAUGUUACUAUUCUAUACCGCCAGGGAAAAGCUAAUGUCGUAGCCGAUACACUAAGUAGGAAAUCGGUGAAAAAUUUGGCUUCGGCAAUUACACCCCAACCGUUGUUGCAAAAAGAGAUGCAACGGUUUGGACUUGAAGUAGUAGCUCUAGGAGUGCCAGCCACUCUUGCCGCAUUGGUAGUGCAACCGACCUUGCUGGAGAAGAUUAAAGAGUUACAAGCUUCCGAUCCAUAUCUCCAAAAGGUGCGUAGGGAAGUUGAGAGCGGUAGUGCCAAUGAUUUUGGCAUUGGGACCGAUGGCGCACUACGAUUUCGAUAUCAUUGGUGUGUGCCUAAAAAUGAGAACAUUCUAAAGGCGAUCAUGCAAGAAGCGCAUCAAUCUCCCUAUAGCAUACACCCGGGUGGCACUAAGAUGUACCAAGACUUGAAAGUACAUUAUUGGUGGCCGGGCAUGAAGAAAGAUAUUGGGGAGUUCAUGGCGCAAUGUCUUACGUGCCAACAAGUAAAAGAGGAGUGCCAGUUUUCGGCGGGAAAGCUUCAAAGUUUAUCUAUACCCAUUUGGAAAUAUAAAGAUACCGCCAUGGAUUUUGUGACCGGCUUGCCUCGAUCUCAAGCCGGACAUGAUGCAAUUUGGGUAAUAGUGGACCGGUUGACGAAGUCGGCUCAUUUCUUGCUGAUUCAUACCAUGUGGUCCGGAGACAAAUUGGCUCAAGUAUAUCUCGACACGAUUGUGAGACUACAUGGGGUUCCGGUGUCUAUAGUGUAGGCUCGAGACCCUAGGUUCACAUCACAUUUUUGGAAGAGCCUACAAGACGCUUUGGGCACACGGCUCGACUUUAGCACGGCAUUUCAUCCUCAAAGUGAUGGUCAAUCGGAGAGUGUUACGUCCUAUGUGUUGGCAAAUUUCGUGGGUCGAGUUGGAGUCUUGAAGAAGUCCGGAGCGGAGUAUUGAAGAUCGAAGAAUCGAAGACUUCGAAGAAUCGGAAAGGACGCAAAACACGCAAAACAUGAAUCACGAUGCUUAGGUAAGCUUUAAAUCUUGUUUAUGGUGAUUCAUACUUAAUUAUAGAUUUUAGAAUCAUGUUUUCAAGUUGUAAUUGAUUAGAAAGUUUCUAAGAGCUUGUAAAACUCGAAACAAUGCAUUUUCAGCGAAAAUUGCAUUGUUGUACCGGUACAAGGAUUUUUUGUUCCGGUACAAACAUCAGCUUUUGCUGCAGAAAAGUUUGAUGGUUGUUCCGAUACAACCAUCAUUGCUGUACCGGUACAAGCCCUGUUCCGGUACAAGCUGCAGCCUAUCCAGGGUACAGAAGCUUCGCAGAAAAAUCUUCCGUCAUGGUGUAUCCUGGACAGCUUUCCUUGUUCCGAUACAAGGUGCUGAUUUUGGAAAGAAACUUUUUAAUCCUACUCUGUUUUGAUUCUAAAGUCUAUAAAUAAGCUAUUGGGGUUCUCUAACUUAUUAAGCAUCAUAAGAAUACAUGUUUGAGAAACCCUAGAGGCUCGGAUUUCAUACUAAACCUAUUUUCUACAAAUUAACCUCUUUAGAUCAAAUCGAGAUAUCGUUUCGCAUUCUUUAUAUGUCGAUUUGAUCUCCGCUUCGCUUGGAGUUCUAUUCCCUGGUUUUCUACGAUACUCCUAAGCGAAGGAUCACCAUAAUCAUAAUGCUCUUCAUGAAUGGCGUCAUGGAUUCGGCGUGAACAAAGGCGGUUCGUGGAUUCGGAUCGUUGGCUCGUGGAUUCGAGUGGCUCGUGGAUUCGAGUAAAGCGGUUUGGAGUCCGUAGGAAGUUAAGUCCCCGGUAUGUCGGACCGUUUGAGAUAUUAGAGCUGGUUGGUGCGGUGGAAUACAAGCUUGCAUUACCACCGAAGCUUGCGGGAGUUCACAAUGUAUUUCAUGUAUCAAAUCUCCGCAAGUAUAUCCGCAAUUCGACACAUGUGCUAGAGUAUUAACCGGUGGAAUUGAGCGAGGACAUGACCUAUGAGGAGUACACGGUGUGUAUCCUCGAUAGAGAAGAAAGGAAGUUGCGGAGUCGCACAAUUCCCUACGUUAAAGUCCAGUAGAGUAAUCAUGUGGUGCGUGAAGCCACUUGGGAGCUUGAGGAAAUAAUGCGAAAGAUGUACCCUCACCUAUUCGAGUCGACGAGUUAAGGUAUGUGUUUAGUUUGGCGGACGAAACUAAUUUUAAGGGGUGGAGAAUGUAAUAUACUGAAACCUCAGUAGGUUAUAUCGAACUUUAGUCAAAUUGACCAAAGUGUGCAAGAGAAAUAGUUGAACAAAUUCUAUUUGACAUUCCAAAAAUUUUGGAAGGGUUAGAGUUGAGUUUCAAGUGAGUUAGAAGGGUUUUAGCAUUGCUCGGCGCGAAAUAGAGUCAAGUACUGCCAAACUCAAGUCUGGAGCAUUGUUAACCGAUGAAGCAUCAAGGCCGUACCGGUACCAGACUGGCCACCCGAGAAGCCAGCUCUCAGGUUUGGCCUCUCGGGUUUGAGCGGAUUACCAGGGGCGUAACGGUGAAGCAAUCCCGCAUUUAACCGGUGAUUAAAUCGGGUAGUACCGGUACCAGACUGGCCACCCGAGCAUUGUUAACCGUUCAAGCUAUUUAACCGGUGACUAAAUCAGGUAGUACCGGUACCAGGUAGCAAACCGAGAAAUAGCAGCUCUCGGGUUUGAGCAGAUUACCAGGGGCGUACCGGUGAUGCAAUCCCGCGUACCGAUACGCAGUGCUACGAACAGCAGGCUCGGUCUGCUGCUAAUAAAAGAGUUGGAGGGCUUAAAUGCUAUUGUAGCAGCUUAUAAAAAUACCCCACCUUCUCCUCUCUCAUUCACAGCCAAAAACACUCCCUCCUCUCUCAUUUUUCUCUCCCUCUCUCUAGGAACUCUCUUAGAGGUGGAUCAAGAGAAGAUUUGAAGGUGGAUUUGGAGAAGAUUUGGAGCUUUGGAAGAUCUAGAGCUCUCGUACAAGGUGGAGCUUGUGGAGUUCAUAGGCUAAGGUGAUAUUUCUUGUAAAAUUGAUGUUAGGGUUUGGUUUUAUACCUUAGAACACUUGGAUUUGAUCUUCUUACAUGAAAGAAAAUCUAGUAGAGACUAUGGAACUCAUGAAAAUUCAUGUUUGUCCAUGAGCUCUCAUGGUAGAUUUCUAGGGUUUGCUUUAAAUGCCCUAAGAAUGGUUCAAAUGACCUAGAAAAAAUUUUAGAGGAAUUUCUAGAUGAUAAUAAGCUUGCUUUUGCUUAUCUUAGAUAUCAAUACGGUGCAUUGGGUUAUAUGGCAUUGUUAGGGCACCAAAAUUAAGGCUUUUGCCCUAGGUUGGUUUAAAGAUAAAUUGACCUUGUAGAAACCAAAUUGGGGAUAUUUCCAACUCGUUGGUGGACUCGGUUUGCCGAUCCGACGAGCCUACGAAAAGAUAUUGAGAGAAAGCCUAAUUUGGCUUCGUUUUGUUGCAGACGAGAGAAUAGGCGCCCAAAAAUCACGAAACUUGAACCGUUGCACCUUUACAACCAUACGAGGUGGGUGGUGCUUCCCGAAAUUCUUGAAUUUUCUUUUAUAUCUAAAGUGUCAUUUUUUAGCAUAUGUAAGUAUAGUAUCUUCAUGCAUUGUAGGGUUGAUUUAAGAUAUGUUAUUUGUAUACUUGUAGUAUAAAGAUGCAAUUGAGAUGUUGAAUGAAAGUGUAAACCCUAUGCGUACAUGAAUGAUGACAAGAACCUAGAUGUGACAAGAAUCUAGUGACAUUAGAGACAUAAUGACAUUAUGACAUGAAUGGUUGUGUGGUAUUAAUGAGUAUUGAAUGCUAGAGACAAAUACAUAGUGUGUAUGGCAUUAACGAGUCAAGAAUCCAUGAGAAAGAGUACAAAGAUCAUUUAGUGUGUGGCACUAAUGAAUGAGUAUAAAGAAUGCAAGACAAUGGCAUAUGUGACAUGGCAUCCUCAAAGUUGAGGCAUCCUUAUAGUUAAGGAAUGGAUUGAACUUGACAUCCUUAAAGUUAAGGAUUUGAAUCAUACCCACAUAUAAGUCUUGACUUGAGGGUGACAGCUCCUCCUCGAGCGAUGAGCUCCGGAGUAGUCAUCACUGGGUUGUAACGAGUACCUCCCCAGAGGACGGUCCCGUCGGGUUGUAGCGAGUAUCUCCCCGAUAUUAGGGAUUUGAGUUGGUGAGUCUAUUAAGGGCAAAACCUACGGGUUAGCCAAGAGAUUGAGCAAUGGAAUGGUGAUCUUGCAUGCAUCAUGAGCAUUCUAUUUGAAUAUUUCAUUGAUUUUAUCUUGUUCAGGCAUAUUAGCUGCAUUUGUAUAGUUUGGUUACUAUCUAUCUGUUCAUUCUUCUAUUAUGCCUGAUUUAGACCUAGUGGGAAAGUUGGCGAGAUCGGCGGCCGAACCCACUGGAAACUUUGUUGUAGUUCUCACCCCAUUAUUUUUCACAGAGCCGGAACCGAGUGAGCCGAUCGUGGUAAAGGCAUCGCGCCAUAGACAGAGACCACCCGAGUUGGUUUCCAUAUUUUGUAUAGUUGCAUACCCCUUUAUAUCAUCUUUUGUACUUUGAUGAUUAUAGAUGUAUGAAUGAUGCAAAUGUAUUAAUGAAAGAAAGUAAAGAGUCCUAUUUUGGAGUUCACGUGAUGUAAAAGAAAUGAUUAAAAGAAUGUAAAUGUUGAAUGUAUGUAUGUGAUUAAAAGUUGAUCAUAUUACUUGUAUAUUGUUUAGUUUAGUACUUUCACUGUUGGCUAUUGCUUGCCCUCGUGCAAGCCAUGUAUACUUUAUUCUGCUGUGUAGAAUUUAUAUAUACAUGAUUUUUACUUGUGUUGAGCCUUGGGCGGAUAGGAGAGGUGUUGUCUGUUCGGCGCCUGUUCGACGUGCCCGAACCGACCAAAUAGGCCGGGCUCGGGGCGUGACAUCGGCACUUCCCUGUUCAUUUCUUGGGUGGCCCGUUUCUUUUCGGCCUCUCGCUUCUUCUCAAGACGGGCCUCUCGGCGGAUUUGUCUAUCAAUCUUCGUCCCCAAAGAUGAAGCGAAACGGCCACUUGAAGUAUCUUCAGGAGGUGACUGUUUCAUUGGGAAAAAAUGAUAAAUGAAUCAAAACAAAAGAAAGAUUAAGUUUAGCCAAUCGAAUUGAUUACCUCAAUCGUGAUUGGCUUAUUAGGAACAGAGACUUCCUUUGGAACAUCAACCGAAGGCGUAUCUUCGGCUCUUUUUUCUGGAACACCAGCCGAAGGUGUGCCUUCGGCUAUUUUCUUCAAUACUUCAACCGAAGGAGUGCCUUCGGCUCUCUUAGAAUGUGGUUUCUUAGCAGCCGACUUGCACCGCAUUGGAGGCGGCGGAAGAGUAGACUGUUCAGACUCUAUCGAUUUUUUCUCUAAAGCUGGGACCAAUAAAGAAGCCAGAAUUGGCUGUAUAUAGAGAUAAAGUAAGUACUAAAUCGUACAAGAAAAAAAAAAUCAAAACAAAAAGAGUAGAGCUUACUACAGAAGAAGAAGGUGCGGUAUCAGAAUUAUGAUCGAAAUUCUCUUUCGAUUCUUCCCUUAGUGCGGAUGGAGCAACGGUAUCAACCGAACUGCUCGAAAAGGAUAUCGUUGUAUAUAAAAAAAAUAAGUAGAAAUUAUUUUAAAGAAAAAUAAUUAUAGUAAUUAGCAAGGGAUUUACCAAGUAGAUGAAUGGUCUUGCGAUGUGCCCGAUGCGUGGAUAAAUCGAAGACCCGAUCAGUAAAAUGAUCCUAAGUUACGGUAUAACGGAAACCCACCACUCCUGUGAAAUUCGGCCUAAAGGUUACUAAUUUAAAGAACCGCCGAAGACGAUUCCCCAUAGCUAAAAUUCGAUCAACUUCGGCUGUGCUUUUGGUAGGGGCCGAUGGACACGAUCAGCAAAUGGAGACCAGGCAAUGAGGAAAUGAGGACGCGAUUCAUAAAAAGUUUUGAAAUAAGUGAUAAAAUCAAGAGGGUGCCCCGAUGACAAUAGCUGGGGACAGCUGAGAGCUAACCGAUAAGAAUCAAAAUGAGCAACCGAAUUUAGAUCUAAAGGAUUUCGGCAUAAAUCAGAAAAAUAAAUUUGCAAAAAUAUUUGUAAAAGCUAGAAAACACCACAACCAGAGCCGAUGGUUACACCAUCUCCAAAAGGUAGUGGUUUGAUAGAAUCAAAAAUUUUUCUAUAAACAAAAGCAAGAAAAUAGGGUCCUAAAGCUAAUCUAUCGCCGUUAGCUAAACCUACGACGAUUGGGACAAAAUCCCGAUUAAUUUUCUAUAAACGGGUACUGUUGUUUUUCCGAAUUUCCUGAUGCUUUGACCCUCCUCGGGAAGUGUGUCGAAGUGGAAAUCGGCUGCUGAUCGUGACCCUCGAAGUUUGCGCCCGCGACGGGUCAAGCGAUUCGACCGAUGAGGGAUCAAAUCGGCCGGGUCCGAAAAUCUCCUUAGUAAAUUUGCUUCGGCAAGACGAGCCGAAUGAACAGGUGGGGCCUAUAUUCAGGCUGAGAGAUGAACCGAAUAGUCAGGACAAAACGAGAUCUGGUCGGCCUGAGGAGCCGAAAACGAUUUUCUAUUAAUAAGAAGGGAGUGAUGCCCGGAGGGCAGACAGACUCCGAAGUGUACAAGGGAGUGAUGCCCGGAAGGCAGACAGACUCAAAGGCGUUUACAACGAAGUGAUGCCCGGAGGGCAGACAGACUUCAAAGAGGCUAAGUUACAAGCACUACUCCUAAGAACAAAGCGAGGAAAAAUGAAAGUGGUCUCUUGUGCGCAGGGGCGAAGACCCCUUUUCAGGGUACUACAGGCCUAUUUAUAUAUUUUCCCCUUGUGUUCAGUUAUUGCACGAUCGGCAUCAUUCUCUGGUGGAGGACACGUCGGCCCGAUUGGAAUGCAUUGGAACUGCCAAACUGCUUACGGUUAUCACAUUUUUCAAUAUCACAGCUCAUAUCUCCUGGGCGUUUUCUGUGCUCCCGCGCCAGCGUAUAUAAACUCAGUGUGCCAACUGUCUGCGACGGAUUGGUUCAACAAUUGCCCCCUCGCGCUUUCGAAGCGCAGCGCUUCGUAGCUGCGCGAUCUUCACCCUUUAUUGCCGAAAGCAAGCUUGAUCGAGGCGUUUUUCUCGGGUCCAAUCAAAUUCAAAUUUUCUGACGAGACUCCAGGCGAAUCGUGACACAAUCUUUCGUACGGUUUUAGCCUUGGCCGUUGACUCUGGCGCAUACCUCCGAGCGUCGACUCCAAUUAAAAGAUACAACUGAGAUCUAAGAAGGAGAGAAGGGAUAAAGCUUAAAGAAGAACUUUCCCAACUUUAUAAAGUGCAUCCCCUGAUGAAGCGCCGAAGGAAAGCUGCCGAAGCUGCCCAAGCAAAUCUUAUAGCCGAAUGGAAUCAACUUAGAGAUUUAUUACCUUGAUUCGGUUUGUAAUAUUUAAUCCUGAUUUUGAUUAUUUUUCCACAUGGAUGGGUAAUAUUUCUUUAAAUACUUACCGUUGAUUGGUUUCUCAUUUUCUGACCCAUCUCUGUUUUGCAAAUAAUACGCAUUUCCUCUUGUAACUCGACUAACCUGAAAUGGUCCUUCCCAAAUUGGAGACCAUUUCCCAUACACUCGGUCUUUUUGACCGAUCGGAAAAAUCAACCGAAGUACCAAAUCACCCACGGCAAAUGUCUUUGAUCGGACUUUCCUAUUAUACGCGUUACACACUUGGCUCUGGUAAGCUUGCAUAUUAUCUAAAGCUAUCAACCGAGUGUCUGUCAAUUCUUCUGUUUUGUCUUUCAUUAACUGACUGUAUUCAUCGGCCGAAAGAAAUUUUUGUUUUUCUAUCCUUAAAGAAGGAACUAUUAUUUCGGCUGGAAUUACGGCCUCAUGGCCGUAGACUAAUUGGAAUGGUGUCAUCCCUGUUGCCGUUUUUACUAAAGUUCGGCAUGACCAUAAUACUUCGGAAAGCUUUUCGUUCCAUUUUCUUGGAUGCUUCCCGAUAUGUCGUUUCAUUAGGUUGACGACUAUCUUAUUUGCUGCUUCCACUUGCCCAUUCGCUUGGGCAUAAUAAGGAGACGAAUGGAGCAACCUUAUCUUUCGAGAUUCAAUGAACCGAACGAACUGUCCUCCUGUGAACAUUGUCCCUUGAUCGGUUGUAACGGUCUCAGGAAUCCCAAAGCGAUGAAUUAUGUGAUCUUCAAUGAAAUCAAUAAUUUCCUUUUGUGUAACCAAUCGAGUGGGUUUGGCUUCCACCCACUUAGUAAAAUAAUCGAUGGCUACUAUUAGAAAUUUGUGACCAGCCGAUGAAUUCGGCUGAAUUUCUCCAAUUAAAUCAAUGGCGCAUCCUCGAAAAGGCCAUGGUUUAAUUAUUGCAUACAUCUCAGAGGCAGGAACCCCCUGAAUCGGGCCAUGAAAUUGACAUUCUUGGCAACCCUUGGCAUAUUCUAUGCAAUCUUGAUGCAUAGUUGGCCAAUAAUAUUCUAGGUGCCGAAUGGUCCAUCUUAACUUUUUUCCUGCCAUAUGGGUUCCACAUAUUCCUUCAUGUGUUUCCCCUAUUACCAAUAAAGCUUCUUCCGGCCCUAAACAUUUCAAUAAAACCUCUUCGGCUGUUCUUUUGUAUAGCUGACCGUCUAAUAUGCAGUAGCCGAGAGCCCUUCUUCGAAUAUUAUAAUCAACCCUUGUAUUGGGAUCCUCCAAAUAUUUAAUUAAUGGUUUCCUCCAGUCAUCUUUUACUUCUACAGGAGCUAUGAUCGGCUCUCGUAUAUGAACCGAAGGUAGCAGUCUCUUGUGUAUUAUUAUUGACUCUGAUUUCGGUUCUCUGUAUCCUGAAGCCGACUGGGCCAAUUCAUUUGCCCCUUCAUUUUCUUGUCUGUUCAAAUGUUCAAGUUCGGCUUCUCCAAAAUUGCAUAAUAAUUCUAAUGUCUUUCUUAGGUAAUUUUGCAAAUUUGGAUUUUCACAUCGGUACUCUCCUUUAACCUGCUUGAUCACUAACUGUGAGUCACCGAUGACUUUGAUUGAUUUAACUCUCAAUUCUUGCAAUAUCUCAAGGCCGAUUAUCAAGGCCUCAUAUUCGGCCUGGUUGUUGGAACAGCCGAAAUCUAAUUUAAAUGCAAAUUGACAAACAUAACCCUCAGGUGAUUGUAUUACUAUCCCUACUCCUGCAGAUUCAGUUGUUUUUGAACCGUCAAAAUACAAUACCCAAGGUUGACAACCGAUCACAUUCUGUAUCGGCUCCUCUAUUUCUACACAUGGGUGAUCAGCCAAAAAAUCAGCUAUAGCCUGGCCUUUAAUAGCUUUAGCAGGAACGUACUUAAGAGAGAACUCAGAUAAAGCCAAUAUCCAUUUCCCAAUACGUCCUCGCAGCACUGGCUUGGAUAACAUAUAUUUUAUCAAAUCGGUCUUGCAUAUCACCGAUACUUCAGUUGACAAAAUAUAAUAUCUCAAUUUUGUGCAUGCAUAAUAUAAAGCUAAACAUAAUUUUUCUAUAGCCGAGUACCGUUUCUCUGUAUCUAGCAAAUGUCGGCUUAAAUAAUAAAUAGCUUGCUCUUCUUUCUCUUCAUUUUCUUGAGCCAACAAAAAUCCUAAAUUUUCAUCUGCAGCCGAUAUAUAUAGCUUCAUCGGCUGAUUCGGUUUUGGAGGUACCAAUACCGGAGGGUUUGAUAAAUAUCUUUUUAUACUUUCAAAUGCCUCCUGCUGUUCCUCUACCCAAAUGAAUUCUUCCUUAUCUUUCAGCCGAAGUAAUGGAGUAAACGCCCUGAUUCUUCCAGCUAAAUUGGAUAUAAACCUUCGAAGAUAGUUUAUCUUUCCCAACAAACUCUGCAAUUCCUUUUUGCAUUUGGGUGGUGGUAACUCUACUAUUGCUUUUGCUUUAUUUUUAUCAAUUUCAAUUCCUUUCUUAUGCACCAAAAAUCCUAAGAAAUUUCCUGCCGAAACCCCAAAUGCGCAUUUCAAAGGAUUCAUUUUUAGAUUAUAUUUUCUCAUUCUCUCAAAAGCGAGUUUUAAAUCGAUCCAAUGUUCGGCUUGCGACUUGGACUUGAUAACUAUAUCAUCAAUAUAGACUUCCAACAUCUUGCCGAUUAAAUCGUGGAAAAUAAAAUUCAUGGCUCUUUGGUAAGUAACUCCAGUAUUUUUUAAGCCGAACGGCAUAACAACCCAUUCAAAGGUUCCAAUUGAACCGGGGCAUCUAAAGGCCGUUUUAGCCACGUCUUCCUCAGCAAUAUAAAUUUGAUUAUAGCCAGCAUGUCCAUCCAUAAAGGACAUAAUUUCAUUACCAGCAGCCGAAUCUACUAACAUAUCGGCUAUAGGCAUUGAAUUUUCAUCUUUAGGUGUAGCUAAAUUUAAGUUCCUAAAGUCGAUACAAACUCUGAGUUUACCAUUCUUUUUACGUACUGGAGCUAUAUUAGACACCCAAUCAACAUAACGGGCCGCUCUUAUAAAUCCGGCCUUUAAAAGAUUUUCAAUUUCAUUUUUAAUCUGAAGUACAAUACUCGGCUCGAACCUACGAGCCGGUUGUUUAAAAGGCUUAAACCCUUCUUUGAUAGGGAGCCGAUGCUCUACAAUUUCUCGGCUUAACCCUGGCAUUUCUUGAUAGCUCCAAGCGAAACAAUCUUUGUAUUCUUCCAAUAGUUUCUUCAAUUCUUCUUGUUGCCGAACCGACAGCUUGGAACUUAUGAACGUUGGCUUGUUGUCUUCAUGAGACCCUAGGUCUACCUCUAUCAACAAGUCCUGGGUCUCCAGCUUUUUCUCGUCGGCUUUAAUGGGCGAUUCUUCUAGUUCUCUUUCCGCUGGUUGCCAAUUCACCUCAUAUGAUUCUUCAGUCUUUUUGGCCGAUUCCGCUUGACCUUCCUUCCCGGUUUUUUGAACCGAGUCUUUUAUGAUCUUCUCGGCCUUACUGGCCGACUUCCCGUGUGCCAACACAUCGGCUUUGAAAGCCGAGUUAUCCUCAUAGCCGAUCUUGUUGAUCGGCUCAUCUUGUUGAGGCUUAUGCCAAGCCUCUAUCCCUGAUUUUUCGGAUUCCAUUUUAACCAUCUUGGUGGCUUUUCAACAGCCACCAUAGUAUUGAUAUCUUUAGAAAGAACUAAUUGAAUUCCCUCCUCUGUUACUCUCACAAAAGAAAUCUGAUCUGGAUCAGCAUCGGCCCAAUUGUGGUGGCCGAUGUCCUCCAUGUCGACAUCUAUCAUUUGAGGCCGUCCUUCGGCCCGGACUUCUUCUACCUUGUCUCCUAUCCACUGGAAUAACUUCCCGUGGAGUGUAGAGGGCACGCACUCAUUCGCAUGGAUCCAGUCACGCCCGAGUAGUAAGUUGUAGUGGCUAUCUGCAUCCACCACAAAAAAUGCAGUUUUUAAAGUUUUCGAACCUACCGUAAGUUCGGUGGUGAGCACUCCUCGGGCUUGUUGACCGUUUCCUGUGAAAUCGGUCAUGAUCGAAUCGGUAGGCUUCAACUCGUCCUCGUCUUUGCCUAACUUCUUAAAGAAAGAAGUAGGCAUUACGUUAACCAUGGCACCGCCGUCCACCAUCACUCGGCCUACCGGCCGACCUUCAAUCAAAGCUUUUAUAAAAAGAGGUCUUAUAAACCUCAUCUGCAUGGCCGAUGGUUUCUCAAAAACCACUGCGUCGGCCGGUCGAACAUCUUCUAAUUGCAACUGGGCUACUCUAAGCCCAUCUUCCUCCUCCUCUCUAUAUUCUUCAUACUCGAUAAACUCUGCCUUAAAGGAUUGAGGCAGAGCAUACACCAUGUUUACCUCAGCCGGUGAUUCUUCGACUGAUUUUCCUUUGGUUCUUUGUUUCUUCUCCUCCGACUCCUUUGUUGUUUCGGCAGAAGAAUCACUUUCCAUCCGGACCUCCCUUUCUUUCGGAGGCCAUCUCUCUCUUUUGAUCAUAGUCUCGAGGGAAGCUAUUUUUUCUUCCAACUCCCUCCUGAUCAUCUUAUCUUCUGACUCGGCCUCGAUUGGCCGCUCUAUUCUUGACUUCAACUGGGGGGCGAGUGAUGAGCCGCCUGCCUCGUGAUCAUUUCUUAUUGGACGAAAAGGGUGUGACUGCUCAUCAGGGCGCCUCCAAACAUUGAGCCUUAUCCCUUUCGCCUCCUCAUAAUGUUGCCUUGCUUCGGCUUGUAUCCUCUGCUGCCGACGUUUCUGAGUUUUUGUUAACAUCGGCCCACGCCAUCUGGCCGAUGGUUUAACUUCAACGUCGUGCCAUUCAUCUACUGGCACAUUCGCCGGUAUCUUCACCGUUCUUAAAUGAUUUUUCAAAAUUUCUCUUCUUUCCCAUGGUCUCGGCCAAGGUUGAAUGCCGAGCUCAUUGACUAACCUUCGACCGAGGAAUUCUAUGUCUCCCUCGGUCAUUCCUUCAAAUUCUGGCUCUGGUCUCGGCCUGGCUUGUUGUUGCCAAUGUGGCCGAUACCCAGGGAAUCUUUGUUUGGAGCCGAAAGGUCUGUCCUGGAAAUCCCAUCGGCCAUGACGUUCUCCACGCCUAUUGUUGUAGUAAUCGUGCAGAAUCUUCUGCAUCAUGAUGUCUUUCUUGCGUUGAACCGAAUCUAUUUCCGGUUCGGUGUCAUUAGAGGCUGCAUCCGAGCCUUCUUCUUCUAGGUCUUCGCCAUCGGGAAUAUCAUCCCAAUCCUCGGGGAAUGCCAUCAGUUCGUUCCAUUCGUUUCCCCUUUUCUUGGCAUUCACGAUAGCUUCCCAGUCUUUUUUCGUCAUUUCGGCCUUGCACCUAAUGCAUAGCCGAAGAUGUUUCUUGGCAUGUGCCACGUUGUCAGCGGUCUCCUUGUCUAAAACUUCCUUUCCUUUGAUAUUCACCAUAUUGACCUGAAAUGGAAAUGAAGUUUUGUUAAUUAUUUGAUUUUUAUUUUCUUGGUCGGCCAAUAUGAGCCGACCCUCUUCUAUUUCUUCUUGAAUCUGCCUUUUUGCAGCCGCUUUCCCUUUUCCUUUCAUAUUCACGGUGUUGACCUGUGAUGGAAAAGGAUUCUUAUCAAUUUCCAUAUCUUUGUUUUCCUGGUCGGCAAAAAUUAGCCGACCCUCAUUUAUCUCUUUUUAAAUUUGCCUCUUAAAGGCAGUGCAUUCAUUAGUUUUAUGGCUCCACGAAUGGUGCCAUUUGCAGUAUCUUCUACGUUUCAAUUCUUCAACAGGAGGUAUGAUUUGACCUUCCUGUAGUUUAAUUCGUCCAUCUUUUAACAACCGAUCAAAAAUAAAAUCAGUUUUAGAUAUAUCAAAAGAAUAACUAAAAGUAGACGCAUGUGCUUUUGCCUCUCUUGACUUUGCAGGUUUUAGCAAAGCACAUUUGUAUGGUUGAUUAUUCUUCACCAUCUCAGCAGCACAUAUUUCGGCUUCGUCAGCCGAAUUUUCUGCCUCUUCAGAUGAAUUCGGCUCCUCAUGAGCCGAGGAUUCUUCAAAGAAAGAAAUAUUUUUCUCUUUCCCUUUGUUCCAAUCUUUAUUUCGGCUCCACCUAGGCCGAUCUUCAUUGUUCCCUUUUCGAAAUUGCUCAUAUUGAGCAACUCGAACUCCCAAAUCAAAAAGAUUUGGAAAAAACUUAUCUUCAAAAUGGUCUUUAAUCUUAAAAUGCAUGCCGUUAAAUGCCAUUCUGGCAAAUUCUGAUUCCGGCAUCCUCACAAAACAUCGGCUUCGAGCCGUCUUGAAUCGGUUUAAAUAUUCAUCAACCGAUUCUCCCAUUUUUUGUCUAAAUUGAGCCAAGUCUGCAACUGACAACUCAGGCUCAGUUCUAUAAAAUUGCUCAUGAAACUUACCUUCUAAUUCGUCCCAGUCUCGAACGGAAUUAGCAGGUAAACUCGUAUACCAAGUGAAAGCUGUCUUGGUCAAUGAAGUAUUAAAUAAUCUUAAUUUCAAAAAAGGAUCUGCCGCAGCUUCGCGGCAUUGGGCUGUAAAUCGGGCGACAUGUUCGACCGUAUUUUCGGUCUCAUCUCCAGAAAAUUUGUCAAACUUCGGCAUCUUCCAAUUUGCCGGAUAUGGGUGUUCCACAUCUAUAUUAACAGGAUAUGGUGAUCUGAAUACAGGCCGCAUUGCCGGCCUUGUGCCUACUCCGAAAGUGUUUAUGAUCGCUUCUUCUAUUUGCGCGUAUAUUUCAUUAUUAAUCCCCGGCACGGGGGCUUGCGCUGGUACUGGGUUCAAUGGUUGUUGAAUCCCAAUAUUUUGCCCUAGGGGAUUACCCCUUGUGCAUUCCGAAGAUGCCCCCUAGCCUCUACAUUUUGAGGCUGGUAGGCUGCAAUUGGAGGGGGUGGUGGCAAACCCCAAGCCAUUUCUGGCUGUUGACCGGCAUUACCGACAGCCGGUCUAUAAAACGCUUGAUACUGUGCCCCCUGAUAUUGAGGCUGGCCACCUACCGGUGUUACCGGAUUCUGUAACACUGGUGUUACCACAGGCGCUUGAAGGCCUGCUAUCGGCUGUUCGUUUCGAGUUAAUAACUGCCCUAUUCGGGCUAUAUUUUCGUUAGAGGCCGUGAUUGCGGCCAAAACGGCGUCCAGCCGUGCGGUACUUGCAUGACUAUUUUUGGUCCAAAGUCUGCAGGACCCUAGUCAUCUGGCCAAGUGCUUGGGUCAAGCUAGGCUCUUGUUGGCCGAAUUGACCGCUAGUUUCACCUUCUGUCGGUAAAACUGCUUGGCGCUCUACAGCGUUCUCCGAAUUACUGGGCUGUUCACUCCCAGAAUUUCUGGGAAUGGCCCUAUUACGGAGAUUCAUAGCGUUGUCGUCAGCCAUAUUCAAAUUUACCUCAAAUAUGUGUCCCACCGGGCGUGCCAAAAAAUUAUUAUUUUUCCGAAUUUCCUGAUGCUUUGACCCUCCUCGGGAAGUGUGUCGAAAUGGAAAUCGGCUGCUGUUCGUGACCCUCGAAGUUUGCGCCCGCGACGGGUCAAGCGAUUCGACCGAUGAGGGAUCAAAUCGGCCGGGUCCGAAAAUCUCCUUAGUAAAUUUGCUUCGGCAAGACGAGCCGAAUGAACAGGUAGGGCCUAUAUUCAGGCUGAGAGAUGAACCGAAUAGUCAGGACAAAACGAGAUCUGGUCGGCCUAAGGAGCCGAAAAUGAUUUUCUAUUAAUAAGAAGGGAGUGAUGCCCGGAGGGCAGACAGACUCCGAAGUGUACAAGGGAGUGAUGCCCGGAAGGCAGACAGACUCCAAGGCGUUUACAACGAAGUGAUGCCCGGAGGGCAGACAGACUUCAAAGAGGCUAAGUUACAAGCACUACUCCUCAGAAAAAACGAGGAAAAAUAAAGGUGGUCUCUUGUGCGCAGGGGCGAAGACCCCUUUUCAGGGUACUACAGGCCUAUUUAUAUAUUUUCCCCUUGUGUUCAGUUAUUGCACGAUCGGCCAUCUUCUCCGGAUUGGAGGACCACGUUCGGCCGAUUAGAACUGCCAUUGGGAACUGCCCAAAACUGCUUACGGUUAUCACAUUUUUCAAAUAAUCACAGCUCAUAUCUCCUGGCGCGUUUUCCGUGCUCCCGAUCCAACGCUAUAUAAACUCAGUGUGCCAACUGUCUGCGCCGGAUUGGUUCAACAGGUACAAAAAAGAUUAUGGCAUAACCAAUACAGAGGGAAAGCUGUAUGCUCCUUCCUAGUAACCGCAGCAAGAGACUCACCUGCAAACUUGCGGAGAAAUUUGGAAUAAGCCAAGUCAUUGAAGUCAAGGUAGGCCUCAAAGUCAGACACGCCAUCAGGGUUGUAAGCCAUGGAGAGAGUAACUCCAUGAGGGCGUAAACCAAUGAUGGCAGCAACAUCAAAAAGAGUGGGAGUGAGGGGUCUUCCUUUGAAAAGAAAAACGUUGGAAGCAGGAGACCAAAAAUAGAGAGCAGCGGCUAAAAGAAUGUUGUCGACUACAGGGGGUUGCCGAGAUAAUUUAAUCGCCUCAUAAAUACCUACUUUUCGCCAGAAAUCACCAUAGACAGCUUCUACCUGGUCUAGUCAAGCAAGGUACGCAUCGAGACACUUGGCCAAGUCCGGAGGCUUUUCCCCGUUGAAGCCGACGGGUACCAAGAAUGGAGAUGAAUGGUUUGGGCCAUCAAUGGAAGACCGUCACUGGAAUACGGGAAAUCGUCAGGGGUUGGUUUGUCAGUGAAUGAAGGACCUAAGAUGAAUCGAGAAGGGUCCGAUGAGACGAACUGUCUAAGCAUGGUGUAAUCCAAAGACGAAGAAGAGGAAAAGACGGAAGCGGCGCCAUUGCUAAAACUAAAGAAAAAAGUGAAGAAAAAACUCUAAGGAUCGAAAAAGGGAAAGAAGUAGACCAGGCUUUAGAUCAGAGAUGGAGAAGAGGUCAGAGAAAAGAAGGAAAAGAAAAGAGAAGGCGAAGAAGACGAUGCUUGAGUUAAAAAGCAAAUGGAGAGGAGGAAGCAUGGCGAAGAAGAAAGAAGCCGUCGAGUCGAAUCGAUUUCUGAGACAGGCUAUAAUGAUGAAGAGACAGCAGCAAUUAAGAUGACAUAAUUAAUGCCGCACAAAAGACAAAAAGAGAUGGUGAGAUCGUGGCCGUAGAAAAGAAAAGGACGGCUAGCAUGGCGAAGAAGAAAGAAGCCGUCGAGUCGAAUCGAUUUCUGAGACCGGCUAUAAUGAUGAAGAGACGGCAGCAAUUAAGAUUACAUAAUUAAUGCCGCACAAAAGACAAAAAGAGAUGGUGAGAUUGUGGCCGUAGAAAAGAAAAGGACGGCUAGGGAGGUACCGUACAAAGAAUUUGAAACUGAUUGUAUCGGGAGACGCCGCUCUGAUUACGCCAGCUACCGGAGCGUCCGUUAGGAAGCUGUCGAGGGGGCAAUUGUUGGGCCAGUAAUGUGCAGCCAGGUGGUGCGUCAGUGCUCCAAUUAACCACAAUCUUUAAAGCAAGGAGUCUAAUGUGCACCGGGAGCAUCGAAACAAAUUUGAGAAACCGCCGCAUGAUUGAAGGGAGUUAUAAUAACCGCAAGUGGUUACAAGCGGUUUCGAUCAGCUGGAAGUGGCCAGGAAAAAUAGGAGUAAUGGCUAAUCAUGGAAAGGGAAUAACUGAUCAAUAGGCAAAUAACGCCUUGAAAACGAGUCUUUUUCCCGAGAAUAGAAGACCACCUUUAUUUCCUCUGCAUUUUCAUCGCAUUUUCUAGGAGUAGUCUACUUGUAAUCCUUUACUUCACCGCACUUACUGUUUUUCUUAGGAGUAGAGUUAAGCUAGAGCAACCGAGUCUGUAUGCCCUCAGGCACACUCGACCUUUGUACUGUUUUCACAAGUUAACUUCAAUAUAUAAAGGCAUUUGGCUUAUUGGCCGACCCAAAUUUCAGUAUUUUUUGUACAUUCGGCUCAUCCAGCCGAACCGAUUCUAUAGUAGAGGUUCUGAACUCGGCUGGUCCGAUCUCUCGUGAGCCGAAUCGCUUGAUCCAGUCGAAGGGCGCAAACUUCGAGUGUAACUAAUCGUAGCCGUUCUACAUCCCGACACGCUUCCCUAGGAGGAUCUUUGAGCGGGUCAAAGAGAAGGGAAUUCGGCUCCUAACAAUAUAUAUGUAUGUAUGUAUGUAUGUGUGUGUGUGUGUAUAUAUAUAUAUAUAUAUAUAUAUAUAUAUAUAUAUAUAUAUAUAUAUAUAUAUAUAUAUAUAUAUAUACACAUACAUAUNUCUAUAUAUAUAUAUAUAUAUAGUCCGGCUACUAUACUUUUAUGAGUACGAUCGCCUUCAUACUCAUAAGUUGUUUUCGAUGAUAGAGCUUCCGAAUCGACGAUCCAUACCGUUAAACAUUAUGUAGAGUAUUUAAAACUUCUAGAAAUCAAAUUUUAUAAUUUUUCGAUAUCAUUUACCUUACGAUCAAAAGCUCACAAAAUUGACAAUUUUAACGACCGGUAUGAGGUAUUUGCUAGUUUAACGGUGAAAAAGAAUCGGAAUAGGUUGAAUUUUUGAUAGAAAAUUCUAUUCACUACCUAACUAAAGAUCAAUAACUCCAAUCUUAAAUUGAAGGAUCUGAUCAUCCGUUUUUAGGAUGUCGUUCAAUUUUAACUGUUAUGCCCGGGACCGAUCCUAUUUGGUCGGUUCGGGCACGUCGAACAGACGCCAAACGGACAGUACCUCCCCUGUCCGCCCAAGGCUCAACACAAGUAUAAAUCAUGUAUAUAUAAAUUCUAUGCAGCGGAACAAAGAUACACGUGGCUUGCACGAGGGCAAGUAAUAGCCAAAGUGAAAGUACUAACUAAACAUUCAUACAAGUGAUAUGAUUAACUUUUAACCACAUACAUGCAUUCAACUUGUAGAUUCUUUUACAUUCUUUGCAUCAUUUUUUUUAUACAUCACAUGAUCUCAAAUGAAUAUAAUAUUUCCUCCAAAAUAUAAGCAUUUUACAUUAAACCAUAAGCUCUUUUACAAUAUUUAUCAUGUUCAUACUACUAACAUUAUCAAAGACAAAAGAUGAUAUAAAGAGGGUAUGCAUCUAACAAAAUAUGAAACCCGCCCGGGUGGUCUCUGACUAUGGCGUGUUACCUUUUCCGCAAUCGUCGGCCGGCUCACUUGGUCCUGGCUCUGUGUAAAUAGUGGGGUGAGAACUACAACAAAGUUUUCAGUCGAUUCGGCCGUCGACCUCGUCGACUUUCCCACUAGGUCUAAAUCAGACAUAAUAGAAGAAUACAGAUAGAUAGUAGCCAAACUAAACAAAUACAGCUAAUAUGGCUGAAUAAGAUAUAAUCAAUGAUUAUGCUCAAAUAAAAUGCUCAUGAUGAAUGCAAGAUUACUUUUCAAUUUCCAAUCCACUUGGCUAACCCGUAGGUUUCGCCCUCAAUAAACUCACUAGCUCAAAUCCCUUUGGUCGGGCCCUCAGCUGUCUCCCGACGGGACCGUCUUCGGGGGAAAACACCUUCCCAGUGAUGACAACUCCGGAGCUCAUGGCUCGAGGAGAAGCGACCACCCUCAAGCCAAGACUUAUAGGUGAGUAUAAUCAAUCCUUAACUUUAAGGAUUCCAAGUUCCCUCCAAUCCUUAACUAUAAGAAUGCAAUACUCAUAUGACCCUUAACUAUAAGGUUGCUAUGUCAUAAUGUCAACUUUCUCAUGUACUUGCAUUCUCUACUUUCAUUAGUGCCACAUACACUAAAUGUACUUUGUACUCAAUUACAUGCAUUCUUGUUUCAUUAAUGCCACACACUAAGUGUUCAACUCUAGCAUUCCUUUUGUUUGCUAAUGCCACACAAUCCAUAUGUCAUAAUGUCAUUUGUUCGUAAUGUCACUAGUUUCUUUACCUUUUCUAGGUUCUUGUCAUCAUUCAUGCAUACAUAGGGUUUUUACAAGUUCUCACUAGUUUACAAUUAUCUCACAUGCAUUUGUACUUACAACAUGCAACAAUAUUUGUCCACAUGCUCUUAUUUCACCCUACAAUGCAUAAUGAUCAUACAUAACUUAUGCUCAAAAAAUGACACUUUAAAUAUAAAAGGAAAUUCAUCAAUUUCGGGAAGCACCACCCACCUCGUAUGGUUGCUAGGGUGCUACAGUUCAAAUCUCGUGAUUUGUGGACGCCUAUUCUCUCGCCUGCAGCAAAACGAAGCCAAAUUAGGCUUUUUCCCUAUAACUUUGCGUAGACUCGUCGAAUUGGCGAACCGAGUCGACCAACGAGUUGGAACCAAUUUGAUUUCUACAAGGUCAAUUUACCUUUAAACCAACCUAGGGCAAAAGCCCUAAUUUUGGUGCCCUAACAAUGUCAUUUGCCUAAUACGCCACUUUGAUCUCUAAGAUAAGCAAAAGCAAGCUUAUUUAUCAUCUAGAAACUUAUCUAGAACCAUUUCUAUGUCAUUUAAACCAUUCUAAGGGCAUAUAAAAUAAACCCUAAGUUUCUACCAUGAGAGCUCAUGAAGAAAUAUGGAUUUUCAUGAGUUCCAUGGUCUCUACUAGGUUUCUUCUCAUGUAAAAAGAUCAAACCUAAGUGUUUUAGGGUAUAAAACCAAAUCCUAGCCUAGUUCUUACAAGAAACCUCAUCUUAGCCUAAAAGCUCACUAAGCUACACCUUUUAGGAGAGCUCUAGAUCCUCCAAAAGCUCUAAAAUCUCCUCUUAAUCUCCUCCAAUCUCAUCCUUUCACCUUGGGGGAGAGCUCCUAGAGAGAGAGGGAGAGAGAAAUGAGAGAGAAGUAGUGGUUCACUGCUGUGAAUGGGAGAGGGGUUGAGGUCUUUUUAUAAGCUGUUACAAUAGCAAAAGACCCUCCAAAUAUUCUUAUUUGCAGCAGACUGCAGCUGCUGUUUCGCAGCCAACGUAGCAGUACGCGAGAGGGCAUCAUCGGUACGCCCAUGUUCAGCUACCCAAAACCGAGAGCUGGCUGUUCUCGGGUUGCAAUAGGGUACCGGUACUACCCAGGACAGUCACCGGUUAACCAACACACCAGAGGCCAAACCCGAGAGCAACCUGUUCUCAGUUUGCAACCUGGUGCCGGUACACCCCUAGUGCUUAACCGGUUAACAAUGCUCCAAACUUGAGUUUUGCAUUGUUUCGACUCCAAUUCGCGCCGAGCAAUGCUAAAACCCCUCUAACUUACUUGAAACUCAACUCUAACCCUUCCAACAUUAUUAGAAUAUCAUUUGGACUUUGUCCAACUAUUUCUCUCGCACACUUCGGUCAAUUUGACUAAAGUUCGAUAUACUCUACCGAAGUUUCGGUAUAUUACAUUAACCGUUCAUUUCAUUUUAAACCCGCUUGAUGGACUUUAUAAUGAUUUCGAAAAAUUAUAAAUUUAUUUUCUAGAAGUUUCAAAUACUCUAGAUCAUGUUUAACGGUAUGAAUCGUUGAUUUGAAAACCCCAACAUCGUAAACAACUUAUGAGUACGAAGAGCUCUAUACUCAUAAGAGUAUAGUAACCCUACUCUAUAUAGAGUUUGGCUACUAUACUCUUAUGAGUACGAUCGCCUUCAUACUCAUAAGUUGUUUUCGAUGAUAGAGCUUUCGAAUCGACGAUAUAUACCAUUAAACAUUAUGUAGAGCAUUUAAAACUUCAAAAAGUCAAAUUUUAUAAUUUUUCAAUAUCAUUUAGCUUACGAUCAAAAGCUCACAAAAUCAAUUAUAUGUAUAUAUAUAUAUAUAUAUAUAUAUAUAUAUAUAUAUAUAUAUAUAUAUAUAUAAUUGAGCUCCUAGCUUUCAAAGUAGUUAAGUCAUUAGUACUGUAGGUUUUCGGCCAUUGGAUUAAGAGAUGUGUGUAGUUAGGAUGAUAAUGGUCCCUUAGGAUUGAGUGGAUAGUUAGUUAAAUUGGUAUGAUCUAACGGGUGAAAAUAAUUAACUUCUCAAAUCAGUCCUUCAUUACAGUUCUAAUUAGCCAUGAAUUAAUCUAGUGUCCAGGUCAUGUAUUCAGCAUUUAAGAAAGACCCAGGUAGAACUAAAAUUUGCAUGGAUUCGAGAACAAAUGUAAGCGCAAUUAAUCCAUACAAGAAUUGAAUGCUAAUAAAAAAUCUUAUAAUUUGAGAGUAUAUCUAUAUGACUCUAAGAGACAGUUUGGUUCAAAUUUAUAAUAUUUUUUAAAUAUUGUAUAUUUUAUAUUUGAAUUGUAAGUUUAUUACUCACUUAUCAAGUCAUUUGGAUUGGAAUGUUGUUAGAAACUAAUAUAUUCUUAUUAAUAGACUACUAAUGAUUCCCAUCAAGCAUUGAAAAUAAAAAUAUCUCAUGCAACAUAAUCAUCUAUAAUAAUAUCUUCUUACUUUACAACAUCUUUUUACACUGGGGCAACUUAAAUUAAAUGGUAAUAAUUUAAAUAUUUUCAAUAAAAGAUAUGAAAGAUGACCAGAUAUUCCAAGACCAAUUUGCAUAAAAAUCCACAAUUUUGAGCUUUUGCAAACUGGGGUCACAUUUUUCAAUUUUGCAGAUUCGGCCGAAAUUUUUGCCAUCGGACGAAAUACCCUUAUUCCUUUUCUUUCUCUCUCUUCUUUUUUCUCUCUUCUUUUUUUUUCCUUCGCUACUUUUUUUUCUUCAGCCACCCGCCGUUGUCCCUUGCUGACCCCCGCGCCCGCACUCACGCUCGCCCUCGCCCGCGCGCCGCAGCGCUCGCGUACGCCUACCUCUACUACCAAACCCGCAUCCUCUCCUUCCUCCUCCUCUCCGUCCAACCCCACCAUUGCUCGGAUUUUGUCACGCCCGCCCCGAAUCCACUACAAUUUGGCACGGUUCGGGCGCGCCAGACGGACGCCGAACGGACAGCACCUCUCCUGUCCGCCAAAGGCCAAGCAACCAGAUCAUGUACAGUUAAGCGCCUAGGGAAUGCUUAAAUAAACAUACAUGAUCAAUAUGAUACACACAAGUGCACUAUAACUAAGAGCAAGAACCAUAAGUGAAUGUACAAGUGUAUAAGAGAGAUAGUCUAACUAUUACAACCAUUCACAUUUACAUAGCUGAUUACAUUACAUUUUCAUCUUGCAAAAUACAAGUAGCUCUCCAAUAACUAUCCAAAACGUCAUCUAGUACACGAGGGUACUCUAAUGCAUAAAGGAAAAGCUACUAACUAGGCUCACUUAGGGCGCUAUGCCCUUGCGCGGUUCUCGCUUGGCUCGCUCGUGUGUCUACCUGUACCCAAAACACACGGGGUGAGAACUAUAUAAAUAUAGUUCCCAGUGGGUUCGGCGCCGACGCCGCUGGUUUUUCCACUAGGUCUAAGCUGGCCAGAUAGAGAGAUAGAUAAAUAUAUAGAAAUGAACGAACUACUCUAUCAUGCCAUCAUGAUAAUAAUGCAUGCCAAAACUACUAUCAUGCUAGUAUUAUGUCAUGAGCAUAUAAAAGUGCAUAGUAAUGUAAACUACAAAACACUAUGUCUACUCAAGGUAAUAAUGCAAGUCUACUAUGCAUUCCAUGUUUAUUACCAAUCUACUUGUUAACCCGUAGGUUAACCUCAAUCACUCUUCAAUCUCAUAGGUGAGGAGAAGCUGCACUCGCACACCGAGAUCGUCUGCGGGACAACCCUGUGAGAUACUCCGGAGACUCGUGCUUCGGUGGAGCGACCACCGACAAGCAAAACAGACUAGUGAGUAUGAUCCAAUCCUCUCAAGAGGAUACCCUGUCUACUAGGGUCUAUGUGCCUCUGCUGCACAAUCAUGAUAUAUAAUCAAUGUUGGGACUUCUACUAUCCCUAGGUUCAUGUCAAGUUUACUACACUAGAUUCAAUGCCACUCGUUUAGUCAUUGUAGUAAAUGUCUCAAUUAUUCUACAUGCCACUCGUUCAUGUCAUAGUGCUUCUACCACACUAGUUCGAUGCCACUCUAUUAGGCUAUGUCCAAGUUCGGCUCUUUAUACCGCUAUAGGAUUCUAUGUCACAAGACCCAAUCCUCAUGCUAUCCUAGUGCACGUGUCAAGCUCACCUCGCUACACUACCAAGAAAGCAUGCAAGGAAAUGGAAAUGUACAACUACUAUUCCUAUAGCGCAAUAUGAUCAACAUAAUUAACUUAGAUAUAAAAAGAAACCCGAUUGCUUCGGGAUGACACCCCCCACCUCUUGAGGGUAUGGAGGCUCUAAAAAUGCCCUCCAACGGAUGUUACGAUGAAGUCUUGGUCUUCUUAGGUCGAAAUGAAGCUUGGUCGGCCUUGUUUUGCUGAUAUCUUUUCUUCCGCUCGACGAAUGCAAAAUCCGACUUCGCCCCCGCGUUUUGGCACCUACCAAUUAGGUUUACAAUGUCUUAAAUGAGAUCAAUCUCAUUCUUCGCCAAAAAUCCCAUUUUGGCGCCCUAGGGUUAGCACCAAGCUAAACCCAUCUCAAAACCCUAGAUUCUAGCUUUAAUCCCACCAUUCAUGGUGCUAGUGAUCCAUUUGAUCCUAUCCAAAUAGCUAAAACCCAAAAACCCUAAGUUCCAUAAGCUAGGGUUAGAAGCUUACCUCUAGGUUAGCUCCAAAGAGAGAAGAGAGGAAGAGGGAGAAGUCCAAAGCCUUUUUUUUCUUGAUCUCCUUCUUCUUCUCCUUUAUUUUUUUCCUUUUUUUUCUUCUCUUUUCUUCUUCUUCUUCUUCUUCUUUUUCUUCUUCUCUUCUAAAGAGAGAGAGAGCAAGAGAGUGUGAGAGAUAGAGAGAGAGAGUGAGGGUGGAAAUAAGAGAAUGAGAGAGUAAUCUCCCAUGUAUACCCCUCUAACUAAGGCCAUUUUGCUUAAAAGCCCCUCACCUUUCAUCUCUGCACACUGCCCUUACUGGGCCUUCUGCGCGCUGAGGGACCGGUCUCCCCGACUUGGGACCGGUCCCCGAGAGUCUCAGCUCGGGUCACGCGUUCGGGUACCGGUCCUUUCCUGAGAGAUCGGUCCCCGGGAGACCGGUCCUUGGCCGAGAGACCGGUUCCCGAGAGCUGGGAUUUCGGGACUUAGUCAAAUUUUGGCUUUCUCGCUGGGGUCACGUUCGGGGACCGGUCUCUCCCUGCCAGGGACCGGUUGCCUCAAAGAUCCCCGCAACCCCAGCCGAUGGGACCGGUCCCUCUCUGCCAGGGACCGGUCCCCAAGAGCAGUUUUGCUCCAGUGCAGAUUUUGCACUAAUUGCUCUCGUGGACUCAUUUCCAAUGCACUUUUGGUGAUUUUGACAUCUUUGGCUUUUCCAGAGCUCACCAAUACGACCUUUGGUCGAUUCUGGAUGAAGUCUAACUCUCGUAUUUCGAGAAUUCACUUUCUUACAUCCUCCCCCCCUAAAAAGGAGUUUCGUCCUCGAAACAAAUUCAACAACUCAUACCUCAUUACAUUUCCGUGAAAAGAUGAGGAUAAUGCACCUUCAUCGAUUCCUCGAGUUCCCACGUAGCCUCACGAUCGCCGUGAUUGGUCCAACGAAUCUUCACGUAGGGAAUCUCACGGUUUCUCAAUUUUCGCACUUCUCGAGCAAUAAUCAUCGCCGGAAACUCUUCAUAACUCAAAUCCUUUUGUAGAUCCGGCGGUUCGUAGUACAUAACAUGCUCGGGAUCGGGAAUAUACUUCCGAAGGUUGGAGACGUGGAACACAUUAUGCACGCCCGCGAGCUUCGGCGGUAAUGCAAGUUGGUAUGCUAUCGCUCCAAUACGUUCCAAUACUUCGAAUGGUCCAAUAUAUCAGGGACUUACCUUUCCCCGCACUCCGAAGCGUUUCACACCUCUCAUUGGCAAAACCUUUAGGAAAACGCGGUCACCUACCGCGAAUUCCAAAUCUCUACGGCAUUUGUCAGAAUAGCUCUUUUGCCUCGACUGUGCCGUAAGUAACCUCUCGCGAGCGAGACGGACCUUCUCUUCCACCUCUCGCAAUAUGUCCGGGCCCAAUGCCGCAGGUUCACCUGCAUCGCUUCAACAUAUAGGGGAUCGGCACUUCCGUCCAUAUAGGACCUCGAACAAUGCCAUCCCAAUGCUAGCUUGAUAACUGUUAUUGUAGGCGAACUCGGCCAUCCUCAAAUGGUUUGCCCAACUACCCUUGUAGUCAAUGACACACGCCCGCAACAUAUCCUCUAGAAUCUGUAUAGUCCUCUCUGGCUGUCCAUUUGUCUAAGGAUGAAACGCGAUGCUGAAAUCGAGCCGUGUGCCAAGUGCUUCUUGCAGGCUUUUCCAAAAGUGCGAAGUAAAACGGAGGUCUCGAUCUGACACGAUCGACUUCGGAACCCCGUGUAACCUCACAACUUCAUCCAAGUAUACCUGCGCCAACUUGUCCCCCGACCAGGUGGUGUGAAUCGGUAGGAAGUGUGCCGACUUGGUCAUACGAUCCACAAUCACCCAGAUCGCAUCGUGGCCACCCGUCGAACGGGGCAAUCCGACCAUGAAGUCCAUAGCGAUAUUCUCCUAUUUCCAGACGGGAAUGGGUAGACCUCGAAGCUUUCCCGCUGGAAAUAGGCGCUCAGCUUUCACUUGCUGGCAUACAAGGCACUGCGCUACAUAGCGCCCAAUGUCUGCUUUCAUGCCCGGCCACCAGUACUGCAUCUUCAGAUCGCGGUACAUCUUGGUGCCACCCGGGUGAAUACUAUAAGGAGUCUGAUAUGCCUCUUGCAAUAUUAACCUCCGGACCUCCUUGUUCUCCGGUACGCACCAUCGGUUUCAAAACCGAAGCGCACCCUCAGCGUCUACACUGAAAUCACCGCCGUGUCCACUCUCGAUGUCUCGCCGCACCUUUUGGAGAUUAGGGUCUGCAGAUUGCAAACUCUUAGACGGGAUUUCCGGAGCUACCACCUCGAGAUCUAAUCGCUCCAUCACUCUCCACAGUGGCUCCUGACGUGUGACCAACAUAGCAAGAUUUUUCACUGACUUCCUGCUAAGCGCGUCGGCCACCACGUUUGCUUUUCCGGGGUGGUAUAGGAUUGUAACAUUGAAAUUCUUUAGCAACUCCAACCACCACCGCUGGCGCAUAUUGAGCUCAUUCUGAUUAAACAGAUAUUUUAGACUCUUGUGGUCUGUGUAUAUCUCGCAACGCGCGCCAUACAAGUAGUGCCUCCACAGCUUGAGAACAAACACUACCGCGGCCAGCUCUAAGUCGUGAACAGGGUAGUUCUUCCCAUAGCUCUUCAGCUGACGGGACGCAUACGCGAUCACCUUCCCGCCCUGCAUCAGAACACACCCUAAACCCGAUUGUGACGCAUCGCUAUACACCACGAAGUCUUCAUCUUGCACCGGUAAGACGAGUACCGGAGUCGAAGUCAAUCUAUUCUUCAACUCUUGAAAACUCCGGUCACACUCACCGCUCCACACGAACUUGGUGCCUUUUUGAGUCAGACGGGUAAGUGGACCCAGGAUCUUCGAAAAUCCCUCCACAAAUCGUCUAUAGUAACCCGCUAAACCCACAAAGCUUCGGACUUCCGUGACGUUAGUCGGGCGAGGCCAAUCCUUGAUCGCCUCCACUUUCCUCGGGUCAACAGAUACUCCUCCCUCGAAAAUGACAUGCCCAAGAAAUGCAACCUCUCAGAGCCAAAAAUCACAUUUCUUAAACUUAGCAUACAGCUUCUCCUCCCGUAGGACUUGAAGCACUAUUCUCAGAUGCUCGGUAUGUUCCUCGUCGCUACGAGAAUAGACCAAGAUGUUGUCUAUGAAAACCACGACAAAUCGGUCCAAGUACUCCUUGAAGACACGGUUCAUUAAAUCCAUGAACGCUGCCGGGGAGUUAGUGAGCCCAAACGGCAUGACCGUGAAUUUAUAGUGUCCAUACCGCGUGCGAAACGCGGUCUUUUGCACAUCUUCCGGCUUAAUCUUGAGUUGAUGAUAACCGGAUUGUUGAUCAAUCUUUGAAUAAACCCGAGACCCUUGCAACUGAUCAAACAUAUCGUCAAUCCUCGGUAACGGGUACUUGUUCUUGAUCGUGACCUUGUUCAACUCGCGGUAAUCUACGCAAAGUCGAAACGAUCCGUCCUUCUUUCGCACGAAUAGAACCGGAUCUCCCCACGGCGAUACACUUGGCCGAAUAAAUUUCUUAUCGAGGAGAUCUAUCAACUGAGCCCGUAACUCCUUCAAUUCUGCUGGUGCCAUCCGAUACGGAGCCUUCGAGAUAGGCGCGGUUCCUGGAACCAAAUCUAUCACGAACUCGAUCUUCCGGUCUGGCGGCAUUUCCGGUAACUCCAUGGAAAACACAUCUGGAAACUCUCGGACCACGGAUAGUUCCUCAAGCGCCAGAGUCGUCUUCUCGACUUCUACAACGAUCGCCAAAUAGGCCGUACAACCGCUGUUAAUCAACUUCCUCGCCCUCGUUGCUGACACCAUAGCAGCGAAGCGCGAGCUUCUACAGGCCCAGUAGGUGAAUUCCUCCUGACCCGGCUCUCGAAACGUUAUCACUUUAUUUCUACAGUGAAUGGUCGCAUAGUACUUUGAGAGCCAAUCCAUUCCUAGAAUGACGUUGAAGUCCUUUAACUUCUUGAACAUCAACAUACGGAUGGGCAUUAUCCAAUCGUCCAACCGCACGGGACAAGACGAACACUCCAUACGGACUAGAAAAUCACGUCCGGGGCCCGAUACUCUCCAAGUGCUUUUACUCUCUUGUAGUUUUAUGUCAUGCAUGCGUGCAAAUGACCUACUGAUGAAUGAAUGUGUAGCACCUGUAUCAAACAUGGCCCUGGAGCGAACUCCGUCAAUUAAAACCAUACCUGCGAGUACAUGGCGAUUCUCCGCCUCAGCAGGUUCCUCGGCUUGAGUUUGGGCGGCGAACACCCGUCCGCUCGGAGCCGAUCUCAUCGCCUCAGGUUGGCGUGGUUCCAUCGCACGUCCAGCCGAUGACGCAGUAGGUGGGACUCCUCCAUAGUGCGCCGAAGUCGCCGGAGUCGACGUGACCGAAGGGGCAGGCGAAGCCCUCACUGGACAGUAGCGGCUGAUAUGGCCCGCCUGUCCACACGUGAAGUACUUCCCUUCCCGUUGAUCACACGUCCUUGGCUCGUGGUUCCCACCACAGAUUGUGCGCCGCUGCGGUUCGCGGCCCUUGGAUUGCGUUCGCGGGUACUUCGGCGGCUUCCUUGACUUCGAUUGAGCUCCCGAACUACUCUGGGCCCACUUCUUGCCGCUGUCCUUCUCGGACGCUUCUCGCUCCUCCCGGAUAUGAGCGUUUCCUUGCUCCGCCCACAACGCUCGAUCGAGUACCUCCGCGAAGGUAGUGAGCUUCAGGAUGUGCACUGCCAGGUAGAUAUCAGCACGGAGCCCUUGCUCGAACCAAUCGGCUCGAUCCCUGUCAUCCCGCACUACGUCAGGGACGCAGUCGAUGAUGUGAGAGAACUCCCGCUCAUAUUCCGCUACCGUGCGGCUACCUUGCUUCAACUUUUAAAAUUGCUCCUGGAGCUUCUUCUUCUCACUAUCGGGGAAGUAGUUGACAGAGAACAAUCCCCGAAACUCCUCCCACGUCAACGGCAGAAGGUCGGAAGCUCGGUUCCUCUUGAUUCGCUUUCACCAAACCUUCGCCGUCUGCUCCAAACAAUGAGUGGCGAGGUAGACCUUGUCCCUCUCCAAGGUGUAGAGGUCCUCGAACAAGGUCUCCAUUGAGUCCACCCAUGACUCAACCAUUCAUGGCUCGACCUUCUCUCCCUCAAAGGUCGGUGGAUUAAACCUUCGGAACUUCUCGAGAGCCGCAAGCGCGCGCUCUCUCUCCGCCUCCAAUGCCGUCGCAUCGGGUGUUGUAGAAUCCGACGCCGUCGGAAGAACGCUCGCCGGCGAAAGACGUGCCGCCACCAGAAUUGCCACAAUGCCCUUACCCUCAGCCGCCGUUGGCGCACGAGCUGGAGGCGGGGGUGGAUCACGGCCCUCAGUCGCAGCUACAGUUGCCGCCGCAAAAUGCCGCUCCAUUAGCCCUUGGAGCUGCUCGAAUCGACUCUCCUAGCGCUGUACAAUGCCGGUCAAGGCCGACACCUGCGCCCGUAGUUCCUAUACCUUACUAGAUCCGGUUUCCUUGGGCACCUCAGAAGACGGUGCCGGAACGGAUCUACAUACAUAGCGUCUUGGGGACAUUGUUCCUGCAACACAACAACCGGGUUAGUCACCUAACCCACUUAACUUCGUCGCAUAUUCUAUAUUACGCGACUCAACUCCGCCCUAAGCGGACGUACACCAUUGUAUUAGUCCUAACUCUUAGCGUCGUGUUGUCGGCAGCCAACACAAACUCCUCGAGCUCAGAACUAACAUCGCUCGAUUCUAUCUCUAGCCACACUAGAGAUCUAUACUCGAUCCGACCUAAUCGGAUUCUUCCUCAACCGAUAUAGGUUUACGUUUCUCUCACGUACUUAUCACCUUAGGGUUGCCAACCUACAUCUCUUAGGUCCAUCCUAGACUCUCUCUUUACUUACUUUUAGGCUCUGAUACGAACAACUCUUGUCACGCCCCGCCCCGAAUCCACUACCAAUUUNGGCCAUUGGAUUAAGAGAUGUGUAGUUAGGAUGAUAAUGGUCCCUUAGGAUUGAGUGGAUAGUUAGUUAAAUGGUAUGAUCUAACGGGUGAAAAUAAUUAACUUCUCAAAUCAGUCCUUCAAUUACAGUUCUAAUUAGCCAUGAAUUAAUCUAGUGUCCAGGUCAUGUAUUCAGCAUUUAAGAAAGACCCAGGUAGAACUAAAAUUUGCAUGAUUCGAGAACAAAUGUAAGCGCAAUUAAUCCAAUACAAGAAUUGAAUGCUAAUAAAAUCUUAUAAUUUGAGAGUAUAAUCUACUGACUCUAAGAGACAGUUUGGUUCAAAUUUAUAAUAUUUUAAAAAUAUUGUAUAUUUUAUAUUUGAAAUUGUAAGUUUAUUACUCACUUAUCAAGUCAUUUGGAUUGGAAUGUUGUUAGAAACUAAUAUAUUCUUAUUAAUAGACUACUAAUGAUUCCCAUCAAGCAUGAAAAUAAAAAUAUCUCAUGCAACAUAAUAAUCUAUAAUAAUAUCUCUACUUUACAACAUCUUUUACAACUGGGCAACUUAAAUUAAAUGGUAAUAAUUUAAAUAUUUUCAAUAAAAGAUAUGAAAGAUGACCAGAGUAUUCCAAAGACCAAUUUGCAUAAAAAAUCCACAAUUUUGAGCUUUUGCAAAACUGGGUCACAUUUUUCAAUUUUGCAGAUUCGGGCCGAAAUUUUUGCCAUCGGACGAAAAUACCCUUAUUCCUUUUCUUUCUCUCUCUUCUUUUUUUCUCUCUCUCUUUUUUUUUCCUUCGCUACUUUUUUUUCUUCAGCCACCCGCCGUUGUGCCCUCUGCUGCACCCCCGCCGCCGCACUCACGCUCGCCCUCGCCGCCGCCGCAGCGCUCGCGUACGCCUACCUCUACUACCAACCCCGCAUCCUCUCCUUCCUCCUCCUCUCCGUCCAACCCCACCAUGCUCGGAUUUUGUCACGCCCCGCCCCGAAUCCACUACCAAUUUGGCACGGUUCGGGCGCGCCAGACGGACCGCCGAACGGACAGCACCUCUCCUGUCCGCCAAAGGCCAAGCAACCAGAUCAUGUACAGUUAAGCGCCUAGGGAAUGCUUAAAUAACAUACAUGAUCAAUAUGAUACACACAAGUGCACUAUAACUAAGAGCAAGAACCAUAAGUGAAUGUACAAGUGUAUAAAGAGAGAUAGUCUAACUAUUACAACCAUUCAACAUUUACAUAAGCUGAUUACAUUACAUUUUCAUCUUGCAAAAUACAAGUAGCUCUCCAAUAACUAUCCAAAACGUCAUCUAGUACACGAGGGUACUCUAAUGCAUAAAGGAAAAGCUACUAACUAGGCUCACUUAGGGCGCUAUGCCCUUGCCGCGGUUCUCGCUUGGCUCGCCUCUGUGUCUACCUGUACCCCAAAACCACACGGGGUGAGAACUAUAUAAAUAUAGUUCCCAGUGGGUUCGGCCGCCGACGCCGCUGGUUUUCCCACUAGGUCUAAGCUGGCACAGAUAGAGAGAUAGAUAGAUAUAUAGAAAUGAACUGCAACUACUCUAUCAUGCCAUCAAUGAUAAUAAUGCAUGCAACAACUACUAUCAUGCUAGUAUUAUGUCAUAAGCAUAUAAAAGUGCAUAGUAAUGUAAACUACAACAUACACUAUGUCUACUCAAGAUAAUAAUGCAAGUCUACUAUGCAUUCCAUGUUUAUUACCCAAUCUACUUAGUUAACCCGUAGGUUAAACCCUCAACUCACUCUCAAUCUCAUAGGUGAGGAGAAGCUACACUCGCACACCGAGACCGUCUGCGGGACAACCCUGUGAGAUACUCCGGAGACUCGUGCUUCGGUGGAGAGACCACCGACAAGCAAAACAGACUAGUGAGUAUGAUCCAAUCCUCUCAAGUACCCUGUCUACUAGGGUCUAUGUGCCUCUGCUGCACAAUCAUGAUAUAUAAUCAAUGUUGGGACUUCUACUAUCCCUAGGCUCAUGUCAAGUUUACUACACUAGACUCAAUGCCACUCGUUUAGUCAUUGUAGUAAAUGUCUCAAUUAUUCUACAGGCCACUCGUUCAUGUCAUAGUGCUUCUACCACACUAGUUCGAUGCCACUCUACUAGGCUAUGUCCAAGUUCGGCUCUUUAUGCCGCUAUAGGAUUCUAUGUCACAAGACCCAAUCCUCAUGCUAUCCUAGUCCACGUGUCAAGCUCACCUCGCUACACUACCAAGAAAGCAUGCAAGGAAAUGAAAAUGUACAACUACUAUUCCUAUAGCGCAAUAUGAUCAACAUAAUUAACUUAGACAUAAAAAGAAACCCGGUUGCUUCGGGAUGACACCCCCCACCUCUUGAGGGUAUGGAGGCUCUAGAAAUGCCCUCUAACGGACGUUACGACGAAGUCUUGAUCUUCUUAGGUCGAAAUGAAGCUUGGUCGGCCUUAUUUUGCGGAUAUCUUUUCUUCCGCUCGACGAAUGCAAAAUCCGACUUCACCCCCGCGUUUUGGCACCUACCAAUUAGGUUUACAAGGUCUUAAAUGAGAUCAAUAUCAUUCUUUACUAAAACCCCAUUUUGGUGCCCUAGGGUUAGCACCAAGCUAAACCCAUCUCAAAACCCUAGAUUCUAUCUCCAAUUCCACCAUUCAUGGUGCUAGGGAUCCAUUUGAUCCCAUCCAAAGAGCUAAAACCCAAAAACCCUAAGUUCCAUAAGCUAGGGUUAGAAGCUUACCUCUAGGUUAGCUCCAAAGAGAGAAGAGAGGAAGAAGGAGAGGUCCAAAGCUUUCUUUUUCUUGAUCUCCUUCUUCUUCUUCUUCCUUUUCUUCCUUCUUUUCCUUCUCUUUUCUUCUUCUUCUUCUUCUUCUUCUCUUCUAGAGAGAGAGAGCAAGAGAGUGUGAGAGAUAGAGAGAGAGAGUGAGGGUGGAAAUGAGAGAGGGAGAGAGUAAUUCCCAUGUAUACCUCUCUAACUAAGGCCAUUUUGUAUAAAAGCCCCUCACCUUUCAUCUCUAUACACUGCCCUUACUGGGCCUUCUGCGCGCUGAGGGAUCGGUCUCCCCGACUUGGGACCGGUCCCCGAGAACCUCAGCUCGGAUCACGCAUUCGGGUACUGGUCCUUCCCUGAGAGAUCGGUCCCCGGGAGACCGGUCCUUGGCCGAGAGACCGGUUCCCGAGAGCUAAGAUUUCGGGACUUAGCCAAAUUUUGGCUUUUCUCGCUAGGGUCACUUUCGGGGACCGGUCUCUCCCUGCCAGGGACCGGUUGCUUCAAAAAUCCCCGCAACCCCAGCCGAUUGGACCGGUCCCUCCCUGCGAGGGACCGAUCCCCGAGAGCAGUUUUGCUCUAAUGCAGGUUUUGCACUAAUUGCUCUUGUGGACUCAUUUCCACUGCACUUUUCGUGAUUUUGACAUCUUUGGCUUUUCCAAAGCUCACCAAUACGACCCUUGGUCGAUUCUGGAUGAAGUCUAACUCUCGUAUUUCGAGAAUUCACUUCCUUACAGAUCUCCCCCCGAUCCUUCCACCCGCGCCGCUGCCGCCACCCUUGCCGCUGCCGCUGCCACAUCCUACCUUCUCCGCUCCGCCGCGCCGCGCUUCGCUGCCGCCGCCGCAAGGGGCCUGCAUCCUACACAAUGCCGCGGCCGCCACCCGCGCCAUUGCCGCCAUCCGCGCCGUUGCUGCUGCAGCAUCCCACCUUCUCCGCUCCGUCGCGCCACGCUCUACUGCCGCUGCCGCCAUGGGCCCGCAUCCCACCUUCUUCGUAGGGCUUCAGGGAGAAGAAGGAGAAAGGAGGAAGAAGAGGAAGAAAAAAAUAGUAUAAAUUGGAGGAAGAAGAAGAAAAAAAAGGAAUGUAAAUUUCACCUAAAUGGUGUAAAAUUGGGCAAAAUGGUGCAAAAUUGGGCAAAAAAUUGGGCCAAUUUUGAUGAGAAUUGCACAAUUUUGCACCAUUUUGCCCAACUUUGCACCAUUUCGUCCAAAAUUGUAUAACUUUUCCUUCUCCUCCUCUUCCCCUUUCUUCAUUUUUACACCAUUACACAACUUUUUACACCUUAAAAAAUUGUAUUUUUUGGACGCUCUUAUCUCCCUCGCCGGAGAGUAGGACUCGGACGGCGAUCUUGAGGUGGGCGAGGGAAACUCUUUCAGCCGGUCACGCUCCCGCGGCUCCUCCAAUUCAAACAGCGCUGCCAACCCGAACAGGAACCUGUGCCCGGCGUGCUCGCGGAGGGAGGCCUGGUCCGCGCCCGACACCGACACCGACAGGAUGCCGUAGGCGAUGCUGAGGUGUGGCCACAGCGGCGCGAGGGACGCGACGGGGGAGUCAUCGUCGAGGAGAAGAGAUUCUAGAGAAGGAGGGUGGCGGCAGCAGGGGAAGGCGGGCGACGGGAGUGGGCAGAAGAGGUUGGCAGACAGCAUGGCGAAGCAGGCAAAGGAUUCCGGGGGGGCGUGGGCGCCGUGCGAAGCGGAUGGGAGAGGAAAAAAAUGGUGAAGUAAAAAAAAAAAAAGAAGAGGGAGAAAAAAGAAGAGAGAGAAAAAAAAUGAAUAAGAGUAUUUUCGUCCGAUAGCAAAAAAUUCGAUCCGAAUCUGUAAAAUUGAAAAAGAUAACCCAGUUUUGCAAAAGCUCAAAAUUUGUGAAUUUUUUAUACAAAUUAGCCUAUUCCAAACCCUGGAACAAACAAUCCCUAAAAUCUAUCCUAAAUAAAAUGAUAUGCUGAGGAAAUUGUACUGAAUUUUCCCAAAAUCAAAUUAAAGACAACGUACCUUAAACAUGAUAUGCCGAGGAAUUUGUACUAAAUUUCCCCAAAAUCACAUUAAAGAAAAUGAACCACCAAGAAAAAUAUGAAGUAUUGAAGAAUUCUCGCGGUAAAUGAAGUUGAAAUUCAAGAAAAGAACAGCGAACAAGGUCGCAACCCUACUUCACAACGGGAUUUGCCGACCUCUUGAAUGUAGUCGACUGCUUGCUCUGUAGACAAUCACCCAAGAAAACCUAAUUUUCAAGCCGAUGGGGUGUGGUCCACUUAGUUAAGACACAGCAAGCACCAUUCAACUGUUAUGUUCCCACCCAAUCGACAGGUCUACACUAUGUAUGCUAAUCUGACUAGAUCAACUGGGUCAAAUCCAUGCAGAAGCUACAUAACAAUACAAACAAGUAUACCAAGAUAAACCUAAAUAAACCUAAAAAGUACACAAACCAUCUCUGAAGUUAAAAAUAAACUUCUUAUGAUAAUAUGAAUCAAAUCUUCCCCGCUAGUAUCCCUAAACAGGAUGUCUUUCUUUAAUAAGCAUGCUACAUAUAAACAUCUGCACACAACCAGGAUGACCUCACAAAAAACUCCUGACCAUAGAGCAUUUAACUAACAAUUAUACAACAACACGAUGAUUAUACUCGAUAUUGCAGUAUCACUAUACAGAGAACACAAGGAAGUAAAAUAGUUCGUAGAAGUUUUGAUAAAUAAGCUUACUCCCCUUAGUCCCAAAAGAGGGGGAUAACAGAAGCACCUUCAUUUGUCAGUGGUAACAAUAAGGCUUGAGGUUGAACCGUUACUGCGUUUUUUACAUACCACCCAAAACUUCAUUCAGCAUCUUGGAGGCGGCAGAAUUUUCCGCGUCCUUCACUCUUGACAUUGGGUAACCAAUGGUUACAAAAGCGUUAUCUGAAGUUUCAACCUGAACAGAGCAUAUGAACUUCUUCUCAUGAUCAGGCCCCUGUUCUUUCUCCACUCUGCAAGUCAAACAUAGUAAAUAAAGUUUGGCCCUUCUUUAGGGAAUAGUGCCGUUCUACGAAAUGUUAUCUAUAAAAGCAGCAUUAGGAGAUGCACUAUGUUAAAAAUCCACCCAACACACUCUCUAGAGAAAAUUCCAAAGCACCGAAUUGAAGCUUUUGCUUUCGGAAAAAAGAAUCUCGUUUCAGCUUCCGACUGUAGUAAAAGUGCCACAUGUUUCUUUUUGCCAAACACUAACUACAUCAGAGACUAUUGUAGCCAAAAGAAGAAGUAGAAGCACCAACAUAAUAGAUAUUUAAGUGUCAAAACAAGGAUAAGAAUACUAAAGACUUCUUCAAGGAUGAAAAAGUAUCAUAAAAAAGAAUAUGUGCUCCAAAUUACUUGUUUCUAAUAGCAUUAGAAGAAAAGAAAAUAGAAAAAUAAAAAUCACCAAAUUUAGGGAGAAAAACAGGGAUAAGUUAAAUAGCAAAUGCAUAUAGUAGCACAAGAAGCUGAUAGAAAUAAAUUCUAGAAUCAAUAAUAAUAACUCUAGCAAACUGCAUUGCAACAUCCAAUAUACAGAAUGAAUGGAGCGCCUUUGUCUCUACAAUAACAAUUACAACCAAACAGACACGGGUUCUAAGACAACGGUGAUACAUAAACUGAUAAUUUUCUCAUCUAAUCAAUGUUAUACUGAAGUAGCGACUCACGAUGGUGUUGCACCACUCUGCACAAUAUGAUGAAGCCAUGAAGAAAAUACAAUCAAAUUAAAUAAAUUUAUACAUUUAAUCUAAAAUCUAAUAAAUCAAAUAUAUUUUAUAUCUAAUUUAAUAUAUUCUACCAAUUCUAAUUUAUUAUAAUUAAGCUAACGGCCCAAAUUUAUUAUGCCUUUAUUCUACGUAAUUAUUCAAGUAGAAAUUCUAUAGUCUGCAAGUUCAUAAAUCUAAUACAUUUAUUUAAAUUAAUCUAUUUCUAAACUAACUCAAUGGUCUUUAAUUUUUUUAUGUUAAGUUAUUUAUUUUAAAAAAUAAUAUAAGUUAGAUAAUCUGACUUAAUCUAACAUACUAUAACAUAUCCAAUGCAAACUUAUCUAACAUACUAUAACAUAUUCAAUGCGGAAUAAACAUAUAUUAUAUCAAGGAUUAAAGUGCCUAUCAGCACGGACCGUAUCCACAAUGUCGUAUCGUGCCAGUAAGAUAUCGGUACAAUACAGUCCCCGUGCCGAUGGCACAACUCAAAAUUCUCUAUUUUUGAAAUUAGUAAGUAAUUUUCUUAAUAAAGUUCAAAAGAUUUGACAAAAAUAUAUAAUAAAUAAUUAGCAUGUUUUGUUGCUAAAGAAAAUAAAUAUUUUAUGCCAUUACGUGUCGGCACACAUAUAUUUUUUAUGAUCGACACGCAUCGGCAUAGCCCGGCAUAUUAUAUAUAAACUAAUGCAUAGAAGGUAGUCUAAAAUAAUAAGGCCUAGCAACAAUAAGAAUUAAAACAACUAGCCCAAGCAGAAGUUGGGUGAAUAUGGUCUAAGUCUUAUGGAAAAUUAUAGCCUUCACCAACUUGUAAUAUUCAAGUAUAUUUUUCAACAGCUGUGCAUUGUUGUGUGACUGAAUAUAUUCAAGUUGGGCAAAUUUUUGUUUAGCCAGAUGGCAGCAUGGCACACGACUUCCAUUUCACAGUUAAACUAUUCCAUCUUCUUCCUUUUCAAUGAUAGCAACUGGCAUAACUAGCUAUUCUAUAGAUUGGAGUCAAUCACCGAUGGAAAAGCGUUGAGCUCUCUUAUAUUCUCAAACCUCAAGGUUUACCCACGUGUUCCUUCGGUAUGAUUUGCGGAGUGAGGUUACUCAAAGCAUAAAACUAUUAGUAUAUGUAGGUAGUAUUAAGGAAAAGAUUGAUCUUGAAGGUUGAUCUACAUAGACAGCAAUGGAACUGAUUUAAAAAUGUUUGAAAUCAGUUCAGAACUCAGCUAGUCAAAUGUAGCAUGGCAGACAGUCAUGAAAAUCUAGUCAGAAUAUUCGGUAGCUAUUCUGUAGCGAAAGCCUAAUGAUGGAAGAUGGAAUAAAAGGUUUUACGUUUUGGAGGGCUCCAAAAUAUGAUUUAUAAUUUUGAAAGCUUUUCAACAUUAUAGAAAUUUUUGAAAUAUUUUUUUUGAAUAUUUUUUUAUUUUUUUCAAAAUUUUCAUAAUUAAAAAAAUGAAAAUUAAAGAAAAUAGAAAAAUUCAAAAAAUAGAAAAAAAAAGAAUAAAUAGAAAAGAUAAUCAGAACUCAUUCUUGAACCGAACUCACUUCGGGACUAGAGUCACUCCAGGGCGACCCAUGUUGGGACUUAGGAUCGUCCUGCAUGUGCUAUCAAUAAAAAACACACGAACAUAGAAAUAGCGAAAAAUAAUAGAAAAGAAAUAUACAGAAAAAGAGAUAACGAUUUACGUGGUUCGGCAAGUUGCCUACGUCCACAUCGAGAGCGAGAGAGAUGUAUCCUUUAUAUAAAAAAAACCAAAAUACAAGCCCAUACCUUUAUGCUUCUCUCAAUCUAAACACAAGAGCCUUAUGGUUAUUACUACCCUUCCCUUGUUACAAGAAAAAAACCCCUACCUUAAUCUCAAAUGAAUUUUUUUCUUAAAAGUAGAGAGAAACUCAACAAGCUACUAAUUAAGUUUUCAGGCCUCACCUCACACCUCACUUAAUUCACUCGUUGCUUGUUGUUUGUGCUUUGUUUCAUUAUCUGUGGAGUUAAAACCCUUUUAUAGGCAUGCAUGCAAAUGCACAAUUGAAGUUGGCAACUUCAAUUGUUAACUUUCUUUAAUUAGCCUAUGUAUAGGCUCUUGACAACAUGACAUGCAUGUGUUACAUAGGCUCUUGACAACAUGACAUGCAUGUGUUUCAUGCAUGCAUGUAUGAAACACAAGCACACUUCACUGUCAUUGUAACGACCUAGCCCACUAGCAACAAUAACUCGUUGGGCCCAACCACCAGCCCAAAAUGCUUAAGCCUAGUUAUUAUUACUAGUGUUGACAGACUACCCCCGUUAAAGCCCUGACGUCCUCGUCAGUCUAAUCACACACACAGCCCAAGAUCACACGGCGAUGUGAGACUCGUCUCGCUAGCAUUGUCAUCCAAACCCUGACAUAGCCGGUCACCUUGUCAUUCAGACUCCGACAUAGCCUAUCACCUUGUCUUUAAGACUCUGACUCAGCCGAGACUAGCCACGCAUUUCCAGCUGGUGAUUGGCUCUGAGACCAAAUGUAACGACCCAGCACACUAGCAACAAUAAUUCGUUGGGCCCAACCACCAGCCCAAAAUGCUUAAGCCCAGUUAUUAUUACUAGUGUUGUCCAACUAUCGUGGAACCAUUGGCGCUAACGGAUUUCAGAUUUGAUGCACGAUUUUCGAGAUAACUGGAGAUACAUAUAUUCUAUGUAUUUGUGUGUAGUUUUGCCUUUUGGAGAGAGAUUGGGUUUUGUCGCAAAUCUGGGAUCGAACCAGGCGAAACAAAAUCGUGAGUUUGGGUCUAUCGUGCUGAUCGCACUGGUGCGAUCCGUUCGCAAAUCUGACGAACGGAUCUCCUGAUAUCGUGCAUUGAUCGAGAAGGGGUCAUUAAUGGCAAAACGGUAAUUUUGCGAAAAGCUCUACAUUUUAUGUACCGUUUUGCAUGAAAUUGGAUUUGGGGGUGUGUUCGCGCGUUUUACUCGCGCUGUGAGGAACUCGGUUUAAAAUAUCCGAGAUUGGGGGGACCUUUGCGCAAAACAAGUCCUUACAUAUAUAGUCACCUAGGGUUUUGCACCAUGCAAACCCUAACCCUAGCCCCCAACUGUCCUAGCCGUCCUACCUCCCCCUCACAUCGUGCGCCGCGCGCCCCCAGCCGCCGCAGACCUAGCCCCGGCCGGCCAGCCGCGGCCACCAUCACCUUCUCCUUCCUCUCCUCCCUCUCCACCUCUAUCUCUCUCUUUCUCUCGGGUUGGAGAGGAAGUCCGAGGCGGCUUUGCCUCCCUGCCCUUUAUCGGCGUCCCCCCAACCCUAUCAAAGCUUCCCCCGCCGGUCGCCACCGCCCCCGCGCGUCGCCGCUGCCGCCCUGGCAGUUUAAAGCCCAGUCGGGUCAGCUCGCGCCGAGGGCAUUGUAGCUCCUGGCCCGCGCGCCGCCACCGCCGCCCGAGGCCACCCUUGUCGCCGUCCCCGGAGCCCCGGCGACCUCCCCCGCCGACUGCCGCCGUCGCCGAGUGCUGCCACCGCCCUGCAGGCUCCCUGGGCAAGCUCAGACCGAGCUGAGCUCGCAACCCCUCCCCCACGCUGCUAUCGCCCGAGACCACAUCGGCGACCUCCCUCGUUACCCUUCGGCACCUCCGCGUCCAGCCGGAGUGGCCGCCGGCGCCGCACGCCCGCCUAGGGCGCCGCCGCGGCGACUCUCAGACCGAGCCGAGCUCAGGCAGCCGUGCCUAAGCUGCCGGCCACCGCCGUCAUCGCCCGCCGCCUCACUUCUCCUCCUCUAACCUCAGGCGACCCCUUGCUGCCGCCCCGAGGUGGCCCGACCGCCACCGAAGCCGGCGUGGAACCCCGAGCCCGAGCUCGGAUUGUGCGGGCUCGGGUUGCUCCACAGCCGCCUUCGCCGCCUCCCCUCGUCUGCCGGUGCGAGCCCCGGCCUCCCCACGUCGGCCGCACCCGCCUACCGCCGACGCGCCCGCAGCCGAGCCGUCGUCGGCCGUGCCCUAGCCCCCACUGCUCCGGUAAGCUUGUUAGGGUCUUUUGGUUGCUGUUUCGGGUUUGCAUUUGUUUUUCCGACGAUCCGAGGCUGUCCCGAUGCCUCCGGAGGUGAGCACGGUGAUCGCUGGUCAGUGCCGAUCAUAGUGCUCACCUCACUUUGGAUCAACGGCUUCCGAAGUUGCGUUGUCAGCGCGGUUUUCCCUGAGUGUGCGUUGUUCGCUGAAUGUUUGGGUCACUCCCGCGCCUCCCACAAUGAGCCGUUGUGCUCUGGAUCGUGAGCACGACCUCCGACACGUCGAGACCUGUUAGUACGUGUCUCGGUGGACCUCGAAAGUCUUCGAUUUUCAUUAACGAGCCACAAAAUCACCUUAUUUACAUAAAACACUAAGAUUUCAUGUAAAUGUAGGGACUUUUAUGCAAUUGUGCAUCUUGUGGCUACUGUGGGCAGUACGUAUGUGUGUGUGGUGACCUCUGGACUGAUUGUCCAAGGUCCGAUAGCUUUCGCCGAAAUUGAAUAGUGAUUUCAGUGCAUUUUUCGGCGAAAUUCGCCGGCAGAACGCGGUUUCGAUUCGGAUUUCAUCCGACGGUGUUUGUUUGCCCUGAGACUUGUCGCUGAGCCUUGUCGGCCGGUCACCAUCAUCAUAUCGUGGGUUCAGAGAUGACGGGCGAGCGACGGUGGGUUCCAGUGUCGAAAUUGACACUUCCGGGAACCCGAAUCCGAACAAUUGUCCGGCGAUAAUUGUUUAGUUGUGUCCUUGUGUUUGCUGCCAAGACAUCCAAAUCGAUGUAUUUUGUGGCAGCGGGUGACUCGUGGCACGGGUGAGUUUCGGGACACUUCGUGGGUCCCGACGGCGUCCAAGUGUGAUUUUCGAGACUUCCGACGAGUUACGGUGAUCGGUUUUAGGAAACCGAUUUUGGGAAUUUGUGUGGGGUUUGUGAGUUGGGUAUUUUGGAUUGGUGGGUUGGUUACUGAUCCGGUGGAUCUUCGUAGGUUCGAUUGACUUGUUGCGCACCCAAGUUCCCAACAUGAUAGUGAUAGGUGGGUGCUUCGAACUAGUAGUCGGUGAGAUCGUUUCACUCUCCUCUGUUCUUCUAUAUCACCAUCGUAGUCUCUACAUGUCAAUUGUUUUAUUUAUCGUUUGUUCAUCUAUAUAUUGUUGAUUGCAUGAUGAUAGUUGUCUAUGAAGCAUGGAUACUUCAAAUUUCAUGCCGUAUCCGUAUCGGAUACGUCUCAAAUACCGAUACGCACCCGAUACGUGUCCGAUACGCGAAUGAAGUAUCCGGCAUUUUUAAAAAAUAAAAAAAUCGGAUACGGCUCGGAUACGUAAGGGAUAUAGGCAGAUACGGGAGGGACACUGCCAGGUUCUUUUUUGGUCUAAAAUGAUCGAAACUAAAAAAUUUUUUAAAAGCUCACGCCCAAACCUAUUGGAAAGAAGGAAAAGAGUAAGAAAAACACCAAUAUCUGUUCAAUUUGACAUUUCAUCUAUCUUUUUGCUCUUAAAUGGUAGAAGGCGCUCCCUCUCGUUCUAUCUUUACACAGUAUUUACUCUCUUUAAUCUAAUUUGUCAACCCAGCAUUAAGCAACAAAGGCUAAAGAAAAUAUGAUUUUUUUCCUUCUCUAUUAAAUUGUUAGCAUAUUUUUUUAUUGCUAUUUUAAUAAUAGAACUAACAAAUCAAACAUAUAUAUUGAAUGGCUAAUUAUCUAGUUUGUGCGACUAUAUAUAUAUAUCUAUUGUUAUCAUUUGAUCAAAUUGAAUGAUAGUUGGCUUGAUAUUUUUUGAAUUAUUAUUUUAUAUGAUUGAUUAUCUUUUUUUAUGAACAUAUUUAGAACAAUUAGACAAGUUAAUGCAUAUUAGAAUAUAUUCCUUAAUAUAGUCGAGAUAUUUUAUUGUUCUCAAUAUAUCAUUACAUAUAAUCAACAUUUAUUUAAAUAUAUUUAAAAUAAUAUUUUAUUUAAGUUUAUCCCGCGUAUCAUAUCCUAGAAGUUUUAGAAAUUGUCAUAUCACCGUAUCUGUAUCGUGUCGAAUCUGUAUCCCUGUAGUAUCCCUAGUGUUUGGUUGCCUGUGAAACUUCAGCACCUGAGGCUUGUCGACACAUCUGGAGUGUCGCGACAAGUCGGAGUCGUUUUGGGCAAAUUGGACGCAAAACGGACUCAGUGCGAUGCGAGAGCAGAGUUUUGAUAUUGAAAUCUGCAAAAUGCAAGAUUUUAGUAUUGAGUACCGGUACUAGGGAGAGGAGUACCGGUACCCCAGUAGAUUUCUAGAACUGAUGCUCUCGGGUUACGCCAAUCUGAUGCCGAGUACCGGUACUGCAUCGGGCGAGUACCGGUACCCUGUGUGCUAGCUUGCGGGUUGAGAAGCCGAGUACCGGUAACCAAAUUGGGUACCGGUACUCCAGCUGGAUUUUUGAGUUGGUGAGGGGCCUUUUGGUCAUUUGAGGUAACGUUCACUAUGUAACCCAACCUCUUUAUAUAUGUUUAGAGAGCCUAAGAGGAGGGUUUUUGGAUUGCUGCUAUCUCUCUCUCUAGUUUUUGGGCGUGCUCGUGGUGGUGGUCGCGGCUCAAGCUCGGGAGGUUGUCGACGUUGAUCCAGAGGGCCAUUUGAGCGCGUGGACGUCACGGUUGCGCCGUUGGAGGCCAGGUGAACGUGUGGUUUCCCUUCGUUCGACUUCUCGCGGUGGUUGGACGAGUUUUUUGAGGUAGGUUGAAGUUUACCGAAAUCGUCGAAUUCCCUCCCAAGCCGAAGUUAUGAUAGCAUGUGUAUCAUGUGUAGAAUCAUGUUUAAUAGCUCAAUUCAUUGAUUUGUAUCGGUUAAUAUAGAAUCUGAAUUUAGAGGUUAGAAUAAUUUUACAUGUUGGACCUGAAAUUGACUUAGGAGAAAACCAUUUAACCUUACACUGUCAUCUUCUGAAAGUUACCAGAUUUAGCUUUAGGAGCUGUGGUUCAUUUGUAUCUGUAAGGACUGAAAUUUUGGCAGUGUAGCUAAACUCUCUGUUGACGAUAUUUUUGUGUGUAAUUUAAUUACGAAAGCACUCGUCAAGUUUCGGGAGAAAACAAGUUAGAAUAGAGAUUUUACGCGAUUUACAGUUUUCACUUAAAGUGAAUAGUAACUCGGUUUUCUGGGGAGGCCAAUGUGUAAAGUUGGCUUCCGGCGCGUAUCGAACUCCGUUCAUAGCAGUCCAAUAGCUCGUUUCGAACGGUUCAGCCAUUCUGGAACCGAUGGCGCUGGCGGAUUUUGGGUUUGACGCACGAAUUUCGAGAAAAUCUGAAAAUACACGUAUUAUAUGUGUUUGUGCGUCAUUUCGCCUGUCGGAGAGAGAACGGGUUUCGCCGCGAAUCCGUGACCGAUCGAGGUGAACCAAAAUCGUAGGUUUGUUGUCUCCGUUGUGCUGAUCGCACUGGUGCGAUCCGUUCGCAAAUCUGACGAACGGAUCUGCGGGUAUCGCGCGUUGUUCGAGGGGUUGGUGAUGGCAAAACGGUAAUUUUGCAAGAGUUGCGACAUUUUAUGUGCCGUUUCGCAUGAAAUCGCACGUAGAGGUGUGUUUGCACGUUUUGCUCACGCUGUGAAAGACUCAAUAUUAAAUAUUGAGUUUGGAUGGGCUUUUCCGCAAAUUUGAGCUUUGUAUAUAUAUAGCUCCCUGCCCUCGCCGCGCGCGCGCCGGCCGGCCAGCAGCAGCCGUAGCCUCCCUCUCCAUCUUUUUCAUCUUCUCCACCACCUUUUUCUUUAUCUUCUUUGGCCGAGGGUAGAGCUGGACUUCCCCCUCCCUCUGGUCCUACUCCGGCACCUCCCCCGAAACCCUAGCAACCCUCCUCGCCUACUGCCGCCGCCCCGAGCCACCCUGAGCGCCGCCGCUGCCGCUCCAGCCGCCUGCAGCCAUCCAGCCCGAGCCCGAGCCGAGGCCUGUGUGCGGCCUCUCCCCUGCGUCGCCGCCACCUUGGACCAUCCCUGCUGCCUUCCUCAGAGCCUCGGCGACCACCCCGGCCUGUCGCCGCCACCCCAGCGGGCUGCCGCCGCCGCCUCGGCCAACCUGUGGCCGCCCAAGGUCUGCUCGGGCCGAGCAUACCUUGCAAGCUCUCCCUCGCCCGAGGCCACCCGUGCCGCCUCCCGCCGACCUCAGGCAACUCCCCGCCGUCGUCCCUGAGCUCCCCGGCCGCCGCCGUGGCCGCCAUUGCCGUGGAACCCGAGCCCUAGCUUGUGCGGGCUCGGUUUGCUCCGCUGCCGCCGCCGGCGCCGCUCCUCGCCGCCAACCUAGGUGAGCACGGUUGAUAAUCAGGACACUCCUAAACCGAACUCACUUCGUAACUGAACUCACUCCAAGGCGACGCAUUCACGAAGGAAAAAAGAUUGCUCAUGCACCAAAGUUCUGAAUCAUCUUUUAUUAAUUUAUUAAUAUUAUCCUCAUACAAUGAAGCUUUACACCUUAUUUAUAAUAUCUUUAGCCUUAGAUACACAUAACUAACUUCGGAUUCGAUCUUAUCUUAAAUAACUAAAUAUAACAACCUUAUCAAGAGAUAAAUCUAAAAUAAAUACAGAUAAAACUAAAUAAGAGGAUAGCUAAAAUUUCUCAUUUAACUAACUAAAAGAUAUGCUCAACUAAUCCAAUCUAAGUUAAAAAAUGAUGAACUAAAUCGGUUUAAUCCGAUCAAUACUAGUUCCGGCCUGUUAUACAUCACCUAAUGCAUUGAUACCUUCCAGACUACUAACUUUUGAUUACUCUUGUCAUUAGUCACAUUCAGAAAAAUAUUGAAUGCAGAAAAACAGUUACAUUGGUGCAAGGGAAUGUGAGAGGUCCAAAUAGAGAAGAUUCAAUAAGCAAUUUUCUUUAGUACCAUAUAAACACAAGAAAAACCAAGUCUCAUUAAACUAGUCAGGAAAAGCAAAAAGAAGUACGAAUACUUUGUCAAUCAGAACAUAUUACGUGUGACUAGUGAUGAGAAGAGAGCUUCUUGUGCCUCUCCAAAUAUCUCAACUUAUAUUCUUUUACUACAAAGAAAACUGAGUAGCCAACAGCGAAUUGGAGCAGUGGACCAGUUUGUUUAUCAAUGCAUCAUAAUAGAUCUAAUUCAAGAACAAUGUUUUAAUUUUUUGUGCAAUACCUAUUCUUACUAUUCAGAGGAUAUAAUAGUGAUGUCUAUAAAAUUUGAGAACUAAAAAACAAGGAAAAGUUUCUGAUGUCAAAGAGAAGAGAAUAAGUGAGCACAAAUUAAGAAGUCUUUAUGGCUUGAAACCUUACAAUCACUCAAAAAUUCAUGAAAUUCAGUAUGUUAUGUGUGUCCCUAGUGAAUUAUAUAAAGAGACAAUCACAUCAGUUCUCAGUUCCAGCUCAGACUCUUAGGGCUGCUCAUAUAGUCACUUGAUCGAAAAAUCCACCCGGUAUAACCAACAUAAAACAGUUACGUGAUGAGUUUUUAUGUUGCAAUAUUUCUAAUGAUAGCUGGAAACCUCUUCUAACGAAGCAAUAUUCCUGAUUUGAAAAAAAUAUUUAAAAAAAAUUAAAAAAAAAAAAAAACAGCAUUAAGUGUCAAAAUUCCCGUGACUUCUUCCAGGCGUUCUACCCCAACCUGAACAUGAUGUCACAUUUAAUUUCUUCCAAUAAUCUCUAUAUUGAUUAGUUAGUAUACUUCCUGUUAUUGUCAAGCAGUUGGAUCUUUACAGCCCACAAUGCUAACUCGCCCUGUAUUAGUACACUGUUAGAUCACAAAUAUGUUAGUAAAUUCAUUUGACACUGAAUGGCUAUAAACCACCAAAUUUCCAUCCUAAGCUGAGAACAGCCAUUUAAAAAAAAAAAAAAAAAAGAUUUAAUGAAUUAAAAGGUUGUCUUUGAACUGCGUGAGCUUUACACCCGUGUGACUAGUAUCUAACAGGUGUUUUAUCAUUCUCCUUCCCCUUUCUUCUUCUAUUCCAACGCUUUUCUUCCUCUGUGCUAUAGAACUCACGACUAUAGUAAUUCAUACUUUUCAUCCGAAUAGCCGCCUAUAUCAAUUAGGCAUAAAUCACCUCCUUUUCUUCUUCUUUUUUUUUUUUGAUGUUAAAUGUUUGCUUACUAUUUGCAUCGAUACAUCAAUCGUCGAGGAAAAUCCUUAACCACCUCAUUACACUGUCUAAACUUAAAAAGAGCCAACAAGGAGACACUCUUCAGUUGUGAUACACAUAAUUAUUGAAAAUUUAGUAAUUUGUGUGGAUAAGCAUUUGAUUAAUCAUUAUUCACAAACGAUAAAAAUUAAAUAAAUAUUAUGCAUUAGAAUUACAAAACGCAACAAUGUGGUAAGAUUGCCUUAUUCAAGGAAAGUUAUCAUACUAGAAAAUGAUGGGCCAACAAGAAGUUUGAGAAAGGAUAUGUUACUUCUUACUAAUUUUGAAUGUAUGUUAAUAAAUUGUUAUAUUAAAAAUAUGGAUAAUGUUUCUAUAUUUAUAUGUAUUAGAUUAACUGUCUAUAUUAUGCCUUCUAAUUGUAGGAAAAUAUAGUGAAGAUGCAAUCACAACCCCCUACUGAUGAGAAUAAAGUUCCUAUGACUAAGCAAGAAAUUUGUGCUAAAAUACUUGAGACUAGAUAUGGAUAUAUACUUGGGCGAGCUCAUGGUCCAAAGCCUAAGUCACGACGUGAAGUUUCAUAAAAUCAAUCCUCAAAAUUGCAAAAGAAUUGACAAGUAUAAAAGACUUUUCGAGAGACCCAAUAAUGCAGGAUGGUUUAGGAUUUUCGAGAAUUACUUAAAAAUACGGAUUGAGCGAUUCUUAGAAAUCAAACUAAAAGAAAUAAAUGACAAAUCUGGAAUUCGCAAACUUAAAUAAGAGAACAAUUAGGAAAGAUCACACCUUGGAGUUUCCGUACGAUCGGAUCCAUCGCACGCACGCGGACGAGUUAGUUUAAUUUCUUUCGAUCGUCGGAUCAUAGCCGCUUCGCUAGAAUUUGAAGAAGACUUAAUCGCAAUCUCGAUCAGAUGGUUAUCGCGGCAACGGCGGAUCGUUCAGAUUGUUGUUGUUGUUGUUUUUUCCUUCGGUCUUUGAUCAAGCCCACCCCGGUUCCUACCCGUACGGAUAGAAGGAAAGAGGGAGGAUGCGCACGGAUAAGGAGCGGAAAUCCCACGUAUGAUUUGUGGAGGGAUCCCGCGGGUGGGUCCCACACGAAUAAGUCGAUCUCAACGGCCCUCUUGAAUUGUAACGGAUCCAACAGCUCUAAAAUAUAGAGGCGGAAAGAGAAGAGAGAGGCAAAAGAGAUAAUUCACAGAACUCGCUCUCAAGUCUCAAGCCGGACUCACUCCAGUCAACGCUUUCGCGAAGGUAGAGAAAAUUCACCAGGAAAUCAAACAACUCAAUUUUCAUUAAUCGAAAGCAUAGCAUACCUUACAAUAGAGACUUGACUCUUAUUUAUAGAGGGUAUAGAUUAAAACGACUACGAAUACGACUAGGGAGUCCGAAAAGGAAAUUAAAUAAAUUCACAUAGUAGAAUUCAAAAUAGAAUUCUAAAAAGGAAUAGAAUUCUAAUUUAAAACUUCCAAAUAAACUAGAAAUCCUAAUCUAAUAAACCAAGAUUAACCCACAGAAUCUUAAUCAAACUCAGACUCAAUUUAGGAUCUGAAUCAGGCUCAGAUUCAAGUUAGGCUUUUAAUACCGGUCCAUCAUCCAACCAAAUAUUUCAAAUAUGGUUGCGACAACGAGUAUAAGUCCGGUAAGGACUCGGUUCUCCAUCACCCAACAAUCUCAAAUUGAGACUCAACAAUCUCAAAUUGAAGCUCAAAGUAAAGAGAUUGAAUAGUUAAAGACUAUGGUGCAACAAAUUAUUCAAAUGUCACCAAGAAAUGAUGAUUUUGAACCAUCUACUAUGUGGUAAAUAAGAUUCUUUUGAGUAUUUUUUCAAAUUUAAUUUUUCCUAUAUCAUUUGUUGUCAAAAUCUUAUAUACUUAUAAAAGUUAACUACAGAUAUUAACUAUAUUGGAAUAAAACAUUAUUAUACUUCAAAAGGACAUAUCCUUUUGCUUACACAAAAUAACUAAGUCAAUUAAUCGUAACUUAUUUAUCCAUCUUGUAUUAUCAUCUUAGUCUUUUGUGAAGUGGUGUAAAUAGAUUGUUUAGACGAAGUAAUAAUUAAUUAGAUAAAUUUUGGUACCUUAUUAAUAAUAAUAGUUUUAUACUUUUUGUGCAAAUAUGUGCAAAUGGACUAUACCGGAGCAAGCCAAGUACAAAAUUUUUUCAAAGAUAGAAUUUUGCAUUUUGGUUGAAAAAAUAUUAGUGAACACAUAUUAGAAUGAUUAAUCAAGAUUUGGAUAUUUUAACUGUUCAAGAAAGAUACAUUUGAUUGGCUAUAUUUUAUUUAUUUCGAUUUGCGCAGAUACUUUGAAUUGGAAAUAUAUUUUGGCUUGUUUAUUAAUUUUUAUGUAUAAUGUUUGAUGAUAAUUUGAAUUGUAAAAUGUGAGAAAUUGUCAUAAAAAUAGCAGAUGCAUAUUGCUAUUUAAUUGAUCGAUGAAACUGCGACCAAACUAUUUGUUACUAAUAUAUAAUUGGAUGUAUAUUUGACAGAUGAACUUGCGACCAUAUUUUUGGUCUCAAAAUAUUAGUUAAAUUAAUUAACCUGUCACUGAAGUUGCAACAAACUAUUCUCGUUGCUAUACUAUCAUAAAAAUAUAAAAUUAUUUAAAAAUAAUGGCUUUUGGCAGCGAAUAGAAUUUGUUGCAAUUAAGUUAUAUUUAGCAACGAAAAUAUACUAUCUAAAUGUAUAUUUAGCAACAAAUUAUCAGGCAAGUAGCGACCAUUUAUUUUGUCUCUAUUAGUAUAUUUAGAGUGGCAAAUCUUUUGUCGUCACUAAAUGUAGCAAACAACAGCGACCAAUUGCUUUACUUCGUCAUUAAAACAUUUUAGCGACGAGGCUGUAGCGAUAAAGAAGCAACGAAGGUUUUUUUGUGCUAAAUAGCAGUAGCGACGAAUUUCUAUCCUACAGCAACAAACAUUGUGGGCUGCAAAGGCCUAAAUUUUUAUAGUGACCAAAGUAACAAACAGACUUUUCUUAGUUUCUCUUAUGAUACAUUGUACAAAGUACAAAUCUAUCACAUUCAAAAUAAACCUUACCGAAGUGUCACUCUAGAAGUACUAAUUAACAUCAUAAUGAAACUCACUUGAUUCUUGAGCAAGAAUCAUGGCUUCGGGCAAAGAUUCUCCCAUUUAAACAAAAGAGCCCAAGAAAAGGUACUUGACUACUUUAAACUUCCACAUGAACUGAAAUACAGGGGGCGACUAUUUAGCAGAUCUAUCAGGGGAUUAUAUAGACAAGGGAACUAGAAACAUCACUAAACUUAGAACAUCAAUCUUAAUACUUUUCUACUUUCAAUUCUAAUCUACCAUGUCAAAGGUACUUCUUUAAAACCUAAAGACCGUCCAAAUAAGAAUUUUGCACCAACAAAAAUCACUUCUAAAGUAGCAAUAACUCAUAGCCAAGGCUAAGAGAUUGUUAUAAAAUAAAUUAAACAUAUUCACCUCCAAUUCAACUAGUACAAAACUACCCCAUUGUGAGUGAAGUUCACGACCAUCUCUAUGUAAUCUCAUACCAAGCACCCCCAGGUGGCCCAGGAUGAAGAAAAACUAACCUAAAAACUUGAUAGCUCCAAGCGGAGGUACAAAUAGGUCUCUAGUGAAUUUUCAACCUUGGAUUACAAAUUAGCCCCCAAGAAUGAAUAUUAUUAGAAUUGAAGUUCCCACAUUUGCUAUUGCAUUUCUUGUCCAAUAAAAAUUCUGAGUGGAUUAGGAUCAUGGAAGAUGAUAUUAGCUACGGCUAUUCAACUACUUAUUUCCCAUAGCACUAUGAAGUUGGGUGCUAGUGCUUGUAGAAGAGAGCUGAUAAGACGAUGGGCACAAGACAACGGGCAUCUUACCACUGCAAGUUGGCUGGCAUGCCCAGUUUGCGUGUUGUAGAGGCCAAUACUACAAGGAUUGCUCUUAGCGAUCAGUCCUACCAAAAGAGUAGACUAACAAGAAAGCACGCACCAACAGAAGAUAUGGUGGCUCCAUACGUUAUAUAACCAAUUAUUGAACUGAUUUCCAUUUGCAUACUUAUUGAAUUGGAACUUCCCUAGCGGGCAAAACUAAUUUACUGAAUAGGGUUAGCCUUCCACUACUAUGUUCACCUACGAAGCCAGGAAAACCAAAUUCAAAAUCCUUAGUAGCAUGCCACUUUGUACUUGGACGUGAUUACCAAAAUUUUGCAGCAUACCAAAACGUCCUGCCUACGACCACUUGGUUCAAACAUCACGGAGGGAAUCGAAACAGCGAUAUAAAAAAAAAAAAAGUUAAUAAUUUCACGAGACUAUUUUUCCCUAACAAUCCACGGUUGACACUAACUUAAAAGCUAAUCGAAGAUAACAUCAACACAUCAUAGUAAACAUAUAUGCUUUGCAAGCAAGGCUGGAAUACAAUUAAUAGCACCAAACUCUUUGUGCUAUAGAGUCAUUUUUGAUGUUUGGUGAUCAUUUACUUGGUGAUCAAGCGACCUCAAAAGUGACAAUUUCAACGGUCUAUAUAGGGUGUUUUCUCGUUUAACAGUGUAGAAUAAUCCAAAUCACUUGAAUUUUUAAUAGAAAAUUCUUUCAACUAUCUAGAAAAUGAUCUACUACUCCCAAUAUAAAUCUAAGAUCUCUAUCACUUAUUUUUAAUGAUUGUUCAAUUUUGACCGUCCAUUUCUUGGCAAGUUGAUGGCCUAGAAUAUAGUUUUCAAAGAUCAUAAAAUUCAGUAGAUAGAAUGCUCAACUAAUUGAUCAUGUUUAAUGGUGUCAAUGGUCAAAUAUCAUCCAAAAAGACUCUAUAGCACAAAGGUGGGGGUGCUAUUAAUAAUAGCACUGUAGCUCAACUCUAUGUACUGCAAAUAUCAAUUUAAGAGUGAGAAAAAGCACCGGAAAGAUCCAUGAUUCCAGAGUCGGCCCACUUAUAUCCAAUCCAAAGGAAUGGAAGCUUACUUGUACUUUGGGUUUCGCCAGCGCUUCUUGCUACAUAACUCAUUAAGCUUCUGCUUAGCUUCUCUAUGCUCCCCUGCUUCACUACCAACUUGUGCUCUUGUCAACAAAUCCGAUUUAGAGUUUGCCAAGUUAUGCAGGGCGUCCCUGGCCGCGUUAAGCUUCGCAAUCAUCUUUUGCUCCGAGGAUCCAAUCCCAACGAGAUCCCCGUCCACAAAGACAUUAACAACAUUUGUAUUAUCCCUCCGCCAGUGCUUGAACAUGGCAUUCUUUUUAUACUUCUGGCAGAGCUCGUGAAGAGUCGUCACCGGCUGCUCGUCCACCGUCUCCGCUGUGAUAAUCGGCUCCAUAAUUCCCCUUAUAACCUAUGUGCGUUCCAAAAACCCCAGUACAACAGAAAAAACCUUCUUUCUUUGGUCUUUAACUAGAAUGGAAACUAAUUGUGAGAAGUAACGGAGAGAGAAGAGCAAGAACCUUCCAAAGCAUCUCGAGAUGGAAAUUGGAAUCAACAUAGACGGCUGCGGCGAUCGCCUCGACGAUGUCAGCUAAGACCUUGGGGGCUUUGACGGUGCUGCCGCCAUAGAGAAGUCCUACGAGGUCGUCCUCCGGCUCCUGCAGCACGGCUUCCGUAAACUGGCUAACCUGAAUAGGAUGAGGAGGGGGGGAGGGAGGUGGGGGAGAACAGCUCCGGAAUUAGAGAUAAAAAGAUGAAAGAAUUGGGAUUUAGUGUAAUGUGGGGGGAGGAGUCGGGUUACGAGCUGGUCGAGGCGUGGGGAGUUGCGGCGGAGGAGAGGGUAGAGGCGGUGGCGAACGGCGACGCGGGCGAGCUUCUCGGUGGAGAUGUUGGCGGCUCGGAGAACGGAGAGAGAGCCGGGACCGACGUCGGGGUUGGUGAGGUAGAGGUAGUUGGAGAAGGCGAGGCCGAGGGCGGCGUCGCCCACGAACUCCAGCCGCUGGUACCAUAGCCCAGGAGCCGCUCCACCCUGGCCACCGCCGCGCUCAUCUCCUCGUCGUCCUCGUCGUCGCCGAGGCCGGGGCCCACGAGCAGAGGAAGGGGAUUCAUUUCCAUGUCUUCAAAUUUUCCUUUUCUUCUCUUUCUUUCUCGAUCUUCUUCUAUGUACUGAUUUAUUCCGAGUAGGAGGAGAUUUAGUAAAGGCUUCGCCACCAGGAGGGGAAUCUAUUUCAAGCAGAAAGGCUUUUCAGUAAGGUCCCUGCUUUAGAAGUAGGGUAUCUGUGUAUGUAUCUAAUUUUGAAUCCAAGUAAUAAAUGCAACUUUCGUGCUCAUUGAUCGCUGUUGACGCCCGUAGCAAGGCGACUUCAACGUCCGCCGCCGAGUGAAUUUUUUUUCUUCGGGUAUUUCUAAAAUUAUAAAUAAAUUUAAGGCCUUUUUGCAUAAAAAAUUCACUUACUUUGGGUUUUUACAAAAUCGGGCCACCUUUCUCGUUUUUGCAGAUUCGGUCCACUUUUUCAGCAAACUGAUCAAAAUAUCCUUAUUACUUUUUCUCUUUCCUCUUUCUCUCUCCUCUUCGUUCUCUCGUUCUUUUUUUUUCCGCGAGAAAAAAAAAGCGAAGGCCAGGCGGAGCAAUUUUUUCUUCUCUUUUUCUUUUUCUUCUUCUUCUUCUUCUUCUUCCUCUUGCUGGAGCACCUUUCUUUUUUCCCUCUUCUUCUUCUUCUUCUUCUUCCUGUAAGAGCACGGGGCGUGCCACGGCGACUUCUGGCCUCGCCAAGCGGCAUCCACCCGGCGGCGUUCUGCAGGGAGGGGUCGGCACCGGCGACCGCGAGCGCCGCGGCGAGGGUAGGGGCGCAGGGAGGCGGGCGGCGAGGUGGAGCGGGGUGUCGCAGCCGGGGACGUCGCGCCGGUCGAGGGCGGCGGUCACGCGCGCUGCCCGGGGCUCCGCUCGGGCGGUGUCGGCCGCCGUCGCGAUCUCCGACGGCUGCUUUUUCUUCUUCGUAAUGGUGUAAUGGUGCACGCGGGCCGGUGCACGCAGCGGCAGCGAGCGGGCACGCGGGCGAGCUGCGGCUGCUUCUUCUUCGUCGUAAUGGUGUAAUGGUGCACCAUUACACCAUUAAUGGUGAAAUUACACCAUUAACGGUGCACACGACCCGCGGAGCGGAGCCGCUUGUGGAGCUCCGCCGGGCACAACCGGCCGAGGGCCUCCUCGAAGCGCGCCAGCAGCGCGGCGUGGCACCGGCGCUGCCGCGCGGAGCGGGCAGCGAAGUCAGCGUACCGACGAGCAGCGGUUCCGCCCCCUCCAUAGAAGCUACAUAAUCUGUACAGUGUACACUACCUAUCAGAAUAUAAAAAAACACCCACCACCAACAACUAUUCCUCCAUCCUAGCCGUCGAAAAGAGAUCAAAUACAUCAAAAUUAUCCGAAUUAAUCGCAAGUAAUAAAAAUAAUAUAAAAGGAGAAUCAUAGAUUAAUCAGAGGGCUGAGCCUGAGAUCGAUCGCGAGCCCUCCUGACCCUGCUCCCCCACGUCUGCUCCCCUCCUCGCUCCGUCGCCGCCCUUCUCCCGAGCCCCUCCACCAGCGCCUCCCAAUCCCCAAACCCUCCGCCGCCGCCGCCGCUGCUGCGCCCGCGCCUCCUGCGGAGGGCGACGCCGCUGCCCACAGCCGCGGCCAGCUUUUAUCCGGGCGCGACACCGGCCGCGUGGAGGGCGACGGUCGUGUGAUUCUCGCAGACGCGAGACAGGGGUCGGAGAGCACUCGUAGGCCGUAGACGCGCGCACAAUGAAGCUCAGCGAAGGGCCACCUUGUCCCGUCGCUUCUGGCAGCCGUCGGGUUGCCAACCACGCACGCCCGCCAGUACGCGCGGCUGCUCCGCCACGGCCAGCGCCGCUCACGCGCGCUGCUGGGCACGCUAUCGAGGGCCUCGGCCGGCUGCGCGGGGAGCUUCCACAGCCGGCUCCGCUCCGCGGGCCGCGCACGUUAAUGAUAGUAACCAUUAGACCAUUAAUGUGGUAUGCCGUGAAAUUACACUUACAUUAAUGGUGUAAUUUCACCAUUGGUGUAAUUACACCAUUAACGGUGCACACGGCCCGCGGAGCGGAGCCGCGGGUGGAGCUCCGCCGGAUGCAGCUAGCCGAGGGCCUUCUCGAAGCGCGCCUGCAGCGCGGCGUGGCGCUGGCGCUGCCGCGCGGAGCGGGAAGCGAAAUCAGCGUGCCGACGAGCGGCGGUUCCGCCCCCUCCAUCCCCUCCUCCUGACGAUCCCUCCCCGCAUCCCGACGAGCGGCGGUUCCGCCGCCACUUUGACGCCGCCGGCGCCGUCUUCUCCGCCUCCGCCGCCAAGCUCGAGCUGUCCGCGCGCCUCCUGCGUGAGCAACGCAUGCUGGGGCUGGCGCUCGCCGCCGCCGGCAGCAACCUCGGCCACGAGUUCGAGCGGCUGCUUCGGCCACAACUUCGCUGCCCGCUCCGUGCGGCAGCGCCAGUGCUACGCCGCGCUGCUGGCGCGCUUCGAGGAGGCCCUCAGCCAGCUGCGCCCGGCGGAGCUCCACCCGCGGCUCCGCUCCGCGGGCCGCGUGCACCGUUAAUGGUGUAAUUACACCAUUACACCAUUAAUGGUGUAAUGGUGCACCAUUACACCAUUACGACGAAGAAGAAGCAGCCGCAGCUCGCCCGCGUGCCCGCCCGCCGCCGCUGCGUGCACCGGCCCGCGUGCACCAUUACACCAUUACGAAGAAUAAGAAGCAGCCGUCGGAGAUCACGACGGCGGCCGACGCCGCCAGAGCGGAGCCUCGAGCGGCGUGCGUGACCGCCGCCCUCGAUCGGCGCGACGUACCCGGCUGCGACACCCCGCUCCACCUCGCCGCCCGCCUCCCGCGCGCCCCCACCCUCGCCGCAGCGCUUGCGGUCGCCGGUGCGACCCCUCCCCGCAGAACGCCGCCGGGUGGACGCCGCUUGGCGAGGCCGGAAGUCGCCGUGCCGCGCCCCGUGCUCUUACAGGAAGAAGAAGAAGAAGAAGAAGAAGAAGAAGAAGAAGAGGGAGAAAAAAAAAGGUGCUCCAGCAGGAGGAAGAAGAAGAAGAAAAAGAAAAAGAGAAGAAAAAAUUGCUCCGCCUGGCUUUCGCUUUUUUUUUCCGAUGGAAAAAAAAAGAACUAGAGAACGAAGAGCAGAGAGAAAGAGGAAAGAGAAAAAGUAAUAAGGGUAUUUUGGUCAGUUUGCUGAAAAAGCGGACCGAAUCUGCAAAAAACGAAAAAGGUGGCCCGAUUUUGCAAAAGCCCAAAAUAAGUGGAUUUUUUUAUGCAAAAAGGCCUACAUUUUAUAACCGGGCGAAUUUGUAUAAAAAAUUUAGGCUAAUUUGCAUAAAAAAUCCACUAGUUUUGAACUUUUGCAAAACCGGGCCACCUUUUUUAUUUUUGCAGAUUCGGUCCGAAUUUUCAGCAAACUAACUAAAAUACUCUUAUUAUUUUUUCUCUCUCCUCUUUUUUUUCUCUCGUCUUUUUUUUUUCUCUCUUAAGAACGCAGCGAUGGCGGAGGCGGAGGCGGAGGCGGAGGCGGAAACGGAAACAGCCCGCCUCGCCUCUCACCCUCAUGCUCUCGCCCUCACCCACGCACCCUGCGCCUUCCUCGCCUCCGACCCCGUCGAGACUGCGCCGCGACUCUUUUUUUUUUUCCCCCUCUCCGCCUCCGACGACGACCCGCCUCCGACGACGAUGCCUCUCUCGCCCUUCCCCGCUUUUUCUCACCCUUUUCCUUUCCCUCCUCCUUCGUUUCCUUCACCACUUCCGACGACGACGCCUCUCUACCGACACUGACGUCACGAAGGUCGCUGCGACGCCGCAGCCUCGUAACGGGAAGUCCUUAGUGACGCCAUCGCCGGUGCAGUGGUCGUUGGCAGAGAGGCAUGACAAAAAAAUUGUAGAAAAAAAUAAUAAAAAAAAUAAAGACAAAAAAAAUAGAAGAUGGAAGAAGAAGAUGAAAUUGCACUGUUUAAAAAAAAUUACACUAUUUUAAAAAAAAUUUCACUGUUUUAAAUGAAAGUUGCACUCUUUGAAAAAAACUUACACUCUUUGAAAUCACAUUACACUAUUUAGAACAAAAGUGCACUAUUUUGACAAAAUUUACACUAUUUCGUUUUCUAUUUUCCACACUAUUUCUCUUCCAUUUUUCUUCUUCUUUCUCCUUCCUCUCAUCCUCAUCCUCAUCCUCAUCCUCAUCCUCAUCCUCCACCUCGAGAGAGAGGAUUGAAGGGGCGGUGGUAGCGCAAGAGCGAGCGCACCUCGUCGGGGAACCUCGCGGCAUGCAUCCGUCACGACCACGACGCCGGUCUCCCCUCCGCUGCAGCCGCCUCCCCCGCGCCCUCCUUCGUCGCCGCCACCUCCCCUGCGCCUCCUUCUCUUUCGCAGCCGCAGCCUCCCCCGCGCCUUCCUUCCCCUUCACAGCCACCGCCUCCUCCGUGCCCUCUCCUUUCCCUUUGCCGCCCCUUCGCCACCUCCGCCUCCCCCGCGCCCUCCUUCUCCUUCGUCGUUGCCGCGAGGUCAACCUCCUCCUCGACCACAGUGACGAUCCACGGCUCCAGGCGCCAGAUCCCGGCUCCGCGCCAGAUCCUCGCUCCUGCGCUACCAUCGCCCCUCCAAUCCUCUUCUCUAGAGGUGGAGGAUGAGGAUGAGGAUGAGGAUGAGAGGAAGGAGAAAGAGGAAGAAGAAUGGAAGAGAAAUAGUGUGAAAAAUAGAAAAUGAAAUAGUGUAAAUUUUGUCAAAAUAGUGCAAUUUUGUUCUAAAUAGUAUAAUAUGAUUUCAAAGAGUGUAAUUUUUUUUUUCAAAGAGUGCAACUUUCAUUUAUAAUAAUGUAAAAAUUUUUAAAACAAUGCAAUUUUUUGCAAUUUCAUCUUCUUCUUUCUUCUUCUAUUUUUUUUGUCUUUAUUUUUUUAUUAUUCUUUUCUACAAUCUUUUUUUGUCAUGCCUCUCCGCCAACGACCACUGCGCCGGCGAUGACAUCGCUAAGAACUUCCCGCUUCGAGGUUGCGGCGUCGCAGCGACCUUCGCGUCGUCAGCGUCGGCAAAGAGGUGUCGUUGUCGGAAGUGGCGAAGGAAACAAAGAAGGAGGGAGAGAGAAAGGGCGAGAAAAAGCGGGGAAGGGCGAGAGAGGCGGCGUCGUCGGAGGCGGGUCGUCGUCGGAGGCGAUGGAGGAGGGUCGGAGAGGGGAAAAAAAAAGAGUCGCGGCACAGUCUCGACGGGGUCGGAUGUAAGGAAGGUGCAGGGUGCGUGGGUGAAGGCGAGAGCAUGAGGGUGAGAGGCGAGGCGGCCUAUUUCUGCCUCUGCCUCCGCCUUCGCCAUCGCUGCAUUCUUCAGAGAGAGAAAAAAAAAAUGAGAGGGAAAAAAUAAUAAGGGUUUUUUGGUCAGUUUGCUAAAAAUUCGGACCGAAUCUGCAAAAACGAAAAAGGUGGUCCGAUUUUGCAAAAACCCAAAACUAGUGAAUUUUUUAUGUAAAUUGGCCAAAAAUUUAUAAAUUUAUAAAUUUUAAAAUUUUAUAAAAAUAGAUCAUUAUUUUAGAUUUUUUAAAACUACGUCCGAAUUUUUAAAAAACUUACUAAAAUACCAGUACUCUUUUUUCUCUCUCCUUUUUUUCUCGUUCUUUUUUUUUCGUAACUAUUGCGGCGGCACAUCCUUCCUCCACCUUCGCCGACUAUCGAAUUUUUGAUCGUUGGAUGAAAGGAUGUACGGUUAGGAUGAUAGUGGCCCCCGGUUAGGAUGAUAGCGAUCUCCUAUGAUUGAAUGGGUGGUUGAUUGAAUAGUAUAAUCUAACCGGUGUAAAUGAUCAAAGGGUAGAUCUAACGGCAGAAAACUCGAUAGUACCAAAAGCUUGGUACUAUUGAUAGUAUUGUAGCCGAACUCUCUCUCUCUCUCUCUCUCUCUCUCUUUAUAUAUAUAGUAACUCUAACCCAAAUCAACUCCUCUCCCUCUCCCCUCUCUUUCUUUCUCUUUAUAUAUAUAGUAACUCUAACUCAAAUCAACUCAUCUCCCUCUCCCUGCAACGCCGCUGGCUCCACUCCGGCAGACUGGAUCAACUUCCCUCUCUCUCUCUCUUGUCAUCCUUUAUGGGUAUUCUUGAGUGUGGCUGCCAUUGCCGCCGCCAUCGCCGGCCUCAAGGAGGUCCGACAACCCUCCUCUCCAGCUACCCGACUGCCGAGCCUUCCCCUGCGCCAUCUCCCAACUUGGAACCCGAGGGCGGGUGUUCUUCAGGCUGCACCACUUGCCCGACCACAUUGCCGCUCCUGGCCUCUGUGAGGUCUGGCAACCCCCCUUCGGUCAACCACCAUACCCCCAAGCCUACCCCAUCGUCGGAUUUUAUUUUUAAACCCAAGAGCAUUUAAGUUGGCUGCUAUAUCCUUGGCGCCGCCACCACCACCCCCACCUUCACCUCUGUUGCCGAUAGCUGCCUCCCCCGGCCCCUCCUCGUUGACCACAGAUCCCUCCGACUGUCGUGAGCUGUAGGGUUUUAUUGGAUUUUUGUGAUUUAAAACUUGUUAGCCAUCUUGGGGAGCUCAACAAUAAUUAAUGGGCUCUGCUUGGGAGCCCAACGAAAGUUUCCAUUUGUAAGAUUUAGUCCCACAUUGGAAACUAAAAGGAUGUUGAUGGUAUUUAUAUAUUCCUUUAUUCUCAAGCUAGUUACUUGGGAGAAAAUGAGAGUUAUGCUCUUGUUUACACACAUGCACGCACGGCACGAGCCGGGCCAGAAGGGUGGUAGCGCGCGCAGUUCAUACACCCGGUUUAUUUUAUUUUUAUUUUUUUCGGUUUUAUCUUUAUCCUAAUCAUAAUCCGUAUAAUCUUAGGAUUAUCUUGUUCUACACGGAUUUGACGUCUUGAAGUAAAAUUCUCGCCUUGGUUAUAUGUAAUACACUGAACUUUCGCAAAUUGUAGAGUUCGAGUGUGUGGAAUGAUAUGUGGAUUUAUCCUACAUGUUCUAUAUGACUUGGACAAGUUUUUGAACAAAUUAGAGAGUGAUUGGAUGGUUAAAAACAAGAAAGUGCAUUGAACUGGCGGAAUUCAGCUUUUUCUGCUUGGUGUACCGGUACAGCCACUAUGGUGUACCGGUACACAUAGGCAGAUACGUGGCAGCAUGGGUAGUUUGGUAAUUUCACAUUCCUAACCUUAUCUCCUUGCCCCAGCACGACUCCUAGAGCAUCUUGGAAGGUAGUAGAGCUCAGAGCAGGGUUCUUGUCCCUCUCCUACUCUCUCUCUCUAGGGUUUUUCUCUCUUUAUAUAGGAAUCAGCGAUUUUGCUCGUUUUCGUCGCCUCGCUCGUUCUUCGCUGUUGCGGGUGUCGCUGAGCCUUCGUGGACGUGUGAAAGAGUGUUUUGGAAGGCUUUUCACAACUCUGAACCAGUAGUUCACUGGUUGGAGGCCCGAGAAGGUAAUCGACUCAAUUUUUCCAUUAAUAAUGUUGAGUUGAGUAUAGAUUUCAGGUUUUUGCUUUCCACUGUUUUAAUCGGGGAUUUCAGCAAUUAAAGAUGGGUUAAUUAGAUGUGAAUUAACCUUCUUAGAUCAGGGAUAAGCUAUUUUGAAGCUUAGUAGGGAUAAUUAGUUCACUAUGAAGUUAUUUCGGAACUAUAUGCGAGUUGUUUGAGCGACCUAAUGUAGUUUGGAACUCAUUCCUUUGCAGCAGGUUUUCGAAUCAUUUUGAGCUAAUUUGUUGACCUUGGGGACUAGUCUAGACGUGUUCUAACCUGAGGUAAGCAGGAAUUUCGGUUAGAAAACUGAAUUCGCAAGAUUCUGAAAGUUUUGAGGAGCCCAAGGAUCUAUCUAGAUUGUAUCUAUCACCUAGAGGGGGGUGAAUAGAUGAACGGCCAAAAACCACAAAUCUUGAUGCAAUAAAAUAAAUGCGAAAAAUAAAAAGCACACCGAGAUUUACGUGGGAAAACUCUAACUUGGAGAAAAACCCACUGGACCAACACGCGAAAAAAUAAUUCACUAAGAGAAAAGAUUACAAGGUGAUUACCGACUCCACGGACUCAACCUCUCUUAACCUCCUAUGAAUCUUCGCGCUACCCUCCGGGUUGUCCACGCCCUCACGUUCGAGUCCACGAACGUCUCCACUUCGAAUCCACGAAGCUUCAAUCACACCGAAUCCACGACGCCACUCGAAUCCACGAGCCAACGAUCCGAAUCCACGAACCGCCUUUGUUCACGCCGAAUCCACGACGCCGUUCAUAAAGAGCAUCAUGAUUAUUGUGAUCCUUCUCUUAGGAGUAUCGUAGAAAACCAGGGAAUAGAACUCCAAGCGAAGCGGAGAUCAAAUCGACAUAUAGAGAAUGCGAAACGAUAUCUCGAUUUGAUCUAAAGAGGCUAAUUUGUAGAAAAUAGGUUUAGAAUGAAAUCCGAGCCUCUAGGGUUUCUCAAACAUGUAUUCUUAUGAUGCUUAAUCAGUUAGAGAACCCCUAUAGCUUAUUUAUAGACUUUAGAAUCAAAACGGAGUAGAAUUAGAAAGUUUCUUUCCAAAAUCAGCACCUUGUACCGGAACAAGGAAUGCUGUCCAGGGUACACCAUGACGGAAGAUUUUUCUGCGAAGCUCCUGUACCCUGGAUAGCUUCAGCUUGUUCCGGAACAGGGCUUGUACCGGUACAGCAUGAAGCUUGUACCGGAACAACCAUCAAACUUUCUGCGCAACGUUGAUGGCUGUACCCUGGACAGAAAACCCUUGUACCGGUACAGCAAUGCAAUUUUCGCUGAAAAUGCAUUGUUUUGGAUUUUACAAACUCUUAGAAACUUUCUAAUCAAUUACAACUUGAAAACAUGAUUCUAAGAUCUAUAAUUAAGUAUGAAUCACCAUAAACAAGAUUUAAAGCUUACCUACGCAUCGUGAUUCAUGUUUUACGUGUUUUGCGUCCUUUCCGAUUCUUCGAAGUCUUGGAUUCUUCGAUCUUCAAUACUCCGCUCCGAACUUCUUCAAGACUCCGACUCGACCCACGAAACUUGCCAACACAUAGGACCUAACAAUCUCCCCCUUUGGCAAUUUCGUGACAAAACACACACAAACUCACAAAUUACAAUUUAAAGAAAAAACGAAGUUCAAUGUCAUCACCAAAACAUCGAACCCCUCGCGUGUAAUCCAAAUACAAUUUGAAACUCAAAAUUACAUCAAAACUCCUAAAACAGACUCUAUGACUUAGACGCAACUAGGAGUCUUGAAGUCUUGAUUUCCUGCAAAACACUUCAUUCAAAAAUGAUUAGCACUAAAUUCUUAUACCUUCUCCCCCUUUGUUCACAUCUCCCCCUUUGUUCUUGAACUCAUCAUCCUCUGCUUCAGUUCAAUGCCUGUUCAUCCAUGCUCUCCCCCUUCAUCUACGCUCUCCCCCUUUUUGUCAAAAAUUGCCAAAAGAAAGCAAAUAGAAAGAGAAAACAUACUAGAAAAACAUGAGAGUAGUCUAGUCAUAGUUACAGGCCUAAAACAAAAGUAAAAACAUACUACAGAAAGAUAAGCAAGCAAAUCUAAAACAUCGUCCUAAACAUCAAAUGCAGUGAAAGAAAGAGACUAAGCUCGACGAAGAAAUCACUCCGUGUCCUCAUCAUCAUCAUCAUCAUCUCCAGCACCAGCUCCAGAACCUCCAGCCUCAGGAGCAUCACCAGACGGUGGAAUGAGAGGAUGUCGUGAAGAUGACCGCUGAUACGAAGUAGAAGAUGGAGUAGGUUCCCAAAUAUCAUCAUGUCUACACCCCAUCUUAUCCAUCAAUCUUUUGAUACUUAACUCAAACUUUUUGAUGCCGGACUCAACUUUCCUUCCAAUGUUGUUCACCUUCUUCUUUAACUUUCGCAAAUCUUUCUUAACUGAUUCCAAUGUCGUCGCUUCCCCCGAACUAGAUGAAGUAUCAUAACUUCCUCGAGAUGUAGGCGGAGGAGCAGAACUAGAAGCUGCUCUCGGUGGAGGUGCUGGACUAGAUGCUUCAGGAGGUGGCCCUUUGGUCUGAUGGAAUGACUUGAGAGUGCUAACCGACUUAGCCCAAGUCACUGAGUCAAUAGGCCCAAGGCCAACAUCAUACUUGUCACAAGAUGUAUCCACUCCAUUUGCUUGAAGAAUCCUCGUAAUCAGAACAGGGAAUGGUAGUAGAUCCCGUCGAGUGGCACCCUGAAUUACGUGAAUCAUCCUUUGCCAGAUCAGAAAUGGAAUGUUGAUGUUCAACCCACGAGCCUGCUCGGGAUGACCAAGUAGAUAUAGCAACACUAAUCUCUCCCAGCGGAUCCUCUUUGUGCCGAUAGUUGGUUGAACAUUGUAGCUCAUAACCAAGGAUAGCAAGUGAUACUCAGGUAAUAAGUCCUUGGAUUCAAUGUAACCAUGAGUCAUGUAAACACCGGCUUUGCAUAUAGCUCCAAGAACGAUAUCCAGGUGAGUUGAUGCUUGGAAUCCUCCUGACGUAUAGAGAAGACCUGAAGUGUCCACAUGCAUCCCCAAGAUCUCUCCAAUAUCAUAGGGGGUAACUGGAAAUCUCCUCUGACGCACAACAGUCUCGAAGAUAAAAGUGCCUGUUUCAUCAUCUUCAGCAAGCACCUUUCCAUUCAUAUAGAACUCCCUAAUGAGUUCUACACAGAAAGGAGCCUUCGCAGGGACCCGUCCAACAGGCUCAAUAGGCGCGCGCUGUAGUAGUCGUCCAAAAUCAGGAACCUCCCGAAUCAGAUCAUGGAAGUUCACAAAGCGUUCAGCUAUGCACGACUUUGAUGCAAACAACCUUCGCCGUGCUGGAGGAACCUCUGCAGCUUGUUUUGAACGUCCCUCACGAGUACGAGAACCACCACCGUGAGAUGAUUCGCCAGCUAAACCUUUGCCUUUGUCAAGUCGCGCAAUAGGUUCUUCAGAUUCUUCAGGGGAGCUCUCCUGAUAAUCCGGAUCAGACCCGGACGCUUCUUCAGUGGUACGUGUCCUUUUAGAAACCCCAUGACGACCUCUACCACUACCACGGCUCCGUCUCCCAGCCAUGAGCACCAAAAGCACCAGUAUGAGCAAAAAUGCCAUUUUCCUAUAUCAAAAAUUGCAUACAUGAACAUAAUUUCUGGAAAAAAUCUGUAAAAAUAGCGAAAAAAUUUCUAAUUACAUUAGAAUGCAUACAAAAGCUAUUUCUAACCAGAUCAUGCAAAAUAUUUCAGCAAAAAUCGAACUUUUUGAAAAAUCCCGAAAUUACAUGCACAUUAGAACAUAAAUUUUAGAUCAGCGAAAAAUAACUUGUUUUGAUGUUGUUCAAGUGUUCUACAAGCAAGGUAAUAGCCUAAGACACUGAUCUAUAGCAAAAAAUUGCAUCAAAAACGGAUUAGAACAGAGAUCAAACCCUUAUCCCGCAAAAACAGUGAAAAUAGCAAAAUCGGGAUAAAACUCACAAAUUUGAUGCUAAAAACUUACAAAUCCACAGGAAAAAUGUGUAGAACGAAUGAAGGAGAGUCUCUGGAGCUCACAGAACCAAAAAUUUUGGAAAACGAUUGAGUUUUGAGAAAGAUCGAAGCGUUAUACCCGGUUAUAUUUCGCUCGGCCGCAGACCUUGUACCGGUACACGGGUUCUUGUUCCGGUACAAGGACCAAAAUGUGAAAAAAAAAUUUUCGAAAAAUAUACUUUAAAAAUCCAUCACAUUUAAAUUAAAUUCAUAUAGUUAAGGCUUUUACUCCAAAAAUCAUUGUAAUGAAAAUAAGAUAUUAUAAAAUUUCAAAACACAUCAAAACAUCAAAAUUUCAAAAUCAAAAAUAAUUUAAUGAUUCAAAAACAUCAAGAUGUAAGUUGAUGAAAAAUGAUUUUUAGAAAUUCAACAAAAUUGACACCAAUUUGUCGCAAUACAUUCAAAAUAGAGAUUUAACUAAUAUGGCACCGGGGGUGGCUCUUUGAGCAUCUUUUUCAAACUAGCACCUUAUUACUCCGAAAAUUCUAAAAUAUUUAUAUUUUUCCAACCUUUUUCGGCUUUUUCAAUUAAAUACCAUGUGGUAGCUUCACACACUUGCCGGACGACCGGGGUGGUAGCUCUUUCCUACAUGUGGUGGUAGUUUUCACACUCCUUUUGGAUGUAACUCUUUCCACAUCUUUUAAACAUAGGAGUUUCUUUUUCUCUUUUUUUUUUAAUUUCAAACUCCCCCUAAAUUAGGCAAUCUCACAAUUGAAAAUAAUUUUGACGAAUUUUAGUCAAUUAGAGAAUACCCAUUUAUCAUAUCCAACACUCACAACCAAGAUGAAUUAAUCACCAAAAAAUCAAAUUUGAUUUCAAAAUUUUGAUGAAUUUAUGCAUUAAGAAAUCAUAUAAUAAAUUAUCGUCAAAAUAAUAAAUAGUGGAGUAAAGACGAUAAUUAAUAUGAAUUUAACUUAAUAUGAUUGUGAAGUUAAACACCAUUUAAACAACUUUGAAAAAUAAUUUCUCUCUCCAAAAACAUGGAUCUCAAUCAUCUCUUUUCUCGAAAAUUUUGAAUUCCUAAACACCUUUUCUCAAAUCAAUUUUAAAAGCAACUUUUACACACGAAAAUCAUCAUGUAAUACAAUGAGUAAAAAUAUGCAACAAGCACCUAUCAAAGCAUUACAUUAAAGAUCAAAAAUGACUAAGACGAUGAGCAAGGAAAGAUAUCACCUUUCCGGAUCAAAACUUGUCGGAUCUUUGGUUUUCUCGGCUUGUCGACGUUAGGUGCCGUUUGUUUAGACUUUUGAUCAACCGUUGGUGGUUUCUUCGGUUGAGGCUUNNNNNNNNNNNNNNNNNNNNNNNNNNNNNNNNNNNNNNNNNNNNNNNNNNNNNNNNNNNNNNNNNNNNNNNNNNNNNNNNNNNNNNNNNNNNNNNNNNNNNNNNNNNNNNNNNNNNNNNNNNNNNNNNNNNNNNNNNNNNNNNNNNNNNNNNNNNNNNNNNNNNNNNNNNNNNNNNNNNNNNNNNNNNNNNNNNNNNNNNNNNNNNNNNNNNNNNNNNNNNNNNNNNNNNNNNNNNNNNNNNNNNNNNNNNNNNNNNNNNNNNNNNNNNNNNNNNNNNNNNNNNNNNNNNNNNNNNNNNNNNNNNNNNNNNNNNNNNNNNNNNNNNNNNNNNNNNNNNNNNNNNNNNNNNNNNNNNNNNNNNNNNNNNNNNNNNNNNNNNNNNNNNNNNNNNNNNNNNNNNNNNNNNNNNNNNNNNNNNNNNNNNNNNNNNNNNNNNNNNNNNNNNNNNNNNNNNNNNNNNNNNNNNNNNNNNNNNNNNNNNNNNNNNNNNNNNNNNNNNNNNNNNNNNNNNNNNNNNNNNNNNNNNNNNNNNNNNNNNNNNNNNNNNNNNNNNNNNNNNNNNNNNNNNNNNNNNNNNNNNNNNNNNNNNNNNNNNNNNNNNNNNNNNNNNNNNNNNNNNNNNNNNNNNNNNNNNNNNNNNNNNNNNNNNNNNNNNNNNNNNNNNNNNNNNNNNNNNNNNNNNNNNNNNNNNNNNNNNNNNNNNNNNNNNNNNNNNNNNNNNNNNNNNNNNNNNNNNNNNNNNNNNNNNNNNNNNNNNNNNNNNNNNNNNNNNNNNNNNNNNNNNNNNNNNNNNNNNNNNNNNNNNNNNNNNNNNNNNNNNNNNNNNNNNNNNNNNNNNNNNNNNNNNNNNNNNNNNNNNNNNNNNNNNNNNNNNNNNNNNNNNNNNNNNNNNNNNNNNNNNNNNNNNNNNNNNNNNNNNNNNNNNNNNNNNNNNNNNNNNNNNNNNNNNNNNNNNNNNNNNNNNNNNNNNNNNNNNNNNNNNNNNNNNNNNNNNNNNNNNNNNNNNNNNNNNNNNNNNNNNNNNNNNNNNNNNNNNNNNNNNNNNNNNNNNNNNNNNNNNNNNNNNNNNNNNNNNNNNNNNNNNNNNNNNNNNNNNNNNNNNNNNNNNNNNNNNNNNNNNNNNNNNNNNNNNNNNNNNNNNNNNNNNNNNNNNNNNNNNNNNNNNNNNNNNNNNNNNNNNNNNNNNNNNNNNNNNNNNNNNNNNNNNNNNNNNNNNNNNNNNNNNNNNNNNNNNNNNNNNNNNNNNNNNNNNNNNNNNNNNNNNNNNNNNNNNNNNNNNNNNNNNNNNNNNNNNNNNNNNNNNNNNNNNNNNNNNNNNNNNNNNNNNNNNNNNNNNNNNNNNNNNNNNNNNNNNNNNNNNNNNNNNNNNNNNNNNNNNNNNNNNNNNNNNNNNNNNNNNNNNNNNNNNNNNNNNNNNNNNNNNNNNNNNNNNNNNNNNNNNNNNNNNNNNNNNNNUGAAAAAAUCUGUAAAAAUAGCGAAAAAAUUUCUAAUAACAUUAGAAUGUAUACAAAUGCUAUUUCUAACUAGAUCAUGCAAAAAAUUUCAGCAAAAAUCGAACUUUUUGAAAAAUCCCAAAAUUACAUGCAUAUUAGAUCAUAAAUCUUAAAUCAGCGAAAAAUAACUUGUUUUGAUGUUGUUCAAGUAUUCUACAAGCAAGGUAAUAGCCUAAGACACUGAUCUAUAGCAAAAAAUUGCAUCAAAAACGGAUUAGAACAGAGAUCAAACCCUUAUCCCGCAAAAAUAAGAAAAAUAGCAAAAACCGGGAUAAAACUCACAAAUUUGAUGCUAAAAACUUACAAAUCCAAGAGGAAAACGUGUAGAACGGUUGAAGAAGAGUCGCUGGAGCUCUCAGGAACAAAAAUUUUUGAAAAAGAUGGAGAUUUGAAAGAGAUCGAAGCGUUAUACCCGGUUAUAAGCCGCUCAGCCGCAGACCUUGUACCGGAACACGGUUCCUUAUACCGGUACAAGGACCAAAAUGUGAAAAAAAAAUUUUCAAAAAAUAUCCUUUAAAAACCCAUCAAAUUUAAAUCAAAUUCAUAUAAUAAAGGCUUUUACUCCAAAAAUCAUUAUAAUGAAAAUAAGAUAUUAUAAAAUUUCAAAACACAUCAAAACAUCAACAUUUCAAAAUCAAAAAUAAUUUAAUGAUUCAAAAAUAUCAAGAUGUAAGUUGAUGAAAAAUAAUUUUUAGAAAUGCAACAAAAUUGACACCAAUUUGUCACAAUAUGUUCAAAAUAGAGAUUUAACUAAUAUGAUACCAGGGGUGGCUUUUGAGCAUCUUUUUCAAACUAGCACCUUAUAACUCCGAAAAUUUUAAUAUUUAUAAACUUUUUCCAACCUUUUCGGCUUUUCAAUUAAUUUCCAUGUGGUAGCUUCACNNNNNNNNNNNNNNNNNNNNNNNNNNNNNNNNNNNNNNNNNNNNNNNNNNNNNNNNNNNNNNNNNNNNNNNNNNNNNNNNNNNNNNNNNNNNNNNNNNNNAUCCAACCCUAUACUAUUGACCUAUCUAGGUCCAAUGCACUUUCCACCCUAGGUCCAACUGACUCUAGGUCUAAUGCCUCAAUUUCACAAUCUAGGUUUACCUUAACUCUAGGUUCAGUUCUCAACCUAUGUUCUUUAACACUAGGUUAGAUGCCACACACCUAGAUCCCGACUCUAGGUUCAUACUCAACCUAUGUUCUUUAACACUAGGUUAGAUGCCACUCGUUAUUUAUCCUAGGUUCAACAACGCUAGGUUCAAUGUCACCUAUGUUCGACCUAUGUUUAUUAACACUAGGUUAAUGCCACUCGAUCUACUUGAUAUCCUACUUGUCAUAUCAAGUCCAUAUACACAUGCAUCUAGCAUACAUUUCCAAUACACUUAUACAUAUCAUUUACAUGGAUCUACUUAGCAUUUGCAUCAUAUUAUUAACAUGCAUUAGCUACAUGAAUCAACCACAUGCUUUAUUUACAUUUAUAUGCAUCAUCUAUAUACCUCAUUUACAUUCAUAUGCAUCAACGUGGAUUCUUAAUCAUCUUAGACAUAAAGGGCGACCUAGUCGCUUCGGUAAACACAACCCACCUUAACUCGCGUUCCGAUUGCUCGUCGACACUUGCAAUCGGCCUCCCGCGGCACUCGGCACCCGUUUAGGCCCGAUCUCACAGUUGCUCUCUAAGAGCGCGUCGCUUCGCCGUUUCAAGUGCUAACGAUCUUCGCCUCGCCGUUACGAUGCUCGAGACCCGAUUUCACGAUUUAUGGACGUCGCCUCGGCCUUCCAGGCAGAAACGAAGCUCCAAGCGUCCGUUUCUUCAAUAUCUUUGUAACGGCUCGUCGGAUUGCCAAACCGUCUUCGCCAACGUGUUUCGUUACCUAUCAAUUUGGUUUAUAGAGGGUUAUUUGAGAUCAAACCCAUCUAUUUACAAAAAUCCCAUUUUUGAGCUGUAGUUUGCGACUACGGCAAAAACCACCAUUCGAACUCUAGAUUCAAGCAUUAAACGUCUAUUAAGCUUGCUAGAACACUAAUCAAACCAUUUCUAGAGCAUUUAGACCUAUUUCUAGAGAUCUACCAUGAGAGGGAGUAGCAAGCUUACCUCUCAAGCUAGCCCAAUGGAGAGGAAGAAGAUGAGAAGAUGAAGCUCCACCUUGCUCUUCUUCUCUCCACUAUCUCCUUCUCCUCCUUCUUCUUCUUCUUCUUCCCCUUCUUUUCUUUCUAGAGAGAGAGGGAGGGUUUUGGGUUCACACGGUUGAGGGAGAGGGAGAGAAAGACCUAAUUCCCCAUUCUAUACACUCUAAUAAGUGCAAAAUUGCACUUAAGCCCCUCAACAAGCCUCUUCUUGCAACAGCCCGAACUGGGCAUUUUCGGGGUUCGGGGACCGGUCUCUGCAUGAGGGACCGGUCUCUGAGAGACCGGUCUCUCUGCCUGGGACCGGUCCCAGAGAGACCUCCAGCCCAGACUUAGCCAAUUUUCAGCUUCGUCCGUUUUCGCUCCGUUUUCGCCCGUUUUCGUUCGUUUGACCUCCGAUUCGUCUCAAAUCGAACCGAGACUCUCCAAACAUGUUUUCAAAUAUGUUUUCAUCAUCUUUCCAUCCUCGCUAAUGCCAGAUUCAGCUCACGGCCCAACCUAGCCUUUCGGGUUCUGUUUCCGCGCCUACGCGCACCGAAACACCCGAUAGCUCCCGAACUUCACCGAACUUCACCGGAACCAUUCAAAUAGCUCCCCAAUCGAAUAUACACCGUAACUUAAUAGUUUUAGAAGUCCGGUACCUUACAAUGCUACUAUGCCCAUAAUCAUGAAUAUGAAUGCAUGCAUCAUAUAAUAAAGGUUUGCUACCAUGCUAACAAAUUCGAUCUAUGUUCGAAUAACAAUGUUCAAUGACAUUAUUAAACCUUUGAUUUUCCAUUUACCCAAUCUGUGGCGAGACCCUAGGGCUCGCCUAUAACUCACCCUUCAAUCCCAAAGUGGGGAGGGAGCUCCAUGUGCACCCAAGCCCGGGACCGUCUGCGGAUCUCCAUGUGGUUCGGACCUCCAAGUGGUCCUAGUCGCGCGACACUCCGGAGUACUCGACGACAAUCCUCUCCAUGUGGGGAUUGGAUGGCUAUACCAUCCCAAACGCAGACUGUGAGCUAGAUCUAUCCUCUCCGAGUGAGGAUACACUAUCACUAGGGUCAACUACCCAAUCCAAUCCUCUCCAAGUGAGGAAGCACUAUAACUAGGGUCUACAAUCGAAUCAAAUCCUCUCCAAGUGAGGAUGCUCUACAACUAGAGUCAACAUUUCUCGCGAGAUCAUUGGUUCCCGACAUUCAUGCAAUGCUAUUUAGCUUUUCUAAAUUCAUUGUUCACAAGGCAUUUUCUAAGGGAUCCGCCUAUCCCUAGGUCCAUCGACCUCUAGUGUUAAUUACACUACAUUAAUGCCACUCGUUAUCAUUUAACAUUUGGAUGCCACUCGUUUGUUCUUUGACAAUAACACUGCUUUCUAUGUCACCAACACCCCCAUCGGGUUCAUCUCUAUCUUUAGCAUCAUAGGAUCCACGUUCCGACCCAAUCCUCACCUAUUUAUGUCACCAAGCGUUCCAAGUACACUAGGUUAUCAUUUAGAAAGCGUAAGGAAUGGAGUUACUAUGCAAUCCUACAAUGCAACAUGAGAGAUGAGAUUAAAUGCAAUUUAAGACAUAGAAAGGAGUUCGAAAGCUUCGGGAUGGCACUCCCCACCUUUAAUCGAUGUAGAGGCUUAGAAAAUCUUUCUCGGCGAGCUUUACGAAAAGGCUUUAGCCUUCCUUGACCGAAUCGAUGCUAACCCGGCCCCAUUUUGCCGAGAACUUCAUGCCGGGUCGCCGAAUGCCAAAAUCGACUUCGCCCCCACAUUUUGUGACCUAACAAUAGGGUUUCCAAGGCUUCAAAUGAGAUCAAUUUCAUACUUACACAAAAAUCCCAUUUUGGAGCCCUAGGUUUGCACCCAUAGCAAACCAUCCAAUGAAUCCCUAGAUUUUUGGGAUUGAUCUAUUUAGAAGCAUGCUUAGGGUCCAUUUGGCCCAUUCCAAGGCAUAAAAACCGAAAACCCCAAAUUCUAGAAGCUAGGGUUCAAGAGCUUACCUUUUGUGCUACACCAAAGAGAAGAGGAGAGGGAGAUGAAGGUACUCAAAGCCUUCCUCUUGAUCUCCUUCUUCUUCUCCUUCCUUAUCUUCCUCUUCUUUUCCUUCCUCUCCUUCUUGUUCUUCUUCUUCUCCUUUCUUUUCUAGAGAGAGAGAGCAAGAGAGAAAGAGAGAGUGAGAGAGAGUGAAAUGAGAGAGUGUGAGAGAGAGAGAGGGCUCAGCCCACUCUAAUAAAGGCCAUUUUGUAUUUAGACCCCUCAACUUUUCAUCCAUUGCACAGCCCUCAUUCGGCAGUUUUCGCCCAGAGGGACCGGUCUCCCCGACAAGGGACCGGUCCCCGAGAGCAGCCCACGCUGCCAGGGGCCUCCUUCGCGUUUGGGAAUCGGUCUCUCCUUGGGAGACCGGUCCUCGCUUGAGAGACCGGUUCCCGAGAGCUCGAUUUUCAGGACUUAGCCAAAUUUCGGCAUUUCUCGCUCGGACCACGUUCGGGAACCGGUCCCUCCCUGCUAGGGACCGGUUGCACCAAGCAACCCCGCUACACCCAGCCAAGGGAACCGGUCUCUCACCUCCAGAGACCGGUCCCCGAGAGCAACAUCAGCCCAAAAAUGCAGUUUGCACCAUUUGCUCUCGCGGACUCAACUCCAAAGCACUUUUUGUGUUUUGGACAUUCUUAACUCCCACAAAGGAUAUUCUCUCGAUAGUCAGUCAAUCCUGGAUAAAGUACAAUCCUCGAAUUUCGAGAAUUCACUUCCUUAUAAAUAAUCCUUGGAUCAAACACUAUUCCACUAUUCCACCUACCACCACCUAGCACCGUCAUCCCAAUCCUACAUCUUUCCAUCCAAGGGCUAAAAACUCAAAAGCACCACCUCCUUGGUGCUUUUGAGAGUAUUCUAGCUCAACUACAUAAUAUAUAUAUAUAUAUAUAUAUAUAUAUAUAUAUAUAUAUAUAUAAAAUUUUGAUAGCUUGGUUCACAUGGUUAAUAUAUUAUUUAAGGCUUAAAAAUCAAAUUAUUAACUUUAUGACUUUAUAAUUAUAAAUUAUUUACUUACAUUCUAUUAACAUAUCAUAAUAGUAUUAUUUUAAUUUAAUUCAAUAAUUUUUCUAAUAAAGAUUUAAUUAAUAAAAAUUAAUAUAUAUUAUAUAAAACUUAUAACAAAAAGAUAAAAUUAACAUCCGUGCAUUGCACGGAUUAGUUGCUAGUUGCUUUAAGGGAAUGUUUGGUUCGAAGUUGGAAUCGGAAUCGGAAUCGGAAUCGAAAUAAGCUGGAAUCGGAAUCGGAAUGACUCAUUACCUAAUUCUGUUUGGUUCGUUACCUGAAUCGGAAUAGGAAUAAAUCAUUUCCAUUAUCGGUGUUUGGUUCAGGUAGGUAUAAAAAACGUAAUCAAAUUAAUAUACUAACUUUAUCUUUAUAAUAUAUUAAUUUAAAUUCAAAUUAAAAAUUAAAUAUUAAAAAUUUAGAUCAAAAUUUUGAAAUAAUGUCAAAAUUUAAAAUUAUCUUUUUUAAAAAAAAUUAAACUUUGAAGUUGAGUGGAUAAUUCAAAAUAUAAAACUAAAUUUCGAUUUAUUCAAAUUCAAACUUAAAAUUACAAUUUAAAUUUUAAUUUGAAUCCAUAAAUUUAAUUUAAGUUUUAAAUAAAAUUUGAAUAAAACUUUAUAUUUAAAAUUUAAUUUACAUUCAAAUUUAUAAGUUAGAUUCAAAAUACUUGAUUAAAUUUUAAUUUUUAAUUCAAAUUCAAAUUAAAAUUUAAAAUUAUAAAUUUAAUUUCUAAUUUAAACUCAUAUUUUAAUUAAAAAAGUUGAAAAAAUAAAUUUAAUCCGAAUAAAUAUACAUUCCGUCCGGAUUCAAUUUCCAAUCCGGCCUCCUAGGCCGGAUUGGAAAAAGAGGCGAUUGGGGGAUUCCCAUUUCACUCGAGAAUCAGAAUCGGAAUGAGACUCCCGCAUACCAAACACCCACAAACGAAUUCAUCCAUUCUGAUUCCGAUUCUAAGGUGCAAAAAAAACCGAACCAAACACGUCCUAUAUAUUUUGGUGCGGGGCGUAGAUUUUUUCUUAUAACCUGCAUGAGAUAAUUUUCCAACACUCUACUCUAUUUUAUUUUAUUUUAUUUUUGUGUUUUUUCUAAUUCUAAAGAGAAGUCCUCUUCCCGUUUGCCCUCACCGGUCUUCUUUGUUCGUCUGGUAGCAGAAUGUAGUGUAUCGGACGAAUCGCAGCCGCCGAUGAUGAUGAGAAGAGCAGAGGAAGAGUUAAGAGAGAUGGAGAAAGAGGAGAGUUGGGGAGGAAGAAGGGUUUGGAGAGGUUAGAGGCAGGUUGAGGGAGAUGAGGGCAUGAGAGAGAGAGAGGUAGGAGAAUUGGGGAGAAGGAAAAGCUAUAAUAUUCCAUUCAUACCUUGUUUAUAUUAUACUUUGGUAUUUAUACCACUUGGUAAUUUGGAUUAAAAUGAAAAGCAUCUAGUCUAUGAGGGCUAAACAACAAAAGCUGAUGAAUUGAGGCAUGGGUUGCCAUUCGGCGCUAUUAUGGGCCCCCGCCUGGGCUUGACCGGUCCAGGAGUAUUAGUAACCGGGUGGGCGGAUAUCGGGUCGCCUUCUCCGCACUAUCCUCCGCCCGGCGGGUAGCGGGUCCGCCUUCUCCACCCGAUCCGAGGUUCGGUCCUCUCUUCCGCCCGAUCUCCUCUCCUCUCCUCUCUGUCUCCCAGCCCGAUCUACUUUCCUCUCUGUCUCCCGAGAUGCCCUAGUCGCCUCCGGUCCUACUCCGCCUGCGCCUGAACCCCUUCGAAGGCUCUUCCCGCCGGAGCAACCUGCCGCCCUUCUACUCCGCCUGCGCCUGAACCCCUUCGAAGGCGCUUCCCGCCGGACCACCCUGUUGCUGCCCUUAUUCCUCCCUUAACUAGUAAAGCUACCAUUUUUAUUACUCCUUUUAACCACUCUACUCCUUUAUUCUUCAGGUUGUUACACAGUACUCUGAACCGCGAAUGACAUGGAAAGAAGAGAAACCCUAACUCCCUCCUCCCCCUCCUCAUCCUUCUCGGCUUCCUCUUCUUUCGGCAACGACCCACCCUCGGAAGAUGCUUGGGUCACCGAGCACCACAGAUUGCUUUCCCGAUGGAAGUCCUUGCGCGACUCCCCCCAGGUUACUUUUUCCGCACUCCCAUGCACAGAGUCUUAAUUAUUUUUUUGAUUUUUUUAGAUUUGGAAGUGAGUUUAGUCCCAAUCAUGGUUCCUUUUUGUUUCUCUUCUCCUCGUUUGCAUUCUUCACAGAUCACUGCGUUGAAAUAGUAGCUUAAUUUAUCAUUAUUUUUGUUCUAUUCCCGCUGUUCUAAUUUUCUCGACUUGGAUGUGAAAUGCCUGGUUGGUAUGGCAUUAUGGUUUGAUUGCUUGGCAGGUUGCAAUUCCGGUUUCAAUAUCUAGAGUCAACCAAUUCGACUCUGCGAGGUUGGAUGUCGAAAUGUCUGCCAUGCUGAAAGAACAGUUAAUCAAAGUCUUUUCUUUGAUGAAGGUAUUUCCAUGUUUGUGUGUUGGGGUCCUCUGCAUUGUCCUUGCGUUUGUUUGGCUUCAUAAUUACUCUCUGUCUUGUCCUUUCUUCUUCUUCUUUUUUGGAAUUAGCCAGGAUUCUUAUUUCAAUAUGAGCCAGAACUUGAUGCUUUUCUUGAGUUUCUCAUCUGGAGGUUCUCGAUAUGGGUAGAUAAGCCAACUCCAGGGAAUGCCUUAAUGAAUUUAAGAUAUAGAGAUGAACGUGCAGUGCCCAUUGGAGGAAAAGAAGGUAGGCAUCCCUUGCUUAUAUUCGCUUAACUCAAUGUUGUAAUUGUUAAUAUUGAAAGGUAUAGUAUUUUAUUGGAUAAGUUUCUUCUUAUUGCAAUUUGAAUGCCAGAUUAAUCCGCUGAUAUUUGCUUUAGCUUUGUCUUGGAUUUGAAUGGGACUAAGUACAACUAGAAAUCACCUGUACCUUGCUCGUUCGCCGUCUAAAAGGGAAGCUGGUGGCUUUGGCAAGAUGUUAUUUCUUGAGGGCAGGACUUCUGUGAAUGAAAAAUGUUGUGCUUUAACAAUUGUUGGUAGGAUGAUGUGGAAUUUUUUAAAAAUUAGGGUAGAUACAAAUAUUAUGAAAAAAAAGUAAACUGCAUUGUUAGCCUCCAAACUUUUAUGGAAGUUCACUUUGGCCUCUGUUUCUGAAGUGAACUUAAUUGUAACGAUCCAGCCCACUAGCAACAAUAACUCGUUGGGCCCAAACCACUGGUUCAAAAUGCUUAAGCCCAGUUAUUAUUACUAGUGUCUAAGUCUAUUAUAUACCCAAUCACAUCCCCAUUCCUAUCCGAUGGGAUUAUUGGGGUGUGACAAACUCCCCCCAUUAAGGUCUUGACGUCCUCGUCAGUCCAAUUACACACACAGUCCAAGAUCACCGGGCGAUGUGAUACUUGUCCCGCUAGCAUUGUCAUUCAGACUUUGGCAUAAUCGGUCACCUUUUUCAAACUCCGGCAUAGCCCAUCAUCUUGUUUUUCAGACCCUGGCUCAGCCGAGACUUGCCACACAUUUUCGGCUGGUAAACCGGCUUUGAUACCAAAUGUAAUGACCCAGCCCACUAGCAACAAUAACUCGUUGGGUCAAAACCACCGGCCCAAAAUGCUUAAGCCUAUUAUUACUAGUGUCUAAGUCUCUUAUAUAUCCAAUCACAUCCCCAUUCCUAUCCGAUGUGGGAUUUUUGGAGUGUGACAUUAAUGUGCCUUGAACUUUUGUAAAUAUAGCAUUUGGCGUAUUUUGUCAUAUGAGAUUAAGUUUGCUGAUGAAAGAAUUGAUGUUGAAUGGGGCAAUUUGAUACAAUUAUAUAAGUUCACUGAUGAUAAAUAUAUCAAACGGGCAUCCAGAUCGUUUUCCCAUCAAUAGACUUAACAACAUAUGAUGGAGUGAGCCAAUUUGAUACAAUUAUAGAAUUUCAAAGGGCAUAAAGUUCAUCUUAAAAGAAUAGGGGCCAAAGAAAGACUUUCAAGUUUGGGGUCUAACCGUCUAACCAGAGUUUAAAGUGCUGCCCCGUGCCGUACGGCACGGGGUAGCACGUACUGUGCCCCCAAGAUGGGGGCACGGUAGAGGGGGGGCUCGGACUCCCCUUCCGUGCCGCGGCACGCGGCGCAGUGCCGCACGAGACAAAGCAGCACGGCGCAGUGUGCCGCGACACAAUGCCUUGCCGGCACUGCUGUUUUUUUUUUUUUUUUUGCUUUUUGGUUUUUUUUGCUUUCUGUUUUGUUCUUUGGAUAUCCGAAGCAUUCUGGGUACCACACACCUCCCUAAAGAUAUUGCAAAUCGAAAAUCUACUUGUUAGGUAAGUCAAAAAAAAUAUAAUUUUUUUUGUUUAUCAAUAUACAGGCAAAUUUUUUAUUUACAUAUUCGGAAGAAGAGGGCUCAAGUCACCACGGACAUCUAUUUUUUCUUCACAAAUUAUUUUAUCAAAAUUUAUCGCACUGGAAAAUUUUUGACAAAUUAGGGGAACAAAAUCGAACUCACUAAAUAAAUUUUGAGGUAUAUCAAACAUAAAAUUUUAUUUUUGCGCUAGAAGAUUGAAUAAAAUUAAAAGCUAACUUAAAUCAUUUGAUACUUAAAUUAAUUUAAUUUAUUUGUCAUAUAAUUUAUUGCUUAAUUUUUUUGAUAGAUCUAAUUUUUUGAAAAAAUUAAUUAAAAAUUAUUUUUUCAAAUACUUUUUAAAAUAAUUUUUUCAUAUAGUUUUUAAAUUUUUUUUUGUAUUUUAUUAGAGAAAAAUUGUAAUAUGGUUAAAAGAAAGAAAGAAAGAAAGAUGUUUUUGCAUUUUAAAAAUUCUAACCUGUAAAAAUUUCUAUUCUGCAUUAGGUAUAGUUGUACUUUACAUACAAAAAAGUUUACAAGUAUAUUAAUUGAUGAGUAUAGUAAGCUAUAUAUAGCAAAUAUUCAUAAUUAUUUGAUUAAAUCUUUCAAAAUAACAUUAUAAGAGUUUAUUGGAAUCAAAAACAACGAGCCCUGGCUUGUGUGAUUUGCGGCAAGUCCCAUAGGGUGAACUACUGCCCCAAUGAACUAAAUAUGGCCCAAUCCAUUGUUUCGACACCCUCUCCCAUUACAAACAAGGAGAGCGUGUUUGCAAUUUCAUCUGCGCAGAGAGCGUGUCUGCAAUUUCAUCUGGGCAGCACUCUACCUCACGUCAGAACAAGGAGGCGCAACCCUGAUCUAGAAGUCAGGUGUAUGCAAUGACUCAACCGGAGGACGCAUAUAACGAGAUUGUUGCAGGUAUAAUUACUUUAUAUGGCAUAAGAACUAGAGCACUAUUUGACACUGGAGCGACGCAUUUGUUUGUCUCUCAGAAGUUUGUGUCUACACACAGGAUUCCAAUUCAAUUGUUAGAAUUUUAGUGUUUGAUGAUCCACUACUAGAUCCUGGUUUCUUCUCCUUUCCUUUACUCAUAUCUUUCCUCUCGAUAUGAUUGGGAGCAAAAGUAGAAAAAGACGCAGGAUUGAUCAGACACGUACUCAAGAUAAAUAUAUUGUGCCGUUGGUUGAGACAUGAAAAAGGGGUCUUGUGAUUGCAUACUAGUCUACUACGGAUAAUAUAUGACAACAUUAGACACUAUUAUUAUCUGAGCACUAAAUGUCAAAUUAAUAGCUCAUUAGUAAGAAACAAUCAACAGUAAACUAAACUAGUCACUGAUAACUAUUAACUUAUGGCCAUUCAGUAACUAUCAACAUGAAUUUUAAUGUUAAUUAACAGUUCAUUAAACUUGGCAAAUAAUCUGAUCUCUGUGUCGGAGAUAGGAAGAAAACCUUUGCUCCCAUUGAAAAAUUGGUGCUGUUAUAAAAAUAGAUGCUUUGAAAUGAAAGCUUGAAGCUGAAAUAGCAGAAAUCAUGCGUAAUUUUUGCUCCUUGUGCUCCAAUUGUUUUGUAAAAAUACUACUAUGGAAGGCAAAAUUACAAACGCGUCCCUAUGGGUUUGGCUUGGUGCAUUACCGCCGUCAUCGCUAUUAACACAUUGUUGGUACCCCCACCUGCACUCCUGGUGCCAGUCCAUUUGUUGCCAACUCCCUGGGGGCAGAAGGAUUAAGAGAGGGAUUAGGGGAGAGAUUGAGGUUGAAAAUGGUUGGUGCAUAACUUUUUUUUACUUCGACAUAUUACUGCCUAGAUUUGUAUUUUGAUUACAUCUGACCUGUUUCCUUGGAUGAACUGCGUCAGGCUAGCUUUGUUGAGUGAAUGAUGUGCCGGACCACAUACACUGCCCAGUAUGCAAUUUGCCCACAAUCUGAACUGCAUAAGGGUCAGAUGGUGCGGUUAGCCUACCGCCUCAACCAUACAGCUGCAUAUCCCACUUUUUAGAACACUUACAUACUUUAUAGACCAAUAGGCAUAUUUUCAAAAUGUUGUAUCCUUGUUUUGAAGAUUUGUUGCAUCCGCAUAUUUGUUGUUAAUUGUGUAUGUAUCCUUUAUGACUAUAUCCUUGUAUAUUCGUGUCUGUGAAGUAUAACAUGUCACAAAUGUCAGUUUUGCUUGCUUUUGUCUAUUUUAUCUUGUUCAUAGCUUGGUUUCGCUCUAGCAGUCUAAAUAGCAGAGGAGCUUUGUAGGUAGAAAUUGUAUUAUUAUUUUUCCUUUGUUGGACGAGUUGAGCAAUAAAACUAGUUUGCUUGCUUUUGUAUAGUAGAUACUUGUGUUUCAUUGCUUUUUCAUGAAACAAUGCAUUAUCUGGACUUCUAGUCUAUAAAUUCAAUAAUUGGUAGCAAGGAUUUAAGUGCCGUGGCACGGGGUCGUGCCAGAAACUUGCCGGCACGAUACGGCACGGUGCGUGCCGAGCCGUGCCGAUGCGUGCCGGUCAAAAAAAUUCUUGUGUGCCGACAUAUAAUAGCAUGAAAUAUUUAUUUUCUUUAGCAACAAAAUAUUCUAACUAUUUAUUAUAUCUUUUUAUUACAUCUUUUGAACUUUAUUGAGGAAAUUACUUACUAAUUUAAAGAAUAGAGAGUUUUGAGCUGGGGCAUCGGCACGAGAUCUAUAUCGUGCCGGUAUCUUGUUGGCACGGUAUGGCACGGUACGGCACGGUAGAUACGGCCCGUACCGACGGGCACUUAAAACCUUGAUUGGUAGUUGCAAUCGGAAAAGGACCAUGUUACAUCACUUUUGGUCAUAUACUUAUUAGCUUCACCGCUUCAUCUUGUGGUACUUAUUUAUUAUUGCCAUACUCUUGCUCAUUUUGUUUCAAUGAAACAAUAUUUCUUACUUAAAUUCCUGCUUUUUUCAGUCAGAACAGGACUUGAAGGGCCUGGGCUUUCGGUUUCUCAAAAGAUAUGGUACUGUCUCAGCACUGUUGGUGGCCAAUAUCUCUGGUCCCGUCUGCAGUCGUUCUCUGCUUUUCGUCGAUGGGGAGAUUCUGAACAGGUGAUGUUGCAAUCCGUAUCUUUCAUACUGUUAUGAAUCCUGAUAAUCUCAGUAAUUGUAGUCUGUUGUAUCAUACAGAGAUCAUUGGCUCGGCGAUUCUGGAUUUUGUUACGACGUGUUGAGGGUUUAUACAAGGCUGCAGCUUUUUGCAACCUCCUGUUGUUUCUGUAUAAUGGAAGGUACCUUUCUCAAUCUGAUAGCAGCUAUAUCAGUGUAUCUUCUAUACUAGCACAUUGCAACUUUUAAAACUUGUAUUAUUGUCAUGCCCCGGGGUCCCUUUUUGUAAGCUAUUUUGAAAUUGGGCUAUCUUUGUAAAUCAGAGUCCGUGAAAAAGUGCAUUUUUUUUGUUUUCUAACCUUGACCCAGGGAUGUAACAGACCCACCACAAAUAGAAGAAAAUUUUCUGUUCAAACGGAUAGUCUUUCUUGUUUUGCAUGGCGUAGCACAUAGUACUAGUGUCAACUAUGACAUACCACCCACACUAACAAUAUUUACGAUACAUAUAGAUUAUCAUUUCAAGUUUCAUAUCCAUUCCUAUUAGUUAAAAGCACCUCCCACCCGAAGGCUUCACUUUGAAACUCUAGUUUUCCAAAAAUUCACGAAAAGCCGAAAAGCCACUUUGAAAACCAUUUCUUAUAUGGAAACUUUUGUUUUAAAGUAAACAAGCUACUACGAGGGGUAGAAAUCUAUUAUUUGCAAAAACUACGAAUCUUCCAAAAACCAUGAGUAAACAAAACUCAUAAAUACGUCAUCCAAGAAUCCAUGAAUAAAACCAUCAACUAAACCACGUAAGAACAAAUACUAGCAGGUAUAGGGGUAAGCUAUACUAUCUCAUAUAUACAAUAAGCGUCAAAUCAGAACUGAUACCGUAAGGUCGGGAUCUCUAUCUCAAGCUCACUAUCUAAUAUCGUCCUCAUGCAUCGUCCCGACCCUCACCGUUCGAGCUACCUGAAAAAUAGUAGGGGGGAGAACAUGUAAACAAGUCUCCCCUUCCCAGUGGAUACCGCAAGCUGAUAAAAGCGAGCUGUACACACCGGUAGAUAGAAGGGAUAAAUAACAGCAGUAACAAGUAAAUCAGGUGUAAUGAUAGGGAAUAACAACCAUCGAUGAUCACCAAGGAGUUACUACUAUAAAGUGGGAUGAUAAAGCAACGACUAACUAUAGUCAAUAGUUAAACUAGUGCAAUAGCAAUGAUAGCUGAACUGAAAACAACUAUGAUACCGGUAUGACAAACCACUAUUGCAAAGGGAGAUAGAAAAAUGACUAUGCGUCAACUGCAACUGAUAGCACAAGUAUACCCAAUCAACGGCCAUAAUGGUCUAAGGACCUCAGGCUAUGCCGCGACUGCUCUAAUAGGGAUAUGACUCUAACAGUAGACAGGUCUCCCUGGCAUAUGAUCCAGCAGUAGGCCGCUGGGCUCACGGGUUGGAUGUACGACCAUUUUUUCGAAAAAGAACACUCACUUGCGGUAGAUCAGACCGCUGGUGUACUUGAAAUGCACGUGAGCUGUGGCGAUCAAUAUAAUAUGCUUAAUGGCCAACAACGGCAACAAGCCGAUAGAAUAAUCCACAACUAUAUCCAACCAAGUACGGUCUAAUACUCCCGAAGGAGUGUCUCCAUGUCACUGACCUAUCAGGUCUAUAUAAUUGUAUCACCAAGUACGAAAUGUCAUCAAUGACGAAGUCAAGCAAUGAUAAUCAAUCACUGGGGUACUACUUUACCACUAGAUCAAUCAUGAUAUUACAAGACGAAACAACUGUAGAGUUGACCAACAAGCAUAAGUAGUGUGCAAAAUACUGAGCAUGAAAUCAUGAUGAGCUAUGCAAUCACAAGGAGGAAAAAGGUAAGAAGUCACCGAGCAUGAGCCGCUGGACCGACUCCGGAUCGAAGUACCCACUUGUAUCAGCAGUCGCACCUAGCUUCCGAGGUGCGGAGAAUCGUCGACCGAACCUACGAUAGAUCCACUAAGUCAGGGUCUAAUCCUAUGGACUCAAAACACAUCGCUCACAAACCCCAAGCCACUAGCGGAAUCAAUUUCCUAAAAUCAAUCCCCAAACUCGCUGGGAAUCCUGAAAACGCAUCGGGAUGCCCUCGGGACCCACGAAACGUCCCGAAACGCACCGACUCACACCGGGAGUCACCCGCUGUCCCGAAACACAACUAUUUGGGCGUCCGGACAGCAAACGCAAGUGCCUAGGUCAACUCGGUCGUCGCCGACCAACCAUUCCACAUCAGGCUUCUAGAAGUGUCCAUUUUGGCACCGGAAGCCUCCGCCGCUCACCAGUCGCCUCCGAACACACAAGGGGACCAUGGUGGCCAACAAACGAGGCUAGGUGAUGAUUUUCAGGGCAACCACGCAACCGGAAACCCAUCGUGACGUCAAAUCGCAUUUCGCUGGCAAUUUCGUCGGAACGCUUUGAAGCCUUAUUUCCGAUCGCAAUAGUGCUUUAGAGCCUGGACAACAAGUCCAGAGGGUCACAAAUAGUGACCACACGCUGCUGCCCGAGGCAGCCCACGCAACCACAUUUGCAAAUAAAUCCCUAAACAUUCCAACAAUCGCAUAAUAUAAACAUAAGGUGAUUGUUUAGGGUCUAAACCGUAAAUCGUGCGCCUUCGGGAUAAUGCAAGAGCACCAGCGGAUAGGUCUUGACGUGCCUGACACCGUGCUCGCUGUCGGAGUGCGAACGACGGUCGAGGAGUGUUGUGGAGUCUCCCCAAGUUCAGUGUAUAAAAGGCUCCGGGAGCGGAGGAGCCAACGCUCGGUGACGGAGGGUCGCCAAGAGAAACGGAGGUGAGCACGACAUUCGGCAAGUCGAGGGGAUUGCCGUGCUCACUUUCGAAUCAAUCAGGGAGCUUUGGAUUGUCGAAAACUACGAAUAAGGCAACCUUUGAGCCCUAGCUCAAGGUGCAGCGAGUAGGGGGCUCUCCGGCCGGCUGUCGGCAUCCUGCCGGCGCGCGCGCCGGUUGGAGUCAGUAGCGGAGGGGAAGGGGAGUGUGGUGCUCACCCUCGUUGGCGGCGAGGAGCAGCGGCGGCGAGAGAGGCUUGGCCAGCACAAGUGCAGGCUAGAGUUGGGCCUUGAACGGCAGUGACGGCGGCGGCCGGGGGAGGCAGGGGUCGGCGGCGGCGGGCUGCCUGAAACCGAGGGAGGCGGUGGCCGCAGCCCUGUGAGGCUGGGCUCCCCUCUGCCCUAGCUUGGCCGAGGGGUAAUUCUGGUGACUGCGUCAGCGCCGACAGGGCACGGGGACACCGAGGGAGGUGGCCAGAGGUCGCAACUCAGAGGAGGUGGGCUCGGGUUCCCCCUGUGCUCGUCGGGCUCACCGAGAGGGGAGAGGAUGGUGAGGGAGAGACGGAGGGAAAGAGAGAGAUGAUGGUGGUGGUGGCCAGAUCUGGGCUGCUGGCGGUCAGAGAUGCGCGCGUGCUACCAAGUUGUUUUUGAUGAUGCGGCUUUCAAAUCGACGAUCGGCUCCGUUAGACUUGAUCUACAUAUAUAUAUAUAAAAUUCAAAUUUGAUCUUGGUUUGAAUCCCUCAGUUCCAAAUGUCCCGGAUUUUACAAUUAUGGUGAAAAUAUAUUUUUGGUCCACUAGGCUCGAACUCAUGUUCCUUUUGUUGUUUUUUUUUCUGUUUUUUUUCCCUUUUUUGAAAGAAAAGUGUUGCCGCUCAGUUGAUUAUAAAUCUUUUUCAUGAGAUGUUUUGCUAGGCUCUUGCAUAGUAAUGUGGGAAAUAUGAAUUCUGGAAUGGGAGAUAGCAUAUGUGGGAGUUGGCAAACAUAUGAACGGAACAAAUGAGUUAAAAUAGUUCAUAUUUGUAGCUAACUGUUAUACAAGUGCAGUCUUUCUGUACAAUCUUCGUGCAGCAUUUACAUGAUGAUAUGUUAAUUCAACUGUUAUACAAGUGCAGUCUUUCUGUACAAUCUUCCCGCAGCAUUUACAUGAUGAUAUGUUAAUUUGCAUGGAAUUUUUUUGGCUUCCUCCUAAGUACAUCUUUUUGGUAAAUUGUCAUUAUUUUAAUGUUACUCAGAAAUUUCAUAUGCUGUUUGUGCAGGUAUAGGAGUAUUAUUGAAAGGGCUUUGAGAGCAAGGCUUGUCUAUGGAAGCCCCAAUAUGAACAGAGCUGUCAGUUUUGAGUACAUGAAUCGUCAAUUGGUGUGGAAUGAAUUUUCGGUAUGUCUCCUUCCUUUCCUGAGUUGGUGUUAUUGAGGAAAAAAAAUGUUGUUUAAACUUUUAUAAAUAUAGCUGUUGCACAUAGAUUUUGUGAAUUUGAUAGUUUUGACAUUAAGGUACUUUAUACUGUAGUCACAGAAGAUAACAAGAAGGAUAAUUUGAUCUCCGUGUAGCCUUUGAUUUGCUGGCUUAUUCCCAACUGUGUUGCGCUUAAGCAAUAAUAUUAAUUGUGGUUGGUCUAAGUUGAGUACAUUCUAAAGAUUUUAUCUUAUGCAUUGAUAUCUUUGCAAGUUGUUGCCACCAUAUCAUGUCAUAAAUUUUCCCUUUUGUUUAAAUCUUGCACUAAAUACUUAAAAGAGCAAAUAACUUUGCUGAUUUCUUUUGCAGGCUUAAAAUAAACAGAGGAUUCUUUUAGUAAAAGCUUGCAUACCUUGUGUGACUUGCAUCUGCAUUUAGGGGAUAAUUUAAGCUGCUUAUCUAUAUUUAUGGUUUCUUCUAUAAUUACUACAAGGAAAUGGCAAUGUUCCCUGAACCAAGGAUUAGCAUGCUGCCCUCUGCGACCCGUGACGUAGUGUGCUGAGGCUGUGUUGGCACAUGGUGCGGGAUUGUGCCGACACCAUAUUGACAAAACUUUGUUUUUGGGUGCAUAUUUUGGAAUCUUUUUAUGUUUUUUUUUAAUUUACAAGUUCUAGAAAAGCUUUUUUUAUACUUAAAAUAUAUAAGGUCUUGUACAUCUGCUAGCAUUUGGAGCAAUUAGUAAGUUCUAUUGCAUAAUAAGACCAACUCUAAGUGAAGAAAAUCACAAAUAAGAAGAUUUCGUCCAAAUUCUUUUAUCAUAUUAUAUCCUGUGAAUUUACCCAUGAUAGUGUUCUCCUAUAAAUUUUUAUUCAAUUAUGACUUUUGAUUUCAUGCAUAUACUUUCGUAAUAUAUAUAAAAUGGUUUUUUUUUAAGUUUUAAAGAUAUUUAUAACUUUAUUCUUACUAAAUUGUGUAAGAUAUAAAAAAAUAAAUAUUUUUAUAUCAUUAGAGAUAUUAAAACACACUAAAAAACUAAAUUUUUUUAAAAAUGAUAAUAGAAAAAGUUGAGCCGAUAUAUAUGCCAAUGUGCCAGUGGUGUGCCACUUGCAUGGGAGGGCGUGCCAACUUGGCACGCUUUGUGCAGCUGUAUUGUGCCGUGCUGCUGGCACAGUGGGACGCACUAUGCCAGGAGCACGAGAAUCCUUUCCACGAACCAUGUCCGUGCAUGCAUGGAUGCCUCACAAUAAUAAGGCUAUGUCAUACCGGUAUGCAAGACUUAAUUGUUUAUCUAUACAAAAAGGAAGUGAUAACAGAAUUAAUAAGAUGCGAUUCCAAUUUAUAAAACAGACUCAGCAAAGUAUUCUAAUAUUUAACCUUCUAGAUACAGUGCAUCAGUUGGUCAUAUAGAAAGAUACAUAUCUGUAUGGUCUAUGGUAAGUACACCAAUUGUAAUUGCAAGAGAUUAAGUUGCCAACUUACGUCUAGUGUGUCAAUGUGAGAAGUAACUCCUAAAUAGCCAUGCCAUCAAGCUUCGAGCUCCUUUGAUUGUUUUCCAUCAAAUCUUAAUUCAAACAGAUUUUGAAACCUUUCUCGAUUACUCUACUACUAAAUAAAUCCUAAUAAGUUUAUUGUUUCACAUUUAAAUUCGUCAAAUUUAUUGGAAUUUCUUUUUACCUCUCUGUCUAUCACACUAGUUGGUCAUUUAGUCUUUUUCUUCGAUGGUUUUGAAUCUUUGUGAGCUCUGAUUUGUCCCUGUUACACAAGAUUUUUAUCUACUUCCGUGACGACUUUGUGGACUUGAAUUAGUUUGGGGGAGCAAUUUAACCAAUUGGGUCCAAAUUUAACACCAAAGCACAUUCUUUUUUACUCCCUGAUCAUCAUUUUAUGAGCUAUAGCCCUUGAGAUAAAUAUCUUAACAUGUAGAUAAUUUCUUAUCAAGAUGGAUAUUCCCUUAUCCCACAUGAUAACUCUCUGAUUCGUUUACUAUUUACAGAUUGGUUUUGUUUUAAUUUUUACAAGAAAUUUUCACAUAAACUGUUAUGCCGAGCAAAGACCGUGGACUGAAUUCGAAUUUCAUAUUAGGUUGUUUAGGUGUCAGAUUGAAAUGAACUUUAGGGGCGACCUCAAAAUAUUUUUUGUCAGUUAAAGGAAUUAUUUUUCAUGAGGUCCCGAGGUCAUUUGACCUAUUAAAUAAAUAUUUUACUUUCAGCUUACUGUGGUUGACUAGGCAGAGGGUUCAAAUAUCAAAUUGUAACCAAACUGCACCCACGAUCUUAGAAAGGUCACAACUAGUAAGAUCCUAGUAAGAUUUUAUAAUUUUUAGGGAUCAUUUCACCUACAAACUUCAUACGAAAAUUCAAACACUACAAAUAGUCUAAUUUGGGACAUUAUUUUACACUACAGUAUGAUGGUUCCAAACAAUCUUAGAAUAUGAUAUAUUGGGGGUACAUAAAUAAAAGUUUAUUCUAAAUACAUAUAACAAUUACAUCAACAAUUGUUGUGUUGCGCUGGCAGUGGCAUGCCUCGUGCCAAAGUUGGCACAGCCCUUCACACUAAUGGUAUGCAAAUGGCACCCUGACAUAAGAUUGGCUCGAAUAUUUUAUCAUUUUUUUUGUAGAAAAUAUAGUUUUUUACGGUGUUUUUAAUGUCCCGAAUAUCCUUAAAAAUGGUUCAAGUGUUUAAUAUUUCACAAAGUUUAGUAAGAAUAGAAUCGUAUUUAUCUUAAAUAACUCAGGAAUAUCAUUUUGACAUAAUUUGAAAGAACACUCACAAAGAAGAAUUUAAUAGUCAUAAUUGGAAAAAGAAAAAAAAAAGGAAGACACUGCCAUCACCAGAUGAAAAAUGAUAGCGUAAGCGCCAUUUUGCCUCCCUAUGGUUUUGUUCAUUUUUAGUUUGCCAUUUUGUGGUUCAAAAAGUUUCACUUAACUAUUCUAUGGUUUAGCUCAUUUUCACUUUGCUACCUGUGGUUCAAAAAAUUAUACUUAACUACUCUAUGGUUAUAAAAAAUUUCACUUUACUAUCCUAUUUGAUAGUAGUUUUUUUGGGUAAAAAUAGGGAUAAAAUCACAUGAUAGUUAAGUCUAACUUUUUGAACCGCAUGAUGGCUAAGUGAAAAUAAGCUAAACCGUCGGAGGGGCGGAAUUGGUAGCAAACUUUAAAUUUUCGUUUUUUCUCAACCGCAAUGUGAUCUAAUUAUGCAAUAGUGCCCACUAUUUGCUCCAAAAAUUUAGUAAAUUUAUAAGGUCUACAUGUUUUAAGUUCAAAAAGCUAUGUAAGUUUGAAAAAUCAUAGCGAUACAUACCGUGCCACGAAUUAAUGGGCACGGUAUAAGGGGAGUCUCUCUUGGAUUCCCCGUGUCGCGAUACCCAAAGGUAUUGCGCGAGACAGCGCGAUACCCUUUGGGUAUCGCAGCACAGUGCCGCUGCAUGCCUGUAAGGGCACACAGGAUUUUAAGUUUUAGCCUUUUUUUUCUUUUUUCUUUUUUCGUUUGGGCUAUUUUUAGAUUUUUUUUUUGUGCCACACACACAUCCCUCUCUUUCGUUCUCUUCUACAUUUUCUUCUCCGCAACUCGCUUUUUCAAUUUUUCCUUUUCUUUUUGCUAGCUCUUCUCUUUUUUUCUUUUCUAUUUUUUCCUUCCUUUUCUUACUAUAAUUUUUUCUCUAAUUUCUUGUUUCAAUUUCUUCUUUUUCUAUUUUAAUCACUUCGAUCUUAGGAGAAAAGGCAAAGAAAUGAUAAAUUGAAGACAUACUUAUUAGGUAGGUAAAAAAAUUUGCAAUUUUAAAUUGUUUUUCAUACAUUUUGAAUAUUUCUAACUUGUGUUCCUGUUUGAAGAAAUUUGAAAUUAUGCAAAUUUUUAUUUAUAGCUUACAAAAAGUUAAAAAUCGAUCUACUUGAUUAAGUUAUUAUAUAGUCUUAUUUUUAAUUAUUCUGUAUGAAUUUAUGACAAUUUUUUUUUAAUUUUGCCAAUUCUAUUUUUGAAUUUAGAAGAUGGAAAAUACUAAUAAAAUAAAAAAUUAAAUUGAAGCACCUUAUAUUUAAAUUUGCUUAAUUAUUCUCCAUAUGAUUUAUUAUUAAAUUUUUAUGAAUAGAUCUCACAAUUCUUCCUAAAAAUUUUAAUAUAAAUUAAUUUUUUCUUCAAAUUUUUAAUAAAUAUUUCUAAAAGAUUCAAAAUUAAAAGAAAUUAUUGGAGCAAUUGUAGUGCUAUUCUAGUUAAUCUAGUCAUAAUGCAGUCUCCCAUCAAAUCAAUAUGGAUGAAUCUUACAAAUUCCAUAAAAAUUUUAAGAAAAAUUAAUUUUCUAUAAUUUUGUUUUUUAUAAUUUUUUUUAGUUCUAAAAAGAAGGUAAAAUCAAAUGAAUUUUCAAAGUUAAUCUAUUUUUAAUUUUAUUCUCCAUGAGCUAUAGUUAUAUUUUACUUCACAUAUAUGAAAAACCUACCACUAUAUUAAUUGCUGAGUGUAGCAAGCUAUAUAUAGCCAAUAUUAAUAAUUAUCUUUCUAAAUCUUUUUAAAUAGCAUUAUAAGAGUUUAUUGAAAAAAAAAAACUAUGCAAAAACGUGCCACUAGGAGGUCAUGCAUAUCCAUCAGCACGCAAGCGUGCCACGUGUUGGCAUGCUUGCGUGCCUGAGCCGUAUUGUGCCAGGCGACAAUCGGCAUGCCCCUGUGCCACACAACACUUUAAUCCUUGCAUUCAAUAUAGGAAAGUAUUGAAUAUAUGAAACUUUAUACCAUUCAGCAUGACCACAAGGCGGCACGACCUUGGCACAGUACUACAUGAGCGGUAUGGGCAAUCCUUGCAUUACAUAUUACAAUAUAUGAAAGUAUUGUACGAAGUUAUAAAGCUAUUUGAGUUUUAUUUAACAUGAAAGAUAAUUAUAUCAGACCAGACAAUAGUGUUGGAUUUUAUCUUAUGAACCCUAAAGCACGUGUCACCAAAUGCAAUGGUGAGAUGUAUGACUUUGAUGCUUGUCAGUUUAGAAUGAUUGCGAUUGGAUUUAGACUUAAAAGUCAGCCAAUGUCCUACCCCGUUUCUCGUUAUAUCUCUCAUGUAUCCCUUGCCUAUCGAAGCAUUCUCAUGAAGUGUGCGACGUGAAUCGGUCACGAGAUAGGCGAGUAUCAAGAUAUUUGUCCAUAUUUCUGAAAUGUCCGAUACUCCUAUGAGGUGUUUGACCCCCUACUGGGGGUGUAUCAGGCGAGCAUCGUAAUAUCCAGUACAUAAUCGUAAUAUCCAGUACAUAUUUGAUGUGGACAUGAGAGCUAAAAUUAAGUAUCCUUGAAUCGUAGCUUUGUACAUGAAAUAGUUCUAUAGUAAGUUGGCAAUUUCUGAUGCCUAUGAGUACUUUCUAUGUGAAGUAAAUUUAAUUCUGCAGGCCUAUGGCAAUCCAUGUCUCAGCCAUAAACUAGAUUCAUGUCUAUUUCAUAUCUGUCUUUAUCUUUAUUGAUUAUCAUAUUUAAGUGUGUGUGUGUGUGUGUGUAUAUAUAUAUAUAUAUGCACCCCCUUCUAUGCAAGCAUAUGUAUGAAUUAAUUAGUGACAUAUGAAUAUGUAUGAGUUAAUUAGUGACAUAUGAUGGGUGGUUGUUUUAGAUUUAUCCAUCGCAAGCAUCGUUCAUUUAUUUCCAUUGAAAUUUAGAUUGAUAUUGAUUGUUGAUUUGGGUUUUCCAAUUCUUAGUACCGAAUGAAUUCCACUAUAUUGUUUUCAGAAAUAUUACUGACAGCAAUACACAACUUCAACCAUCAACUGCAAAAGGUUGUAUUAAAAAGAGAGAACUACUGACAUGAAAUUUGGAAAUCUGCUACCCCAUGCAACAAAAACCUCAAUUUUUGGCUUAAUUUGUAGAAGUGGAAUAGCUACUAUUAUGUUCAGGGUUUCUAUUUUAUAUAUACUGACAAGGUUUGGUGGUGAAGGUUGAGCAAAAUUAUUUAGUUGGAAGUUGGAAACAUCAUUGAGGGCUAAAUUGCUCUAAUUCUUCCAAAUGCUCUGAUUGCAGCAAAGCUAGUAUUUGCUGAACUUACCAAAAAAAUAAGACAGGAUUUAAAUCACUUAAAGAACUAAAAUUAAUUAGGAUAUGUCAAGAAGGCUUAUCUGUAGAGUAUGGAUUGCUUUGUAUAGGACUUUAAAUUAUGUUUUGAUCAUUCUGUGCUCGUAUAGAUAUUAUACUAUCAUACAAGUAUAAUUGCAGUACUGUACUUUUGUUAUUACCGGUGGAUAUUUUAAUCAACUUCAGGUUGUUCAGAGAUAAAUAGAUGAUUCCAGUUUGGGCCUAUUGACUCAUGAUCACAGAUAAUUUGGGUCAGUCAAAUAUUUUAGAAAACAAACAGCAUAUCCGUUUCCUGUGUUGACUUCAAGCUUUUCAUAUUUUCAUAUCACAUCUGUAACAAUUUUGCCUGUUUUAGCCAUCAUUUGGUAUAGAACUCUUCCGAUCUCUCAAUAUGAACAAAUUAUCUUUCAUUUGUAAUGGUUCACUUGGUGUUUUAUUUUAUUUCUGAUCAAGCUUCUUGAGACGGCAAAUAACUUCCAAAAUCAUUUGGUUUUCUUUGUUUUGCUUUACAAAGAAGGAUUCUUUGUCUUAUAUUCUUAAACUGAUUGAAAGUUGCUAUAUAUAUGCAGGAAAUGCUGCUUUUACUUCUUCCUCUUUUAAACUCAUCUUCGGUCAAGAAAUUCCUCCCAUUUUCCAAGGAUAAAUCGACUGGUUCUUCUGGUGAUGAAGCAGAGUGCCCCAUAUGCCAUUCAAGUCCCAGCAUUCCAUUUCUAGCUCUUCCUUGCCACCACAGGUACUUAAUACCUUUCUGUUCCUUAUCAGAUCAUGUAAUUUGGUCAAUUUCUUCAUUUACAUGUUUUUUUGGCAAAUGGGUUUUAUGUCAGCUUUCUUAUUGUACCAUUGGAAUGUCCUAAUUAAGAGAAGAGUCCGGUUAAUCCUGUGUGAUAAAAUGUAAAUGUUGAAUGAACCUGUAUGUUGAUACAUCUAAGGCCAUAUUGACUAAAACAUGCGAUGAAAUUCAAAAACGUGCAUAGAUCGGGUCAUCACCAUAUUUUAUGUGAUUUAUGUUGAUUUACAACAAGUAUUUAUUUUCACCGUGUGAGAGCUGAUUUAGUUUUCUGAAUUGUAGGUACUGCUACUACUGCCUCCGCACUCGCUGUGUGGCAGUCAGCUCAUAUAGAUGUGCUCGUUGCGAUGAGGCUGUUGUUGCCAUUCAACGGCAAGGAACAAGUUAAGAAUAUUUACUUGGCCAAAGCCUGAUCAUCCUUACUGUACGACCAUGCCAUGUGGCAGUCAAUAUGCUGAGGUUUACUUGCCAUCGUCCGACAAGCAUGCUCUUGUAGAAUCCGAAUUUGAUUUCCAUCAGAAUUUGAUUUCCGUCAGACCAAGGGAUUGUAAACAUAUGUACUAUAUGUGGAGAAAGUGCCGAGGUGGCUAUAUUUGAUUCUUGAAGAACCUAGAAUCUAGUUAGGAAUAAACCAAAUUUUUUUAUUAAAAUGAUUAAUUCUGGCUGUAUUGAAUUUCUUUAGCUGCAGAGUUUACAUGAAGUUAAUUCUUAGGGUGAUUUGAUACUCGAAAGUGCCAUUCGGUCAUGCAUUUUGUGGUAAUCAUACAUCCAAAUAAGAAUCCAAUUGUAUUUAUCAGCUCCAAACGAAAUUGCUGAUUAGAUAAAUGCUCAACACCCGGUGUUACAAUGUAAUUUAGAAUUGUGUAUUGUUGCCAUAUAUAUAUUGUAGGUUUAUAUAGUAUUAAGCAUUGUGUAUUUGUCAUGCUCCGUUGCCCCUUUCUCAAAUAGGUGGAAGAAGUUCCGCACGGGCGUGUGCGUUAGACCCGUCGAACGGACAGUUUUUUCUGUCUACUCAAUGCGUCAUAAUCAGUACAAUUCAAAACAUUCUAAAUAAAAAUAAAAUUCAUACACAGAUUAUAUAAGAAAAGUAUUAUAAACAUUCAAAAACUAUGCUAUUACAAGCAUUUCUCACGUUCAAACUACAUGUACAUUUUUUUUUGCAAAUACAAUCAAAUUAUUAUUACAAUUUCUCUUUUCUGUACCCUUACGCUACAUUGUUCGAGGGUAUAUCUAUCUUUGUCAUAAUUUCUGUACCCUUAAGCUACAUUGUUCGAGGGUAUAUCUAUCUUUGUCAUAAUGGUAGAAUGCUAACUAUCGAGCUACGUUCAUUUCUUGUGCCGUCGCGCCGCUCACGUGCAGAUCUGUAAAAUAUGGGGGUGUGUAAUACACUGAAUUUUUGCAAAUUGCGAAAUUCGAGUGUGAGCAAUGAAGUGUGGAAUUAUUCUACAUGUUCUAAAUGACUUGGAGAAGUUUGUGACCAAGUUAGAGAGUGAUUGGAGGGUUAAAAGUGAGAAAGUGCAUUGAUUGGGCGAAAUCAGCCUUUUCUGCUUGGUGUACCGGUACAGCCAUUAUGGUGUACCGGUACACAAUGCAGAAACGUGACAGUUUGGGUAUUUUGGUAAUUUCACAUACUUAUCCUUAUCUACUUGACCCAGCACGACCUGGGAUGUUCUGUGAAGGGUGAUUGAGUUCAGAAAAGCUUCUUUCACCUUCUCUCUUUCUCUCUCUCUAGGGUUUUUCUCUCUCUAGAGAAAAUCCGCCGAUUCGCGCCGUUUCCGCGCCGCGCUUGUUGUUCGCUGGUUUGGCGACUUAAAGGAGGCUUCCAGCACGUGGGAAAGAGGAGCUUUGCUGUGUUUCUAUGAGGUUACUGCCAGGGGAAGCUGAAUUUCAGUUUUAGAGAGGUAAUCAACUCGAUUUCUCUCUAGUUUCCGGUUUUAUGUUGAAUUUGGACAUCUUUUCGUGUUAGUGCUUCGAACUGGAUUAGGAGGUGUUUACAGCAGUAAAGAGGAGCUUUGUUGGCUGCUAAUUACCCAUUUAAACUCUGUGGAACUUGCUUUAAAGCUUAAAAUGGUUAAUUAGUAAACUAUACCUCAAUUUCGGAACUAUUUGACGUUUACUUAGUCGAAUUGAUGCAAAAUUGGGAAUUUUUCUUCGCAGCAGGUCUUCGAGUCUCGUUGAGCUGAACUUGCACUCUUAGAAGCUGGUUUGGGAGGUAUUCUAACCUGAGGUAAGCAGGGAUUUCAGUUAGAAAACUGAAUUCGCAAGAUUCCGACUAUAUUUGCUAUUAUGUGAUGAUUUUGAUGUCGUGUUGGUGUUGAUCGCAGCGGGAGUUCGACUGACCUUUGGGUCAUCCUUGGUUGGCUUUGGGAAGCCUUUAGAGACUUAAUUGGAGGUACUAAAGUGAAUCAAAACAGCGAUUUAUGUUACUACUUAAUACGAGAUGUGAUUUGAGCCGAAAUCGGACAUUUCGGCCGUAGAUUUAAGCCGAUCUUGACGUUUGUUUUUCAGCAGCAUUGGGGCUUCGUUGAGCCGUUUGUGGGACUUCUUGUGGAUACUUGGAGCCUAGUACUAGGUGGGUCGGACCUAACCAGAGCAAGUGAAACUCCCCUAUGUUCUAUAUGUAAUAUAGAAAUGAUCUUAUUGUGCUUAUGUGAUUGAUAAAGGGCUUGACAUUCGUCAUCAUAAUGUUGAACAUAUUCGAAAUGAAGUCUCUAUAAAGUAGAGAACACUUAUACAUGGAAGUAUUUACAUUUAUAGUCAAUUCAGUUGAAUGACUUAUGAACAAGUGUAGGAUGCACUUUAAAGUAGAGAACAAUGACAUUUCUCGACUCUAACGUAGAGAACUAUGACAUGCUCGUGACUAUGUUGAUAGUGCUAUAUUAGUGAAAAGAUUAUCAUGACAUGUGAUUUAGCUUUACCCUUACAUGUUUACAAUCUAGUGAUUACUAGCUUUUGUUACUAUUUGUGUAUUGACAUUCCGAUCAGAGGAUCGAGGGUUCUGAACUUUGCAUGUGAAAAUAUGAAAAUUGAGACAUGUGGAUAAUGGACUUUGCUUGCUUGCCAUCGUGCUCAUUCGCACACGCUUGUGAGGGUAGCUCCCUCCAAGCCGGCACUCCGGAGUUGGCCUACGCGACAGUUGCUCGCCCGUGCGGGAUUGGGUGCCGAAGUGGAUUGCCGUGGGGAGUGUAUACUACCACGGGGCCAUUAGGCGCGGCGCAAGCUGGACUACCUUGAGUUGGUCCUAGUGAAUGAAAAUGAAAGUGAAAAUGAUAAUGAUAGUAAUGAAUGAGUAUCAGUUGUAGUGUACAGUAGUACUUACACUUCUAUGAGUAUGUUUAUGGUUAUGUUUAUAGUAGUUGCGAUACUUCAAUUAUUCAGUUGAUUCAUCACUGCAGAAAUCAUGAUUACAUGUUGCUUACAUACUCAUUACCUGUUAGUAUUGCAUAAUUAUAUAUCAUGCAAUUAUUGCUUUCGCUUUCAUUUAGUACAUCAUGAGCCUAGUGGUGUAAUUCGCCGAGGCUGGCGGCUUACCCACUGGGAACUAUUGUUAAUAGUUCUCACGCCCUUUUUAUGAUUGUUUUUACAGAGCCAUCUACAGGAGAGGCUAGGGAUCGUGGCAAGGGAGUCGCGCCUAGCUAGGCACUACUAGGAGCGUGCUAGUCGAUCACCUUGUUACUCGGGCUACGGCCGAGGGUGAUGUCCUUAUGUGUAGAGAGACUACCAUUGUACCUACUUUUUGUAUACCCAGUACUGUAUAUUUACUGUAUGGAUCAGAUACUUUAGUUGUGAUACUCAUCUUUUGGUUGAGAUUUCUGGACUAUACUCCUUUACUCUAUUGUUGAUAGUAUUGUUGACUGGUACUUUGCUCUGAUAUCGAGAUAGAAUUCUCUAUGAUCUUCUUCUUAUCGACUUGCUUGGUUGUAGACGCCUUAUAUACUGCAGGUGUAUGGCGGGUCUGUGCACGUACCGGUUAUGCUUCCGCUGGUACCCGGGCGUGACAGAAAAUAGUGGUAUCAGAGCCUAGGGUUGAGUCCUAGAAGACCUAGCAAACCUUAGGCUGGUUGGACUAUAAGGAUAGGCUCGCGAGAGACGAUGUCUAGUUGAGGUUGUUGUUAGCGAAAGUGUUUUGAUUGGGUACUUAUAAACUCCGAAUAGUAGGAGUUUGAUCGGGAUGUACAAUUACUAACUUUGCAGAGGGUCACGUUGGCGGCCGACAACGUGACAUCGGAAGUUAGUAUGCGUUACCUCUCAUUGCUUUCGCUUAAUUAGUUGGUUUAUAUCCUCAAUGAGGGUUCAGUAGUAUAGGAUUUGUUGACCUAUGUUUGUUUUGUGCUGCAGUUUAAGAUGCCGUUGACUCGUUCGCAAGCCGCCGGGGCAGCUGAGGCAGUUGAUGCGGAGGAAGUGGGGACUUCUGUUACUUCGGGAUCUAGUGGGAUCCAUGAGUUGCAGGAUCAGCUUGCGAAGCUGACAGAUUUGGUUGCUCAGCAGGCUGCGGCCGCGCGACAGCAGAUGGAUGCCGCGCGUCGGCAGGAAGAUAGGAUGAAGAGGUUAGAGGAUUUACUAUUGCGACAGACGACUGACAGGGAGAUUCCGGAUCCUAUACCUACAGUACUGGACAGGGAUGCGACCGUGAGAGCACAGUCACCUGUACUGGACACACCCCCAGUAGCUCCGAGGGCAGAGAUGCGACAGGUGACAAUAGUACCACCACCAGUACCUGUAGCAGCAUCAGGGACAGUAUUACCCGAGAUGGUGGGGGUUGAGGAGCGAGAGCGGAUGAUGGAACAACUGAAUGAAUUCCGUCGUUGCAACCCUCGUGUCUUUGACGGGGAGAAAGCAGAUCACUGGGUGGUCGAGAAAUGGCUAAUGCACAUGGAGAAGCUAUUCUAUGAUACCUUCGUCGAGGAGCGAUAUCGAGUUUGGUUUGCGACGCACCACCUUGACGGCGAGGCUUACAGGUGGUGGGUGGACAUACGGGAGGAUCCCCGUGCUGAUUUGUCUGCUAUCACGUGGAACAGGUUCAAGGACUUGUUGUUGACGACCUAUUUUCCUCAGAGUGUAAAGAGACAGAUGGAAAGGGAUCUGAGAAACCUGAGGCAGGGGGACAGGACAGUGGCAGAGUACGAGCGAGAGUUCUCCCGAUUACUGCACUGCGUUCCUUUUGUGGUUAGAGAUGAUGAGGACAAGGCUCGCAUUUUUGAGGUAGGUUUGCGACCUGCGAUUUUUCGAUUGGUCCAGGCGUCAAACCUAUCCACUUACCGGGAUGUAGUGAACCGGGCCUUGAUCGUUGAAAAAGGGGCAGAGAUUAUGAAAGAAAGAGACGUUGUGGAUAGAAACAAGGGAAAGAGGCCAACAGCAGAGAGCAGUGGUCAGCAACCUUUCAGGAGACCACCGAAGUAUCCGAGGGGACAGUCAGGUCAGUCGAGGGGUCGAGGUUCUUCAGCACCCCGUGGAGCACCCGAGCGUCGUCGACCACCGCGUUGUGUUAUCUGUGGUGGGCCUCACGUACCGCCACAGUGUCCACAGCGUGGGGGCAGGUGCUUUCUUUGCGGCCAGGAGGGCCACUUUCGUUCAGAGUGCCCGAGAGGUUCUUUGCCUGCACCCUCGUCAGCGACUGCACCUGCAUCUUCAGCUCCGAGCCAGGGGACCCCGACAGCACCCUAUCAGUCUAGGCGACCACCAGGACAGCGGCAGUCAGAGAGUUCGCAGCAGGGUUCGAGUGGGCGGAUGUAUGCCGCCCAGACCGAGGGCGCCGCAGCAGCACAGGAGGUCGUAGCAGGUAUUAUUAUGCUUUAUGAUAUUCGUGUUCGUGCAUUAUUUGAUACUGGUGCUUCGCAUUCUUUUAUUGAUCGGCAGUUCGCCGAGUUGCAUAGCAUUCCUUUAGCACCUACUUUGCAUCUGGGACGAGUGAUUGUACCUGACCAUACCCUAGAUGUUCGUGAGUUUUGCCCUCGCUGCCCAGUUAGGGUAGGCGACUGGAUUAUGCCAGUGGAUUUAUUGGCACUACACAAACUAGGUGAGUUUGAUGUAGUAUUGGGUAUGGAUUGGUUGACACAGUAUUAUGCCACCAUAGAUUGCACGAACAGAACGGUGACCUUUAGGGAACCGGGUCAACAGGAGUUUGUUUAUAAGGGGUGUCAGAGUUCAUUGUUCGCAAUGACCAUUAGCUCUUCGCGAGCACGACAGUUGAUACGGAGAGGUUGUGUAGCCUAUUUGGCUAGCAUUUCUGUGAGUGACGGAGAAGCCGUCAAGAUUGAUGAUAUCCCGGUUGUGCGAGAAUUCGGGGAUGUGUUUCCAGCUGAAUUGCCGGGCAUGCCACCUGAUAGGGAAGUUGAGUUUGUGAUAGAUCUUGUCCCUGGGACUACCCCUAUUUCUAAAGCGCCUUAUAGGAUGGCACCCGCUGAAUUGAAAGAGCUGAAGGCACAGUUACAAGAUCUUUUAGAUAAAGGAUUUAUUCGACCGAGUGUAUCGCCCUGGGGAGCACCGGUGUUAUUUGUCAAGAAAAAGGAUGGAUCUCUUCGAUUGUGCGUGGAUUAUCGAGAAAUCAACAAAGUCACAAUCAAGAAUAAAUAUCCAUUGCCCAGAAUUGAUGACUUAUUCGAUCAGCUGCAAGGAUCGAAAGUAUACUCCAAGAUUGAUUUGCAAUCUGGGUAUCAUCAGCUCAAGAUCAAGCCUGAAGAUGUUUCUAAGACUGCUUUUAGAACACGGUAUGGGCAUUAUGAAUUUACAGUCAUGCCGUUUGGAUUGACUAAUGCCCCAGCAGCCUUUAUGGAUUUAAUGAACCGUGUCUUUAAGCCCUAUUUGGAUAGAUUUGUGGUAGUGUUUAUUGAUGACAUCUUGAUAUAUUCUCGAAGUGACAAGGAGCAUGAAGACCAUUUGAGAGUAGUGUUACAAGUACUUCGAGAAAAGGAACUAUUUGCCAAGUUAAAGAAAUGCGAAUUUUGGCUUCAAGAAGUGGCAUUUCUGGGCCAUGUGAUUUCUGAAACUGGGAUAGCUGUGGAUCCCAAGAAGAUUGAAGCGAUUAAAGAUUGGCCUAGGCCGACCAGUGUCACAGAAAUUCGGAGUUUCCUUGGUUUGGCGGGAUACUACCGAAGAUUUGUAGAAGGAUUUGCAAAGAUGUCUACUCCUCUCACUCGACUCACACAUAAAGGAGCUAAAUUUCUGUGGAAUGAAGCCUGUGAAAGAAGCUUUCAAGAGCUGAAGGAACGGUUGACUACCGCCCCGAUUCUGGCUUUGCCUGUUACUGGAGUGGAUUAUGUGAUUUACAGCGAUGCGUCACUGAAUGGAUUAGGGUGUGUUCUAAUGCAGAAUGGCAGAGUAAUUGCUUAUGCUUCUCGCCAAUUGAAAGAUUAUGAAAAGAACUACCCUACACAUGAUCUUGAGUUAGCAGCUGUGGUAUUUGCUUUAAAGCUUUGGCGCCACUACCUCUACGGCGAGCGUUGCGAAGUUUAUACAGAUCAUAAAAGCUUAAAGUAUCUGUUUACUCAGAAAGAAUUAAACUUGAGACAACGUAGAUGGUUAGAGUUGCUCAAGGAUUAUGAUUUGACCAUCCUCUAUCAUCCUGGAAAAGCUAAUGUCGUAGCAGAUGCUCUAAGUCGAAAAUCGACGGAAAAUUUGGCGAUGUCGAUAACAAUGCAACCACUGUUGGUAAAGGAAAUGGAGCAAUUGAAUUUGGAAGUUGUAGCUCCUGAUACGCCUUGGAGACUUAUGUCAUUAGUGGUGCAACCUACCCUGAUCGAUCGAAUUAAGGAAAAGCAAACUCAAGAUGAAUUCCUGCAGAAGAUUCGAGAUAAGAUCACUGUUGAUCAUGAUAGUGAUUUUCGAGUAGAUGAUCAGGGAUUGUUGAAAUUCGGUGAUAGGCUCUGUGUACCGGCAGAUUCUGGUAUUAAAGAAGAGAUUCUUGCAGAAGCACAUCGGGCGCCGUAUACUGUACACCCUGGGAGUACGAAAAUGUAUAAGGAUUUGAAGUUAACUUACUGGUGGCCUGGAAUGAAAAAGGAAGUUGCGGACUUCGUGGCUAAGUGCUUAACGUGUCAGCAGGUUAAAGCUGAACAUCGACUUCCUGCGGGGAAACUUCAGAGCUUACCCAUACCAGUGUGGAAGUGGGAGAGGAUCACUAUGGAUUUCAUCGUUGGAUUACCUCGCUCACAAGCAGGUCACGAUGCAAUUUGGGUAAUUGUUGAUCGAUUGACUAAAUCUGCCCACUUUAUUCCAAUCCACACGACUUGGUCAGGAGAGAAACUCGCACAAGUGUACCUUGAUGAAAUUGUGCGAUUACAUGGAGUACCUGCUUCUAUUGUUUCGGACCGAGACACCCGAUUCGUUUCACAUUUUUGGAGGAGCUUACAGGAGGCCAUGGGUACCCGACUGGAUUUUAGUACUGCUUUCCACCCCCAGAGUGAUGGGCAGUCCGAGCGUACUAUCCAGACCCUUGAGGAUAUGUUACGGGCCUGUGUGAUUGAUUACCAGGGCAGUUGGCCACAGUUUUUGCCUAUGGCUGAAUUUGCUUAUAACAACAGUUAUCACGCAAGUAUUCUGAUGGCACCGUUUGAAGCCCUGUAUGGUAGAAAGUGUAGAUCACCACUUCAUUGGAGUGAAGUGGGUGAGAGAUUGGUUUUGGGUCCAGAUGUAUUACAAGAGGCUGAAGCUAAAGUUCGACUUGCACGAGAACGUCUACUGACAGCUCAAAGUCGACAAAAGAGUUAUGCGGACAAACGUCGGCGAGAAUUGGAAUUUCAAGUUGGCGAUCAUGUAUUCCUAAAGGUUUCCCCGACGAAAGGAGUUAAGAGAUUUGGCAUUCGAGGAAAGUUGAGCCCUCGAUUUAUUGGACCCUACGAGGUGUUGGAGCGGAUAGGCCCCGUAGCGUAUCGGCUUGCGUUGCCGCCGAAUCUUUCGGGAGUACACAAUGUAUUUCAUGUAUCGACGCUUCGAAAGUAUGUUUUUGAUCCGACCCAUAUAUUGGACAGUACUCCAGUAGAUUUACGAGAGGAUUUGAGCUUUGAGGAGCAUCCAGUGAGAAUCCUAGCACGGGAAGUAAAACGGCUUCGAAAUCGCGAGAUACCCUACGUGAAGAUCCUUUGGAGUAAUCACGAGGAACGAGAAGCCACUUGGGAACUGGAGAGUGCAAUGCAAGAGCAUUAUCCCUAUCUAUUCUCGAUGGAAUCGUGAGGUAAGUGUUUACAAGUUUCGCGGACGAAACUUCUUUUUAGGAGGGGUGAAUGUAAUACACUGAACUUUUGCAAAUUGCGGAGUUCGAGUAUGUGGAAUGGUGUGUGGAUCACUCCUACAUGUUCUAAAAGGUUAGAACAAGUGUUUGGAUAAGUUAGAGGAUGUUUGGAAUGCGAGAAGUGAGAAAGUGCAUUGAACUGGCGAAAAUCAGCCUUUUCUGCUUGCUGUACCGGUACAGCCGCAAUGGUGUACCGGUACACAGUGGCAAUUCGUGGCAGCAAGGCUAUUUUGGUCUUUUCACAUUUUGAUCCCUAUCUAUAACCCCCAGCACGACUCCAGGAGCACUGUGGAAGGGUCUGGAGUCCAGAGAAGGGUUCUCCCAUUUUUCUCUUCCUCUCUCUCUAGGGUUUUUCUCUCUCUAGAGAAAAGUCGCCGUUUUGCACCGUUUUCGUCGCCGCGCUUGUUCUUCGCUGUUUGCGAGCGUCGCAGAGCUUUCGCGGACGCGUGGGAGAGUGUUUUGGACAGGUUUUCGCAGCCCUGGAUCAGCAGGUCACUGGUUGGAAGCUUAAGAAGGUAAUCGACUCACUUUUGUCGUUAUCGACGUUCUAUUCGUCGAUUUGAGUAGCGAUUUCGGAUUUUUGCUCUUGGCUGUGCUAAACUGAGAAUUCAGCUAUUAUAAAUGAGUUAAUUAGCUGUGAAUUAACCUUCUUAGACCAGGGAUAAGCUACUUUGAAGCUUAAUUGAAUAUUUAGCCAAUUAUGAAGCUAAAUUAGAACUAAUUGCACUUAUUUGCGCGAAUUGAUGCAAUUUCGGGAUUAUUUCUUCGCAGCAGGUCUUCGAGCCUCGUUGAGCUGAACUUGUACUCUUAGAAGUUGGUUUGGAAGGUAUUCUAACCUGAGGUAAGCAGGGAUUUCAGUUAGAAAACUGAAUUCGCAAGAUUCCGACUAUAUUUGCUAUUAUAUGAUGAUUUUGAUGUCGUAUUGGUGUUGAUCGCAGCGGGAGUUCGACUGACCUUUGGGUCAUCCUUGGUUGGCUUUGGGAAGCCUUUAGAGACUUAAUUGGAGGUACUAAAGUGAACCAAAACAGCGAUUUAUGUUACUACUUGAUACGAGAUGUGAAUUGAGCCGAAAUCGGACAUUUCGGCCGUAGAUUUAAUCCGAUCUUGACGUUUGUUUUUCAGCAGCAUUGGGGCUUCGUUGAGCCGUUUGUGGGACUUCUUGUGGAUAGUUGGAGCCUAGUACUAGGUGGGUCGGACCUAACCAGAGCAAGUGAAACUCCCCUAUGUUCUAUAUGUAAUAUAGAAAUGAUCUUAUUGUGCUUAUGUGAAUGAUAAAGAGCUUGACUUUCGUCAUCAUAUUGUUGAACAUAUUCGAAAUGAAGUCUCUAUAAGUAUUUACAUUUAUAGUCAAUUCAGUUGAAUGACUUAUGAACAAGUGUAGGAUGCACUUUAAAGUAGAGAACAAUGAUAUUCUCCUGACUCUCAUAUAGAGAACUAUGACAUGCUCAUGACUAUGUUGAUAGUGCCAUACUAGUGGAAAGAUUAUAAUGCUAUGUGAUUUAGCUUUACCCUUACAUGUUUACAAUCUAGUGGAUACUAGCUUUUGUUACUAUUUGUGUAUUGAUAUUCCGAUCAGAGGAUCGAGGGUUCUGAACUUUGCAUGUGAAAAUAUGAAAAUUGAGACAUGUGGAUAAUGGACUUUGCUUGCUUGCCAUCGUGCUCAUUCGCACACGCUUGUGAGGGUAGCUCCCUCCAAGCCGGCACUCCGGAGUUGGCCUACGCGACAGUUGCUCGCCCGUGCGGGAUUGGGUGCCGAAGUGGAUUGCCGUGGGGAGUGUAUACUACCACGGGGCCAUUAGGCGCGGCGCAAGCUGGACUACCUUGAGUUGGUCCUAGUGAAUGAAAAUGAAAGUGAAAAUGAUAAUGAUAGUAAUGAAUGAGUAUCAGUUGUAGUGUACAGUAGUACUUACACUUCUAUGAGUAUGUUUAUGGUUAUGUUUAUAGUAGUUGCGAUACUUCAAUUAUUCAGUUGAUUCAUCACUGCAGAAAUCAUGAUUACAUGUUGCUUACAUACUCAUUACCUGUUAGUAUUGCAUAAUUAUAUAUCAUGCAAUUAUUGCUUUCGCUUUCAUUUAGUACAUCAUGAGCCUAGUGAUGUAAUUCGCCGAGGCUGGCGGCUUACCCACUGGGAACUAUUGUUAAUAGUUCUCACGCCCUUUUUAUGAUUGUUUUUACAGAGCCAUCUACAGGAGAGGCUAGGGAUCGUGGCAAGGGAGUCGCGCCUAGCUAGGCACUACUAGGAGCGUGCUAGUCGAUCACCUUGUUACUCGGGCUACGGCCGAGGGUGAUGUCCUUAUGUGUAGAGAGACUACCAUUGUACCUACUUUUUGUAUACCCAGUACUGUAUAUUUACUAUAUGGAUCAGAUACUUUAGUUGUGAUACUCAUCUUUUGGUUGAGAUUUCUGGACUAUACUCCUUUACUCUAUUGUUGAUAGUAUUGUUGACUGGUACUUUGCUCUGAUAUCGAGAUAGAAUUCUCUAUGAUCUUCUUCUUAUCGACUUGCUUGGUUGUAGACGCCUUAUAUACUGCAGGUGUAUGGCGGGUCUGUGCACGUACCGGUUAUGCUUACGCUGGUACCCGGGCGUGACAGGGUGAGAACUAUAAAUAUAGUUUUCAGUGGGUACGACCACCUAAGGAAAGAGCUCGACCCAUCGGGUCCAAAGGAGACAACAUAAGCAUACUAGUACACAAUAUUUACUAUGUAAGCAUCAAGUAAAUGCGAUAAUGAAACACACAUGUUUCAUUUCUACUUACUAUUUUACUAUCCAUUUUCUUUGCAAUCCGCCCCAAAGGUUUUUCUUUUCUUAGCCAAGCUAUAUCUCAAUCACUCUUGAAUCAAUCCGUUCCUAAGUUUUUUAUUAUCUUAGCGAAGCUAUGUCAUGUCCCGGGAUCCCUUUUGUUUUUAAAAUCGAUGCGGAAGUGCCUUUUUUUUUUUUUUUUUUUUUGAAAGCCUUGACCCCAGAGGACGUCAGAUCCGCCACAAAUACAGGGGAUCCACUGUUCACACAAACAGAGUCUUUUCUGCAUUUGCACAGCGUCACACAAGUACAAGAUACAACCACAAUGAAUACAUAUUCACAAACAAUCACCACAUCACAAUCAUUUCAUCACAGUUUAUCAUAAAUCCACAUUUAUUAGUUUAAAACGUUUUCCACUCGGAAACUUAUUUUGAAAUACUAAGAAUGAUGAAAAUCGAAAAACCCUUUUUAAAACUGUUUCCCAUACAGAAAUUUUUUCUUUAAAAUGCUACCACGAGGGUAGAAAACCUUUUUCACAAUUUUACGUGAAAACCACAAUUACUUUAUUUAACUUCACAAAAUCAUAUAUAUAUCCAACUGAAAUAAAAUCAACUGAACCAUAAAACGUCUAAGUCAAUUCAUUAGAAAUUGUAAGGAUAGCAAUUAAACCAAUUCAACCAGAUCGGAAGCUCUAUCAACCGUUACUAAUGUGUCUCACGGCUCGUCUCAACCCUUACCACCCGCAAUACCUGAAAAAUGGUGGGAAGUGAGAACAUGUACACAUGUCGCCCCUCCUAGUGGGUACUGCAAGCCGACGAAGGCGAGGAGUACUCACCGGUACAGGAAUAUCUAAUCAAGGUCAUGAGCAGAUAUUACAAAUAUAAUAGCAAUAAUACUGAAAGGAAGGAGAACAGUAAUAGAACAUAUAACUAUCGCUACUGUAAAGUAAAAUAGAAUGUAUACAUGGAUAUCAAAACUACAGUAGCAAGAUAAGUGUAAAAAAAGGACUGUAAGUAUGCAUGCAACAACCGCUACUAUAGCCAUAUGCGUCAACCGGACGAAUAGUCCAAAUAUACCCAAUCUAAACCGCUGUAUCAGUGUAAGGACCUCAGAUAAAAGCCACUACCUGCUCGCUCCUGGCAUGUAUCCCUAGCACAAAGAGAACACCGCUGGGCUCACGGGUCAGAUGUACGACCACUUUUCCGGAAAAGAACACCCUCAUGCGGGGGAUCAGCUCGCUGGUGCAUGUGAAAUGCUCUUGAGCUAUGGCGAUCGAUGCGGAUAUGAUCAAUAGCCAACCGUCCGCUAAUAGCCGACAAUCACUGCCCCUCGGGGUACACCGACCAAUAGGUCAUUGAGCCGUAAGGAAACACAAGUAUCGACCAUUCAGGUCAACUAGGAUGGAACAACUCAAUAUUCUCCCAAAGGUAUGCAAGUACUGAUCACUCAAUAUCAACUAAAAUGUAUGCGCAAGAACCGACCAAUAGGUCACAAGAAUGUCACAUCGUGUAUCAAUAUAAUCCAAAACUAGCCGUCAGCCACUAGCCGACAAUCCUACCCUUCAGGGUACGCUGACCUCAUGGGUCAUCAAACGACAAGAGUCCCGAAAACCAACCGACUAGGUCACAUAAAUGUCAAAAUCAUGGAUCAGUGUAAUCUAUAGUCAUCUGUCGAUAACUAGCCGACAAUCCUACCUCUCGGGGUAUACCGACCUCAUAGGUCAUCAAACGACAGUAGUCAUGGAACCGACCGACUAGCUCACAAGAGUGUCACAAUGGACGAGAUACAAACAAUGUCCGCUCUACUACUAGAUCAUGAUAGCAAGUAUAGAAAAAGAGCAAUACAUAAAGGUUCACAUGGUGUCAGGCUCAACAAUGGUAAACAAAUGUAAUAAGAGAGAUAAGGUAGAAAAAAUAUCACCGAGCGUGCACCACUAGACCAACUCCAGGUCGAAGUACCCACCUGUACGAAAGUCGCGUUUGUCUCCUAACUGUGGAAAAACGUCAAACGGACCUACGAAGGGUCCACCGGGUUAGUGUCUAACCCACAUAUAAGAGACACUAAACUCAAAACCGCAUAAUUAAUCCCACAGGAAUCGGUUUCCCAAAAUCGAUUACCGUAACUCGCCGGGAGUCCCGAAAAUCCCACCGGUACUCCUCCGGGACCCACAAAGUGUCCCGGGACUCACCGACUCACCCACGAGUCAUCCGCUGCCACAAAACACAUCGAUUUGGAUGUCUUGGCAGCAAACACAAGAAUACACAACCAAACAAUUAUCGCCAGAUAAUUGUUCGGAUCCAAGUUCUCGGAAGUGUCAAUUUCGACACCGGAACCGAUCGCUGCUCAUCCGUCAUCUCUGAACUCACGAUAUGAUGAUGGUGACUAGCCGAUAAGGCUCAGCGACACAACUCCGGGCAUUCUAACAUCAUCGGAUGAAAUCCGAACUGAAAUCGCGUUUUGCCUGCGAAUUUUGUCGAAAAACGCACCGAAAUCGAUAUUCGAUUUCGGCGAAGGGCAUUGAAACCGCGUUUUGCCGGCGAAUUUAGUCAAAAAACGCAUCAAAAUCGAUAUUUGAUUUUCGCGAAGGGCAUCAGACCUUGGACAAUCAGUCCAGAGGUCACCAGCAUCCCACACGUACUGCCCACAGCAGCCACGAAGUGCACAAUUGCAUAAAAGUCCCCACUAAUACGUAAAAUUACGUUAUUUUAUGUGAUUUAUGGGGUUUUUCGGCUCGAUACUGCAAACCGAGGGCUUUCGAGGUUGGCUGAGACAUGUACUGAUAGGUCUCGACGUGCCGGAGACCGUGCUCACGAUUCAGAGCACAACCAUCCAUUGUGGGAGGCGCGAGAGCGACCCGAAGUUCAGCGAACCCUGCGGGCUAAACCUAAACGCUUCUAAUUCACUCAUCCGGGGCUCGUUGACCCUAAAUGAGGUGAGCACUGUGAUCAGCACUGACCGACGAUCACCGUGCUCACCUUCGGAGGCAUCGGAACAGCCAUGGGUCACCAAAACAGAGAUCCGAAUAGGAAACAGUGCGCAAAUUAGCGUAAUAAAGCUUACCGAGCUAAGGGGAGCUAGGGCAUGGCCGGCAGCUGCCUGGCUGCUGGCGCACCGACGGCAGGCGGGUGCGGGCGAUAGAGGGAGGCUGGGGCGCGCGUCAGCCGGCGACGAAAGGCGGCGGCGGCAGCGGGCAAUGAUGCCCUAGCCGCACGAGGUGGUGGGGAGCUCGGCUCCAGCCUCGUCGGCAGGGGCCUACAACAGUGGGAGCGCCGGCGGUAGUCGGGUCCGGCCAACUAGGGAGAGUCGGUGCUCCCGCUGGCCGGCGGCGGAAGGCGGCGGUGGUGGCGCGGCGGCGGCGGCGAUGGGACUCAAACCCAUGCCGCAGCUCGGACUAAGCACGGCGGCUCGGGGUUCGCUGGGGGUGAUGUCGGUGGUCCCUCUAGGACCGCCGGCCACUGCCGUAGGAGGCGCUGUGUGGUGGCGGCGGCCGGGUAGGCCCCCAUGGCCCCACGAGUUUGGGAGUCUCCUCCAGGCCACGGCGGCUCUAUAGGGAACCGUCGGCAUCGAGGCUCGCCGGGGGCGACGCCGGUGGUCCCUCUGGGAUAGCCGGCCACGGCCGGAGGAGGCUUUGUGCGGCGGCGUCGGCCUGGUGGACCCCCACGGCCGCAUGGGGUAUGGGAGCUUCCUCCUGGCUGCGGCGGCACCCGAGCGGAGUACGGCGGCGGCGGCGACCACGCCGAUCAGGUGCGGGGGUGUCGAAAAGGCGAGAGGAGGGUGGGGCAGCCCUCGGGACACGCGGGGGAGAUCCUGCGCAAGAUCCUGCCAUGCACGAGCUCUAGCCGCUCCCAGUAGGCCGCAAGUGUAGCGGCGGCACACGGCAGGGGAACGAUGGCCGGGGAGCGUCGACUGGGAUCGGGGCGACGUCGGCGACAAGCGGAGGAGGCCGGGCAACCCAGGGCUUCAUCUCCAACCCGAGAGGAAUGUGAAAUGGUGGCAAUGUGAGAGGGAGAGAGGAAGAUAAUGGCCGAGGAGGUGGUUGGUCGGCCGGAGCUCGGCCGGAGGCUGCUGGGAUGUAACGACCCAGCCCACUAGCAACAAUAACUCGUUGGGCCCAACCACCAACCCAAAAUGCUUAAGCCCAGUUAUUAUUACUAGUGUCUAAGUCUCUUAUAUAUCCAAUCACAUCCCCAUUCCUAUCCAAUGUAGGAUUAUUAAGGUGUGACAGACUCCCCCUGUUAAGGCCCUGACGUCCUCGUCAGUCCAAUCAUAUACACAGCCCAAGAUCACCAGGCGAUGUGAGACUCGUCUCGCUAGCCUUCUCAUCUAGACCCUGGCAUAACCGGUCACCUUGUUAUAUAGACUCCGGCAUAGCCUUGUCUUUAGACCCUGGUUUAGCCGAGACUCAUCUCACACUUCCGGCUGGUGAACUAGCUUUGAUACCAAAUGUAACGACCCAGCCCACUUGUCACGCCUCGAGACCGCUACCCAUUUGGUCCGGUUCGGACGAGUCGAAUAGACGCCGGACGGACAACACCUCCCCUGUUUGCCCAAGGCUAAGCAUCAAGAUUGUGUACAACAAGUGCCCAGGAAAAACAACUUGAAAUACAUACACAAUCAACAACAACAGCGAGAGCACCACCAGUGCUAAACAACCAAGAGCAUGUAUCACGAGUAUACACAAGUGAAUAAAAGAGACAUACUAACUAUUACAACCAUUCAACUUUAAUACAUUAGAUUAACUUUACAUUCUUUCAAAAUAUAAACAUAAAGUUUACAAUCUCUCCAAAAUAUCUCACACCUAUACAUCAUCUAUUCUCAUGUGUACAAGGUAGCUUUAAUGCAAAUAGGAAGCAUCUACUAACCCUAGGGCGCUAAGCCCUUACCACGAUCCUCGACCGGUGCGCUCGUACUCGUCCCUGCAACAAAGUGGGGUGAGAACUAUUGUCCAUAGUUCCCAGUGGGUUCGGCCGCCGACUCCGCCGAUCUCCCCACUAGGUCUAAGCAGGCAUAAGCAGAUAGAUAGAUAGAUAGAUAUAGAAGCAGCGAUAACAUAGUAAGAAAAGAUGCGAGUACUAUACUAUGUCUCAAUCUAGUAAAAUGAAUGCAUGCACUACAUAGUAAAAAGCUAGCUACCAUACUACUAUGUCCAACAACGAUGCUACUCAAUAGAUCACCCAAUCUCUCGACAAGCCCGAAGGCUCGCUCUCAAUCUCACGUCUCAAUCCCAUGGGUGAGGAAUCCCAGCUGCUCGACUCACCCGAGACCGCCUGCGGACAGCAAGCUAUUGCCCUAUUAUGUGACCAACCUCCGGAGUGCACGGUUUGUGUGGAGCGACCACAACAAGCAAGUAACAGGCUACGCGAGCACGAUCCAAUCCUCGUCAACUGAGGAUACCCUACCAACUAGGGUUAUCAUCAUCAUAGAAUCAAUGUGUUCCUAUACUCAACCUCCUAGUGUUUUAACUACACUAAGGUUCUUAUGCCACUCGUUCUUGUGUUUACAUUAACUAGAUGCCACUCGUUAUCAUUUCAGUGUUUCAAUAUAUCAAUUGUACAUGAUCACUAGGUUUCCAUUCACCUAGGGUCCAAUCCAUAUUUAUCAUCUCAUUAUAGGGUUACCAAUCAACAUAUCUCAAUCUCAUGCAUACUAGGCCCAAGUGUUAAGCAAGCAUCUCUAGUAUGCAAGAACAUGUAACAACUACUCAAGCACCCUAUAAUGCAUCAUGCUCAAUAUGCAAAUAUAGUCAAUAACAAGACUUAGACAUAGGGAGCAGUUCAAUUGCUUCGGGAUGGCACCACCUACCUGUUGGCGAUGCUACAACUUAAGGAACGGAACCCGGCAAUCUCUUAGGACGUCGUUUCAGCUCUUCGAGUAGAAAUGAAGGCUACGACCGCCCCUUUUUGCCAAGAACUUCACACAAACUCGACGAAUCGUCGAACCGUCUUCGUCGAUGCGUUUAGACACCUAGCAAUUAGGUUUACAACCAACCAAAUGAGAUCAAACUCAUCGAUUUCUCGAAACCCUAAAUUGGAGCCCUAGGUUGCAACUAGUGCAAUCUACUCCAAUAAAACCCUAGAUACAUGCAAUUAGCAUCUACUUAGCACCAUUAGGUUCCAACAAAACCACUUCUAGAGUAUUUAAACCUAACCCUAGAGUUUCACCAUUAAAGGGUUUUGGAGCUUACCUCCAAAGCCUCCUCCAAGCUUGAAGAAGAAGAAGAUGAUGAUGUCUAACUUCCUUCAAGCUUCAACCUCCAACAACCCCUCCUCCUUUGUCUCCUUCCUUGAGAGAGAAUGAGAGAACGUAGAGAGAGAGAGAGAAAAAAAAUAGGUUUAGGUUGCGAGAAUGAGAGGAGAAGGAGCUCUCCAUCCCCAUAUAGCUCUCACUUAUGCAACAAUACCAUUAAACCCCCUCAACUUUGCAAGUAUGUGACAGCCCAUUUUGGGUAUUUUCGUGGUACGGGGACCGGUCCCUCUAAGGGAGGACUGGUCCCCGAGAGCAGUUCAACCGGGUUGAGCAUCAGCUCAACCCCCUCACGCUUACGAGGACCGGUCCCCUCCCUGAGGGACCGGUCCCCGAGAGCACAAAAUCAGCAAUUUGUGCAGAUUUUGCACAGGUUGCUCUCGCGGGUCCUCCACAAUGCACUUUAUGCAUUUUUGACAACUUCGGACUUUCCGAAGCAUACCCAAUCGACAAUAAGUUGAUUCCAAACGAAGUUCAACUCUCGGAUUUCGAGAAUUCACUUCUUUACACCACUAGCAACAAUAACUCGUUGGGCUCAACCACCAGCCCAAAAUGCUUAAGCCCAGUUAUUAUUACUAGUAUCUAAGUCUCUUAUAUACCCAAUCACAUCCCCAUAACUAUCCGAUGUGGGAUUAUUGAAGUAUGACAUGGGAAGCGCGCAGCGCACGUGGGUGAGGGAGGAGGGGCGGCUGGGAGUCAGCUGGAUCUAGGGUUAGGGUUUUCCUCCAUGGAAACCCCAGUUAGCUCAAUAUAUAAAAGGUGACCGACUUGCGACAUAACCUACCAAACAUGGAUAUUUUCAGCCAAGUCCUUCACAGUGCAAGUAAAUCACGCGGACGUACCCUCAUGUUCGAUUUCAUGCAAAACGGUACAUAAAAUGUAGGACUUUUCGCAAAAUUACCGUUUCGCCACUAAUGACCCCUCCUCGAUCAACGCGCGAUAUCAAGAGAUCUGUCCGUGAGAUUUGCGAACAGAUCAUACCAAUGCGAUUAGCACGACAGGGACCUCAAACUCAUGAUUUUGUUUCACUUGGUUUGGUCGCAGAUUUGCAACGAAACCCAUCCUCUCACCAAUAGGCAAAACCUGCACACAAAUACAUAGAAUACAUGUAUCUCUAAUUUCCUCAAAAAACGUGCAUCAGAUCUGAAAUCCGUCAGCGCCAAUGGUUCCAGAAUAGUCGGACCAUUGAAAACGAGCUAUUGGAUCGCUAUGAACGGAGUCCGAUACGCGCCCGAAGCCAUCUCUACUCAUUGGCCUCUUCGGAAACCCGGGUUACUAUUCACUUUAAGUGAAAAGUAAAUAUCGUGUAAAAUCUCCAUUGUAACUCGUUUUCUCCUGAAACUUGGCGAGCGCUUUUGUAAUUAAAAUACACAGAAAAAACAUCAUUAACAGAGAGUACAGCACAGUCAAAUUCUCAGUCCUCACAAGCUAUAUCUCGACUCACGUUUGAGUCAAUCAUCAGCGGAGCACCGCCAUCCUCACCUUGGCAUUAGGUGGCGAGAUUAUCGUCUACCCCUGGCCGUAAGUCAAUAACUUGUGAAGUCGUUUCAUUCCUUGGUAUUAAGUGCCAUUCUGUGCAUGCCUGACCAUCAGAAUUAUUGGUAGCGAGUUCAUUCAUCUCACCGCUCACUUUGGCAUUAGGUGGCUUUCCGCACACCCCCGACCAUAGGCUCAUAGGCAUGGAAUCAUUUCUUUGGCAUUAGGUGCAUGGCAAUUUGCACACCCCUGACCAUAGGUUGUUAGGAGUUUCGGAAUUUCUUCUUCCACGGUCACAAGGAUUCAUUGCCUUUACUCUAUAUUGUCAAUCUUCCUAUUUUUGAGUCAUUCAUGUCCAAGUGGUCACCCUACCACUAUAUUUUUCAACCUAUGUUCAAUGACACUUAAGUUCAAUGACAUUUCAAUCCAAAUGGUUUCGUACCACUAUGUUUUCAACCUGUGUUCCAUGACACUAGGGGAACGUUUGGUUCGAAGUUGGAAUCGGAAUCAGAAUCGGAAUCGAAAUAAGCUGGAAUCGGAAUCGGAAUGACUCAUUACCUAAUUCUGUUUGGUUCGUUACUUGAAUCGGAAUCGGAAUAAAUCAUUUUCAUUAUCGGUGCUUGGUUCAGGUAGGUAUAAAAAAUGUAAUCGAAUUAAUAUACUAACUUUAUCUUUAUAAUAUAUUAAUUUAAAUUCAAAUUAAAAAUUAAAUAUUAAAAAUUUAGAUCAAAAUUUUGAAAUAAUGUCAAAAUUUUAAAUCUAUCUUUUUUUUAAAAAAUUAAACUUUGAAGUUCAGUGGAUAAUUCAAAAUAUAAAACUAAAUUUCGAUAUAUUCAAAUUCAAACUUAAAAUUACAAUUUAAAUNAUAUUAAUUUAAAUUCAAAUUAAAAAUUAAAUAUUAAAAAUUUAGAUCAAAAUUUUGAAAUAAUGUCAAAAUUUUAAAUCUAUCUUUUUUUUAAAAAAUUAAACUUUGAAGUUCAGUGGAUAAUUCAAAAUAUAAAACUAAAUUUCGAUAUAUUCAAAUUCAAACUUAAAAUUACAAUUUAAAUUUUAAUUUGAAUCAAUAAAUUUAAUUUAAGUUUUAAAUAAAAUUUGAAUAAAACUUUAUAUAAAUUAAAAUUUAAUUUAAAUUCAAAUUUAUAAGUUAGAUUCAAAAUACUUGAUUAAAUUUGAAAUUUUAAUUCAAAUUCAAGUUAAAAUUUAAAAUUAUAAAUUUAAUUUCUAAAUUUAAACUCAUAUUUUAAUUAAAAAAUUUUGAAAAAAUAAAUUUAAUCCGAAUAAAUAUACAUUCCGUCCGGAUUCAACUUCUAAUCCGGCCUUCUAGGCCGGAUUGGAAAAAGAGGCGAUCGGGGGAUUCCUAUUCCACUCGGGAAUCGGAAUCGGAAUGGGACUCCCGCAUACCAAAUACCCACAAACGAAUUCACCCAUUCCGAUUCCGAUUCCAAGGUGAAAAAAGCGAACCAAACACGCCCUAGGUUUUCUAGUUUUACCAUGUUCUUUUCUUAUCCUAGUUGUCCACACCUAAAAUUCAUGAUUCAUAUGACAGCUAGUCCUUAAUUCCUCACUUCUCGAGUUCUCUAAUUUUUUUAGAGUUAAUCAACCUAUGUUUGAUAUUCACACCUAUGCAUACAUAUAUAUACUACAUGUUUCCAUAUGCCUUGCGUUAUUUGUCCAAUGGUAUAUAAUUUAUUCUACUAGCAUGUAACACCCCAAAAGUCCCACAUCGGGUAAGAAAAUAAUUCUGAUUAGAAUAUUUGAGGCUUACACGUUAGUAAUAAUAACUGGGCUUAAGCAAUUUGGGUUGGUGGUUUGGGCCCAACGAGUUAUUAUUGCUAACGGGUUGCGUCAUUACAAUUAGUAUCAAAGCCGAAUACCGGCUGGAAGUGUGAGAGUUAAGUGCUAUGCGGAGCAAAGUGCUACACCAAUAGAUUUGGUGGGAGCCACCUCUUGAACAUGUAGGAGCCACAUCUAGAAUCUCACAUUGCCCGAUAAUUCUAGUUUGCAUCUAUGAACUGAUUUGGACCCGAUGAGGACGUCAGGGUCUAAAUAGGGGGAGUUUUGUAACACCCCAAUAGUCCCACAUUGGGUGGGAAAAUGAUUAUGCUUAGUGUCACGCCCCGAGACCGCUACCAAUUUGGUCUGGCUCAGGCGCGUCGAACAGACGCCGGAUGGACGGCAUCUCCCCCGUCCGCCCAAGGCUAAACGACAUGAUUGAGUACAAGAAUUUGCCUAGGAAAAUAAAUUCAAUACAUACACGAUCAACAAGAAGUACCACAAGUGCCAACAACAAAGAGUAAGAAUCCACAAGCAUACACAAGUGAAAUAAAGAGAGAUAUAACUAGCUAUUACAUCCAUUCAUUCACAAUUUAAUUGUCACGACCCCUCACCGCCAAUUUGAACAGUUCGGGUCCGAAACAGACCCGCCGAACGGACAGAGUUUCCCAUGCCCGCCCGAAGCGUAACAAAGUCUAUGCAUACAUAUCUAAACAAGAGAUAUUAGCAUUCAACAUUUGUGAGAGGCAUAUCAAGAUACAAGAGAAAGUAAGCUACUUACUAAAACAUUUCCUGUAACGUACCACAUCCCUCGUAAAUCGUGCCGAGUUCCGUCAAAACGAGCGGAAUGCGGAAUUGAAUGAGUUAAAAUGGGCCCUAAAUGCAUUAGAGUUCAUAAACAGAGCAAAAAGGGACCCGGAGAGCAAAUUUGAAAAUUUGGCUAAGUCCCAGAUUUUGAGCUCUCGGGGACCGGUCCCUAAAAGAGAGACCGGUCCCCGUGCGCGUGGCCUGCCAGGAAAUCCUGAGGCAUCCGGUCCCUGGUGGUGAGACCGGUCCUCGGGAGAUCGGUCCCUGACGGGCAGACCGGUCCCUCGCUGCGCAACAGCUGAGAGACUCAAAAAUUUGGCUAAGUCCUGGAAAACCCCCGUUCGGGAACCGGUCCCUGGUCUGGGAGACCGGUCCCCGAAGGCGAAAAAUGCCCAGUCUGGGCAGUUCAAGAGGAAACAAGUGGAGGGGCUUAAGUGCAAUUGUUACAACACUAUAUAUGGCCCAACCCCUCUCUCCCACAGCCAUUCUCCUCCUCCUCUCUUAUUUCCUCACUUUCUCUCUCUAGAAUCCCUCUAGGGCUUGGAGAAGAAGAAGAAGAACUUGGGGAAGAAGGUGGAUUUGAUCCUUUGGAGGUUCUAGGAGCUCUCCAACAAGAAGAAUCUUGGUGGAGCUUGGACUAGAGGUAAGUUUUGUAAGUUUUUCCUCUAGGGUUUGGAUUUUGGCGUAGGGAUUUGGAGCUUUGUGCUCCUUAGAGGCUUUAAAGACUCUUUUGAGCCAUGUACACCAUGGUUCCCAUGAGAGCUUAAAGUGCUCUCAUGGUGAAUCCUUGGAAGUGGUGUUUGGAGCCCUAGGGUUGGUACCAAAGGUCUAGAAACCUUACUAGAGUGCUUCUUAGAUGAUUCUAAGCUAUCGUUUGCUUAGGAUUGGGAUCGAUUCAUGGGAAAACCCUAAAUGACAAUAUUAGGGCUUGGAUUUGGGGUUUUUGCCCUAGGAUUUUUCGGGGACAAAUUGACCCCGUAGAAACCUAAUUGGGGAUGUCCUAAACGCGUGGGACAACUUCGUUUAACAUUGCGAAAAUGAUAGAGUAUAGUUCAUGCACAAAAAGGCCUAAUAUGGCACUAUUUUGAUUAUAGGGCGCGGAAUCGGCUUUCGUAAAGUGUGGGAGCCUUCGUAAUCUACACCCACACAACCAAUAGAGGUGGUGUCACGACCCGCGACCACCCGCCUAUUUGGCCGAGGUCGCGGCGCCGACAGCGCCGAACGGACAGGGUUUCCCCUGUACUGCGGACAGAGUCUCCCCUGUACGUUCAAGGCAUCGCAAUCAAUACAAUACAAAGGUUCUAAACAGGAACAGUAUUCAACAAAUAGAUUGCAUAAGGAAGGUAUCAACAACAUAACACAUCUUAUGUUAUUACAUGCAUUCACAUUCAUACAUUUUUACAUCACAGUUCUCAUUUGAUCCCUCCAAAUACAAUCUAAGUUAUUACAUUGUUUACUUAUUAUAAUUUGAUACAUUGUGUUCUUUUCUUUCCCCAUACCCCUAAGCUAUGUCGACGGGGUACUGCUAGCUCUGGUCUCUGGGUAGGGCGCUAUCUAUGGAUCUACGCCCUUUCCUCGCGCCGCCGCGCCGCUCACGUGCGAACCUGUAAAACCCCAAAACAACGUGGGGUGAGAACCAACUCCAUGGUUCCCAGUGGGUACGGCCACCCAAGGGAAAAGCUCGACCAAAAGGUCCAAGGAGGCACUGCAAUCAUGUUAGUCCAAAAACAUCUAUAGAUAUAUAUAUCAUCAGUUUAUUAAGCAACUAAUAGAUAACAUGCCUCGCAAUAUGCAAUAUGUAUAUCAUGCAGCUCUAUGCAAAUAUGCAACCAUUCAGUAGAUCUAUUGAUUCUACAUUAACUCUGCUAUUCUCAGCUCAUGUUAAUUGACUCUAAGGUUUCUACUACCUUAGUUCGCCACAAUCCAAGCUCAACUUGCUUCUAAGGUUUCUAUUACCUUAGCUCUUACCUUUAUCACUAGCUUAUAAGGUUUCUAUUAACCUAAUCAAGCUAACCACCCGACUCGGCCUCGAGUCAAUCACCCGCGGAUAGUCCGCGCACUGGCCGCACUCUGUGACUUAACCAGCUGGCGGCGAAGUCGUCGCACACGCCGAACACUGGUUCAAGUCCCUUGACUUGGCCAUCUGGCGGCGAACGAAUCGCACCUCACCCAACAAUGGCUCAAGUCGAUCUGGCAGCAUAAUCCACAAACUGGCUUAACCAUCCGGCGGCGAAAUCGUCGCAUACGCCACGUCAAUGGUUCAAGCCCCGGGCGGUGAUCUCUGCGCGCUCACCCCCCAAUCCAUCCUUGGUAUCAACCUCGGUGGCGAAAUCUUCGCACACGCCCUAGCCUUGAUACCAAGGUUAGCAUAGCACAAGUCCUGGGAUUUCGGAAUCCACUUCCACAGGUCGAGGGUCCAUAGCCAACCCUAUGCUGUCGACCUAAAACAUCCUAGUGGUCGCUACCACUAUACUCAACAACCUAGGUUCAAUGCCACUCUAGGUUUACUAUUCCACAGCUUAGGUUAUGAAACUCUAGGUUUACUAGUUCAACCUAUGUUCACGGACACUAGGUUCCACAUCACUAUGUCCGAUCUAUGUUUAUUAACACUAGGUUGGAUGCCACUCGAUCUAUUUGAUUCUAGGUCUACUCAUGACCUAUGUUCUUUAACACUAAGUUAGANGGCUGAAUCAAAAUCGUACUCUACAAGUGUCUGCACUCGAGCGCUCCACACGUCUCUAUCGUGUUCCAACUAGGUCAAGCAUUAGGCAACUUGCCUAUGCCCACUGACUACAUGAGCACAACUCGUUCACCUCAAUUCGAGGUACUACUAGGCCAACAUGCCCGUAUCCGGCAACUACACGGCUACUCUCUCAACAGUGAUUCUACUUUCACUGUUCGAUCUACUGAAACAAUAUCCGAGAUGCUCAGGCCACUCGGGUAUUCGCAAUGUCACUGCGCAACUCUCGCAAUUCGAUGCUCAUUGCCUUGAGAGUCGCUUCACCAUUUCGCGUUCACCACGAGUCCAAUCCUCGUCCAAGAACCCUUACUAGUCAAUUGCUAGUACCACUUGGCUCUCUACCUGCUCCAGCAGGCGCCACACUCUCACCGCAUAAGCAUGCUCGGGUGUCUACCUCUACCUGUCCCCUCGGUCCCUACUAUACAAUGUAUAGCUAGUAGCAACUGACCAUAUGAUAAUGCAUGCUAUGCAUCAACUUGAGAUCACACAAAAGUAUAUGCUUGCUCAAUUAACUCAUACCUGCCACGACGUCGUCGGCAACGGCAGGCACCACAACUCGGGUCGCUAUUCAUGGCCACUUGGCGCUCGCCGCGAACCCUCCGGUUGCAUAGUCCUCAACGGCCACUCUCCUGACCAUGCCGCAGGUGGCAUACCUGCAGGCUGUCCCAGAGAGGAGUAGGUCGUCGCCAGUGUCAAGGCCCGACUACCACCUUGCGGACACUCGUCCCGUCUAUGGCCCGGCAGCCCACACUCGAAGCAUUUGCCCUCUCGCUGAUCACACUGCUGUGGAUAGUGAGGGCCUCCACAAAUAACACAUCUCGCAGAGGACCUAACGUGGUAAGUCCCCGGAGCUCGAGAUCGCGAGCGCGAACUCAUCGAAGUUCGUUGGGAACUUGACUGACUGUCAUGCCCGCUCACCGGCCGUCCUUUCCCCUUUUCCUUGUAAUAUGCCUCACGCUACUCCCGCAGAGAUUCCUCGCCUUGCUCUAUCCACAAGGCCCGAUCUAGGAUCUCGGCAAAAGUCUGUAACUUGUGUACAAGUACAGCCUUGUAAAGGCCUGGCCGCAGUCCACGCACAAAGCAGUCGGCCUUGUCCUUGUCAUCCCGCACCACGUUCGGAACACAAUGCACGAUACGAGAAAAUUCCCGUUCGUACUGCCUGACUGAGCGAUCACCUUGCCGCAGCUUUUGGAAGCUUUCCUUGAGCUUUUGCUUUUCACUGUCGGGGAAAUAGGCCGAGAACACCAAUCCCCGAAACUCUUCCCAAGCCAUAGGAGGGAGACUAGGCGNNNNNNNNNNNNNNNNNNNNNNNNNNNNNNNNNNNNNNNNNNNNNNNNNNNNNNNNNNNNNNNNNNNNNNNNNNNNNNNNNNNNNNNNNNNNNNNNNNNNNNNNNNNNNNNNNNNNNNNNNNNNNNNNNNNNNNNNNNNNNNNNNNNNNNNNNNNNNNNNNNNNNNNNNNNNNNNNNNNNNNNNNNNNNNNNNNNNNNNNNNNNNNNNNNNNNNNNNNNNNNNNNNNNNNNNNNNNNNNNNNNNNNNNNNNNNNNNNNNNNNNNNNNNNNNNNNNNNNNNNNNNNNNNNNNNNNNNNNNNNNNNNNNNNNNNNNNNNNNNNNNNNNNNNNNNNNNNNNNNNNNNNNNNNNNNNNNNNNNNNNNNNNNNNNNNNNNNNNNNNNNNNNNNNNNNNNNNNNNNNNNNNNNNNNNNNNNNNNNNNNNNNNNNNNNNNNNNNNNNNNNNNNNNNNNNNNNNNNNNNNNNNNNNNNNNNNNNNNNNNNNNNNNNNNNNNNNNNNNNNNNNNNNNNNNNNNNNNNNNNNNNNNNNNNNNNNNNNNNNNNNNNNNNNNNNNNNNNNNNNNNNNNNNNNNNNNNNNNNNNNNNNNNNNNNNNNNNNNNNNNNNNNNNNNNNNNNNNNNNNNNNNNNNNNNNNNNNNNNNNNNNNNNNNNNNNNNNNNNNNNNNNNNNNNNNNNNNNNNNNNNNNNNNNNNNNNNNNNNNNNNNNNNNNNNNNNNNNNNNNNNNNNNNNNNNNNNNNNNNNNNNNNNNNNNNNNNNNNNNNNNNNNNNNNNNNNNNNNNNNNNNNNNNNNNNNNNNNNNNNNNNNNNNNNNNNNNNNNNNNNNNNNNNNNNNNNNNNNNNNNNNNNNNNNNNNNNNNNNNNNNNNNNNNNNNNNNNNNNNNNNNNNNNNNNNNNNNNNNNNNNNNNNNNNNNNNNNNNNNNNNNNNNNNNNNNNNNNNNNNNNNNNNNNNNNNNNNNNNNNNNNNNNNNNNNNNNNNNNNNNNNNNNNNNNNNNNNNNNNNNNNNNNNNNNNNNNNNNNNNNNNNNNNNNNNNNNNNNNNNNNNNNNNNNNNNNNNNNNNNNNNNNNNNNNNNNNNNNNNNNNNNNNNNNNNNNNNNNNNNNNNNNNNNNNNNNNNNNNNNNNNNNNNNNNNNNNNNNNNNNNNNNNNNNNNNNNNNNNNNNNNNNNNNNNNNNNNNNNNNNNNNNNNNNNNNNNNNNNNNNNNNNNNNNNNNNNNNNNNNNNNNNNNNNNNNCCUAGGUUAUGAAACUCUAGGUUUACUAGUUCAACCUAUGUUCACGGACACUAGGUUCCACAUCACUAUGUCCGACCUAUGUUUAUUAACACUAGGUUGGAUGCCACUCGAUCUAUUUGAUUCUAGGUCUACUCAUGACCUAUGUUCUUUAACACUAAGUUAGAUGCCACUCGAUCUAUUCACAAGCUAGUUGUCCAGUUAAGCAUUCUACUCAUUCUAGAGUUAUCAACAUGCAUUUCACUCUUAUUCACAUACAUAUAUAAUCUUUUAUAUGUAUCUACUUAGCAUUUACAUCAUAUCAUUAUUAUCACGCAUUAUCUAGCUACUUGCAUCAUACUAUAACAUGCAUCAUCUAGCAUUAUGUAACUUGCAUCUUAUCAUUAUGCAUUUCUACUUGGCAUUUACAUUAUUAACAUGCAUCAACAUGGAUUCUUAGUCUUUCUUAGACAUAAAGGCGACCUAGUCGCUUCGGUAAGCACAACCCACCUUAACACGCGUUCCGAUUGCUCGUCGACACUUGCAAUCGGCCUCUCGCGGCACUCGGCACCCGUUUGGGCCCGAUCUCACAGUUGCUCUCCAAGAGCGCGUCGCUUCGCCGUUUCAAGUGCAGUAUCUCUUCGGUUAUACGCCACGGUGCUCCAAAUCCAAUCCCAUGAUUUUACGACGUCGCCUCGGCCCUCUCGGCGAACCCGAAGCCUAAACGUCCGUUUCUUUAAUAUCUUUGUAACAGCUCGUCAAAUUGCAGAACCGUCUUCGCCAACGCGUUCGUAGACCUAGCAAUUAGAUUUACAAAGGGUCAAAUGAGAUCAAACCCUCAUAUAUAUCAAAACGCCAUUUCGGAGCCCUAGAUUCCAAUUAGGUAAAAACCUACCUUUAAAUCUCUAGAUUCUAGCAUUAAACAUCUAUUAAGCUUGCUAGGAAUCCAAUUAAACCAUUUCUAGAGAUCAAAACCCUACAUCUAGGGAUUUACCAUGAGAGGGCUAAGAGCUUACCUCUCAAGAUGCUCCAAAGGCAAGGAGGGAGAGAAGAAGGUGGAGUUGAUCUCCUUCUUGAUCUUCUUCUCCUUCUUCUCCUUCCUCUUCUUCUUCUUUUUCUUCUUCUUCUCUUCUUUCUCCCCUUCUUCUUUUUCUUUCGUUUAGAGAGAGAGAGAGAGAGAAACGUGAGGGAGAGUGAGGGAAUGAGAGAAAGAGAGAGAGAGAGUCCUCUCUUAACCCCNNNNNNNNNNNNNNNNNNNNNNNNNGGACCGAGGCAAGGGUUUGGCGCCGUAGGUAGCGGCCACCGGGACUUUAUACAUUUUGUAGUCAUUCCCUUUUGUUAUACAUGUAUCAACUUUAUUUUGUUGAAUUAGAGAUGUAAAGUUAUAAACAAUCAUGUAUUUGGUGGAUGACUAAAUGUAAAAGAUAUGAUGAUUGAAUGGAAUGUAAUAGCUUUGUUUACUUGAAUUUGGUUUAAAUGAAAUCAAAUAUCAUGUGUGAUGUAUAUUUAGCUUAGAGCUUUCGCUUCCGUUGUUGCUUGCCCUCGUGCGAGCCUUGUAUUAUAUAUGCAAUUCUCUUGUUGAAUGCCUAAUUAUACAUGUUGUUAGAGCCUUGGGCGGACAGGGGAGGCUCUGUCCGUUCGGCGUCUGUUGACGUGACCCGAACCCGACCAAAUUGGCGGGGAUUGGGGCGUGACAUUUCCACAUAGUGUAUUUAACAACUUACAUUCUUUACUCAUUUAACAUGCAAACUAACAUCUAACAUAUACAUCACAUUCUCUUUCCAAAAGGGUUUUUACAUUCAUUCUUUCCUUUUUAUACUCGAUGGUAGUGAGCUAAUGCUGGUGGUCCACUCUAUCUAGGGCGCGAUGCCCUUGCUGCGAUCCUCGAUGCAUGCGCUCGUACUAGGUUUUGCAAAACAGGGUGUGAGAACUAAACAAAGUUCCCAGUGGGUUCGGCCGUCGACCCCGCCGAUUUUUCCACUAGGUUUAAGAAAGGCAUAGAAACAAUAAAGAGGUCAACAUGUCAAAGGAAUAAUAGAUAUAACAUUAAGCCUACCCUGCUCAUCUACAUCUAUAUCAUGUUCAAAUGUGUAGCUAUGCCUUUACUAAUCAUGUCAACAAGUAUAAGUUUAAGUUCUUCCAUAUAUGCAAACUAUAUAUGAAAUGCCAUGAUCAUGCCUUGUGCCAAAUCCAAUCGAUUCGCCCGAAGGUCGAACCACUCGCCACACACUGUCACGGGACCGUGACGUCUGAUGGGAGAGGCCCCCCGUUAUAUUCGCAAUAGUGAUAUAACUCCGUAGCUCACUGCUUGGGAGGCGCGACCAUCCACAAGCUAUAACAGACAACGUGAGUAUGAUCAAGUCUUCCCACCCGAGGACCGCGGGAAUACCACAUCCCUAUCCAUCUCAAGGCAUGCCAUGCUCAUGUCGGCCACAUAUGCAAUGGUUUCCAAUUCUGACAAUAUCAUUGGUUCACAUACUAGUUUCUCAUGAAUCUAGUCUAUUCUCACAUCAUAUCCACAUGCAUAUGUCCACUAGCAACUCAUACAACAUGUAUAAAUAUCUAUAUUGGCAUUGUCACGCCCCGAGACCGAUGCCAAUUUGGCCCGACCCGAGCACGUCAAACAGACGCCGAACGGACAGAGUUUCCCCUGUCCGCCCAAGGCUCAUCACAUGUACAAAAUUCAAACAAGAAUUGCACUAGCGGAAACAUACACAAACGGCUUACACGAGGGUAAGCAAUAGCCAUUAGUGAAAGAUAGGAAAACUAAACUUCUACACAAGUAAUAUGAUUCAUUUUAGAUCAUAUACAUUGCAUCCAUCUCUUAAAAUAGGAUUCUUUGCAUUUCAUUACAUAAUUUCAUCAUUUCUUUCUUACAUCACACUUACCUCAAAAUAAGCUUUACAUUCUUUUCUUUACAUCACUAUCAUCAAGUACAAAAGAUGAUAAAAGGGUGUCUACUAACAAAAUGUAAACCCAACUCUGGUGGCCUCUGACUACGGCGCGAUACCUUUACCUCGGUCGCUCGCCGGCUCGCUCGGUCCCGGCUCUGUGGAAAUAGUGGGGUGAGAACUACAACAAAGUUCCCAGUGGGUUCGGCCUCAACAUCACCGACUUUCCCACUAGGACUAACUCAGGCAUAAUAGAAAGGAUAAACAGGAUAUAGUAACCAAUCUAUAACAUGAUGCUAAUAUGCCCGAACAGAUAGCAAGAAAUAUGCUCAACAUUAAAUAAAUGUAGAUUAUGCAAACUCAUUCGUUCUUUGACUUUACUUUGUACUUUGUUCUUUAUUCUUUGCUCUUUGUUCUUUGUUCUUUAAUCAUUAAGGCUAACCCGGGGGCUUCGCCACAUUAACUUGCUUCACAUUAAGUCCAUCAUCGUAGGAACUCACCAGCUAGGACCGUCCUUUCGGGUCUACUGCAACCCGGAUGCAUAACUCCGGAGCGCAUCGCCCGAGGGGGAGCGACCGCCCUCGAGCACGGAACUCAUAGCAAGCAUGAUCAUAUCCUUAACUCAAAGGAUUUAUAAGUUCAAUCUUGACUUUACACUAGCUCUAGUGUUCAUUAUAUCGCUUUAUGUUGCAAACUCAUGCAAUCACAUUUUCUUUUGCCUUCUUUACUUUGCUAACUCUAGCAUUCAUAUUCCCUACAUCACUUUGGUUCUUUAGAUCACACUAAUUCAAGUGUCGCUUUACUUUGACAUUAUCCUUUUCAUCAUUCUUUACAUCACUUUGGUUCUUUGCCUCACACUAACUCUAGUGUCUCUUUACUUUACAUUUUCAAAUGCCACUCGAUCUAUGUCAUUGUGCCACUCUGUUCUUUUGCUCACUUUGGGUACUCACAUUUUCUCUCAUGCAUACAUCUAGGGUUUUGACAUCAUUAGGUUCUCAACCAUCUCAUUAUGCAAGUUGUGCUCACAAUCAUGCAAUCAUCACAUUUCAUCAUUACUUUACCCUAAAAUGCAUGCAACAAUAUAUAGAACAUAUGCUCAAAGAAUGACACAUUAGGCAUAGAGAGAAUUUCAAUGAGUUUGAAAAGCACCACCCACCUCGUAGGCUUUCAAAGGUGCUCCGAUGAUUUUCUUGGGAUUUUUAGAUGCUUCGUUCUUUACCUGCGGCAAAACGAACCCUUAUUAGGCCAUUUUGCCCAUAACUUUACUUUGACUUUUCGUAACGUUAAUCCGAGCGCACCAACGCGUCGGAAAUACCCCCAAUUAGGUUUUUAGAGGGUCAAUUGCACUUAGAAACCCUCAUGAGCAAAAGCCCCAAUUUGGUGCCCUAGCUCCAAUACACAUGUCAAACCUAGGGUUUGAUCUCAAAGAGAAGCAAAAAUAGCUUCAUUAUACUCUAAAAAGUUCAUUAGAACCAUCUUUAGACAAAUCAAAACCCUACUUAGGGUUUCACCAUGAGAGGUGAUGAAGCUCACCUCAAGCUUCACCAUUUCUAUGGUCUUGAUCUCAAAAGAAGCAAAAGAAAAGCUUCAAAUACUCAAAUGGUUCCAUAAAACCCAUUUCAAGCUUAAUCCAAACCCUAGAUUAGGUUCUACCAUGAUUAGGGUUCAAAGCUUACCUUGUAAGCCCUUCUUUUCCAAGCUAGAGAUGAGGGAGAGGGAGUUUCUUCACUUCCUCUUCUUCUUCUCCUUUUUCUUCUCCUUCUUUUCCUUCCUUUCCUUGUCUUCUUCUUCUCCUUUGUCUUCUAGAGAGAGAGGGAGAGAAGAGAGUGUGAGAGGGUGAGAAUGAGAGAAAUGUCUCAUUUACCCCAAUACUAUUCUCAAUGGGUUGCAAAAUUGCAGCUAAACCCCUCAACUUUCACUUUAAUACACUGCCCGAACUGGGCAGUUCGCGCAGGCAGGGACCGGUCUCUCCCUUUAGGGACCGGUUCCCGAACGUUGUCCCAGCGCAGCCAGAGCUGCUGCGCGCAGUGCAACCGGUCUCUCUCUGUGGGACCGGUCUCUCGGGGACCGGUCUCUCAGGCAGGGAUCGGUUCCCGAGAGCUACUUUCUCAGGACUUAGCCGAUUUUCCGGCUGUCUCAUUUCAUACGCAUUCGGGGACCGGUCUCUCCCACUAGGGACCGGUCCCCGAGAGCUGAAAAUCUGCAGUUUUGCAGAAUUUGAUUCUUUAGCUCUCGAAAACCUUCCACCACUCACUUUUGAUCACUUUAACACCUUCGGACUCUCCGAAGUGUUCCAUCCUCGCACUUUGGUCAAUUCGACUAAAGUUCGACCUUUUUAUUUUCCGAAUUUACGGUAUAUUACAGGCAUCAUAUAAAAGUUCUCAUGCAACAUAUAUGUCCACAUCUAUCUCAACAUCAUGCAAAUAGAUAUUCCUACAAGUAUCAUGCAAUCAUGGAUCAUUAUUCCUCACACUAAGCAUGAAAUUACCACAACUCAUAGGAUUCUCACUAUUCUAUACAUUAUGAUAUAUGAUCAAUAAUAGUAGAACUUAGACAUAGAAUGAAACUCGGCUAAUUCGGAUAGCACCCCCAACUCGUGGCGUCGACACGAAGCGGGUAGCCUAGCAGCGCGAUUUAUGGCCGUCGAUUUCUUCCGACUCAAACCCAAGCUCUCUUCAAGCCAAUGGUGAAGAAGAAGAAAGCUUCACCUCCAAGUAAGCUUCUUCCACCAAAUCUCCACUAUUGGAGCAAAACUCUAGGAGAGAGAGAGGUUUAGAGAGAGAAAAAGAAGGUUUCUCUUUUGGUUUAAGUAGUGGAGAAUGAGAGAAAAGGCUCAAGUCCCUUAUAUAUAUAGGAAACUUCACCUCCAAGUAAACCCUUCACUUACACAUAAGAAACUUCACCUCCAAGUAAACCCUUCACUUACACAUAGGAAACUUCACCUCCAAGUAAACCCUUCACUUACACAUAGGAAACUUCUUUAAGUCCAAUAAAAAUAGUAUCUUACACUAUUUUUAUUUACACUUACUUCUAUAUUAAAAAUUCGAUACACUACAUUAAGGCUCUCUUAUAUUUACAUCACAUUGCCUUUUUACAUUUUUCCCAAAAUGAAUACAUAAUCAUUUUUCAAAUACAUAGGUGGCUCUCCCAAAAUAUAAAGCAACUAGAUACAUAAGGGUACUCUAAUGCAAACUAUACUACUACUGUUCAGACGCGAUGCCCUUGCCGCGAUCCUCGCCCGGUGUGCUUGAACUAGGCCCUCGAACUAGGCCCUGCAAAAAAGCGGGGUAAGAACUAUUGUCCAUAGUUCCCAAUGGGUUCGGUUGCCGACUCCGCCGAUCUCCCCACUAGGUCCGAAUGGGCAUAAGUAGAUAGAUAGAUAGAUAAACAUCGAAGCUGCAAAUGACAUAAUAGGAAAGCUAUGCUACUAUGCCCAAUCAUAUGUCACAUAUAUGCAUGCAUCAUAUAGUAAAUGGUUUACUAACAUGCCACUAUGUCCACUAUCCAUGUCCAGCAAGCAAAUGUUCAAAUAACAAUGCCAUUUUCAUGUUCAAUCAAUCUUUGGUGAUCCACUUGGGUUCGCCCACGACUCACCUCAAACCUCAUAUGGUAAGGAGACGCACCUCGCUCUCAAACCCGAGGCUGCCUGCAGGGCAUCAACUCUGCCCCUCUCGCACCAAACUAUGGAGUGCACGAAGACCUGGGUGGUGCGACUACCACAAGUAUGAACAGACUAUGAGUAUGAUCAAUCCUCUCAACUCGAGGAUACCCUACUGGUUAGGGCUACAAGUCACUCGGGAAUCCACCUAUCCCAAAGUCGAAAUACGAAUGUUUGGCUACAUUAUGUUCUUGUCCAACGAGUCAUUUACUAGGGAAUCCACCUAUCCCUAAGUUCACAUGCCACUAGUGUCCUUUACACUAAGUUAUAUGCCACUCGUUACGUCUUUAACAAUUAUCGAGUUCAUCUCUUUUCUCGGCGCCAUAGAAUUCAAUGUCAAGACCCAAUCCUCAUCUAACCAUCAUCAUGUAUUCAACUCAUACAUUGAUAUCAUUAGCAAGCAUAAGGAAUGGAAUAACAUGCAAUCCUACAAUGCAACAUGCAAGAGAUGCAAAUCAUGAAGUACUAAGACAUAGAGAGGAACCCGGUUGCUUCGGGAUGACACCACCCACCUUUUUGGCGAUGUCGGACUCUAGGAAUGCAACUCGGCAAUCUUACGACGUCGUCUCGGCCUUCUAGGUGAAAGCGAAGCUAGGAAGAUCCCUUUUUGCCGAUAACUUCGCACCAACUCGACGAAUCGUCGAACCGUCUUCGCCGACGCGUUUAGACACCUAGCAAUUGGGUUUAUACACAAUCAAUUUAGAUCAAAACUCAUAUUUUCCCAAAAACCCCAUCGGAGCCCUAGGUUGCAACUAUUGCAAUAAAACCUCAACAAAGCUCUCGACUUAUGCAAGAACCAUCCUACUAGUCUCCUAGGGUUCACCCAAAAUCAUUUCUAGAGCAUUUAAACCCUACCCUAGAAAUCCACCAUUAUAGGGUUUAGAGCUUACCUCCAAAAGCUUCUCCAAACUAGAGGAAGAAGAUGGAGAAGAUGAUGCUUUCCUCUUUUUUCUUCUUCUCCUUCUACUCCUUCUCCUCCUUUCACCUUCAAGAGAGAGAGAGCAAAGAGCUCUAGAGAGAGAGAGAGAGGAGUGUUUAGGUUAGGUUUUGGGGAAGAAAUGAGAAGAGGGAGAGAGCAAGAGCUCUCAUAUAACCCCCACUCAUGUAACAUUGCAUUUUAACCCCUCAACUUCACCAACAUCACCGAGCCCAUUUUGGGCAUUCUUGUGGUACGGGGUCCGGACCCUAAAGCUAGGGUCCGGACCCCGAGAGUUGCAAAAGUGUGCAAUUUGCACACUUGAAGCUCUCAAGCCCAAGAGGGCUUUUUCGCAGCUACGGGGUCCGGACCUGCAGCUAUGGUCCGGACCCCGAGAGUGGUAAAACAUGCAAAUUGCAUAUUUUGCAAACUCCAACUCUCCAAGGUCCUCCCUCAAUGCACUUUUUGCAUUUUCACCGCAUUCGGACCUUCCGAAGCAUGGCCAAUCGACAAUAGGUCGAUUCCAAACGAAGUUCAAAUCUGGGAUUUCGAGAAUUCACUUCCUUACAUCCUCUCCGCCUUAAAAGAGUUUCGUCCUCGAAACGAACUCAACUCAAUUAAAUUUAACUUAAACUCUAACUCAUACCUCAACUCAAUCCUCAAACAAGUGAGGAUGAUGCGCUUUCAUUCAUCCUCGAGCUCCUAGGUGGCUUCGCGAUCAUCGUGAUUGCUCCACCGAACUUUGACGUAGGGAAUCUCGCGAUUUCGCAACUUGUGCACCUCUCGAGCUAAGGUCAUCACCGAAAACUCCUCGUAACUUAUAUCGUCUUGAAGUUCCGGCGGCUCGUACAACAAGGCAUGAUCGGGAUCGUGAAUAUACUUGCGAAGGUUGGAGACGUGGAAUACAUUAUGCACAUCCGCAAGCUUCGGCGGCAAUGCAAGCCGGUAAGCGACCGUUCCAAUCCGCUCCAAUACCUCAUAAAGUCCAAUAUAUCGGAGACUCAACUUCCCCCGCACCCCGAACCGCUUCACACCUCGCAUGGGCGACACCUUCAAGAAGACUUGGUCGCCCACUGCAAACUCUAAGUCUCGCCGGCGCCUAUCUGAAUAACUUUUCUGUCGAGACUACGCCGUGAGCAAUCUCUUGCAAGCAAGGUGGACGUUCUCUUUCGCCUCCCACAACACAUCGGGGCCAAAUUCCGCACGUUCGCCCACGUCGCUCCAAUGAAUGGAAGAUCGGCACUUCAGCCUAUAAAGAGCCUCGAACGGUGCCAUCCCUACGCUAGCAUGAUAACUGUUGUUGUAGGCGAACUCGGCCAUCGGUAGGUGCUUACACCAACUCCCCUUAUAAUCAAUGACACACGCCCGCAGCAUAUCCUCCAGAGUUCGAAUGGUCCUCUCCGUUUGCCCAUCUGUCUGAGGAUGAAAUGCAGUGCUGAAAUCGAUCGGUGUGGCUAAAGCUUCCUGCAGGCUCUUCCAAAAGUGUGAAGUAAACCGGGGGUCUCGAUCCGAUGCAAUUGACUUCAGUACCCUGUGUAACCUCUGUCACGCCCCGGAUUACUCGUUCGCUGGGCGCGCCGACAAAUCCGCAGUAUACAAAGGAAUUUUCCUUGUAUACGAAGCGAUAGCUGUAUCUGUAAAUCAUACAAAACUACAAACAGUAGUAUAGAGCUGUAGAGAUAAACAUGCUAUAUCUAUAAAUAAAACUGAGUUCUAUAUCCAUACAACAUAACCAAAACACAACACGACUCGCACUAGCGAGUUAAGCAACUGUAUGAACAUGAACUCCACCAAAAAGUAACUACCUGCUGCAGGUGAUCCUCUAACUCAGCAACUCGUCGGGUAGGUCUCUAACUCGCAACGCCCUUGCCUCAAUCCUGCUCAGCAACAGCAGCAGCCGAAGACGGUGGCUCUGCAAAAUAGGGGUAACAACAGGGCGUGAGAACUACUGUAAAACAAGUAGUCCUCAGUGGGUACCGCCCUCAACACAUUAGUCCACCCACUAAGUCUACAGGAAUAAACAGCAAUAGUAAAGGAAAGUUGGACUACUCUGCAGCUAUAAGCCACUAUACUAUCCUGUUCUAAACUAACCAUCUGUAGUAAAAGCCAACAUUGACCCAAUCUCAUGGGGACUGUAACCAUACCCGUCCCUGGGACUGUGAAUACACCCGUCUCGCUCAGUUGAGACUAUCCAGCUACCUCCACACUAAUCAGUCCGUGGAGAGUAAGUCUAACUGGCAUGCACGACACCAACGCAAAAGUACAGCGCCCGCUUCCGGAGUAGCACUCGUGGGAGCUACCCAACCGAGUAUGCAGCGUAUCUCUGUCGAGCUCAAACAGGCUCCAACUAGCCAAAGUCAUGUAAACAGGGUCAAAACAGGCCUACAAACCAAACCCACGUGCCCUCGGCACAAUCUAGGACAAAAAUAAGAAUCUGGGUCCACUGCCAACCCGGACAGCACCCAACGACCCGAAACAGCCUAGACUCUGCUGAAAAAUAAGCUCGGCACCUGAGCACGAGCGUAAAUGCCUUCUAAACUACCCCAGGUAUCCAUCGCACUCAUACUGCAACGAUACAGUCGAACCACGGCUCCUAGAGCUAAAUCUGAUAGUUUAAGCAUAUGACGGGUCAAAACGCAGGUUUUUCUCCUAAGUCAAUUUCAAGUCCACAUGUAUGAUGUAAAUAUUCAUUUCAGCAUGCUUCUAUAUUCAUUUUGUAGUCAAGAUGCUAAAUGAUGAAUUUACGCAUGAUAUACAAGAACCGAAAACUAUACACGUCGACUAAACAUGCACUUAGGAGCGAAACCGAUGAUACACCCACCUCGAGAGCAAUUUCCUGGCAGCAAGAAAGUCUCGGAUCACAAGUAACACAGCCGGAAACACCUCCGAACCAGCCACAAUCCCCUCAAAAUCUGGACAUUACAAUUCACCCAAAAUCUAUUAAAGUUCAUCAAUUUUAGCACUUAAGCUUAGGAUUUAUCCAACUCCAAUGUCAAAACUCACCUAACAAUCUCCAAAUCAGGUGAAGAUGGUCCCAAUUUCAGUACUGGUUGAUAGGGAAUGUGACUCAACUCCUUAGAGCCCCUGCUUCCUAAGUUCACCCCAAGAAAACUCAAAAACUUGCAAUUCUGUCCAUAGCAAUAGCAGCAGAGGAAACCUGAGUUCGACUGAGCUAACCUUCACCAAAUUCUGUAAGUCAGGGCUUCGUGGAUUGCUCUGAAAGUCUAGAAUCCAGUAAACCAAGUUUCGUCAAAAUCCGAUAUCCCUACGUCGCGCACGAGCCAAAACACUGAAGGUCGUCGUUGGAAAAACUACAGAAUCAGCACCAUGCAACUCUUGGAGAUGUGGAUCUUGAUGCAAAUUGGAAAAUUGGAGGAAUUAAGGAGCAAAAUCUAAGUUCUCUGUGAAGAACAGGUAAAAGAGCUCAAAGGGGGCGUAUACCAGGUAUUUAUAGGGUGCUGGAGGGAUAAAAUAAGCCCCAAGAGAAACAGCUGCAAUCCAGUGUCCCUGCAGAAACGGGCAUUUCUGGGCACCCGGAACCAUGUACUUGGCGACCGAAACAUCUAGGCUGCACAAAUCAUGCUCCUCGGACUCUCCGCUCGCGGUGUGCUACCCCCGUAAACGGCCCCGGCGGAACUCACCUACCACCCUGCCACGCGUCGAAGCAAACGAUAUUCACGAUGUGGAAUUUCCGGACCCACUUCUGGGCGCCCGGAACAUAGGAUCCGAAUUGGCUCCAGUUUCAGUUAAAUUUUAACACUCAGUUCUGGGCAACCUUAACCAAGUUCUAGGCGCCCGAAUCUGGCAAAACUCCAGUUUUGCUUAUUUGAGUGCGCCGAGUCCAAUUGUGCAUCCAAUUCGUGCAGAAUUGACUCCGACUCAGUCCGACACUCUCCAGAGAUGUCGACCAGUCACUAAUAUUGAAGCCAAUCUUAUCCAAAGCUCAGGAACACUACAUCCUCCCCCACUACAAAAAGUUUCGUCCGCGAAACUGAAAACAUACCUCAAUCCAGAUCCUCAAAUAGGUAGGGGUAGGACUUCUUUAUCACCGUCUCCGGCUCCCAAGUCGCCUCCCGCUCCUCGUGAUUACUCCACUGCACCUUUACAAAGGGUAUGACCCGGUUGCGCAAUUCCCUCGACUCACGAGCCAGAAUCCGCACCGGUCGCUCCUCGUAACUCAGGUCCUCGCCAAGCUCAAGAGGAGUGAAGUCAAUCACGUGAGAGGGGUCGAACACAUAUUUCCUCAAAGCCGAGACGUGGAAGACAUCGUGAAUACCGGCUAGUCGUGGUGGUAGAGCAAUCCUAUANUAAGCAACUGGCCCGACUCGCUCCAAUACCUCGAAAGGGCCUACAAAACGUGGACUGAGCUUUCCACGUACUCCAAAUCGGCGAAUCCCUCUGGACGGCGAGACUUUAAGAAAAAUAUGAUCUCCCACCUGGAACUCCAAGUCUCGUCUCCGGGUAUCAACAUAGCUCCUCUGUCGACUCUGGGUUGCUAACAUGUGCCGUCGUGCCUCCUUUACCUUUUCCUCAGUCUCAAUCAAAAUCUCAGGCCCAAGCGUCCUCCUCUCACCUACAUCACUCCAAAACAAAGGGGAUCGACAUCUGCGUCCAUACAACGCCUCAAACGGAGUCAUCUGGAUGCUCGCUUGAUAGCUGUUGUUGUACGCAAACUCAACCAGUCUCAAAUGCCGAUACCACCCUCCUCCAAAGUCCAGGACACAUGCCCUCAGCAUGUCCUCUAGAGUCUGAAUGGUCCGCUCUGACUGACCAUCUGUCUGUGGGUGAAACGCAGUGCUGAACUGCAACUGAGUGCCCAAGGCCGUCUGAAGACUCCUCCAAUAGUGCGAGACGAACCUCGGGUCUCGGUCGGAUACUAUCGAAGUGGGCACGCCAUGCAACCUCACUAUCUCAUCCAAGUACAACUGAGCGAGUCUCUCUCUGGACCAUGUGGUUUGCACUGGUAGGAAGUGAGCAGACUUGGUCAGUCUGUCCACUAUCACCCAAAUCGCAUCAAAACCACUCUGUGCUCUCGGCAAUCCGACGACAAAGUCCAUCGUGAUCUGCUCCCAUUUCUACUUGGGCAUUGGCAGACUCUGAAGCUUGCCAGCAGGUACCUGAUACUCGGCCUUUACCUGUUGACAAGUCAGACACUGAGCCACAAAUCUGCCAAUGUCCCUCUUCAUCUAUUCCACCAAAACUGAACCUUUAAAUCCUUAUACAUCUUGGUUCCACCGGGGUGAACCGUAUAAGGUGAACAGUGAGCCUCUCUCAAAAUGUCCUCUCGGAUCUCUGAAUCCACAGGUACACACAGUCGGUCCCUGUACCGCAGUACUUCUGAACUGUCCACAACAAAGCCCUCAGCCUGUCCCCUCUCAAGCUGGUCUCGAAUCCUUGACAAGUGCGGGUCUCCAUUCUGUUUCUCUCGGAUCCUAUCCAACAGAGUGGGCUGCAAGAUUAGAGACAUCAAUCUCGCAGUAAAUCCAGGGGACAUUAUCUCGAGCCUCAGCCGCUGUAGCUCCUCGAGUAACGGUCUCUGCCGAGUGAUCAACAUGCUCAAGCUUUGCACUGCCUUCCUGCUCAACGCAUCUGCCACCACAUUUGCCUUGCCGGGAUGAUACAGAAUACUAAUAUCAUAGUCCUUCAGCAACUCCAACCACCGGCGCUGCCUCAGAUUCAACUCCUUUUGGGUAGACAGAUACUUGAGACUUUUAUGAUCAGUAAAAAUCCAGCAGUGCUCACCGUACAAAUAAUGCCGCCACAACUUUAACGCAAAGACUACCGCGGCAAGCUCCAAGUCAUGCGUAGGGUAAUUCUUCUCAUAAUCCUUUAACUACCGUGAAGCAUAAGCAAUUACCCUACCAUGCUGCAUCAGCACACAACCCAGUCCACUGUGCGACGCAUCACUGUAGAUCACAAAUCCUUCCCCCAUCACAGGAAGGGCAAGGAUAGGAGCUGACGUCAACCUCUGUCUCAACUCAUCAAAGCUCCUCUGGCAAUCCUCACUCCAGAUGAAUCUAAUCCGCUUUCGCGUCAAACGAGUGAGGGGUGUGGAAAGCUUCGCAAAGCCUUCCACAAACCGACGGUAAUAACCAGCAAGCCCAAGGAAACUCCUCACCUCUGUCACCGUCGUCGGUCUGGACCAAUCCCGAAUCGCAUUAAUCUUCUUCGGGUCAACUGCUAUUCCCUCUGCUGAUAUCACGUGGCCCAAGAAAGCAACCUCACGUAACCAGAACUCGCACUUCUUUAGCUUGGCAUACAACUUCUUCUCUCUCAGAAGCUGUAGCACAGUCCUCAAGUCCUCCUCAUGCUCGGCAUCAGGAGUAUAUCAGAAUAUCAUCAAUGAAGACUACCACAAACCUGUCCAAGAACGGCUUGAACACUUUGUUCAUCAAAUCCAUGAAUGCGGCAGGGGCAUUUGUUAAUCCAAACAGCAUCACCGUAAACUCAUAAUGCCCAUACCGAGUCCGAAAAGCCGUCUUGGGAACAUCCUCGGCCCUCACCCUCAACUGGUGGUAACCUGACUGGAGAUCAAUCUUCGAGAAGACAUAAGAUCCUUACAGCUGAUCAAACAGAUCAUCAAUGCGCGACAAAGGAUACUUAUUCUUGAUGGUCACCUUAUUUAGCUCCCGGUAAUCCACACACAAUCUGAGCGAACCAUCUUUCUUCUUUACAAACAACAUCGGCGCUCCCCAAGGCGACACACUGGGUCUCACAAACCUCUUAUCCAUCAAAUCCUUAAGCUGCGCCUUUAGCUCUCUCAGCUCCGCCGGUGCCAUCCUGUAAGGUGCCUUUGAGAUUGGUGCAGUUUCAGGAACUACAUCAAUCACAAACUCUAUCUCCCUCUCCGGCGGCAUCGUCGUCAACUCCGGAGGAAACACGUCCGGAAACUCGCGGAUUAUAGGGAUAUCCUCGAGUCCCGGCGCCGCCGUAGGCAUCUCUGUCACAGUCGCCAGAAAAGCAACGCAUCCUCUACUCAUCAGCUGUUGAAUCCUCGUCGAAGAUAUCCAAGUGGCGAAUAAAGUACUUCUGCAUUCUCUGAAAGUGAACUCCUCCUGGCCUGGCUCGUGGAACGUCACAAUCCUCGCUCCACAGUCAAUAGUAGCAUAGUACCGCGCCAGCCAAUCCAUACCGAGCACUACGUCAAAGUCCUGCAGCUGCCCUAACACCAACAGGUCUGCGGGCAUGAUCCAAGAAUCCAACUGCACCGGACAUGACCAACAACACUCUGUAACCUGUAAGGCAUGGUCGGGGAUCUGCACCUCUCGUGGUUGUGACAAUGACCCUAACUCUAGACCAUGCAACAAUGCAAAUACUCGGCUAACAAAAGAAUGCGUGGCACCGGUAUCAAAAAGAGUGCGAGUAUGAAUGCCUGAAAUCAAAAUGAUACCUGCCACCACUCGGUCGGCUGCUGAAGAAUCCUCUACCUGAGCUGCGUAAACUCUGCCACUCAGAGCCUGCUGUCGUCGCUCGCCCUGAUACGGCAUAGACGAUCUAUCCUCCUGGCGGAAACUCGGUGCUGAUCCAAAGGACGACUGAGAUGCCGGCUGUGCUGAUGCAGUGGAUGGCGCUGGUAAUGCUGCACGGAGGCAAGCUGACCUCAUAUGCCCGGGCUGACCACAAGAGUAGCAACGGCCCUCUUUUUGCUCGCACUGCCGGGGCCAAUGUGGUCCCCCGCAGAUCACACACUGCGGUGUCCUCUGAGUCUGCCCCUGUUGAUGGGAUCCCUUGGAACGCUGACGCCCCGAAGACCCACGACCUUGAGAGCCUGAUCGUGGAGGCCUCGGCGGACGCCUGCUGCUCGACUGUCCAGCAUUAUCUGAAAAGGGGCGCUUCCUAUCCUGACUCUGCCCCACGGCCUGAGUCCUCUCCUGCAUUGACACCUCACCUCUCUCCACCCACAAGGCCUGCUUUAUGGACGCAUCCAGAGUCCUCGACCUCUGCGUCGGCGCCAACCUGAAGAUGUCGGGUCUCAGCCCCUGCUCAAACAGAUAGACCCUGUGUGCCUCGUCCCUGGCCACAAAUGGCAUACAGUUCAGGAGUCGAGUAAACUCCCGAAUGUACUCCUGCACUGGACGAUCCCCCAACUGGAUCUUCUUCAAAUCCUUCUCGAGCUUCUGUUUCACACUGUUGGGAAAGAACAUCCCAAACAGCAUUCCACAGAACUCAUCCCAUCUCAGCUGCAACGCUACCAGCCCCUGCUCUCUCCUCACUCUCCUCCACCAGGCAUGGGCAUCACCUGCCAAGCAAUGGACUCCCAAAGACACCUGCUCCCCCUGAGGAAUGAACAGAUCCUCAAAUAACUUCUCCAUCGCACUGACCAACCCCUCAACAACCCAGGCCUCAGUGCAACUGCCAUCGAAAAUUGGUGGAUCAAAACGGUGAAAAUGAGCUAACCUCUCCGUCCACCGCUCCUGCUUGGCCUCUGUCAACUGUACUGGCCCCCUAGCAGGCGCAACUCGCGCUACUGGAACGGCUACUGGCGGAGGUACUGCUGCAACUGGUGCUGCCACUGAAGUAGUUGGAGGUGGAAUAGACGACUCUGGUGCCCUCGGUGCUGAACUCUGGGGCGAAGCUAACCUCUCGCACAUCCUCUCCAACAACUCCCCCUGCCGCCUCGUCACCUCUGUCAGGGCGGCUAACUGUGCACUCAAAUCCGGGGAUGUACUCGCCUCCGGUCGGGCCCUCUGCUCUACAACUAGGGGUACACUCGCCUCUGGUGGUGCACUCGGCUCUGCCUGCUCAGGCAUCUCGGAAGGUCCCGCACGAUCCUGCGACAACUGGGCACGCUCCCGUAACGACGGUCGACCUCGACGACGAUACAUAGCUACAAUGAACAAAAUAGGGGUCAGAUACAACAAAACACUCUCGACCCAAUCAAACGAAAGUCUAGAAGGCGGCCCCUGUUUCUUCUCAAAAUUAUGUCGUCUGGAGCCAACAUAAUUUUUCAGGACAAAACAGAAACUCCUCCAGUUACUCACUCCACUCUAGGAGGAGUUAGAUCAACAAAUCGUUGACUUUCGCGAUAAAUCACGCCUCUCGCAUCUUGCCUUCCUAAGGUUUGCCCAAACUUAGGGUUUCUAGGUCCCAACGACCUACAUCUAAGCUCCGAUACCAACUUAAUCUGUCACGCUCCGGAUUACUCGUUCCCCGGGCGCGCCGACAAAUCCGCCGUAUACAAAGGAAUUUUCCCUGUAUACGAAGCGAUAGCUGUACCUGUAAAUCAUACAAAACUAUAAACAGUAGUAUAAAGCUGUAGAGAUAAACAUGCUAUAUCUAUAAAUAAAACCGAGUUCUAUAUCCAUACAACAUAACCAAAACACAACACGACUCACACUGGCGAGUUAAGCAACUGUAUGAACAUGAACUCCACCAAAAAGUAUCUACCUGCUGCAGGUGAUCCUCUAACUCAGCAACUCGUCGGGUAGGGCUCUAACUCGCAACGCCCUUGCCUUGAUCCUGCUGAGCAACAGCAGCAGUCGAAGACGGUGGCUCUGCAAAACAGGGGUAACAAUAGGGCGUGAGAACUACUGUAAAACAAGUAGUCCUCAGUGGGUACCGCCCUCAACACAUCGGUCCACCCACUAAGUCUACAGGAAUAAACAGCAAUAGUAAAGGAAACUUGCAGUCGAUCGUUGCGUGAUAUUUUGAGAGCCAGUCCAUGCCCAGAAUGAUAUCAUAAGCCUCGAGCUUCCUGAGUUCCAAUGUCCGGAUAGGCAUAAUUCAGUCGCCUAUUUGUACUGGGCACGAGGUGCACUCCGAAUAGGUGUUAAAUGUCGACCCUGGGCCCUCCACUCGCCACUUGUCACUCGCCUCUAUGAGAAUGUCAUGCAUGCGUGCGAAUGGCCUACUUAUGAAUGAAUGCGUGGCUCCUGUAUCAAAUAAAGCCCUGGAGCGAACUCCGUUAAUUAAAACCAUACCUGCCACAAGGCGAUGCUCCUCCGCCUCCGCAGGUUCCUCAGCUUGGACCUGAGCGGCGAAUACCCGUCUGUUCGGGGCCGAUCGCGCCACUUCAGGUUGACGCGGCAUCAUCAUGCGUCCCGUCGACGCGGCCGUCGGUGGAGCUCCUCCAUAGUGAGCCGGAAUCGCCGGCGCUGAUGCAAUCGAUGGGGCAUGUAAGGCUCCUCCUCUCGGGCUGUCACGCCCCAAUCCCCGCCAAUUUGGUCGGGUUCGGGUCACGUCAACAGACGCCGAACGGACAGAGCCUCCCCUGUCCGCCCAAGGCUCUAACAAUAUGUAUAAAUAGGCAAUCAACAAGAGAAUUGCAUAUAUAAUAGAAGGCUUGCACGAGGGCAAGCAGCAACGGAAGCGAAAGCUCUAAGCUAAACAUACAUCACGCAUGAUAUUUGAUUUCAUUUAAACCAAAUUCAAGUAAACAAAGCUAUUACAUUCCAUUCAACCAUCAUAUCUUUUACAUUUAGUCAUCCACCAAAUACAUGAUUGUUUUUACAACUUUACAUCUCUAAAUCAACAAAAUAAAGUUGAUACAUGUAUAACAAAAAGGGAAUGACUACAAAAAGUGUAAAGUCCCGGUGGCCGCUACCUAUGGUGCCAAACCCUUGCCUCGGUCCUCCGCCGCCCCGCUCGUGCUAGGACCUGUAGGGUUAGUGGUGUGAGAACUACAACGAAGUUCCCAGUGGGCUCGGCAUCCGACCUCGCCGACUUACCCACUAGGUCUAUCCAGGCAUAAGUAUUUCAAAGGAAGAAAGGUAACCAUUACUAAUGCAACUAAUACUAUGCCUGCAAGAAAGAGACAAUAGAUAUACAAUUUCAAUGCGAAAAUGGAAAUGCAUGCAUGCUCCAAUCAUAAUCAAACUUUGGCUCUUACCCAAUCUUACCGGUUAACUCUGUUAACCCCAAUAACUCACAACCCAAAAUCCCUUAAUAACGGGGGACUCGAACCUCCCUAGGGACCGUCAACUGGUGGGACUUUACCACGCCCAGUGGUGACCAACUCCGGAGCGCACCGCUCGAGGGGGAGCGACCUCCCUCAAGCCAAGACGAAAGGUGAGUGUCGAUCUAAUCCUCAACUUGAGGAUCCAUAGCCACUAGUCACAAUGCCAAUAUCACGAUAGGUCUCUACCUAUUUAUUUUUGCCACUUUCGAGACCUUAUCUUCGACCAUGUCCCUAUGGGUUAAACUAUUUCCAAUGGUCAUCUCUCAAUGCAAUUCUUGUUUCUAUGUCAAUGACACCCUUGUUUUCUAAUGUCCAAGUCCAUACUUAUGUUCACACAUCUCGAGGGCCCAAUCACACAUGUCCGUUUUGGUUCUAUCAUUCUUCUACGUUCAACUACUUUAGAAGCAUAAAAAUGAAAUCAAACCAAGUUCCACAUGUAGCUACCCUACUAUGCAUGAAUGGGUAUAUAUAUAUAUAUAUGCUCAAAAAUAGAGAAAUAGACAUAGAGGGGAAUCCAACGAUUCCGGCGUGCACCCCCCACCUCUGUGAGUCGUGUGGGUGUAGAAUAUUAAGGCCCCCGCACUUUACGAAAGCCGAUUCCGCGCCCUAUAAUCAAAUAGUGCCAUAUUAGGCCUUUUUGUACAUGAACUAUACUCUAACAUUUUCGAAAUAUUAAACGAAGUUGUCCGACGUGUUUUGGGCACCCCCAAUUGGGUUUCUACAGGGUCAAUUUGUCCCCGAAAAAUCCUAGGGCAAAAACCCCAAAUUCAAGCCCUAAUGUUGCCAUUUAGGGUUUCCCCAUGAAUCGAUCCCAACCCUAAGCAAAGAAUAGCUUAGGAUCAUCUAAGAAGCAUCCUAGUAAGGUUUCUAGACCUUUGGUACCAACCCUAGGGCUCCAAACAUCAUCUCCAAGGAUUCACCAUGAGAGCACCUUGAGCUCUCAUGGGUUCCAUGGUGUUCAUGGCUCAAAAGAGCUUCUAAAACCUCUAAGGAGCACAAAGCUCCAAAUCUCUUAACCAAAAUCCAAACCCUAGAGGAAAACCUUACAAAACUUACCUCUAGUCCAAGCUCCACCAAGAUUCUCCUUGUUGGAGAGCUCCUAGAACCUCCAAAGCCUCCAAAUCCUCCUCCUCUUCUCUUCUUCUUCUUCUUCUCCAAGUCCUAGAGCAUGGGUUCUAGAGAGAGAAAGAGAGGAAAAUGGGUGAGAGGGUGGAAAUGGCUGUGGAAGAGAGGGGGUGAGUCAUAUAUAGUGUUGUAACAAUUGCACUUAAGCCCCUCCACUUGUUUCCACUUGAUCUGCCCAGACUGGGCAUUUUUCGCCUUCGGGGACCGGUCUCCCCGACCAGGGACCGGUUCCCGAACGGGGGUUUUCCAGGACUUAGCCAAAUUUUCGAGUUUUUCGGCUGUUGCGCAGCGAGGGACCGGUCUGCCCGUCAGGGACCGGUCUCCCGAGGACCGGUCUCACCACCAGGGACCGGAUGCCUCAGGAUUUCCUGGCAGGCUACGCGCACGGGGACCGGUCUCUCCUUCAGGGACCGGUCCCCGAGAGCUCAAAAUCUGGGACUUAGCCAGAUUUUCAGAUUUGCUCUCCGGGUCCCUUUUUGCUCCGUUUAUGAACUCUAAUGCACUUAGGGUCCAUUCUAACUCGUUCAAUUCCGCGUUCCGCUCGUUUUGACGGAACUCGGCACGAUUUACGAGGGAUGUGGUAUGUUACAUUCUCCACCCCUAAAAUUUAGUUUCGUCCGCGAAACUACUAAGAUUGGAAUUUAAAUUUCUUACCUCACUUCGGAUCCUCGAAGAGGUGAGGAUAACGCUCCCUCAUUUCGCUUUCGAGCUCCCACGUUUCUUCCCGGUCAUCGUGUUCGCACCAAUGAACUUUAACAUACGGGAUUUCGCGGUUCCGAAGCUUUCGCACCUCCCGAUCGACAAUAUACGCCGGGAAUUCCUCAUAUGUCAUAUCCUCUUGAAGCUCCAUCGGUAUAUACGAGAGAAUAUGAUCUGGAUCGUACACAUACUUGCGGAGUUGGGAUACAUGGAAUACAUCAUGUACUCCCGCGAGUCUCGGUGGUAAUGCCAACUUGUAGGCCACCGCACCAAUUCGUUCCAAAAUCUCGAAGGGUCCGAUAUAGCGGGGACUUAAUUUCCCGCGAACACCGAACCGUUUAACUCCUCGCAUCGGCGAUACCUUUAGAAAUACGCGGUCUCCUACCGCGAACUCAAUGUCCUUUCGCCGCUUGUCGGCAUAACUUUUAUGCCUUGAUUGCGCCGUUACUAACCUUCGUCGGGCAAGGCGGACCUUCUCUUCCGCUUCCCGCACCACAUCCGGGCCAAGAACCAUUUUCUCGCCCACAUCGCUCCAGUGUAUCGGCGAGCGACAUUUCCUUCCGUAAAGGGCCUCGAAUGGCGCCAUCGCAAUACUUUCUUGAUAGCUAUUAUUAUAUGCGAAUUCCGCCAUCGGUAAAUGAUCAUGCCAGCCGCCCUUGUAAUCAAGCACACACGCUCGAAGCAUGUCCUCAAGUAUUUGGAUUGUCCUUUCCGAUUAACCGUCACUUUGAGGAUGAAAUGCCGUACUAAAAUCGAGCCGCGUGCCUAACGCAUCUUGUAAGCUCUUCCAAAAAUGAGAUGUGAACCUAGGGUCCCGAUCCGAUACGAUUGAUACUGGAACCCCAUGAAGUCUCACCACCUCGUCGAUAUAGACUUGGGCUAACCUGUCUCCCGACCAAGUAGUGUGGAUUGGCAAAAAGUGCGCCGAUUUUGUCAACCGGUCCACAACUACCCAUAUCGCAUCGUGUCCGCCUUGUGACCUAGGCAGACUUGUCACAAAGUCCAUUGCAACAUUUUCCCAUUUCCACACGGGUAUUGGUAGACUCUGCAACUUGCCUGCUGGAAAUCGACGCUGCGCUUUCACUUGUUGGCACGUGAGGCAUUGCGCCACGAACUCCCCUAUAUCUCUCUUCAUGCCCGGCCACCAAUAAUGCAAUUUCAAGUCUUGAUACAUCUUAGUGCCACCCGGGUGUAUGCUAUAGGGAGAUUGGUGCGCUUCUUGCAUAAUCGCUCUCCGAAGGUCGUUGUCCUUGGGCACGCACCAACGACCCCGAUAUCGUAGUGCACCAUCGGUUCCAAUGCCAUAAUCAUCGGCACUACCGCUUUCAACUUUACCCUGCACCUUUUGGAGAAACUCAUCCGACGCUUGUAAAUUUUUAAUUUUCUCCAACAAGGUUGGUUGCAUAGUUAAGGUGGCAAGUGUUGCCGGCACUCCCGGCGCCACGAUUUCUAGUCCCAACCGUUGCAUCUCCUUUUGCAACGCUGGUUGAGGCGUAAUCUCUGCCGCCAAAUUUUUCGCCGACUUUCUGCUUAGAGCAUCGGCCACGAUGUUCGCUCUCCCGGGGUGGUAGAGUAUCGUGACGUCAUAAUCUUUAAGCAACUCUAACCACCGCCGCUGUCGCAAAUUCAGCUCCUUCUGGGUGAACAAAUAUUUGAGGCUCUUAUGAUCAGUAUAAAUCUCACAACGUUCCCCAUACAAGUAAUGCCUCCACAGUUUUAGCGCGAAUAUGACCGCCGCUAGCUGAAGGUCGUGAGUCGGGUAGUUCUUUUCAUAACUCUUCAGUUGGCGUGAAGCAUAAGCUAUGACUCGGCCGUUUUGCAUCAAAACACAACCGAGACCGACGUAUGAGGCAUCACUGUACACGACAUAGUUUUCUCCCGGCGUCGGCAAAGCAAGCACCAGAGUAGAUGUCAAUCUUGUCUUUAGCUCUUCAAAGCUCUGGUCACACUCGGGGCUCCAAACAAACUUCACCCCUUUGUGCGUAAGGCGCGUUAGUGGAGUCGUUAUCCUGGCAAACCCCUCCACGAACCGCCGAUAAUAGCCCGCAAGUCCAAGGAAGCUACGAAUUUCCGCCACACUCGUCGGGCGAGGCCAAUCUUUAAUCGCCUCAACUUUCUUUGGGUCCACCGAGAUGCCACCUCCGGACACAACGUGGCCCAAGAAGGUGACCUCCGAAAGCCAAAACUCGCAUUUCUUUAAUUUUGCGUAAAGCUUUUCCUUCCGGAGUAUCUCCAACACGAGUCUUAAAUGCUCUUCGUGUUCCUCUUCGGUUCGAGAAUAUACCAAUACGUCGUCAAUGAAUACCACGACGCACCGGUCCAAUAGCGGACGGAAGACUCUAUUUAUCAAGUCCAUGAAUGCUGCUCGGGCAUUAGUAAGCCCAAACGGCAUUACCGUGAACUCAUAAUGGCCAUACCGAGUACGGUACGCCGUUUUAUGCACGUCUUUGGGCCGUAUCUUCAACUAUUGAUACCCCGACUGUAGAUCAAUCUUCGAGUAUACCCUUGACCCUUGCAACUGAUCGAACAGGUCAUCAAUCCUUGGCAACGGGUAUUUGUUCUUGAUCGUCACUUUGUUCAACUCGCGAUAAUCAACGCAGAGUCGAAGUGUGCCGUCCUUUUUCUUUACAAAUAGCACCGGAGCUCCCCACGGGGACACGCUCGGCCGUACAAAGCCCUUAUCGAGCAAGUCCUGUAACUGAGCUUUCAAUUCCUUCAACUCUACCGGUGCCAUUCUGUACGGAGCCUUCGAAAUGGGCGCUGCCCCGGGAAUCAAGUCAAUCACAAACUCGACUUCCCGAUCCGGGGGCAAUCCCGGUAACUCCGCGGGGAAUACAUCCGGAUACUCCCACACAACUCGAAUACUCUCCAAUUCCGAGUACUCUUUUUGAGAGUCUACGAUGGUCGCCAAGUAGGCCUUACAACCGCCUUUGAUCAUCCUUUUUGCCCUCACCGUCGAUAUAGUGGCUGCAAAACGUUUACCCUUGCACGCUCGGUAGACAAAUUCCUCUUGGUUGGGUUCACGGAACGUGAUCACCCUUCUUUCACAAUCUAUAACCGCGUAAUACUUGGAGAGCCAAUUGAUCCCCAAGAUUACCUCGAAUCCCCACAUUUCUUUCAACACUAGAAGGUCGAUCGGCAUAAUCCAAUCGCCUACUUGCACUGGGCAGUCCAAGCACUCAUCAUAAACGUCGAUCGAGUGUCCGGGAGUGUUCACCGACCAAUACUCCUCAUUAUGAGUGAUCUCUAUAUCAUGGGCUUGUGCAAAUGAUGCUAAUAUGAUGAAUGAGAUGCACCCGUAUCAAAUAUGGCUCUAGCCCUAGUGCCUUUAAUCAAAAUAAUACCUGCCACGACGUCGUCGGGGACGAUGAUUGGUGGCUCCUCCACCUGAGUGGCAAAUACCCGCCCACUAGGUGCUCGAGAAGCCUCCGGCUGACGUGACGCCGACGAUCGUCGAACAGAUGUUGCGGGUGGCAGUCCCGCCAGCUGUCGCUGUGUGUACUGUACUGAAGCUGAUGACGGGGUUGGGGACGCGCCGCCCGGGCACUCUCGACUCAAGUGCCCCGGUUGGCCACAUCGAUAACACCGCCCCUCCCGCUGUGGGCAACUGGUGGCUCUAUGCUCUCCGCCGCAUAUUACGCACGGGUAGGCAGUCUGGCCCUGUGUCUGACUCCUACCUCCUCGCCACUGCGAUCGCUGAGGUCGCGGGGGUCGCUUAGAACUCGACUGACCCGCCGAUCCACCAGCAGGUCGCUUCUUAGUUUUUUCCCUUUUCUUAUCCUUCUCAAAUGCCUCGCGUUCGUCCCGCGCAAUGGCAUUUCCGCGCUCCACCCAAAGCGCGCGGUCAAGAACCUCCUCAUAGGUCUUCAAGCGGAAUGCAUGAAUGACCUUGAAAAUCUCGGGUCGCAACCCGCGCUCAAAUACCUCCGCUCGGUCCCUAUCGCCAUGAACCAAGUCCGGUACGCAGUUAAUCAUGUGCGUGAACUCCCUUUCGUACUCCCGCACCGUUCGGCUCCCUUGCCUUAGUUUUCGAAAAUCCUCCUUGAUCUUCCUUUUGUCACUCUCGGGGAAAUACUCCAUAAGGAGCAUCUCCCGGAACACCUCCCAAGUGAGAAGAGUGUGCCCUAGCGAGCGAUUCUUCUUCGUCUGAUUCCACCACAACCGAGCCGACCCAUCCAAACAGUGAGCCGCUAGGUGAACCUUGUCCUUCUCGAGGGUAUAGAUAUCCUCGAACAACGCCUCCAUCGCGGCCAACCAAUUCUCUGUCACCCACGGAUCCUUCACGUCGCCGUUGAAGGUCGGAGGGUUGAACCGCUUGAAUGCCGUCAACGCCGCCAACGUACGCUCCUGCUCAGCCUCAAGCACAUCGGAAAUAGGAACCGAUGAACCCGACGCCGCCGGAGGAACAGCCGUCAUUGGCGCUGCCGCCAUCGCCGGAGGUGGUGCUACAGGGGCAGCCGGUGGGGGUGGAUCCCUCGGCACAAAUCGCCGCGCCUGUUGUGCGCCAUCAUCUAGUGGAGCUGUCCAUCUGCUCACCCUUGUUGUCGCAAUAGCCCCGCUAAAGCCGCUUACUUGGCUCCAACUCGCGUACUUCGUUUCCGACCCCGACUGCCUGGGCUUCACUCGCGAGACUUCGCCGGUGUGGAACCUCGUAACUCUUCUUGGUGGUGCCAUGCGGCGUCCUGCAGCGGCAACGCACACACAUAGGCACUCGUCACACGUGACUCCUACACGUUUCCAAAUUGCUACCCAAUUAAGCGCAAAGGCACAAGCUAAUUGUUUCACUUUCGUGUAUGUGGUCGGCCGCCCCACAAAAGUCCCUCAAUAGCAACAAUUUACCCUCCUAGUCCAUCUCUACUUCUUUCUAGAGAAGUGUUACUAAUCAACGACCAUCACCGCUUUUCGCACUAAAACAAGUCGCUUCGUCAAGCGUAUUCCUAAUCCUUAGGGUUCUCCAAACCUAUGGUUGCCUAGGUCAUUCUCAACUUUUGCUUUCAACUCCGCCUGAUACCAUUAUACUGUCCACGCCCCCAAUCCCCCGCCAAUUUUUGGUCGGUUCGGGUCACGUCAACAGACGCCGAACGGCAGAGCCUCCCCUGUCCGCCCAGCUGCUACAACAUGUAUAAUAGGACAAUCAAAGAGAAUUUGCAUACUAUAAUAGAAGCUUUGCAAGAGGGCAACAGUAAUGGAAGCGAAAGCUCUAACUAAACAUACAUCUACCGCAUGAUAUUUGAUUUCAUUUAAACCAUAAUUCAAGUAAACAAAGCUAUUACAUUCCAUUCAAUCACCAUCAUAAUCUUUUUUACAUUUAGUCAUCACCAAAUACAUGAUUUUUUUACAACUUUCCCAUCUCUAAAUACAAAAAUAAAGUUGAUACAUGUAUAACAAAAAGGGAAUGACUACAAAAAGUGUAAAGUUCCGGUGGCCGCUACUAUGGUGCCAAACCCUUGCUCGGUCAUCCGCCGGCCCCGCUCCGUGCUAGAACCUGUAGGGUUAGUGUGUGAGAACUACAACGAAGUUCCCAGUGGCUCGCAUCCACCUCGCCGACUUACCCACUAGUCAUCCAAGGCAUAAGUAUUUCAAAGGAAAAAAAGUACCACUACUAAUCAACUAAAAUAACUAAUGCCCUGCAAGAAAGAAGUCAGUGGACGAUAUAAUUCAAUGGAUAUAGAAAUCAUUCAUGCUACAAUCAUAAUCAAAUUUUGGCUUUAUCCCAUCUUCCGGUUAACUCUGUUACUCACAAUAACUCACAACCCAAAUCCCUAAUAAUGGGGACUGCGAACCUCCCUAAGGGACCGUCAACUGGUGGGACCUUUACCACGCCAGUGGACCAAUCUCCCGGAGCGAUCCGCUCGAGGGGGAAGCGACCUCCCUCAGCCAGAUGAAGAGUGAGUAUCUGACUAUCCUUAACAUCUGAGGACUUCAUAGCAGUAGUCACAGUGCAAUGUCCAACAAGAUAGGUCUCUACCUAUCAUUCUUAUCACUCUCAGGCUUUACUUUAAACGAUGUCAUAAUUGGUUAAACUAUAUUUUAACAGUUCUCUCUCGAAUGCAAAUCUUGUUUCCAAUGUCAAUGUCACCCUUAGUUUUCUAUUGUCCAAGUCCAUUCCACAUUCACACAACUUUGAGGGUCCAAUCAACACAUGUCCAGCGUUGUUCUAUCAUCCUCUAUGUUUCAGUUACGUUAGAAGCUUAAAUUGUAGCAAACCAAGUUCCACAUGUAACUAGCGCCCCUAACUUAUGCAUGAAUGGUGUAUAUAUAAUACAAUAUCCAGAAUAGUAGAAAACAGACAUAGAAGGGAAUCCAACGAUUCCGCAGCGUGCACCCCCCCACCUCUAUCGGUUGUGUGGGUGAAGAUUACGAUGGCUCCCUACGAUGGCUCCNNNNNNNNNNNNNNNNNNNNNNNNNGAACCUCCCUAGGGACCGUCAACUGGUGGGACUUUACCACGCCCAGUGGUGACCAACUCCGGAGCGCACCGCUCGAGGGGGAGCGACCUCCCUCAAGCCAAGAUGAAGAGUGAGUAUCGAUCUAAUCCUUAACUUGAGGACUCAUAGCCACUAGUCACAGUGCCAAUGUCACGAUAGGUCUCUACCUAUUCAUUCUUAUCACUCUCAAGGCUUUACCUUUAACGAUGUCAUAAUUGGUUAAACUAUAUUUAACAGUUCAUCUCUCGAUGCAAAUCUUGUUUCCAUGUCAAUGUCACCCUUGUUUUCUAUUGUCCAAGUCCAUUCUCACAUUCACACAACUUGAGGGUCCAAUCACACAUGUCCAGGUUGGUUCUAUCAUCCUCUAUGUUCAGUUACGUUAGAAGCAUAUAAAUGUAGUCAAACCAAGUUCCACAUGUAACUACCCUACUAUGCAUGAAUGGGUGUAUAUAUAUAUAACACAUAUGCUCAAGAAUAGAGAAAACAGACAUAGAAGGGAAUCCAACGAUUCCGGCGUGCACCCCCCACCUCUAUCGGUUGUGUGGGUGAAGAUUACGAUGGCUCCCGCACUUUACGAAAGCCGAUUCCGCGCCCUAUGAUCAAAAUAGUGCCAUAUUAGGCCUUUUUGUACAUGAACUAUGUUUUAACAUUUUCGUAAUGUUAAACGGAGUUAUCCGAUGCGUUUAGGGCACCCCCAAUUAGGUUUCUACGGGGUCAAUUUGUCCCCGAAAAAUCCUAGGGCAAAAACCCCAAAUCCAAGCCCUAAUAUUGUCAUUUAGGGUUUUCCCAUGAAUCGAUCCCAACCCUAAGCAAAGAAUAGCUUAGGAUCAUCUAAGAAGCAUCCUAGCAAGGUUUCUAAACCUUUGGUACCAACCCUAGGGCUCCAAACAUCACUUCCAAGGAUUCACCAUGAGAGCACCUUGAGCUCUCAUGGGUACCAUGGUAUUCAUGGCUCAAAAGAGCCCCUAAAGCCUUUAAGGAGCACAAAGCUCCAAAUCCCUAAACCAAAAUCCAAACCCUAGAGGAAAAACUUACAAAACUUAUCUCUAGUCCAAGCUCCACCAAGAUUCUUCUUGUUGGAGAGCUCCUAGAACCUCCAAAGCCUCCAAAUCCUCCUCCUCUUCACUUCUUCUUCUUCUUCUCCAAGCCAUAGAGCAUGAGUUCUAGAGAGAGAAAGAGAGGAAAUGGGUGAGAAGGGUGGAAAUGGCUGUGGGAGAGAGGGGAUGAGUCAUAUAUAGUGUUGUAACAAUUGCACUUAAGCCCCUCCACUUGUUUCCUCUUGAAUUGCCCAGACUGGGCAUUUUUCGCCUUCGGGGACCGGUCUCCCCGACCAGGGACCGGUUCCCGAACGGGAGUUUUCCAGGACUUAGCCAAAUUUUCAAGUUUUUGGCUGUUGCACAGCGAGGGACCGGUCUGCCCGUCAGGGACCGGUCUCCCGAGGACCGGUCUCACCACCAGGGACCGGAUGCCUCAGGAUUUCCUGGCAGGCUACGCGCACGGUGACCGGUCUCUCAUUCAGGGACCGGUCCCCGAGAGAUAAAAAUCUGGGACUUAGCCAAAUUUCCAAUUUGCUCUCCGGGUCCCUUUUUGCUUCGUUUACGAGCUCCAAUGCACUUUGGGUCCGCUUUAACCCAUUCAAUUUCGCGUUCCGCUCGUAUUGACGGAACUCGACGCGAUUUACGAGGGAUGUGGUAUGUUACACGGGCAAUCUCAAAUGAAGUGCCCCGGCUGCCCACACUUGUAGCACUUAACUCGGCCUUGCUCACAGCCCGAGACCGGGUGGUCUCCGCUGCAUACAAUGCAUCGCCGCGCUCCACCGCUCUUCUGCUGAGUGCGCGGAUACUUCGAGGGUUUCUUGUAACGUGUUUAUCCUCCCGAACUGCCGCCGCCUUCGCAUUUCUUGCCCUUAUCCUUGGACUCGGCCAAAAGCUCACGCUUCUCCCGCACAUGGGCAUCUCCGUGCUCCGCCCACAGCGCUCGAUCGAAGACCUCCGCAAAGGUCGUGAGCUUGAGUAUUUGCACGGCCUUGUAAAUUCCCGGCCGAAGUCAUCGCAAGAACCACUCGGCCCUGUCCCGGUCAUCCUUUACAACAUCCGGGACGCAAUCUAUAAUAUGGGAGAACUCUUGUUCAUACUCCGCCACUGGGCGGUCCCCUUGCUCCAACUUGCGGAAUUUCUCCUUGAGCUUCCGCUUCAAUGUAUCGGAGAAAUAGUUGGCGAACAUCUCCCGCUUGAAUUCCUCCCACAGCAUCGGCGGAAGGCCAGGAAGCCGAUCCCGUUUGACGCGUUUCCACCAGACCUUCGCCACCUUCUCCAAGCAAUGGGUGGCGAGAUACACCUUGUUCCUCUCCAAGGUAUGCAAAUCAUCGAAGAGGGUUUCCAUCGAGUUGAUCCAAAACUCGACUAUCUCCGAUUCCACCUUCUCGCCCUCGAAGGUUGGCAGAUGGAACUUGUCGAACUUGAUAAGAGCCGCUAAUGCGCGCUCUCCCUCCACGUCUUCGGCCGACACAUCGGGUGUAGCCGAUCCCGAUGCUGCCUGUGGUACGAUCGCUGGCAGUGGGCGUGCCGUCACCGGAACCGCCGCUAUGCCCUCACCCUCUACCGCUCCGGGUAUAUGAGUCGAGAGUGCCGGCGGACCACCGCCCUCAUUCACCGUCGCAGCUGCCGCCGCAACCUGCUGCUCCAAAAGAUCCUGGAGCCGCUCGAAUCGGGUCUCCUGGCGCUGCACCACUUUGGUCAGCGCGGUCACUUGCGCUUGCAACCGAUCCAUCACGCUCGGUUCAGUCUACUCGGGCACCUCGGGAAGCGAUGUCAGAGUAGACCUCGUACUCGGGCGUCUCCUUGGUGCCAUUGGCUCCUGAAACGCAAAUACUUGGUUAAUUCUCUUAACCCGUUCAUUUCGUCGCAAUAACGACACUUAACAACUCACGACGAAUCGGGCGGAAGAACACAAGUGCACUCGUUCUAGACUCUUGGUAUCAUGUCGUCGGCCGCCGACACAACCACCUCAAGACAAGAACUCAUACCACUUGAAUCCGUCUCUAAUCACAACUAGAGACAUAUUACCAACUUCGACCAGAGAUAUAAAGAUAAGCGCUAAGGUUAUAGUGCGUGAGCGCGAACGUGAACCUAUAAACGACUGGCGGAAGUUGAAUUCAAUUGNNNNNNNNNNNNNNNNNNNNNNNNNNNNNNNNNNNNNNNNNNNNNNNNNNNNNNNNNNNNNNNNNNNNNNNNNNNNNNNNNNNNNNNNNNNNNNNNNNNNGAGAGAGGAGGAGGAGAGAUGCGGGGCUAAUGGUAGUGGAGAUGAUUCAAUGUAGGCUAGAUUGAGACCUAAUGUAUUUUCGAGGAUCAAAAUGUAUUUCAUCUUGGGAAAUUAUGUAAGUAAAGAUUUAACUAUUGUAAUAGCUUAGUAAGUACUUUUCUUUAUUCGACUCGUGAUAAUCUUGUGGAUGCUAUGCUUCUCUUUUGUUGCCAUGUUGUCCCAUGGUUGAAUGUGUAUGUUUUGAAUUAAAGUCCGAGGUAAAUUCUUUGAAUACACAUUCCUUGUCGUUGAGUCCUUGAGCGGACAAGGGAGGUGCUGUCCGUUCGGCGGUUCCGCCGCCCGCGGCCGAGUCCUGUGCCGAGCCGUGCCAAAUUAGUAGUGGUUUCGGGGCGAGGCGUGACAGCACCUCCUGAACUCGUUGAGGCGCUCCAUCAGUCGGUCCUGCUCUGCCCCAUCUACCAUCACGGGGAAAACAGCUCCAAUCGGGGGUGCCUGAACAGGUGGCGCCGCACGUGACGAACUGGGCGCAGGGGACGGCGCUCUCGGCGCGACGUCCACAACCGGUGCUGGCGGUGUAGGGGCCUGGGUCUCCGUGGAAGCUGCCGCCUGCUGCAGAAGAAGGUCCUCCAGGCGCUUCAUCUGUGCCUCCUGUCGGCGCGCCGCAUCGGCCUGCUGUUGGGCCGCCGCAGCCUGCUGAGCCACGAUAUCAGUAAGAGUAGCAAGCUGGCUCCUCAACUCAUGAACCUCGCCGGAUCCAGAGAUAGCGGAGGUCUCGACCUCCUCCAAGUUCGCCGCAUUAUCAGCACCAGCGGAUUGAGAGCGUGUAAUCGGCAUCGCACUACAACAUCAUAAAAGCGCAAGUUAGUAAAACUCACGCUAUCGCAUCCCCGCCCAAAAUAGACAGUACCGAAAUCAUGCGAAAGUAAGGAAGUGUUCUUCACCACUAACUCCCAAUGUUACGUUGUCGGCCGCCAACGUAACCCUCCGCGAAGUUAGAGGGCAUACACUUUGAUCAACUCCAACUUUUUAGAGUUAUCAAGAUACCCAAUCAUGAUACUUUCGCUCACAAGUCAAAUAGACCUCGUCUCUCACGAGCCUAUUUCCUAUAGUCCAAUCGGCCUAAGGUUUGCUAGGUCCACUAAGACUCAACCCUAGGCUCUGAUACCAAAUUAAUCUGUCACGCCCCGGGGCUCAGCGGAAGCCCGCCCGGCACGCGCACAGACCCAACAAAACAAUAAAUGAGACAAUAAAAGGAAACAACUAGAAGUAUCAGAGCAAUAUAUAUCAUCUAGAAAUUGAAGCAAUGUGAAGAGUAGAGAGCUAAACUACUAAACAAACUAUAAAGUAGUACAACCAAAGGUCCAAAUACAAGUACUAAAAGAGUACAUAGGUGAUCUCUAUACAUGGUAACACAAAAACUCUCGCUCUCCCAAAAUACAAAGAGAGGGAACCAUCUAAGAGCAGAAAGUAAAUCCUCGCUAUCUAGCUAGCGAUCCCCUUGCUGCGGUCCCGUGCCUCCGCCGGCGCAGAGGGCUCUGAAAGAAAAACAUAAAACAGAGGGCGUGAGAACUAUUAAAUAAUAUUUUCCAGUGGGUAAUACUGACUUCAGUGAAAUGCACCACUAGGUACAAAACUAAGCAAGAUAAGUAAGGCAGGUAAGAAUAAAUAUGAACAAUUAAAUCGCUAAAAUGGAAGCUCAAUAUAGCAUGAAAUCUCUACUUUCAUCAGUAAUAAUCUACCACAUGAUCCCUACUUAGCAUGAAUUUGCAUAAGUAUGAAAGAAACUACUACAAGUAAGUGCACAAGAGUAUCCAACAUGUAAAGUAUGCAACUAACCCAAUGUCCACAAUGUAAAUAGUAAGGAUGUCAUUGUUUACUAUUCCAGUCAAUGUCCAAAAGGUACAAUAUGUCACCAGUAACCCAAUCCUGUGGAAGCUACCCGUAGGUAGUCGGCCUGCGCCGUGCCAACAAUGAUCCCGUGGUAGUCAACAUCCCCACUUUAGGAAUGAGCCUCCCCCACGGCAUCCCAUUUUGGCGCCCAAUCCCGCACGGGCGAGCAUAUGUCGCGAUGGCUAUCUCCGGAGUGCCGACUUGUAGGGAGCGACCCUCACAAGUAUGUGCGAAUGAGCACAAUGGCAUGCAAGCCAGUAAGUCCGUCUCAGGUCCCAGUGGUUCAUCACUAUUUCAUCGGAUCUAAAACCCGGAAUACAGCACAUGUCCAAAAGGCCUGCCUCUAUGUCAUCGUGUCUAAAACACGGAAUAUAGUAACUAUCUCAAUUGCCUAUCUCUAUGUCAUCAUGUCUAAAACAUGGAGUAUAGCAGAUUUUCUGUGGCCUAUCGUUAUGUCUCUAAGUUGCAGUUCAACAAUUUUCUAGUUCAAGUGCCCCUUUAUGACACUUUUGUUUACUAAGUCAUAGCAUAGCAUUUAUCCUUAAGAGUACAUAAUUCUAGUCACUUCCCACAUAAAAGACAUAUUUUUAAAUUGCAAAUAAAGGCUACAUAGCACAUGCAUGCAUACUACUCAUAUGACUCUACUACAUAGAGUGAAAUUAUCAUGAUACAUAAUACAUGUGUUUUAGGAGCUCCAAAAUUCAUAUAAAUUCUACUUAUCAUGAAUAUGCAUGCGUUUAUAAUAUACGAAAACAAUAAACCACGUAGGAGGCAUUUUUCCUCCUACAUCAUGAAGCCAAACCCACCAACGACAAAGGAACCCUUCGUUUGCUCCGACGAGGGUGUCCACCACUCUCCUAGUACCCUAAAGGUAUGGAAACAAGUGUCACAAGAACCUUACGAACAACACUUAGCUCAAACAUUAAGCUUUUCAAGCUAAGGUGGAGAAAACUCACCGAAUGCUAAGAAAUCUCCCACUAUCUCCAAAAGGAAGUUAGAGGCCUUCAAAUCUGACCUAAAUCAAGGUUCUAAACCAAUCAAUUUGGUUCUAGAAGCUACAAAUCCAAAAUCCCCAUUUCUAAUCCUAAAAUUCAAAAUCUAGGGUUUCAACAUGUGAAAUCUAUCAAAUCAUGUAUUAAAUGGAAAGUACAUGUUACUAACCUCUUAAAUAGCCUCAAACCAAGUGCAAAAUCAGCUAGGGUUGGAGGUCUCCUCUCAAGCAAGCUCCUCUCAAAGCUCCAAGUCUUUAACAAUGGAGGAAACCCAACAAAAAGCAAGGUGGAGAAGAGAUGAGAGAUCAAAACCAACCAAAGUCCACCAAAAAAAGAGAAGAAAUCAAAAGGGGAGAGUCUCACCUUGUUCUCCACUGGUUAGGGCUCAAAAAGAGCAGCUAUGGGGGCUGGGGUGGCUUUUAUAGAGGUUGCAACAAUUGCAAAAACACCCCUCCACGAAACAGCCCAAACUGCACUGCGUACUGGUACACGGGUUUGUGUACCGGUACACAUCUCACGAACCAGCCCAACUCGAGCCUCGGGUUGGCACACUGGCUGCCAGGGCCGAUGGCUGUACCGAUACAGCCAUCAACGUGUACCGGUACGCGGCCCUGCAGCAUGCUACCCGAGAGCACACCAAAAUCCAACCUUUUUGGGUUUUGGUGCCAAGUUUUAAACCUCAAUUCUCGGGACUCGAACCAUAGGUCGAAACACUAUCCGCGACCCUCCACGGAGUGUGGAAAAGCUCGAAACACAAGUCAAACACUCGAACCUCACUAUUUGCGACGGUUCGGUGUGUUACAGAGUGUCCCGGGCGAGCGUGAGGAUCACGGUAAGGGCCUAGCGCCCUAGUUGCAUUAGCUAUCUACCUUUUUGCAUUAGCUCUACACUGUACAUAUGUUGGAGAGUAAAUGUUGUAUAGGGUAAGGUUUGAGAGUGCUUGUACAUAUGUUCUGGAAGAAUGUAAAAGAUGGAAUUAAAUGUAUUAAGUUGAAUGAAUGUAAUAGAUAGAACUUUCUCUCUUUAUUUACUUGUACGUCUCAUACUUUUAUCUUGCUCUUAUUUGUUAGCACUGGUGGUGCUCCUUGUGAUCGUGUAUGCACGAAUUGAUCCCUGGGCAAAUUCUUAUACACGAUCAGGUUGCUUAGCCUUGGGCGGACAGGGGAGGUGCUGUCCGUUCGGCGUCUGUUUGACGCGCCCCGAACCGAACCGAAUCGGUAGCGGUUUCGGGGCGUGACAGCGUCUCUUCGGGAGAGUCCUGAGGGACCGGUCCCAUGUGGAGAGAGACCGGUCCCUCCACCCGAAAUUUGCCCAGGCCUGGCAGUGUGCAGGUUGCAAAGUUGAGGGGCUUUUCUGGAUUUUGUUACAUUAGAGGGCCUAUAUGGCUUUUCCUCUCCCUCUCUCCCUCAUUUCUCUCCCUCACACUCUCUCUUACACUCUAGAAAGAGAAGAAGAAGGAGAAAGAAGAAGGAGAAGAAGGAGGAGAGGAAGGAGAGCAAGCUUGGAGGAGCUUUGGACAUCAUCCUCUCUCUCUUUUCUCACCAUUGGAGGCUUGGAGCUUGUUGUUGGAGCUUUGUAGAGGAAGGACCUUCAACCCUUGAGCACUUUGAGUGUGGUUUGAAGCAUCCUAGAGGUGAGUAGCUAGUUUCCUUCCUAUAGAUUCUAGUUUUUGAGCUUUAAACUAAAUGAAACCCUAGAUUUAGAUUUUAGGGUUAGAUUUGGGGAUUUUUGUUUGGGGGGCUUUGGAACCUAAUUGAUGGGUUUAGAACCUUUGUUUAGGUUGGAUUGGAAGGACUCUAACUCCCAUUUGGAGAUCGAGAGAGUUUCCUUCGCAUUCGGUGAGUUUUUAGCCCUAUCCUUGAGUUGGUUUUUGAUCAACCUCAUGGUUGUUCGUUAGAUUCGUUUAAUUCCCAUUUUGAUGCUUCUAGGGUACUAGGAGGCUUGUGGGCACCUUCGUCGGAGCAAACGAAGGGUUUGGAGAAGUCCGGUGGGUUUGACUUCAUGAAAUCGGGGCAAAAUGGCCCCUAUGUACAUUAUACUUGUCGUAACAUCAAUUUGAUUACAUAUUCAUGCUAAAUGGAAUUUAUGUGAAUUUUAGAACACUUAAAAUGCAUGUGUUAUGUAUAAUAAAAUUUUCACUCUAUAUAUAGUAGAGCUAUAUGUGUAUGCUGCAUGCAUGUGUAAAGUGGUUCCCUAUACGAGUUGGGAACAUGUCCCGUAUGAGGAAAAGGACUAGAAUUAUGUACUCGUGAACAUAAUCAUCAUACUUGGACUUAGUGAACAAAAUGCCAUAAAAGGGCACCUGAACUAGUAAAUUAUGAAACUGCAACAUAGAGACAUAGAGUUUGGCCAUUGUGACUUGAUUAUAUUCCAUGUUUUAGACAUGAUGAUAUAGAGAUAGGCCCUUGAGAUAUUGUCACGCACGGGUAUCAACGGAAGCAUAUCCGGUCGCGUGCACAGACCCGCCGUGUACACCACCACAACUCAAGUAUACACAAGGCGUCUACAAACCAUAUAGUAAAAGCAUAUAAAUCUAACCAGGUAAUCAGAGCACGACUUUUAAACUUAUACAAUCCAAAUCCUAAUACAAGACAUAAGAAUAACGUACAAUUAACAAAAACUUAAUAUACAUCUCUGUACUAAACUAUAUAAACUGUUGGAUGUGAUCUAGUACACGUCCAAAAAGCCGCCGACCCCUCACCAGGAACCCUAGCCUUUCCCGCUGUGGAAGGCUCUGUAAAAACAACAACAAAGAGGGCGUGAGAACUAUUAAACAAUAGUUCCCAGUGGGUAAGCCACCGAGAGUGGCGAAGUACACCACUAGGUCAACUGUGGCAUGAGUAGAUAGUAAUAAGUAAGCAAGUAAAUGCAAUAAGCAAGUAAGUGCAAUAAACCAGUCAAUGCAAUAAGCAAAUGUAAAAGUAAACUACUCAUGCUAUUUGCUCAACAAUCAAUAAAUAUCGAUAGACUGCAGGUAUCAAUUAUCACGAUGAAUUCUAUCAAUCAUAUUCUUGGCAAUUUAACCAAACAUAUAGCAGAUUGCAAGCAAGAUAAUUCAUUCUUACCGGAAUUACAGAUAAUAGCAUGUACUAUCAUCUAAUUACUUUCUACAUUAGCAAGAAUGAAACAUUCUUUAUGUCGCUAGUCAAACACGAUGUCAACUUCUAGGUUAUUUCGCACUAAGCUCACUUUAGAUGUCAACUUUCUAGUCUGUUCAUCAAUCAGUUCACUUAACCCAAGACAUAUAGUAACUUUACUACUCUGUCCAGCUAAGGUUAAAGUACUUGACAUAACCCAAUUUCCAACGGACUUACACAAGGUAAGUUCAAGCCGCGCCGUGCCUAAUGGCCCCGUGGUAGUCAACAUCCCCACUCUAGGGAUGAGCCUCCCCCACGGCAUUCCAUUUCGGCGCUCACUUCGUACAUUUGCGAGCAUCUGUCGCUAAGCUGUUCGGGAGUGCUGGCUUGGGGGGGAGCGACCCCGCAAGCGAGUGCAAACGCGCACAAUGGCAGGCAAGCCGUAGUCCACAGUACCAGUCUCACAACAACAUCAUGUCCCUGAUAUGGAAUCUCAACUCAAGCCACUCCGGAACGCGGGGCUUGGGGGGCGCGACCCCCGCAAGCAUGUACGAAAGAGCAUAAUGGCAUGCUAGCUAUAGUCCAGGGUACAAAUAUCUCAACAGCAUCAUGUCUCUGACAUGGAAUCUCAACUCGACCCAAAGUCGGCACUGUAGUACCCAAUCAUAAAUCACUAUCAACAACUUGUUGACAAGAUUCAAUAUAACUUAACAAGUUAAAGCUUUACACCACACUAGUGAUUCUAUCAGGCUAUACCUGGUCAGUCACUCACAAUCUCUCACUACUCCUUAUACAUAAGGAAAGUGGUUUACUAAGGUUCUGUUCAUAAACUCAUGGCACAUAUCCUGUAGUCCAAUAUAAAUCUCUACUUGACUAUACAAGUAUAUUAUCAUAUCCAAAUUUAGUUAUUACUAGAUUAUCUUCAGUUGAAUAAUCAUUCAAAUUAUGCCAUCAUAUGAAAUUAUAGUUACUUACUAGAACAUAUACCAUAAUACAAGUCUAUCAUGUGAAAGUAAAAACUAACAGGGUAAUGCAAGCAAAUAAAACACUUUUCACAUGAUCUCUAUGCCAUUCAUUCUACAGUUAGAAUUUGCAUAUGCCAAACAAAGGCCUUUACCUGAUCUUUCAAAGUAUAGCAACUAUACUUGCUAUAUAACAUUGCAUAGCUCAAUCCUAAAUACAUCAAUCUCUUUGUAGUUCAACAGAACUAAUUAGUCCAUUCACGAACUUAUCAUUACAUCCUCUUGGACAGCAUCAGGCUAAAAUUGCAUAUGCAAGCUACUAGUAUCAUGAACACGUAGUACUUUAACAUGUAACCAUGUACAGUGAACAAAUCCUGAACCUUUCAUUAUUGUUUAAAGAUGCUAUCAUAUCCAAUAUGAUCUACACAUUAAUGCACGUCUCAAUGCCUUGAACUAUACAUAUAUUCACAUGAACAUGGAAUAACUUCAACUCAGAUGUCAAAGGAAACAUAGAGGGAAUUCACCCAUUUCGAGAAGGUCAGACCCACCUAUCCCUAAGCUCAAUCCAGUCACAAGAAAUCCCGAAACUCAACUCAACGGUGCCCCACUCUGCUGAAACCGAAACACGAAAAGCGUAUCAAAACUACGACCGAAAUGUCCAAUUUCGGCACAAAUUGCACUUAGUACAAAAUAAUAGUUUGAAUCCCUGUUUUGGGCUAGUUUAGUACCUCAAGUUAAGCCUCUAAUUGCCCUCACAUAUCAGCCAAAGAUAAUCUGAAAGUCAAUCGCAGCCUCGCUGUGAACAUUCAUCAAAACGACAUCAACAUACUCGUAUACUAGGUAAUAUUGUCGGAAUCUUACAUAACCCAAUUUCUAACUGAAAUUCAACUUACCCCAGGUUGAAACACCUUCUAAACCAGUCCCCGAGGUCACAAAUUCAGCUCAAAUUAGUUUGGAAACCUGCUGUGAGCAAACAUCCCAAAAUCGCAUCAUGACUUCGCUAAUAUCAUCGUUUUCAUCAUCGAAAUAGAGAAAAACUCAUUAAUUACCUCGAAGGCUUUAACUCUGACUUUGGGGUGAAGGAUUACAGCAAAACCACUCUUCAAUUGGUGCUUUAAACCAUCUCAAUCCAGCUGGUAGCAAGAAUUGAGAACCAACAUAAAAAACUAUCACUAAUCUCAACCUAGAGAGAGAAACUAACUUGUUUACCUCACUAGACUUCAAUUCAGGUUCCCUGAAAGUUGGAGCUGCGAAAAUACCUCUCAUGCGAGUCCUUUCCACCCACUCGUAGCUGCUCCAACGUCCACAAACCAGCUGGCGCGACGAACGGCGAGAAAUAGGCGCAAAUCAACGAUUUCUACUCGAAGAGAGAGAAAACCUAGAGAGAGAAAGUGGGGAAGGUACAAAACCCUUCCUCAGAGCUCCAUGGACCCUCCAGCAGCUUCAGGAGUCGAGCUGGGUCAUUUGGAGAUAAGGCUGAGUGUCAAAAGACUAAAAUAGGCCUGCUGCCACGCAGCUGCUGCUGCUGCUGCUUGCUGUACCGGUACAGGGUAAUGUCUGUACCGGUACACAAUGCAAAAAUGCUGAAUUUCGCCAUUCAAUGCACUUUCUUGCUUUUAACCUUCCAAUCACCCUCUAACUUAUCCAAAAAUUUGUCCAAACCCUUUAGAAUAUGUAGGGUAGUUUCAUUUACCAUUUCCCACCAUCGAAAUUCGUAAUUGACCAAUUUCAGAACAUUGCAAUAGAAUAAUGCAAUUUCAAUGCACUUUUCCAUUUCCAGUUAUCUGCUUACUCCAGUAAUUUGUUGAAGCCUCUCAAAAAUCCUACAAAAGUUGUAGAAAAGUUCCAAUCACUAUUCCAACCCUCGAACUUGUCAAUAGACCCAGAUUCAGUAUAUUACAGAUAUAUGUUAUAUUCCAUAUUUUAGAUAUGAUGACUUGAGACUUGAGACUUGAGACGGAUCUUACGCUUGCUGACAUUGUGCUCAGUCGCACACGCUUGUGAGGGUCGCUCCCUACAAGCCAGCACUCCGGAGAUGGCCAUCGCGAUACAUAUUCGCCGUGCGGGAUUGGGCGCCGAAGUGGCUUGCCGUGGGCAAGGCUCAUUCUUAGAGUGGGGUGUUGACUACCACGGGGCCAUUAGGCUCGGCACCGGCCAGAUAGCCUACGGGUGGGUCUACAGGCCAGACAGCCUUCGGGCGAAUCUUCCAAGAUUUAACUUUAAGUAGUAAACAUGCCAAAUGAACAUUGACUAGAACAGUAAAUAAUGACAUUUUACUAUUACAUUACGGAUAUUAUGAUCGUUGUAUACUUGUGCAUUUUCAUGAUAGAAUAGUUUUCUUACUUAUGCAAUUCCAUGCUAAGUAGAGACAUCAUGUAGAGCAAGUACUCACGUUCAUUUACUUGUCGUAUAUUUCGCUUUUGCUUAUACUCGUACUUACCCUUUUUGUAGCUUUUAGGCCUAGUGGCGCAUUUCACUGAAGUCAGUAAUUGCCCACUGGGAACUAUUAUUUAAUAGUUCUCACGCCCCCUAUUUUAUGGUUUUAUUUCAGAGCCUUCGGCACCGGCGGAGGCACGGGAUCGCGGCAAGGGUGACAGCCUAGCUAGAUAGCGGGGAGCUACUUGCUCUUAGGUGGUUACUCUCUUUUUGUGUUUUGGUGAGAGAGAUUUUUGUACCAUGUAUAGAGACCACCUAUAUACUCUUUUAGCUCUUAUUUUGGGAUAUCUAUUGUAUUACUUAUGACUUUUAUUUUGUGGUUUUGGCUUCUUUAACCUAUUCUUGCUGUAGAAAUCUAGAUGUACUUCGCUCUGAUACUCCUAGAUGUUCUUCUCUCAUUGCUUUAUUUAUCGCUUUGUUGUAGACGCCUUAUACGUUUUAGACAUAUGGCGGGUCUGGACAUGCGCCUCGCCGGCUUCCGCUCGGCCCCGGGGCGUGACAGACCACAAGGAAAAUGCAUGCAGUUUCUUAAGUCUACAUCAUGCAGAAAUGUAUGAUUGCUUUAAUUAAAUCAUACCUACCACGAUGUCACGCUCCUCGACGCCAGCAGGUCCCUCCGCUCGAGCGGCAAACACUCGACCACUCGGAGCCGACCGGGCCGUCUCAAGCUGACGCGGCGCCAUCGGACGUCCCGCAGAUACGGCAGCAGGCGGAACUCCACCAAACUGCCUCGGAGUCACUGGGGCGGAUGCAAUAGACGGGACAGGCGGCGAUCCCUCUGGACACUGACGGCUCAUAUGCCCAACCUGACCACACCUGAAGCAUCGUCCCGCCUUAUGCUCACAAUUCCCUGCGCGAUGCUCCCCACCGGAAAUCGCACAUCGCAUAGGUCCCUGGCUCUCGGACUGUCUCCUCGGGUACCUCCGGGGCUUAUUAGAACUAGACUGUCCCCCCGAACCACCGCCAGGCCGUUUCUUUCCUUUGUCCUUCUAAGACGCCUCACGCUCCUCUCGCUUGCAGGCAUUCCCAUGCUCGACCCAUAGAGCACGAUCUGACACUUCCUCAAAGGUGCAGAAGUUGAAGGCAUGCACCAUCCGGAACACUCCGGGCCGGAGUCCCCGCACGAAGCACUCUGCCCGAUCUUGCUCGGUCCUAGCCACAUCCGGGACGCAAUUCAGGAGAUGGGUAAACUCCCGCUCGUACUCCCGAACCGUACGGUUGCCUUGGUUAAGCUUCCGAAAAUUCUCCCGCAUUUUUCUUUUAUCACUGUCGGAAAAAUAUUCCGCAAACAUCAACUCCCGAAACUCCGCCUAAUUAAUCGGGGGAAGCUCCGGAGAUCGAUCCUGCUUCACUCUCCUCCACCACACUCGGGCCCUCUUAUCAAAGCAAUGAGCAGCCAAGUUUACUUUGUCUUGCUCUCUGGUGUAGAUGUCCUCAAACUGUCUCCUCGGGUACCUCCGGGGCUUAUUAGAACUAGACUGUCCCCCCGAACCACCGCCAGGCCGUUUCUUUCCUUUGUCCUUCUCAGACGCCUCGUGCUCCUCUCGCUUGCAGGCAUUCCCAUGCUCGACCCACAGAGCACGAUCUAACACUUCCGCAAAGGUGCGGAAGUUGAAGGCAUGCAUCAUCCGGAACACUCCGGGCCGGAGUCCCCGCACGAAGCACUCCGCCCGAUCUUGCUCGGUCCUAGCCACAUCCGGGACGCAAUUCAGGAGAUGGGUAAACUCCCGCUCGUACUCCCGAACCGUACGGUUGCCUUGCUUAAGCUUCCGGAAAUUCUCCCGCAUUUUCCUUUUAUCACUGUCGGGAAAAUAUUCCGCAAACAUCAACUCUCGAAACUCCGCCUAAUUAAUCGGGGGAAGCUCCGGAGAUCGAUCCUGCUUCACUUUCCUCCACCACACUCGGGCCCUCUUAUCAAAGCAAUGAGCGGCCAAGUUUACUUUGUCUUGCUCUCUGGUGUAGAUGUCCUCAAACAAUGUUUCCAUCGUGGCCAACCAGGUCUCCACAGUCCAAGCAUCUAUCACCUCGCCAUCGAAUGUCGGAGGGUGAAACUUCAUGAACCUCGUGAGAGCCGCGUAGCCGCGCUCUCGCUCCGCCUCCUCAGCCGCCGCAUCGGGUAUCGCCAAACCCGAAGCCGCCAGAGGAACACUCGUCGGCGGGGGUGUGCCGCCGCCCGAGCUGCCGCAAUGCCCACACCCUCAGCCGCAUUAGGCACGCGAGCCGAGGGCGUGGGCGGACCACAGCCUUUAACUGCCGUCGCGGCCACCGCCGCCACCUGCCGCUCCAAAAGCUCCUAGAGCCGCUCGACCUGACUGGUUAGCGUGGUAACUUGCGCUCGUAACUCCUGCAACUCGCUAGGCCCAACAGGCUCUGGCGCCACCGGAGGUCCAGCCUGCUCUGGCACCACGGGAGGUGGUGCCGGAACGGAUCUACGCACGUAGUGUCUCCUUGGUGCCAUUAGCUCCUGAAAUACAACAACUUGGUUAAUCACCUUAACCCGCUAACUUCGCCACAAGUGCGAAACAACGCAACUCAACAGCGCAAAUCAGGCUGAAGCACACAAGUGUACUUGUUCUAAACACUUAGCGUCGUGUUGUCGGCCGCCCAACACAACCACUUCAAGCCAAGAACUUAUACCACUUGAAUCCAUCUCUAACACCUAUUAGAGACAUACUAUCAACUUCGACCCAAUCAAUCAACUUCCGCCACCGGUAUAGGUUCACGUCUUACUCACGCACCUAUAGCCUUACGGUUUACCAACCGAAGGUUCUCUAGGUCAAUCCUAGACUCUCUCUUUACUUGCUCUUAGCUUGCUCUGAUACCAUAUUAUCUGUCACGCCCCGAGCCCCGCCAAUUUAGCCAUUUCGGGCGCGUCGAAUAGACGCCGGACGAGCAGCACCUCCCCUGUCCGCCCAAGGCUAAAGCGACGAGAUCCUGUACAACAAGUUCCCAGGAAAAAUAACUUGAAAUGCGUACAAGAUCAAGCAACAAUAACGAGAGCACAACCAGUGCUAAAUAUAUAAGAGCAAGCAUCACAAGUAUAAAUAAGUGAACGAAAGAGAGAUUUCUAACUAUUACUAUUACAUCCAUUCAACCUUUUUACAUUGCAUUAAAUUACAUUUUAAGCUUUCAAAACAUAAACAUAAAGUUUACAAUCUUUCCAAAGCACUCACCACCUAUACAUCGUCUAUGCUCACAUACAAAAGGUAGCUCUAAUGCAUAAUGGAAAGUAACUACACUAGGGCGCUGUGCCAUUACCGCAAUCCUCCCCCGGAACGCUCGCGCUCGGCCCUGCAGUAAAAUGGGGUGAGAACUAUAUAAAUAUAGUUCCAAGUAGGUUCGGCCGCCGACUCUGUCGAUCUUCCCACUAGAUCUAAACUGGCACAGAUAGAUAGAUAAAUAGAUAUUGAACUGUAACUACGCUCUACUAUGCCAUCAAAUGCAAAUAAUGCAUGGAAUAUCAUCUAGCAAUAAGCCUACCAUCUUGCUAGUAUGCUUCAACAAUGCAAUGGAUACGAAUGCAACAUAGUUAUGUAAUCCUCUAACAUAUACUAUGUCUAAUCAUGGUAUGAAUGCAAAUCAAGUAUGUUAUUCAUGUUCAUUACCCAAUCCUUUAGGCUAAGCCGCCUAAGAUCUCAAAUUCUGUAGGUAAAGAGCUACCCCGCAUUUGACUCACCCGACUUGUAACCCAAUUCAUAGGUAAAGAGCUACCCCGCUCCUUGCCCGACUCAGAUCUCAAGUCCUAUAGGUGAAGAGCUACCCGCUCCUCGCCCGACUCAUAACUCGAAUGCCUAAGGGCAAGAGCUACCCCACUCUUCGCCCCAACUCUAAUCUCAAUCUCGUAGGUAAAGAGCUACCCCGCUCAUAGGUAAAGAGCUACCCCGCUCAAAUCGCAUAGGUGAAUAGCUACCCCGCACUUCACCCGACUCACGUCCCAGUCCAAUGGGUGAGGAGCUACCCCGCUCGUAUCCCACCCGGUGAGCUACCCCGCUCGUGAGCUACCCAGCUCGUGUGACAACUCCGGAGUGCACUGCUUGUGUGGAGCGACCGCCAAAAGCCUAAAACAGACUAUGUGAGUAUGAUCCAAUCCUCGCCAACUGAGGAUACCCUGUCAACUAGGAUUAACAAACACUCGGAACUCUACCUAUCCCUAGGUCCAUGUCAAGUGUCUCAACCACCCUAAUCAACUUACACUAGGGAAUUCAACUAUCCCUAAGUUCAUUACGUUAAUGUGUUCUUUACACUAUGUUCAAAUGCCACUCACCUAGGUCUAAUCAACUCUAGGUUUAACACCUUUAUCACAUAACCUAGAUUAAUGCCACUCGAUCUAUUCUAGGUUCACGACACUAGGUUUAUAUGCCACAGGCCUAUUUACAUAAUCUAGCAAUAGGAUAACAUGCAUGUAUACUCAACAGGUUCAUACAACACUAAAGUGCAUGUAAUCCCUAGCAUGAUCUAGCAAUACGUCCCCAUUGUUCACAUGCCUCAUAAUCUCCCAUAAUUAACAAUAUGUUAACAUUCAUUUUCAUCUAGCAUAUAUGUCCUUUGAAGCCAACAUGCAUAUUCUAUUUCGCAUUAUCUCAUUAUAUUACUAUGCAUUAUCAUCUAGCAUAUAUUCCACAACGCAUAUAAAUAUUAACAUGCAUCUACCCACUAACAUAUAGUUUCAAUGCAUCGGUAUGCAACUAUCAACCUAGCAUGAUUCUCAUUAUGCUACAUGCAUACAUUCUCCAUUACACUAGUUCACAUGUCACUAGUUUUCAUUAUCAAGUUCAAGUUCACCAAUUCUUAUCACUAUAGGAUCUCAUGUCACAACCCUAAUCCUUAUGCAUUCUAGGUUUAAAUGUCAAGCCCACAAUGCUACGCUACUAGACAUGCAUGCAUGGAAGUAGAAAAGCAACUAUACAUACAUCCUAUAAUGCAUAAGAACAACAUAUGAGAUAUGAUCAACAAUUCUAACUCGGACAUAGGAAGAAGCCCGGUUGCUUCGGGAUGGACACCCCCCACCUUUAGGUGAUGCAACGAGCCCACGAUUCCGAUUUCGCGAUUUUAGGAAGCUUACGCCGCGUGCUGCGGCAAUCUAUACCGAAACAAGCUUUUUCUUCGAUAUCUUCGCACCCACUCGACGAAUCGACGAACCGUCUUCGCCAACGCGUCAGAAUACCUAACAAUUAGGUCUACAACCACUCAAUUUAGAUCAAAACCCUAGAUUUUCCAAAACCCCAUUUUGGAGCCCUAGGUUGCAACUAGAUGAAAAUCCACCAUUAGAGCUUUGGAUUCAAGCUCUAAUCAUCUAUUUAGUAUGCUAGGGUUCCACUAAAUCCAUUUAUAGAGAUUAAAAUCCAAGCUCUAGUGAUCUACCAUUAAAGCUCUUAAAGCUUACGUCAAGAACUAGCUCGAAUGGCUAAGAAGGAGAAGAUGAAGAUGAUGAUCCUUCUUCUUUGCUUCUUCUCCACCAACCUCUCCUCCAAAAUUCACCCUUGUAGAGAGAGAGAGGAGAGCUUCAGAGAGAGAGAGGGCUAGGUUUAGGGUUGAGAGUUGUGAGGAAAUAAGAGGAAAUGAGUUUACUCUACUCCUAUACACUCAACCAGUGGCAAAAUUGCCAAAAACCCCCUCAACUUUGCAUUUUAGUGCACUGCCCUCGCGGGGCCAAUUUUUGUAUAAGGGACCGGUCCCUUAUACAAAUAGGGACCGGUCCCCAAAGGUCCAGAAUUUCAGCAUUUAGGACUAAGCCAAAUUUUCAGCUUUUUCACCUUUCGGGGUCUAUUUUCGCUCGUUUUCGCUCGUUUGACCUCCGAUUCUUUUCAAAUCGAACCGAGACUCUCCACACAUGUUUUCGAGCGUGUUUUCAUCAUCUUUUCACCCACGCUAAUACCGGAUUUGGUUCACGGCCCAACAUAGCCUUUCGGGUUCCGUUUUCGCGCCUACGCGCACCGAAACGCCCGAAUGCUCCCGAACCUCACCGAACUUCACCGGAACCAUUCAAAUGGCUUUCCAAUCAAAUGUACACCGUAGCUUCAUAAUUUUAGAAGUCCGGUACCUUACACACGAACUCCACAAUGUCUUUCUUCAUGCACGGCCACCAAUAAUGCACUUUCAAAUCUUGAUACAUCUUGGUGCCGCCCGAAUGUAUACUAUAGGGAGAUUGAUGCGCUUCUUGCAUUAUUACCUUUCGAAUGUCGUCGUCUUUAGGCACACACCAACGAUUUCUGAAUCGAAGUGCAUCGUCGGUCCCAAUGCCAAAAUCAUCGGCACUACCGCUUUCAACUUCACCCGGCACAUUUUAGAGAUAUGCAUCGGAAGCUUGUAGCUCUUUUAUCCUCUCCAACAAGGUCGGUUGAACCACCAAUGCGGUAAGGUUAGCCGGCACUCCCAGAGCCACUACCUCAAGACCAAACCGUUGCAUUUCUUUUCGCAACAACGGUUGGGGUGUAAUUGCCAAAGCCAACUUUUCCACCGAUUUUCUACUUAGAGUAUCGGCCACGACAUUUGCUUUUCUGGGGUGGUAUAAAAUAGUGACAUCAUAGUCCUUUAGCAACUCUAACCACCGCCGCUGUCGCAUAUUUAAUUUUUUUUGGGUGAACAAGUAUUUGAGACUCUUAUGAUCUGAGUAAAUUUCACAAUGCUCACCAUACAAGUAAUGCCUCCACAACUUUAGCGCGAAUAUCACCACGGCUAGCUCAAGGUCGUGUAUCGGGUAGUUCUUUUCAUAAUUCUUCAAUUGGCACAAAACAUAUGCUAUGACUCGCCCAUUUGCAUCAAAACACACCCGAGACCAAUAUAUGAAGCAUCACUAUACACAACAAAGCUCUCCCACGGAGUUGGUAGAGCAAGCACCGGGGUCAAUUGUAAUAUACCGAAACUUCGGUAAAUAAAUAUCGAACUUUAGUCAAAUUGACCAAAGUGCGAGGUUGGUACGCUUCGGAAAGGCCGAAGGCGUCAAAAAGGGUAAAAGUGCAUUGUUGGGGGUUUUCGAGAAAUAAAGAAUCAAAAAUCUGCUUACUGCAGCUUUUGAGCUCUCGGGGACCGGCCCCUAGUGGGAGAGACCGCUCCACGAAUGUGUAAUACACUGAACAUUUGCGAAUUGCGAAGUUCGAGUGUGAGGAAGGAUGUGUGGAUCUAUAUUACAUGUUCUAAAUGACUUGGACAAGUUUUUGAAUAAGUUAGAGAGUGAUUGGAGGGUUAAAAGCAAGAAAGUGCAUUGAACGGACGAAAUCAGCAUUUAUUUCUGCUUGCUGUACCGGUACAGCCAUCACCUUGUACCGGUACAGACUGGCAGAAACGUGGCAGCAAGGGUCUUUUGGUCAUUUCACCUCUUGUUCUUAUCUAUUUUAGUCCAGCACGACCAGGGAUGCUUGCUGGAGUGUGCUAGAGCUCAGAGAAGCUGCCCUACACCUUUCUCUCUCUCUCUCUAGGAUUUUUCUCUCUCUACAAAUAGAAGUCGCUGUUUUACGUCGAUUUCGCGCCGCGGGCGUUACUCGCUGGUUUGGAGACUCAAGGAAAGCUUUUGGAACGUGGGGAGGAGGAUAUUUACUGACUUUUCUGGGAUUUUAACACCAGAAAGAGCUGAGUUGCAGCUUUUGAAAGGUAUGUAGCUUAAAUUUUCUCUAAUUGGAAGUUUAGUAUUGGAUUUUGAGUAGUUUUGGUUUUGUUGCUCCCAGCUGAGUUCGAGGGCAAUUUCAGCAGCUAAAGAGAAGUUAUUUAGCUGUGAUUGAACCAUCUUAGACCAGGGAUAAGCUGCUCCAAAGAUGGACAAAGGUAAUUUGUUAUUUAUGAUGUAAUUUUGAAACUAUACGAAGUUUAUUAGUGCGAACUGAUGCAGUUUUGGAUUCUUUGUUCGCAGCAGGUUUCCAAACUAAUUUGAGUCAAAUUGGUAACCUGAGAAUCUAGUUUGAAAGGUGUUUCAACCAGGGGUAAGUAGAAAUUCCAGUUAGAAAACUGAUGUUACCAGAUUUCGGCUAUAUUAGCUAGUUUACGUGCGUGUUGACGCCGUCUAGUAUUUGUUCGCAGCGAGAGUGCGACCGACCUUUGGAUCACCAUCAGUUGGCAUUGGAGAGCAAUUAGAAGCUUAACUUAAGGUAUUAAACUGAAACCAAAACAGGGAUGCAAGUUAUUACUUUGUACUAAGUGCAAAUUGUACCGAAAUUGGACAUUUCGGCCGUAGUUUUGAUGCGCUUUUCGUGUUUCGUUUUCAGUAGAGUUGGGGCUCCGUUGAGCAGAGUUUCGGGACUUCUUUUGGCUGGGUUGAGCUUGGUGAUAGGUGGGUCGGACCUUCCCGAAAUGGGUGAAUUCCCUCUAUAUCUCCUUUGACAUCUGAGUUGAAGUUAUCUCAUAUUCAUGUGAAUAUAUGUAUAGUUUAAGGCAUUGAGACAUGCACUGAUAUAUAGAUCAUAUCGGAAAUGAUAGCAUCCUUAAAUGGUAAUGAAAGAUUCAUGACUUGUCCAUUCUACAUGGUUACCUAUUAAAUACUACGGAUUCAUGAUACUAGUAGUUUGCAUAUGCAACUUGGCUUGAUGUUAUCCAUGAGGAUAGAAUGGCAAAUUCGUGAAUGGACCAAUUAGCUCUGUUGAACAACAACGAGACUGAUGUACUUAGGAUUGAGCUAUGCAAUGUUACAUAACAAGUAUAAUGGCUAAACUCUAAAAGAUCAGGUAAAGACUUGUGUUUACAUAUGCAUUCCUAAUUGUAGAAUGAAUGGCAUGGAGAUCAGGUGAAAAGUAUUUUAUCGUUUAUAUUCCUUGCUAGUAUUACUCUGUUAGUUUCUACAUUCACAUGAUAGAUUCAUAUUGUGGUAUAUAUUCUAGUAAGUAACUAGAAGUUUAUAUGAUGGCAUAAUUGAAUGAUAUACAAUUGAAUAUAAUCUAGUAGAUAACUAGAUUUAAAUAUGAUGACCUACUUGUAUAGUCAAGUAGAGUUGAUUGGUUCAUCUUUGUUUGCUUCAAGUAAUAGAAGUUUAUAUUGAACUUCAGGUUAUGUGCCAUGAGUCUAUGUACAGAACCUUAGUAAACCACUUUCCUUAUGUGUAAGGAGUAGUGAGAGAUUGUGAGUGACUGACCAGGUAUAGCCUGAUAGAAUCAUUAGUGUGAUGUAAAGUUUUAACUUGUCAAGUUAUAUUAACGACUUGUAGAAUCUUGUCAACAAGUUGUUGAUAGUGACUUAUGAUUGGGUACUACAGUGCCGCUACAGGCCUACCUUGGUGUAGUUGAGAUUCCAUGUCAGAGACAUGAUGCUGUUGAGAUAGUUGUACCCUGGACUAUAGCUAGCAUGCCAUUAUCUCUUUCGUACAUGCUUACGGGGUCGCGCCCCCCAAGCCUCGCGUUCCGGAGUAGCUUGAGUUGAGAUUCCAUGUCAGGGACAUGAUGUUGUUGUGAGACUGGUACUGAUGGACUACGGCUUAGCAUGCCAUUGUGCGCGUUUGCACACGCUUGCGGGGUCGCUCCCCCCCAAGCCAGCACUCCCGAACAGCUUAGCGACAGAUGCGUCGCAAAUGUACGAAGUGAGCGCCCGAAAUGGAAUGCCGUGGGGGAGGGAUAUUCUAGAGUGGGGAUGUUGACUACCACGGAGCCAUUAGGCACGGCGCGAGCUUGAACUUACCUUGUGUAGAAGUCCGUAUGGAAAUUGGGUUAUGUCAAGUACUUUAACUUAGCUGGACAUAGUAGUAAAGUUACUAUAGUCUUGGGUUAAGUGAUCUAUUGACUGAGAACCAGACUAGGAAGUUGACAUCCAUGAUUGGUUAGCGACAUAAAUAAGUGUUCAUUCUUGCUAAUAUAGAAAGUAAUUACAUGAUAUUAUCUGUAAUUCCGGUAAUAAUGAAUUAUCUUGUUUGCAAUCUGGUAUAUGUUUGGGUUAAAUUGUCAAGUAUAUGAUUGAUAGAUUCAUCGUGAUAAUUGAUACCUGGCAGUCUAUCGGUAUUUAAUUGAUUGUUGAGCAAAUAGCAUGAGUAGUUUACUUGUUACAUUUGCUUAUUGCAGUUACUGGCUUAUUGCACUUACUUGCUUAUUGCAUUUACUUGCUUACUUAUUACUAUCCACUCCAUGCCAACAGUUGACCCUAGGGUGUACUUCGCCAAACUUCUCGGUGGCUUACUGUUAAUGGACACAUGGGAUCUUUGCAAAUCGCAAAGUAAUUCCGAGUGUUUUAUCUGUGUUUGAGCUUUUCCCCAGUUUGGGAGGUCGUUGAUAGUGUUGCCUGGACCCUGGACGCAUCCGCGAGGAGUGGUUGAAGUGAGAGCUUGGUGUCACGCCCACGGGACCGAUGCUGAUUUGGCCGACCCGGAGCACGUCUAAAACAUCGCCGAAUCGGACACAGAUUUUCCCUAUCAGCCCAAGGCUCUCACAUGUACAUUUUCAAUAAGAAGUGCACUAGCGGAAACAUACCAAACGGCUUACACUGAGGGUAAGCAAAUCAGCCAUUAAGUGAAAGAAAAAGAACUAAACAGUUCCAAGUAGUAGUGAUUCAUUUUAGAUCAUAUACGCAUUGCAUUCAUAUAGUAAUUAUCGAAUUUCUUACAUUCAUUACAUACAUUUCAUCAUUUCUUUCCUUACAAUCACAUUCACACUCAAAAUAAGCUUUACAAUCUUUCUUUACAUCACUAAUCCAUCAAGUACAAAAGCAUGAUAAAAGGGUGUCUACUAACAAAAUGACCCAACUUGUGGCCCAUCUGACUAAACGGCGCGAUAGCUUUUACCUCGGUCCUCGCCGGCCUCCCUCGGCAUCCCGGCUCUGUGGCAAAUAGUGUGAGGUGAGAACUACAACAAAUUCCAGUGGCUUCGGCCCCAACAUCACCACGACUUUCCCACUCAAGCGACUAAACUUCAAGGCAUAAUAGAAGGAUAAGUAAGAUAUAUAGUAACACAUCUAUACAUGAUGCUAAAUAUGGCCUGAAACAAAUAGCAAGAAAUAUGCUCAACAAUUCAAAUAAUAUGCAAGUUAGCAAAAUGUUCUUUAGUUUCUUUGCAUUUACACUUUGUUCUUUAACAUCUUUUUUCAUUAAUCAUUAAAGGCUAGCCCGGGGGUUUCGCCACUAUUAACUUGCUUCACAUUAAGUCCAUCAUCCAGAACUCACCGCAGCUAGGACCGUCCUUCACGGGUUUAUACUCCAACCCGGAUGCAUAAACUUUGAGGCGCAUACGCCCGAGGGGACGACCUACCCCACGAGCCACGAAUCACAAGCAAGUAAUCAAUAUCCUUACUCAAAGGGAUUUAUCAAGUUCAAAUCUUGACUGUUACAUCUAGCUCUAGUGUUCAUUACAUCACAUUAUAUUCAAAACUCAUGCAAUCGUUGUGUCUUUACUUUUCUUUUACUUUUUGCCACUUGAGCAUUCAUUAUUCUCAUUGCCUUGUUUGUCACUUUACUCUUAACUUAAACGAUUAAUCAUUUUCAUCAUUCUUUACAUUACAUUGGUUCUUUGCAUCACAACUAACUCUAGUGUCUUCUGUACUAUACCAUUUUCAAAUGGCCACUGCGAUCUAUGUCAUAAGUGCAUCUGUUCUUUUGCUCACUUUGGGUACUACACAUUUUCUCUCAUGCAUCAUCUACGGUUUGACAUUAUUACGGUUCUCAACCAUCUCAUUAUGCAUAUUGUGCUCACAAUCAUGCAAUCUUUCAUAUCUCAUCAGUUACGUUGGUUACGCCUAAAAUGCUGCGAACAAUAUAUAAUACAUAUGCUCACAGAACUGACACAUUACUAUAGAGGUAAUUUCAAUGAGUUUGGAAGCAACCACUCACCUCGUAGGCUUUUCAAAGGUUCUCCGAAUGAUUUUCUUGGGGAUUUUUAUUAGCUGCUCGUUCUUGUAACCUGCCGGCAAUAAACGACCCUUAUUAGCCUCCAUUUGCCCAUAACUUUUUUACAUCGGCUUUUUCGUAAUGUUAAUUCCAUAGCGCAUCCAACGUCGUCGGAAAUACCUCCCAAUUAGGUUUUAGAGGGUCAAUUGCACGUUAGCAUCCGCUCAUGACGAAAGAAGCCCGCAUUUGGGGUGCCCUAGCUCCAAUGUAUAUCAAAAACCUANNNNNNNNNNNNNNNNNNNNNNNNNUUAGGAUUGAGCUAUGCAAUGUUAUAUAACAAGUAUAAUGGCUAAACUCUGAAAGAUCAGGUAAAGGCUUGUGUUGCAUAUGCAUUCCUAAUUGUAGAAGGAAUGGUAUGGAGAUCACGUGACAAGUGUUUUAUCGUUUAUAUUCCUUCAUUCACAUGAUAGAUUCAUAUUGUGGUAUAUAUUCUAGUAAGUAACUAGAAGUUUAUAUGAUGGCAUAAUUGAAUGAUAUACAAUUGAAUAUAAUCUAGUAGAUAACUAGAUUUAAAUAUGAUGACCUACUUGUAUAGUCAAGUAGAGUUGAUUGGUUCAUCUUUGUUUGCUUCAAGUAAUAGAAGUUUAUAUUGAACUUCAGGUUAUGUGCCAUGAGUCUAUGUACAGAACCUUAGUAAACCACUUUCCUUAUGUGUAAGGAGUAGUGAGAGAUUGUGAGUGACUGACCAGGUAUAGCCUGAUAGAAUCAUUAGUGUGAUGUAAAGUUUUAACUUGUCAAGUUAUAUUAACGACUUGUAGAAUCUUGUCAACAAGUUGUUGAUAGUGACUUAUGAUUGGGUACUACAGUGCCUACCUUGGGUCGAGUUGAGAUUUCAUGUCAGAGACAUGAUGCUGUUGAGAUAGUUGUACCCUGGACUAUAGCUAGCAUGCCAUUAUACUCUUUCGUACAUGCUUACGGGGGUCGCGCCCCCCCAAGCCCCGCAUUCCGGAGUAGCUUGAGUUGAGAUUCCAUGUCAGGGACAUGAUGUUGUUGUGAGACUGGUACUGUGGACUACGGCUUGCAUGCCAUUGUGCGCGUUUGCACACGCUUGCGGGGUCGCUCCCCCCCAAGCCAGCACUCCCGAACAGCUUAGCGACAGAUGCUCGCAAAUGUACGAAGUGAGCGCCGAAAUGGAAUGCCGUGGGGGAGGCUCAUUCCUAGAGUGGGGAUGUUGACUACCACGGAGCCAUUAGGCACGGCGCGGCUUGAACUUACCUUGUGUAAGUCCGUUGGAAAUUGGGUUAUGUCAAGUACUUUAACUUUAGCUGGACAUAGUAGUAAAGUUACUAUAUGUCUUGGGUUAAGUGAACUUAUUGAUGAACAGACUAGGAAGUUGACACCAUAAUUGGUUAGCGACAUAAAUAAUGUUUCAUUCUUGCUAAUAUAGAAAGUAAUUACAUGAUAUUAUCUGUAAUUCCGGUAAUAAUGAAUUAUCUUGUUUGCAAUCUGGUAUAUGUUUGGUUAAAUUGUCAAGUAAUAUGAUUGAUAGAAUUCAUAUCAUGAUAAUUGAUACCUGCAGUCUAUCGGUAUUUAUUGAUUGUUGAGCAAAUAGCAUGAGUAGUUUACUUUUACAUUUGCUUAUUGCAGUUACUGGCUUAUUGCACUUACUUGCUUAUUGCAUUUACUUGCUUACUUAUUACUAUCCACUCAUGCCACAGUUGACCUAGGGGUGUACUUCGCCACUCUCGGUGGCUUACCCGACUGGGGGACAUAUUUGUCCUUAAUAGUUCUCACGCGCCCUUCCUUUGUUGUUGUUUUUACCAGAGCUAUCAGCAGCGGGAAAGGCGUAGGGUUCCUCGGCGAGGGGUCAGGCGGGCUAGCUAGAGCCCUUUUUGGAAACGUGUAUUCAGUGCCACCUCCAGACGCAGUUUAUGUAGUCCUGAGUCUGAUGAUUGUAUGACUUAACCUCUCAUUAUAGAUUGUAGCUCUUAUUCUUAUUUACUGUAAUAACGGUUUAUGGAACCUUGUAUACCAGUUUAAAACUUUUAAGUUUUUGCUCUGAUUACUAAUUAGAGUGCCAAAUCUUUUUACAAUACUCCAUAUCCUUGUAGCACGGGCUGGCCUGAUGAUACUUGGGUUGCUGGUUCUACCACGGCGGGUCUGUGCACGCGACUCGGCUCUCGCGCUUCCGCUGAAAUCCAGGGCAAUCAGACUACCCUAUACGGUGUAAGAAUUACUAUGCGAUCCGAAAAUGAUAGGAUGUCGAUGUUUUCGAAUUUUUGACGCCUUUGAUUUAAAUUGUAUGGUUGGGAUGAUUGCGGCCCCUCUAGGUCUAAAUAAUCAUCCCUAGGAUUGCAGUGGUCCCUACAAGAUACAUAUAUUACGUCAUUCAAUCCAAAGAUAAAAAAUGAUUGAAGGGGCUCUGAACUCUAAGAAUCAAUAAAUCCGAAGAAGGCACCAGAUCCUCUAUACCCUUUUUGAUAGCAUGUAGGCUCUACUCAUAUACUACUAUAUAUACUAUAUAUCCAUAAAUAUAUACCUAUAUAUACCCUAUACGUAUAUACGUACUAGUAUCUGAGGCUUUUCGAGCUUUUCGAGCCUAAUUCGAAUGAGCCGAGUAAUACUCAAGCUCGGUUUGAAAUGAAUUUCGAGCCUUUUUUUUUUGUUCAAGCUCAGCUCAUUUAAUUUCGAGUCGAGCUCGAGCGAGCCAAAUAUCGAGUCGAACGCGAGUCGAACGCGAGCCGGCUCGCUCAUUUGCCAGCCCUAUUCUUAAUCAUGACUUUGUUAAGUUCACGAUAGUCCACACACAAGCGAAGUGAUCCAUUACUUUUCUUGACGAACAGGACUGGUGCUCCCCAAGGUGACACACUCGGUCGCACGAAACCCUUGUCUAGAAGAUCUUGCAACUGUGCCUUCAGCUCCUUUAAUUCCGCCGGUGCCAUCCUAUAGGGCGCCUUUGAGAUUGGAGUAGUCCCGGGAACGAGAUCUACCACAAACUCAAUCUCCCUAUAAGGUGGCAUGCCUGGUAGCUCUGCUGGAAACACAUCUCCAAACUCCCGCACUACGGGGAUAUCCUCGAUCCUAGGGGCGUCCGCAUCACCCCGCGAUACCACAGUAGCCAAGUAGGCCACGCAGCCUCUACUAAUCAACUGCCUAACUCGAGAGGAGCUAAUCGUCAUCGCAAACAGCGAACUUUGGCAUCCUCGGUACACAACCUCCGCCUGCCCUGGCUCUCUAAACGUCACUGUUCGAUUCUUGCAAUCGAUAGUGGCGAAGUACUUGGUCAACCAAUCCAUGCCCAAAACAACAUCAAACUCCCCGAGUUUAUGCAAAUGUAGCAAAUCCACGGGUAUGAUCCAAUCUCCGACCCGAACAGGGCUACUGGGGCAAAACUUCCGAAUAUCCAAAGAGUGAUCGGGUAUAAUGACUCAUCCCGGAUGCAACAAAGAUGUCAGUGGGAUGCCAUGCAACUCGGCAAAUAGCCAGUCCAUGAAUAAAUGCGAUGCACCGGUAUCAAAUAAUGCUCGAACUCGAAUACCAGAAAGUAAAAUAAUACCUGCAACCACAUUCUCGGCCGCUGCCGCCUCCUCAGUCUGGGCCGCAUACAUGCGCCCGCUCGGGGUCUGUCGUGACCCCUCCGCCUGCCGCUGAACUGGUGGCCGACCGGCCUGAUGAUGCACAGAAAGCGUCCCCUGACUGGGACCUGGUGAAGCUGGUGCAGAUGCCGAUGAUGGCGCUAGCGCUGAACCCCUCGGGCAGUCCGACUGGAAAUGGCCCUCCUGGCCACACAGAUAGCACCUGCCAAGACUACGCGUACACUGCCGUGGAACAUGAGGACCACCGCAGAUCACACAGCGCGGGGCCUGGCGACGAUCAGGUCCUCCUCGCUGAGUAGACAAGCCACGCCCUCGCGACUGGCUUCGACUCCUAGGAUGCCUCGGCGGCCUCCGUGAGUACGUCUGCCUUGCACCCUCAACCGCUGGCCUCUUGCUCUUCUCUUUCUCCAUGACCUCGCGACGCUCCUGAAGCUCCACCGCGCCACUCUCCACGAUUAGCGCGCGGUUCACCACAUCUCUGAAGGUCUGAAGGUUGGAGGACUGCACUAACCAGAAAAUCGAAGGCCGUAGUCCUCGCUCGAAAAUGCGGAGCUUGUCCUCGUCAUCCCGUACCACAAAAGGUACACAGUGGAGUAGCCGAGAAAACUCCCUCUCGUACUCGGCCACCGUCCGGUCUCCCAGUCGCAUACUACGCAAAUCUUGCUCUAACUUUCUCUUGACGUUGUCAGGGAAAUAGUGCUCCAGAAGAAGCUCCUUAAACUCCCCCCAAGUGAUCGCUGCAAGGUCGGUGUUGGGGUUUUCUUGAAUGUCCAACCACUAACUAUAGGCCUCGCCGUCCAGAUGAUGUGUGGCGAGCCAAACUCUGUCCCUCUCCUCUACGAACGUAUCUCAAAACAGCUUCUCCAUGUGCAUAAGCCAUUUCUCCACGAUCCAAUGGUCCACGUUCUCCCUAUCGAAGGUCUGCGGACUACACUUCCUGAACUCGCUGAGGUGCUCCAUGAGUCGAUCUCCCUCGGCUCCCUCGACCAUCACGGGGAAAACUGCCCCCGCUGCAGGCACCAGAGCUGGUGGUGCCACAAACUCCUCCCUCUGAGGCGCAACAACCGGAGACGUCCUCAAGGUACCGGGCUUCGGGGACAGCGCCCUUGGGGUCUCGACCAUUGCCGGUGCGGGUGGGGGUGUGGGCACCUGUGCCUCCCUGGCAGCCGCCUGCUGCAUGAGCAACUCCUCCAGGCGCUCCAUCCGCGCCUCCUGUCGAAGCGCUGUGUCCGCCUGCUGCUGAGCCGCCGCCGCCUGUUGUGCGACCAAGUCAGUGAGGGCCGCCAGCUAGCUCCUCAACUCACGGACCUCGCCGGAUCCGGAGGUAGCAGAGGUCUCCACCUCCUCAAAGUUCGCCGCAUUAUCCGCUCCAACAGACUUAGAGCGUGUCGUCAGCAUUAUCACUACAACAUCAUGAAAACGCAAGUUAGAAACACUUACGUUAACGCAACCCCGCUCAACAACAAAUUUCCAAAUCAUGCGAAAGUAAGGGAGUGUCCUUUACUACUAACUCCUGAUGUUACGUUGUCGGCCGCCAACGUAACCCUCUGCGAAGUUAGAAGCCAAACACUCCAAUUAAACUCUAGCUUUUUAGAGUUAUCAUAAUACCCAAUUAUGAUACUUUCGCUCACAAGUCGAAUAGACCUCGUCUCUCACGAGCCUAUUUUCUAUAGUCCAACCGGCUUAAGGUUUGCUAGGUCCACUAAGACUCAACCCUAGGCUCUGAUACCAAAUUAAUCUGUCACGCCCCGGGACCGGCGGAGGCCUUCCCAGUAGCGCGCCCAGACCCGCCAUAUGUCUACACAUAUAAGGCAUCUACAACAACAGCGAAAAAUAAAACCAAAGAUAAUUUAUGACUAGAGAUAUCAUAGCAAGAAUACAUCUAUCAUCUAAGAGAGUAAAGAGAACAUAACUAAAUAAAGGUAAAACAUAAAGGUAUACAAUAACCAUCUCCAAAAAGAUACAAAAGGGGUGGUCUCUAUACAUAGGUACAACUCUCAACCUCUUCAAAAAGAAAACCAACGAGAGGUAGACCACCUAUCGACGUAUCCUCGACAGAAGCUAGCUCGAGGCGAUACCCUUUCCGCGGUCCCUAGCCUCUCCCGACAUGGAAGGCUUUGAAAGAAACAUAAAACAGAGGGCGUGAGAACUAUAAUUUAUAGUUCCCAGUGGGCAAUUACUGACCUUAGCUAAAUGCACCAUUAGGCCCCAAAGGAAAAAGAGUAAGAGAUAAAGCGACAAUAAUAAUAAUGAUCACAGUAACUGCAGAAAUGAAAGCAUUUAAGUUUGCUAAAUUACUAUUCCAUAAACCAUGAAUAAUAUAUGAAUCGUUCAUGUGUUCCAACAAGAGGUAGUGUGUCCAAUGCAUGGCUACUAUGUCCCAACAUGGCAACAAGUAAGUAUCACGAUCCGUUCUAUCAAUAUAUGACGAGUAUGCUCUAUCAUGGCAACCAAGUAUACUAUGAUGCAACAAGUAAAUCGUCAAGUGUACUACAUGUCUCAACACUAUGCUAUAAGCAUUUCAAUGUAGUCCAACUACUAAGCCUAUCUAAUAGUCAUUGUCAAUUCCCGGUUUGUGCCGCCUAAGUGCCUGUGGUAGCCCAACAUUCCUGCUCUAGGAAUGAGUCUGUCCCACCCGACCCCGUAGGCUUCUCAAUACCGCACAAGCGAUCAUAAGUCAUGUAGGCCAACUUCGGAGUGCCGGCUUGUAGGGAGCGACCGUCAUAAGCAUGUGCGAAUGAGCACAAAUGGCAAACAAGCGUAGUCAAAAACUCAAGUAUCCAAUCAUCAUGUCUCUAACAUGGUAUAAGCCACUAGUAACCCGAUGGUCUAGUUCUAUGUCUCAAUGUGAAAUUCCAACUUUCACUAAGUCUAGUACCCCUUUAUGACACUCAAGCUUGUUAUAAGUUAAGUCCAUUUUGUGUUCUAUGUGCCAAUUAUGACAUUAAUACAAGGUUCUCAUAUGACCCGAGCUCAAUGCCGCUUAAUGACAUUAGCUCAAUCCCUCUCAAGUGGGACAAGUACUCAAGCCUCUAAAGGCUUACUAAGAAUCCCUCAUGUCUCAAUUAAGUAUAGGUUCAAAUGCAUAAAACAAUGCUCAUUUUCUUGUAAUAGAUAUGGUUCCAAGUCCAAUACAAGUAAGCCAAAUGCUAGUGCAAGCUUCACAUGCAACUCUCUACUAUAUAGAGUCCCGAAAACUCAUUAUACAUGACAUAGGGAUGUUAGGCAUUCUAAAAUUCACAAUAAAUACGUUUAGCAUGAAAAUGCAUGAAUUUUCACUUUACGAAACAUAAAUCACCAAAUAUGAGAUUUGCUCAUAUUAUAGGCUAGGUCAAACCCACCAAACCGUCUUGAAACCCUUUGUAAGCUCAAAAGAAGUUGUCCACAAGUCUUCUAGCACCCUAAAGGUAACAAAAGAAGAGACAAACGGACGUUACGAACAAACCUAGGCUCAAACUUUAAAGAUCUUAAGAAAAGGGCCACAACUCACCUCUAAAGUAAAAAUCUCUUCUCAAGCUCCAAAAGAGAGCUAGAACCCUUCCAAUCCAAGCUAAAGGAAGGUUCUAAUCCAAGAGAUUGAGCUCCAAAAGCCCUAGAUCCAAAAUGCCCAAAAACAACCCUAACAUCUCAUUCUAGGGUUUCAUCUCAAAGAAACCAUCAAAUCUUGAAAUCUUGAGGAAAGAACAAAUUGCUUUCCUCUUAGAAGCUUCAUUCCCAGCAUAAAACCCUCUAGGUUCUAAGAUCUUCCCCCAAACAAGCUCCAAGUCCAAGCUUUAAGCUUCAACCAUGGUGGAAAUGCACUAAAAGGGAAAAAGAGAAGAAUUAAUCUACCAAAAUCCAAGCAAAAAGGGAUAUAAAUCCAACAAGGGAAAGAGAGGGGGGUCCCUUACCUUGAUCUCCACCUUUCUCAGCUCAGGGAAGGCUCAAGGGGCAUGGGUGGUAUUAUAGAAAAGCCACAAUCGCAAAAACACCCCUGCAGUUCAAACUGCUCAAAAACUGCCAAACCCGUGUACCGGUACACACCCCACGAGAAUGCCAACCCGAGCCUCAGGUUGGCUAAAAAACGCAUCUGUACCGGUAUGACAUUGAGGCUGUACCGGUACAAAAUAUGUUUCGGUACAACCAUCAAGAUUGUACUAGUACACAAUCCUGCAGAGGCAAUCCGAGAGUAGACCAAAAAUCCGACUUUUCGGGUUUUGGUGCAAAGCUCAAAGCUCCAAUUCUCGGGAUGCGAGCCACAGGUCGGAACACUAUCUACGACCCUCCAAAAACUGUGGAACAGUUCAGAACACAACCAAUCACUCGAACCUCGCAUUUGCAAAGGUCCAGUGUGUUACAUUCACCCCUCCUAAAGAGGAGUUUCGUCCGCGAAACUCAAAAAAAGUAAAGUACCUCAAGCCUCCAUCUUAAAAAGAACCUUAAUAACGAGUGGCAUCUAGUUAAAUGUAAACACAAGAACGAGUGGCAUAUAAGAACCUUAGUGUAGUUGAAACACUAGGAUGCUUAGUAUAGAAAUACAUUGAUUCCAUGAUGAUGACAACCCUAGUUGGUAGGGUAUCCUCAGUUGACGAGGAUUGGAUCGUGCUCGCGUAGCCUGUUAUAUGCUUGUCGUGGUCGCUCCACACAAGCUGUGCACUCCGGAGGUAUGGUCACACAUGAGGGCAGUAGCUAGCUGUCCGCAGGCGGUCUCGGGUGAGUCGAGCGGCUGGGACUCCUCACCUAUGAGAUUGAGACGUGAGAUUGAGAGCGAGCCUUCGGGCUAGCCGAGUAAUUGGGUGAUCUAAUGGAUAGCAUCAUUGUUGGACAUAGUAGCAUGGUAGCUAGCCUUUUACUAUGUAGUGCAUGCAUUCAUUACACGGGAUUGAGGCAUAGUAGGAUACUUGCAUUUCCACUUGCUAUAUCAUUGUUGUUGUUUUCAUUUCCACAUAUCUAUCUAUCUAUCUAUCUGUCUUCCUACGCCUGCUUAGACCUAGUGGGGAGAUCGGCGGAGUCGGCGGCCGAACCCACUGGGAACUAUGGACAAUAGUUCUCACCUCACUCUAUUGCAGGGCCGAGCUUGAGUACCCCCGGCGAGGAUCGUGGCAAGGUCCUUGCGCCCUAGUGUUGGUAGAUGCUUCCUAUUGCAUUAGUAGUCACCCUAUAUGCUUGAGAGUAGAUGAUGUAUAGGUGUGAGAUAGUUUGGAAGAUUGUAAACUUUAUGUUUAUGUUUUGAAAGAAUGUAAAGUUAAUCAAGUGUAUUAAAGUUGAAUGGAUGUAAAAGAUUAGUAUAUCUCUUUUGUUCACUUGUUUAUUACUUGUGAUGCUUGCUCUUGAUUGUUUAGCACUGGUUGUGCUCUCGCUAUUGUUGUUGAUUGUGUAUGUAUUUCAAGUUGUUUUUCCUCGGCACUUGUUGUACACAAUCUUGAUGCUUAGCCUUCGGCGGACAGAAGAGGUACUUCCGUUCAGCGUCUGUUCGACGCACCCGAACCGGACCAAAUUGGUAGCACUGGUUGUGCUCUCGCUAUUGUUGUUGAUUGUGUAUGUAUUUCAAGUUGUUUUUUCUGGGCACUUGUUGUACACAAUCUUGAUGCUUAGCCUUGGGCAGACAGGGGAGGUACUGUCCGUUCGGCGUCUGUUCGACGCACCCAAACCGGACCAAAUUGGUAGCGGUCUCGGGGCGUGACAGUACAAGUUCUUCUUGGGUUAAGAUAAUUUCUACCUCUUUUUCCUUUGAUUUUUAGUGAUUUUCGUCGUAAGCUUUUUAGAAGCUUGUAACCCCUUAAAAAUUUUUCUUAGGGCAUGGAAAGUUUAGGGGGCAACUUCGUCGGAGAAACGAUUGAGGUUUCGGAGGUUAUCCGGUGGGUUUGACGUCACCGAAAUGGGUGAACUCCCCCUACAUCUCCUAUCUUGUUAUAGGAUUUAAUAGAUGUAUAUUCAUGACAUUCAUGAUGUUGUGGAAUUUUUGGAUGCAUGACAUAUUCAUGUUAUUUAUGAAACUUUGCAUAUUCUAUGCAAAAAGGGAGAUUUUUGACAUACUCUAUGUAGUAGAGUAGCAUGAUAUACUCUAUGUAGAGGAGGUAUACUUGAUAUACUCUAUGUGCUAGAGCAUACUAUAUCAUAUGUUGUAUUAGAUUCCUCCUAUGUAAACAUAGGAAUGUGUGUUAGAGAUGAAUUCUAAGGUCAUAUGAGACUCUAGAUGGAUAGUGAAAUUCUUGGAUUCGAAAUUGCAUAGCAAUUAAUAUAUUUGCUAUAGAUAAAGGUAAACAUGACGUAUUGCAUGAUAAGAUGUGGAGCUAAGAAUAUUGCAUUUAGUUUAAAUGGACAAGUAAGUUGACAUUAUGAUAUUGUACUCGACUGUUGAGUCGAUAAAUAAAAUUUCAUUUUUUAGACACGAUGACAAGUUUUCUAUGCAUUCGAUUAAAUAAAUGACUAAAGUAUAUGCUUGCAUAGUUAAAUAAAAGUUAAUUAUUUGCAUGACAAUUUCAUACUCCAUGUAGUGGAGGCCUAUGUAGUAAGACAUAUGCAUGACAUGUACUAUGAUCUUGUGGACACCCUUGGAGGAUCAUUGAACAUGACAUUAGUAAGUUAUCCUUUUCAUAGUGGAUAGUGAAAAUGGUACAUGUGGGUAUAUGGGUGUAGCCCGUUAGAUUCAUGAAUGAGAUGUAAACUUUUUGCAUGCUUGAGUUAGGACACAUAUUGGUAGGGACAUGCCACCAAAUAAAUUGAGAACAAAAUAUGACAUUUAUGUUAUAGUAUCCGACCUUGAGUCGAUGUUUGAGAUUCCAUGGUUUAGACAUGAUGAUUGAGGCCGAUUGCCUUGGACAUGACGCCUAUGAUCACGCUUGCUUACCAUUGUGCUCAUUUGCACAAGCUUGUGAGCGUCACUCCCUACACUCCGGCACUCCGGAGUUACCCUUUGCGACAACAUACUCGCCCCUGCGGGAUUGGGCGCCGAAGUGGAUUGCCGUGGGGGAGGCUCAUUCCUAGCGGGGGAAUGUUGAGUACCACGGGGCCAUUAGGCACGGCACAAGCCGACACAUUACCAUGUGUAAGUCUCUCGUUAAUUAGGUAAAUGUAAUUGAACUUGACAUAAUACAUCAUAAUUAGUCGAUGCGCAUAAAGUAGCUAGUUAUACUAGUGGACUAUCACCUUGUGACGUUACUUGAUGUAUUCAUAAUAGUUGGCAUUUAUGUUAGUAAUUAUUGCAUGGACCAGCUUAGUGGUAGUAAAUCUAUACACAAAUGUUGAUUAGUUUGGAAGGAUAGCUAUAUGAGAAAAUGAAAGUAAAAUAUCUGUAUAUGUAAAUUUGCAUGUAGACUCGCAUAUCCUGUUACUUGUGCAUGUGACAGUAGAAAAUUGCAUACAUAUUAAAUGACAUCAUCAUGUAGAGACAUGACUAUAAUGNUGCAUGUAGACUCGCAUAUCCUGUUACUUGUGCAUGUGACAGUAGAAAAUUGCAUACAUAUUAAAUGACAUCAUCAUGUAGAGACAUGACUAUAAUGGAAUGUUCAAUUUAUUGUUAACUGCAUGCUUGAUACUUAAUGCAUAUUAUCAUGUCUCAGUUGACCUAAUGGUGUAUCUCGCCACUCUCGGCUGCUUACCCACUGGGAACUAUUGUAGUGUACCGAAUUUUUAAUAUAGAAGUAACUAUAAAUAAAAAUAGUGUGAGAUACUAUUUUUAUUGGACUUAAAAAAGUAAAAAAUAAGUCAGAAACGACUUGUGCUGAAAUCAGAACGGAAACAGAAGAUUAGAAUUUUCUGUAAAGAACGGGGCUGAUAUUUUAGCAGAAAAUGCACAAUGUUAGAAAAUUAUGAAAACUGAAGAAUAUGUCGAAAAUAUUUUUAUGAGGCUAGAUUUAAUAUUUCAUGUCAAUCCGACACCCAGAAGGUGAAAAAUAAAAUCCGACUGCUAUCUGCUAGAGAUUAUAGUUCGGUAGAAUUUUCGGCGACCAAACAUGGUCGAAACUGAAUGAUUAACAUUUUUUUUGUACUUAUUAAGUAAACCCGAGCCUGAUUGUCAAAUUUGAGCGCAAACGGACAUUCAGAAAAGCUCCGGCGAAAAACAUCAGUUUGUAGCAGCUAAACUACUAGAUGAAUAGUGCUUUUGGGAGGGGGGAGGAGUUUACUUGGAGGUGAAGUUUCCUAUAUAUAUGAGGGUGUUAUGUCAUUUUCCCUAAUUCCUCUCAACUUGAGCCAACAUAAGAGAAAUCCCUUUCUCUCUCUAAACAUCUUUCUCUCUCUCUCUCUCUAAGAUUGGCUCCAAAGGGUGGAGUUUGGUAGAGAAGAGCUUACUUGGAGGUGAAGCAAUCUUCUUCUUCACCAUUAGCUUGAGGAGAAGCUUGAGUUAGAGGUAAGCUUUGAGAGUAUUGUGGAUUUUGAGGGUUUAUGGUUAGGAUUUUAUAUAAAUCCCUUAUAAAUGAGUUUAAUUGGAAUUCUAGUUUAUUCUAAACCAUAUUAUUGCAUAAUCUAUCAUGAGAUUUAGAUUUUAUGCAAUAUAAGGAUUUUUAGAGUUUCAAAAGAGGGCUUUUGAUCAUGAGAGGUUUUGAUCUCAAUUGAUCAUAUGUUCUGCAAUUGAAGGUAAAACCGACGCGGAGGAUCACUCGGAUUGAGAUUCCGUUGAGCCGGUGGUGGUCAAAGUGAAGAAAAUCUUGUUUUUGCUUCGUUUGCCGCAGUCGGAAGAAAUCGACGGCCAUAAAUCGUGCUGCUAGGCUACCCACUUCGUGUCGACGCCAUGAGGUGGGGGGUGCUAUCCGAAUUAGCUGAGUUUCAUUCUAUGUCUAAGUUCUACUAUUAUUGAUCAUAUAUCAUCAUGUAUAGAAUAGUGAGAAUCCUAUGAGUUGUGGUAAUUUCAUGCUUAGUGUGAGGGAUGAUGAUCCAUGAUUGCAUGAUACUUGUAGGAAUAUCUAUUUGCAUGAUGUUGAGAUGGAUGUGGACAUGUAUGUUGCAUGAGAACUUUUAUAUGAUGCCAAUAUAGAUAUUUAUACAUGUUGUAUGAGUUGCUAGUGGACAUAUGCAUGUGGAUAUGAUGUGAGAAUAGACUAGAUUCAUGAGGAACUAGUAUGUGAACCAAUGACAUUGUGAGAAUUGGAAACCAUUGCAUAUGGAAACCAUUGCAUAUGUGGCCGACUUGAGCAUAGCAUGCCUUGUGAUGGAUAGGGAUGUGGUAUUCCCGCGGUCCUCGGGUGGGGGGGACUUAAUCAUACUCGCAUUGUCUGUUAUAGCUUGUGGAUGGUCGCGCCUCCCAAGCAGUGAGCUUGGAGUUGUAUCACAGUGAGAUUGAGACGGGGGAGAGAGUCACCGACGGUGCCCCGGUAGACGGUCACGGUCGCGUGGCAGUAUGUGUGGCGAGUGAUUCGACCUUCAGGCGAAUCGUUUGGAUUUGACACAAGGCAUGAUCAUGGCAUUUCAUAUAUAGUUGCAUACAUGGUAGAACUUAAACUUAUACUUUUUGACAUUUGGUAAAGGCAUAGCUACACAUUUGAGCAUGAUAUAGAUGUGGAUGAGCAAGGUAGGCUUAUUGUAUAUCUAUUAUUCCUUUGACAUGUUGACCUCUUAUUGUUCUAUGCCUUUCUUAGACCUAGUGGAAAAAUCGGCGGGGACGGUGGCCGAACCCACUGGGAACUAUGGAUAAUAAUUCUCACACCCUGUUUUGCAGAGCCUAGUACGAGCGCGUUGUGUCGAGGAUCCGGCAAGGAGUCGCGGCCCUAGAUAGAGGGACCACGGGUAGCUCACUACCUCGAGUAUAAAAAGAAAGAAUGAUAUGUAAAACCCUUUUGUGAGAAAUGAGAUAUAUAUGAGAGAUGGCAUUUUGGUUGUAUGUAUGAGAAGUAUAAGUGAAAUAUGUAAUGGUUCAUGUGUCGUGAACAAGUGAUGUAAUAGAUAGUUUAAAUUCUCUUGUAUCUGUGAUUGCCUCUCUCAAUGUUGAAUGCUAACAUCUCUUGUUAGAUAUGUAUGCAUAGACUUUGUUACGCUUCGGGCGGACAGGGGAAACUCUGCCCGUUCGGCGGAUCUGUUUCGGGCCCGAACUGUCCAAAUUGGCGGUGUCGGGUCGUGACAACUAUUGUUUAAUAGUUCUCACCCCCAUUUGUUGUUUGUUUUUUUAUUUCAGAGCCUUCCACAGCGGGAGAGGCUAGAGAUAGUGGCAAGGGGUCAUCGAUUAGUUAGAGCCUCCUCGGUGUUAUUAUAGUCGGACCCAUAGAUACUUUUCUUUUGGUUUAGUUGAAUGAUGUAUAUUUGUAGUUUAUUCGAGAUUUCAUAAUUUUCAAGAUGUACCAUUUGUUCGACUUGUUGUAUAUCUUGCACCUUAUAUUUGUAGUAGAAUUAUUUUCUCACUCUGAUUACCAUGUUUAUGAUUGAUUCCUAUUUCUUUUUAUGGUUGUUGUAGACGCCUUGUGUGCACCAGGAGUGUUUGGUGUACACGGCAGAUCUAUGCACGCGCCCGGUGGGCUUCCGCUGCAGCCCGUGGCGUGACAAGUGUCGAGUGAUUUUUUGUGCUCUUCUAUCUUUUGGGCUUUCUAGGAUCAGUUUAAGUUUAAUGGUAUUACAUGUAUUGACUUUCAACUUAUUUUUAGGGUUGCAAAUAAUGGAUUUAAAUAUUUGCUGGCAUCUUACAUGACCUUAUGCUCAUAUAUCACGAACAAGUAUGAAUCGAAUAACAAAAACUUUUCUUAUGCAUUUACUUUAUGUUUCUAUAAUUUGUGAAGGCAGUUAGCACAGUAUGGUUGAUUCUGGGCAUGCUUUUGAAGUGUUCUAUUGGUGAGGGAAAAGAUUCACACCACUUGCCCCCUCUGUAACAUUCUAUAAUUGUGUUGUUAGUUUCUUAAUUAUCAAAUUUUUUUAAAGUUGUAAUUCUAAGCAGUUAUUAAUUUAUUAACAUAUGCUAAGGCUUUCUACAUUAUGGUGUGCAGAAUUUGAUAAUGAAAAAAAUUAAAAAGCUUCCAAACUCUAUUGAACACAACGAUAAAGGACAUCUCGCUUGGGAAGAUGAUAUAUAUAUACUCCUAAGUAAUUGGGGAGGAGAGGCAUGGACAAGUGCGUGGAUUGGGACUUGGUCCGAUGCCUACUAGCUUGUGGUCUCAUGGUUCUUUAUAUCAAUCAGCUUCAAAGGAUUUUGAGAAAAUAAAGAAGCUAGAGAAAUAAAUUAAACUGAUGGAGCAACAUCAUGCGAAGGAGAUGAAGAUUAUGAAAGAAAAUCAAGCAUAUUUAGAGGUUGAAGUUGCAAUGAUAAGGUCAAUCAUAAGUAGAAGAUUUUCUGAAGAGACGAUAUCUUGUUGUUCUCGAUCCCAAUGAAAGAUAAGAGAGUUUUACUUAUCAAAGUUUUUUGUUCCUUCUCCUCUUUAAUAGUGUUAUAUGCUUGUAGACCAUUUUUGAGCUACUAAAUUACUUAGUUAGCAUAAUGUGCUUGAUAAUACUUGAAGCAAAUUAUUUUAAAUCAUUAAAAUACUUUCUUGUUAUCAUAACCAUUUAUUUUUUAUUCUCAUGAUGUUCAUGAAAUAGGUUUCUGAUGCUUCUAGUUCUUAUCAUGAUAUGGGUGUACAAAUUACUCAUUGUUCUAGUUCUUUACAUACAACUUGAUUUGCCUAUUAAGGUAAUGUUUUUAACAACUUCUAUUUAGAUUUUUUUUAAAUUUGAAUCAAUUUCUAUUUCAGCUUCUCGAAGAUAGUUUUGAUGAGGAUGUUGAUCUUAGGGUUAGUUUAAUCUCAAUUUUUGGGUUUAUUUGGUGACAUUUUUUAGCUAGAUAUCAUCUUCGAACUCUAACUGGUAGUUCUAAACAUUUCACCCUUCGGACUCCAACUAGUAGCUCUAGACAUUUCAUCCGCCAACCAUAUAACUUCUGUUUUUCGAAUAGAAAAGUUGUUCUAGAAUUCGAAGCUAAAUAAGCACUUACCUUACUUAGCCCUAUAUCUUUGAAGGAAUUUGUUGUUGGUUUGUAAAUUAGGAUUAAUGUUAUGUUGUUGCCUCGUAGGAUUUGCACGAGAUAUUGACCAAGCUGAGAGACGAACAACACUAUUGCCUUUAUUCUAGAUGCCAGGUAAGUAGAAUGCUUCAAAAUGUUUUUAGCUUCCAUAGAAUAAUUUUUCCUUAUAAUUAUGUUUAUUUUUUUGGUAAAUAAGUUUCAUAUAUGGUCAUUUNAGUAGAAUGCUUCAAAAUGUUUUUAGCUUCCAUAGAAUAAUUUUUCCUUAUAAUUAUGUUUAUUUUUUUGGUAAAUAAGUUUCAUAUAUGGUCAUUUCAAUUUUCCAAUCUUUCUACUAGCUGUCAAUCUUAUUUUUGACUUCAAUUUGGUAAUUCUUAUCAAUAGAUGAUUUGCGAGAACCUCUUAAGUUUAGUCCUACCAAUCUAAUCCUCAAACAUGUAACUUAUAAUUCCUAAGAGUUAAAUUCUAGGAAUUUACCUUUUUCCUAGGGUGUUUGAUACCUAAUCCAAAUACUACUGUAAGUACAGAGCUUAGCAUUGGGAUAUUUUGGAUAGAGCACAGUUUUGGGUGAGAAUUCCUUCAUUCCUAAAUUUGUUUCUAUAUCUUCUCCUCUAUUCUUCUACCAACCACUUUCUAAAAGUACACUAGAGUUUUUUUUUUCCCUUUGCUGAAAGUUUGUGAUAUCAAGAUUCAAACUUCCUUUCGAGCACCCAAAGUUCUAUUCCAAGUGAUCGAAGUUUUGUUACGGGUGUCCGAAAAGUCUACAACGCAGGUUCCACUUCAUUCGGAACUACAUUUUUAGAUGGUCAUACUAUUGGAUUUCCCAUCAUUCAAAAUAAGUUGAAAGCAUAGAGGCCUCCGUACUUUUGAAAGCACUGUAGCCUUACGCGCGCUCUCUCUCUCUGUAAUAUACCGAAUUUUAAUAUAAAGGUAAGUAUAAAUAAAAAUAGUAUGAGAUAUUAUUUUUAUUUGAUUUAAAGAAGUAAAAUAUGAGUCGGAAGUGACUUGUGCUGAAAUCGGAAUAAAAACAGAAGAUUUAAAAUUUUCUAUAAAGAACGGGGCUGAUAUUUUAGCAGAAAAUGCACAGUGUCAGAAAUUAUGAAAAUUGGAGAAUAUAUCAGAAUUAUUUUUAUGAGACUAGAUUUAAAGUUUCAUGUCAUUCCGACACCCGAAAAGUGAAAAUAAAAUCUGACUGCUAUUUGCUAGAGAUUUUAGUUCGGUAGAGCUUUCGGUGACAAAAAAUGGUCGAAACUGAGAAGUUAAGAUAUUGUUUUUCUUGUUAAGUUAAACCGAGCCUGACUGUCAAAUUUGAGUGCAAACUGACAUUCAGAAAGGCUCCGGCGAAAAAUAUCAGAUUCUGAAAGCUAAACUGAAAGUGAAUAGUGUAUGUUUGGGGGACCUAUAUAUAAACCCACACUCCUCCCUUGUCUUGUCCAGCACGAAAGAGAUGAGAGGAGAGCUCUCUUUCUCUCUUUCUCUCUAGCUUUCAUCUCUCUUUCCCUCUCUUAUAAUCUCUCCACUAAAGAGAGGAAAUGGAGGAGAAUAGUGAAGAAGGUUGCUUGGAGGUGAAGUCUUCAUCCUCUUUAUUACUUGGCUUGAGGAAAAGCUUGUGUUUGAGGUAAGCUUCAUGAACCCUAAUGGUGAAUGGUUAGGGUUUGGUUUAAUUACUCUAGAAUUGGUCUAGAUGGAAAUCCUAGAUGAUGUUAGGUUGCUAUUUGUUUGAAUCAUGAGUUUAUAUAGUGUAUUCUUGCAGUAGUGACUUCUAGGAUUUUGAAAGAGGGCUUUUGAUCAUAGUUGAGUUUGAUUUAAAUUGAGCCUAUAAAACUCUAAUUGAAGGUAAAGUUAACAACGUGGGUGACUCAAAUCGAAGUUCCUAUGAUCGUGCGACGAGUAAUUGAAGAAAAGGACUAUUUUGGCUUAGUUUUCGCCUGGAGGGCCAAGGCAACGUCCAAAAAUCACGAAUAAUGUUCUAGUAGUGUCUAGAGUAUUUCUAGUAUGUUUCUUCAGGAGAUUUGGGUUUAUUUGGAGGUUUUCUUAUGCUAGGGCUAGGAUAGAGGUUUUGGGCAAAUGUGGGUUUUGAUCUAAUUAAACCCAAUUUUUCUCUAAUUGAAGGUUAGAGAAAGGCCCUUGAUGACCCUAGGUUACGGAUUGACGGAUGUUCGGCGAUUAUUUGCGAGUUCGAGCUGAACCGAACCAUGAGUGCCGCAGGAGACCAAUUGCAAGUGACUACAAGCAAUCGGAACCCGUUAAGGGGUGGGUUCUGCUUACCGAAAUGUUUAGCUCACUUCUAUGUCGAAGUGGAUCAUUAUGUAUUAUUGACGCAUAUAAUGGUAGCUACUUGUAAAACAUAUGAAUGCAUGAGGUGAAUGCUAUGUUAUCUACCAUUGAAUGCUAGAUGAAUGCAUGUGAUUGAUGCGAGUUGAAUGCAUAAGGUAAAUGGCAUAUGAAUGUUAACAUUAUAAGAAUAUACUAGAUGGUUGAUAAAUGUUGACAUUGUGAGGAAAUGCUAGAGGUAACAUGUAAGGAAGUGAAUUCUCAAAAUCCGAGAGUUGUACUUCAUCCAGGAUCGACUAAUUGUCAAGCGAAUAUCCUUCGGGAAAGCUAAAGUUAUCCAAAACAUAAAAAGUGUAUUGGAGUUGAGUCCGCGAGAGCAUAUAGUGCAAAACCUAUACUGGGCUGAAGUUGCUCUCGGGGACUGGUCCCUGGCAGGGAGAGACCGGUCCCCGAGGCUGGUGGUUGCUGGGGAUUUUUGAUGCAACCGGUCCCUAGCUGAGAGGGACCAGUCCCCGUGUGCGACGCCAGCGAGAGAAGGCCAAGAUCGGCUAAGUCCUAAAAAUCGAGCUCUCGGGGAUCGGUCUCUCAGGCGAGGACCGGUCUCCCAGGGAGAGACCGGUUCCCGAACGCGAGAAGGGCCCCUGGCAGCAUGGGCUGCUCUCGGGGACCGGUCCCAAGUCGGGGAGACCGGUCCCUCCGCGCGAAUUCUGCCCAGUGAAGGCAGGUUGAGAGAUGAAAAGUUGAGGGGCUAAAAUGGAUUUUGUUACAAUAGAGGGGCUUAUGAGCCCACUCCCUCUCUCAUUCUCUCAUUCUCUCUCUUUCUUACACUCUCUCUUGCUCCCUCUCUCUCUCUAGAAAAGAAAGAACAAAAGAGAAGGAGAAGAAGGAAGAGAAAAAGAAGAAGGAGGAGAAGAAGAAGAAGAAGAAGAAGGAGGAGAUCAAGCUAGAGAAGGCUUGGAGCAUCUUCCUCUCUUCUCUCCUCUCCAUUGGUGUAGCUCAAGAGGUAAGCUACAAACCCUAACUUGUAGAACUUAGGGUUUUUGGGUUUUGAGCUUUGGAAAUAGGGUCAAAUGGACCCCUAGCACCAUUGUUGGUGGAUCAAAGUUAGAGUUAGGGUUUCAUGGUGCAAAUGGCAUGAUGCUAACCCUAGGGCACCCAAAAUGGGGUUUUUAGUAAAGUAUGAGAUUGAUCUCAUUUGAGGCCUUGUAAACCUAAUUGGUAGGUCACAAAACGCGGGGGCGAAGUCGAUUUCACGAUUCGACUAGUGGAUUGGAAGCUAUCGGCGAAAUACGGCCGAUUUAGCAUUGUCUCGGACCAAGGAAGGCUAAAACCUUUUCGUAAAGUUCGCCGAGGAACAUUUCUAAAGCCUCUACAUCGAUAGAAGGUGGGGGGUGCCAUCCGAAACUUUCGAACUCCUUUCUAUGUCUUAGAUUGCAUUUAAUCUCAUCUCUUACAUGUUGCAUUGUAGGAUUGCAUAGUAGUACCAUUCCUUAUGCUUUCUAAUUGAUAACCUAGUGUACUUGGAACGCUUGGUAACUUAGAUAGGUGAGGAUUAGGUCGGAACAUGGAUCCUAUGAUGCAAAAGAAGAGAGAGAACCCGAUGGGGGUGUUGAUGACAUAGAAAGUGGUGUUUAAUGUUAAAGAACAAACGAGUGGCAUCCAAAUGUUAAAGAAUAACGAGUGGCAUUAAUGUAGUGUAAAUGACACUAGAGAUUUGAGAACCUAGGGAUAGGUGAAUUCCUUAGAAAAUGCCUUGUGGAUAAAGAACUUAGUAAACCUAAGUACCUUCACAUGGAGAGGUUGUCGAUGAGUUAUUGAGAUAUUGACCCUAGUUGUAGGGCAUCCUCACUUGGAGAGGAUUUGAUUGGGUUGUUGACCCUAGUUGUCGAGCAUCCUCACUUGGAGAGGAUUCGAUUGGGUUGUUGAUCCUAGUUGUAGGGUAUCCUCACUUGGAGAGGAUAGAUCUAGCUCACAGUCUACUUUUGGGGUGGUAUAGCCAUCCAUAUCCCCACAUGGAGGGGAUUGUCGUCGAGUACUCCGGAGUGUCGGACGAUUAGGACCACUUGGAGGUCCGGAUCACAUGGAGGUCCGCAGAUGGUCCCGGGCUUGGGUGCACUUGGAGCUCCCUCCCCACUUUGGGAUUGAAAGGUGAGUUAUUGGCGAACCCAAAGGCUUCGUUACAGAUUGGGUAAAAGAAUAGUGAACAAUGUCAUUGAACAUUAUUAUUCGAAUAUGGAUCGAAUUCGUUAGCAUGAUAGUAAACAUUUACUAUAUGAUGCAUGCAUUCAUUACACAUGAUUAUGGGCAUAGUAGCAUAGUUUUCCUACUAUCGCAUUUACAGUUUUCAGAUAUCUAUCUAUCUAUCUAUCUGUUGUUGCUUGUGCCCACUUGGACCUAGUGGAGAGAUCGGCAGAGUCGGCGGCCGAGCCCACUGGGAACUAUGGAAGAUAGUUCUCACCCCACUCUAUUUCCAGUGGUAGGUACAGGGCUGCCGAGAGAGGACCGCGGCAAGGGCAUCGCGCCCGACCAGUGAGACCGUGGUAGUAUAGUAUCUUUCCUUUUUGCAUUAGUACACCUAUGUAUUGAGAGAGAUUCAUUGUAGGUGAGGAUUUGGAGAGCUAUGUAUUUUGGAUGAAAAAUGUAAUCAUUUAAAGAAAAUGAUGUAAAUGAAAAUGAUGAACUAUUGUAAUAGUUAGCAAAGUACUCUCUUUAUUUCACAUGUUAUUCCUGUGGAUUACUUGCUCUUGUAGUUGCUGGCACUAUUUGUGCCCCGUUGAAUGUGUAUGUUUAUAAUUUAAAUUCCUGAAAAAUUCUUGUACACAUUCUUGUUGUGAGCCUUGGGCGGACAGGGGAGGUGCUGUCCGUUCGGCGGUCCGCUCGCCGCGUCCGAAUCGUGCCAAAUUGGUAGUGAUUUCGGGGUGGGGCGUGACAUAACAUGCAUGUUAACAUAUUGUGGAUUAUGUUAGAUAAUGAUGCAUAAUGACAUAUGGUGGAUUAUGCUAGAUGAACUAUACAUGUUGAUAUGUUGCGGAUUAUGUUAAAUAACAUAUGCAUGUUGAACUUGAGGUUUAUAUAGUGACAUAACGAGUGGCAUGUAAAUAAUGUUGAUAACAUGACGAGUGGCAUGAAAACUUAGUGUAAAAGAAACACUUAUGACAUAGUGAAUUUAGGGAUAAGUGGAUUUCCCUAGCUAUCAUAUGUUGCAUGAGAGCUUAGUGUGGUCGAGACACUUGACAUGGAUAUUAGGAUAUGUGGAUUCCUGAGUGAUGGUUAACUUUAGUUGACAAGGUAUCCUCAGUUGGCGAGGAUUGAAUCAUAUUCACAUAGUCUGUUUGAGCUUGGGGUGGUUGCUCCACACAAGCAAUGCACUCUGGAGUUGUCACACGAGCGGGGUAGCUCCUUACCGGGUGGGAUAAGAGCGGGGUAGCUCCUCACCUAUGAGAUUUGAGAUGUGAGUCGGGGCGAAGAGCGGGGUAGCUCCUCCCCUGUGGGGUUUGAGAUCUGAGUCAGGGCGUAACCUUCGGGUUAGCCAGUGAGAUUGGGUGACAAGCAUAGGAUACUGGGUGGAUUUGGCAUCCCAGUUGAGUGGAUUUAAGGCUGAAGUGCAAGUGAGAUGUCCUUUGCCUCGAGCCUGACUUUGCACGGUAUUCCGCGGAUGAUUGACUCAAGACCAAGUCGGGUAGAUAGUAUUGUAAAGGUAGAUAAAACCUUAUGAACAGAAUUGUCAAGGACAUGAAUUUAAGAUAGAGGAAACCUUAGAUGUCAAUUGAAUGAGCUGUGGAUAGUAGGAUUGAAAGUAGUAUCAAUUGAUCUACUAGUUGGUUGCAUAGUUGCAUAAAUUGCAUGAUUUGCAUCGUUGCAUGUUGCGAGGCAUGAACAUGAUGAUUGUUAGUUGCAUAUAUAUAUAUAUAUAUAUAUAUAUAUAUAUAUAUAUAGAAUUAGGCCGGAAUAGUAGCCCAGUCCAACUCUCUCUCUCUCUCUCUCUCUCUCUCUCUCUCUCUAUAUAUAUAUAUAUAUAUAUAUAUAUCUGUGGAUAUUUGUUGGACUAACAUGUUUGCAGUGCCUCCUUCGGAUCUGGUGGGUCGAGCUUUUCCCUUGGGUAGCCGUACCAACUAGAAACUAUGGACAAUAGUUCUCACCCCUCGUGUUGUUUUGGAGGUUACAAGUUCACAGGCGAGCGACGCGGCGGCGUGAGGAAAUGACGUAGCUCCGUAGAUAGCGCCCUACCACCGAGACCAGAGAUAGUGGUACCUUGAGUCGGCCUAACUUAGGGAUGAAAAAGAAAGCAAAGAAUCAAAUUUUGUAGUCAAUGAUUGCAUUUGGGAGUUGAAUGUAUAACAAGUUGUAACUUGUAAAUGCUUGUGAGUUGAAUGCUUGUAAUAGAUAGACUCUUUCUCUUGCUAGCUUGUAAUUAUUACUCGCUUGGAUCAUGUAUGUUGUUGAUGUUAUUCUUGGGUAACUAGAUGUACAUGAUGAUCUUGUUGUGCCUUGGGCGGAUAGGGGAGACUCUGUCCGUUCGACGCCUGUUGCCGAGCCCAAACCGACCAAAUAGGCGGUUCUGGGCUCUCACACUCUCUCUCUCUCUUUCUAUACACACACACACACACACACAUAUACAUGUAUAUGGAAUUAGGCUACUAACUACUAAUAUCAAAAAAUCAUUGGUGCUAUUAGGCUUUUGGUUUUUGAAGAUGAAGGGAUGUGCGGUUAGAACGAUAAUGGUCCUUUAGGGUUGAGGAUGAUUGUUUGAAUAGUAUGAUCUAACAGGUAAAAAUGAUUAAAGAGGUAGAUCUAAUAGCGAAAAACUCGAUAGUAACCGAACUCCAUGUAUAUGUAUGUGUAUGCAUAUAUACAUGUGUGUGUGUGUGUGUGUGUGUGUAUAUAUAUAUAUAAAAGCACGUAUUUCAAAUUUGGGUCUGUCGACAGACCCAUUUUUUGGCGGAAAAAAAAAUAUUGUUUCCUUUUUCCUUACGUGAAAUAAAUAACGUAAUGAAACAAUCUUUUAAUUUCUAUCUAUCUCUAAAAUAGAAAAAAAAAUACACUUAUCCAAAUUUUUGCCAACCGAAAGAUAUUUACUGUGAAUCUAUAUUUUUAUUAAAAUUUUAUUUAAUUUUUUUAUCUCUAAAAUAGAAAAAAAAAAUCAUGCUUAUCCAAAUUUUUGCCAGAAUAUCUACUAUAAAUUUAUAUUUCAAUUCAAAAUAUAAAAUUAAUUUAAAAUUUUAAAAUUUGGGACUAUCUAUAUAGUACAAUGAAAAUAAUUUAAAAGAUAGAUUGGUUGAUAAAUUUGUAAAUCAUAUUUUUGAAUUAAUAUGAUAUACAUAUUUAUGAUCAAUUUGUAAAAAAAUAUCUCAAAUAAGAACGAACGAUUAUGAUCAAUUUGUUAAAAAAAAACAUUCACACCUAUCUAUAACUUUAAUUCUACGAACGGUUAUGAUCAAUUGGUUAAAAAUAUUGAAAAUAAAAAUGAACUAUUAUGUUCAAUCUGUUAAAAAGUAGCACUUCUAUCCAUUUUUUUUACAUUAAAAUUUAAAUUUGAGUUUAAAUUGUGAAUUAAAUUUAGUUUUUAAUUUUUGAUAUCAAAUCUAUCCAUCUAUUUUAUAUUAAAAUUUAAAAUUGAUAUUGUAGAUAUUUUCUAAUAAAAUGUAACAUAUAAAUUUAGAAAAUAUUUUAUUCUAAAUUUUUGAAUAAAUAUGAUUUACAAAUGUUUAUUGAUUUAAAAUAAAUUAAAAUAAUUGUUACGUGCAGUUGCACGUAUGCUCAACUAGUAUAUAUAUAUGAGUCUAGCUAUGGUGCUUGUAAAAGCACAAAGUACUUGGUGCUUGUAAGUUUUUUACCGUUAGAUCUACUCCUCGGAUCAUUUUCAACCAUUAGAUUAUAUUAUUCAACCAACCACUCACUCAACCCUAGGGGGCCCACAUCAUCCUAACCUCAUAUCUCUUAAUCCAAUGGCUAAAAAUCUAUAAGCACCAAUAACUUGGUACUUUUAAAGGGAUGGGAGCUCAAUUCAUAUAUAUAUAUAUAUAUAUAGAAUUAGGCUGAAAUACUAUCAAUAGUAAAACGCUCUUUUUGCUAUCAAGUUUUUAACCAUUGGAUGAAAAAAUGUAGGGUCAAGAUGAUAUUAGUCGGUUAGAGUUGAAUGCUCUCUCUAGGGUUGAGUGGUCCCCACUGGGUUAUAGUAUUUAAUCUAAUGGUUAGAAAUAAUGAAAAGAGUUGAUCCAAAGGCUAAAAAACUGGUAGCAACAAUGGGAUUUUGCUACUAAUAGUAACCCAUUCCAACUCUCUCUCUCUCUCUCUCUCUCUCUCUCUCUCUCUCUCUCUCUCUAUAUAUAUAUAUAUAUAUAUAUAUGUAUGUAUAUUUGUGAGGACUGAGAUUUUGGCAGUGUAGCUAAACUCUCUGUUGACGAUGUUUUUAUGUGUAAUUUAAUUACAUUAGCACUCGUCAAGUUUCAGGAGAAAACGAGUUAGAAUGGAGAAGUUACGUGAUAAAUACUAUUCACUUAAGUGAAUAGUAACUCCGGUUUUUCGGAGAAGCCACGGAGUAGAGUUGGCUUCUGGCGCGUAUCGGACUCCUUUCAUAGCAGUCCAAUAGCUCAUUUUGAACGGUUCAACUAUUCUGGAACCAUUGGCGCUGACGGAUUUUGGGUUUGAAGCACGGAUUUCGAGAAAAUCGAAAAAUACGUGUUUUGUAUGUAUUUGUGUGUCACUUGUCUGUUGGAGAGAGUGAACGGGUUUCGUCGCGAAUCCGUGAUCGAUCGUGGCGAAACGAAAUGGUAGGUUUAUUGUCUUUGUUGUGCCGAUCGUACUGGUGUGAUCCGUUCGCAAAUCUGACGGACGGAUCGCUAGAUGUCACACGUUGAUCGAGGCGGGGUCUUUAGUGGCAAAACGGUAUUUUUGCGAAAACCUCGAUAUUUUAUGUACCGAAUCGCGCGAGAUCAGACGUGGAGGUGUGUACACGCGAUUUACUCGCACUGUGAUGGACUGGGUUGCAAAUAACCAGUUCCGAAGGACUUUGGUGCAAAGUGGCAUACGGUAUAUAAUAUGCCUCUAGGGUUUCUAUGCACAAAACCCUAGAUCCGGCCGACCUAGUCCCCCAGCUAUGCCCUAGGUAGCAUCAGCAGGUCUCAGCCCUAGCCAUGCGCAUGCCCCGGCCGCCGGCAAGCUGCUUCAGCAGCCGGAAAACCACCCUCUCCACCUUCAUCUCCACUAUUCUUCAUCCUUCCUGGCCAUGGAUCACCCAGAGGUCAUCCACCCGUGUCGUGACCACUCCCUUGGCCGUGGCCCAACCUCUGGCAGCUUUCUCCACCGGAGGCCCAUACUGUCCGUGCGCGUUGCCGACACCGACCAUGCUCUCGGCAGCCAACCCGGUCCUACCUUGGCCGAGCUCAGCCCAGCUUGAGCGGGCCGCGCCGCCUCUCUUUGACCAUCGGCGACCUCCCGCGUGCCAUUGCCGCCUUUCGCCGCCGGCUGGCCCGAGCGCCGGCCUCCCCUAGCCGGCCGCACCCGAUUCCAGCCGGCACCCCUAUCGUCGGAGCUCCUAGUCGACCGGACUCGACCGUGCUCUCCACGAGUCCGCGCGGCUAGGGCAUCAAUGCCCGAUGCCGCCGUCGCCCUCUGUCGCCAGUUGACACGCGCCCCGCCCUUCCUCCUUCGUCAGCAACCCCCCCUGCAGGCCUUCUCGCCGUCCGGCCACCACCGGCCAGCCCUAGCUCUCCCUUGGCCGAUAAGCAAAGUUUUUGCUGUUCUGCGCAUUGUUUCGGUUUGGGAUCAAUGUUCCGGUGACCCGAGGCUGUUCUGAUGCCUCUGGAGGUGAGCACGGUGAUCGUCGGUCAGUUCUGAUCACAGUGCUCACCUCAUUUAGGGUUAAAGAGCCCCGGAUGAGUGAAUUAGAAGCAUUUUUAGUUUCAGCGCGCCGUUUUGCUAAAGUUCGCGUCGCUCGCGUGCUUGCCACAGUGGCCGGNCAGUUCUGAUCACAGUGCUCACCUCAUUUAGGGUUAAAGAGCCCCGGAUGAGUGAAUUAGAAGCAUUUUUAGUUUCAGCGCGCCGUUUUGCUAAAGUUCGCGUCGCUCGCGUGCUUGCCACAGUGGCCGGAAGUGCUCCGAAAGGUGAGCACGGCCUCCGGCAUGCCGAGACCUGACAGCGGGUGUCCUGGCUUGAUUGAUUGAACAUCGGUUUGCACUGUCGAGCCAUAAAACCCCGAAAAUUGCAUGAAAUAAUGUGAUUUCAUGUAAUCGGGAGGGUUUUUAUGCAAUUGUUUAUAUUGUGAUCGCUGUGGGUAGCGUGUGCGGGCUGCAGGCAACCUCUGGACUGAUUGUCCAAGGCCCCAGACUUUUACGGUGAUCAGAAAUGCUUUUCCGGUGCGUUUGUCGGCAAAAUCUGCCGACGGAAUGCGAGUUUAGUUCGGAAUUCAUCCGACGGUGCUUUGUGAUGAUUUGCUAUGUCGCUGAGCCUUGUUGGCUGGUCACUCGAGUCAUUUCGAGGGUUCGAAAAUGACGGGUGAGCGACGGUGGGUUUCGGUGUCGAAAUUGACACUUUCGGGAACCCGGAUCCGAACGAUUAUCCGACGAUAAUUGUAUGGAGGCGAGAUUUUGUGUUUGCUGCCAGGACACACAAAUAGUAGUGUUUGAUGGCAGCGGGUGGCUCGUGGCACAAGUCGAUGCAUUCUGGGACAGUUCGUGGGUCCCGGUGGAGUCCCGGUGCGAUUUUCAGGACUUCCGGCGUGUUACGGUAGUCAGUUUUGGGGAAACCGAUUUCCGUGGGUUUGUUUGUGGGUAGUGGAUUUAGUGGUUAUUAGUUGUGGGUUAGACACUUACCCGAUGGACCUUCCUUAGGUCCGGUUGACAUCCUUUCGUAGUCAGGAGACAGGUGCGACAUUUGUACAGGUGGGUACUUCGAUUCGACGUCGGUACAGUGGUGCACGCUCGGUGAUGGUUUCUUACCCUUGCUCUUUUGUUAUUAUCCAUGCAUAUACUAUAUGUUGAACUUUACACCUCUAUUUUUUACAUUACACUCUACUCAGAUGUUCCCAUGCUUAGUAUUAGGUGUAGGAAUAGAGUAGUCUAUCUAUUUGUGAUAUCUAUGACUCGGUUGGUCGAUUCUUGUACUUCGUAUCAGUGACCUGGUUGGUCGAUUCUCGUACUUCGUAUUAGUGACAUAGUUGGUCGAUUCUCGUACUCCGUAUCAGUGAACUGGUUGGUCGAUUUUCCUACUUCGUAUUAGUGACCUGGUUGGUCGAUUCUCGUACUUCGUAUCAGUGACUCUGGUUGGUCGGUUCAUAUGUCGUAUCUGUGACCCAUUGGUCAGUUCUUGCAUCUACACUUUUGUUGACCCUUGAGUAGUAUUUGCAUACUUCUGAGAGGAUGUUGAGUUGUUCCAUCCUAGUUGACCUGUGUAACACACUGGACUUUCACAAAUAGCAAGGUUCGAGUGUUUAAUCUGUGUUUCGAGUUUUUUCAGAUAUUCUGGAGGGUUGUCGACAGUGUUCCGAUCUAUGGCUCGUAUCCCGAGAUUUGUGGUUUAAAACUUUGCACCAAAACCCAAAAAGUUGGAUUAUUGGUGUGCUCUCGAGUAGCCUUCAGCAGGCUGUGUACCGGUACAGGGUUGAUGGCUGUACCGGUACGGGGUGAUGGUUGUACCGGUACGCGGGGCCGUGUACCGGUACACAGGCAGCUUCUCAGCCAACUCGAGGCUCGGGUUUGGCAUUUUCGUGGGAUGUGUACCGGUACGCGACCCCUUGUACCGGUACGCAGUGCAGUCCGCAGACUGCUUGAACUGCAGGAGUGUUUUUGCUAUUGUAGCAACACUAUAUGUGUACCCCACCUCCCUUGGUGUUUCCUGGGCUUGCCAGCAGUGGAGAAGAUGGUGAGGGAGCUCUCUUCUUCCCCUCUUUCUUUUUCUUUCUUUUGGUUGAGAUUUUUGAGGUUUAAUUUCCUCUUUUGCUCUCUUUUUGCUUUUUGGUGACUUUUCCACCAUGGGAGAAGUUUGGGAGCUUGGAGUUGAGCUUGUGAGGGAGGUGAUCUUCAACCCUAGUAGAUUUUGAACCUUGUUUGGGGCUUCAUGAGAGGUUAGUUGCUUUCUAUUUCUUUUUGAUCAUGAUUUUCACGAUGUUUGCAUAAAAACCCUAAAAAAUGAGGAUUUAGGGUUUGAUUUGGAGAUUUUUGAUCUAGGGCUUUUGGAGCUUAAUUAAUUGAAUUAGAACCUUUCUCUAGCUUGGUUUGGAAGGGUUCUAUCUCCCAUUUGGAGCUUGAAAGGGAUUUUCUACACUUAGGUGAGAUUUUGCCCUUAUCUUGAGUUGGUUAAUGUUUGAACUUGUCAUUGUUCGUUCGAUGCACGUGACACUCCUAAUUUAACCUAUAGGGAGCUAGGAGGCUAGUGGGCACCUUCUUUCGGUGAAACGAAGGGCUUCGAGGAGACUUGGUGGGUUUGGCCUUACCAAAAUGAGAUAAAAUUCUCAUUUGAUGGUUUUGCUGAUCGUAAAAUAAAAAUGCACGCAUAAUCAUGCUUGAUAGAAUACUUGAAAAUUUUAUAAUACUUAAAAUGCACAUGCUUUGUACGAUACAUAUUUGACCUCUAUAUAGUAAAGAGUUUUCAUGUUGGGCUUGGAGCCUAUGGUUAGCAUCUCAUACUUAGUUGUGGAUCAUGUUUAAUUUAGUGAAAUUGAUGUGUGCAUUGCACUUUUGGACUUUGACCCAUGCUUGGUAUAGUAAGCCAAUGUCAUAAAGAGGUAUUGGGCUUGGACUAGAUAUGGAUUUAUCAAGUUAAUGUCAUAAAGGGGUAUUAAGCUUGGCAUAUAUAUGGACUUAAUAAACCUAUUGUCAUGAAGGGGCAUUAGAUUUGGAUGAUAUGUGAAUUGCAUGUGCAUAUUAAUAUUAUGAGAACCAUGCUAAGUUGAUAGUUGCAUACGGACGCAUUGAAACCUUAUGCUAGUGAAUAGAUACAUGUUAAUAAUUAUAUGCAUUGUGGGGUGCAUGCUAGGUACAUAUUAGCAAUUUGAGGUCACGCUAGAGAGCAUGCGUAUUAACCUAUUAUUGGUAUAUUAAACUAAUGUCAUAGAGCGACAUUGAGCUUGGGGCAUGCAUGAACCUAGUAAAUAACACCACAAAGAGGCAUCGGACAUAGUGAACUUAGUAAACCUUCACUUGAGGCAUAGACUAGACCCUCGGGGUUACUAAUGAGCAUUUCCAUGUUAGAGACAUGAUGACUGUUGAGUUGCUAUUCCAUGUUAGAGACAUGAUGACGAGAUCCGUGAUAUGAUGACUAUGAUUACUUGCUAUUUCUACUCAUUCACACAUGCUUGUGAGGGUCGCUCCCUACAAGCCGGCACUCCGGAGUUGGCCUUUUGCGACGCAGUUAGCGCGUGUGGGAUUGAGAUGCCUGUAGGGUCGCGUGGGACAGUCUCAUUCCAGAGUGGGAUGACGAGCUACCACGGGCAGCUAGGCGGCGAGGCGCCUGUAGGGGCGGGUGGCACAGUCUCAUUCCUCGAGAGGGGAUGUUGGAGCUACUACCGGCAGCUAGGCGGCACAAGUUGGACUACACAUGUGUUGGUCCUGGAUGAGAUUGAAUGAUGAACCUUAAUCAAUUAAAUGACAAUCACUACUUGAUAGUAUAUCGUAGUUGGAUUUAGCUGACAUUGGAAUUUGUGGUACCCUUAGUUGCCAUAAUAGUACAUACUAGAUAUGUAUUGAAUUUUGGGACAUAUUGUAUAUUUGAUAGUAUUACUUGUUGCAUCACAGCUUACUUGGUAGUCAUGAUAGAGCAUACUUGUUAUGUAUCGGCAUAUUGGAUUCAUGAUAGAGUAGAUGUACUCCAUGUUGAUAUCAUAUAUACCUGUGGCAUAGUAGUAUAGCAUUUCAUUAUAUGUUUUUAUUUUCGCAGUUGUUAUUUCAUUUUCUAUAUCUGCUCAUGACUUCGGCCUAGUGGUGCAUUUUGCUAAGGUCAGUAAUUGCCCACUGGGAACUAUAAAUUAUAGUUCUCAUGCCCUCUGUUUUAUAUUUUCUUUCAGAGCCUUCCACUCCGGGAGAGGCUCGGGAUCGCGGGAAAGGAAUCGCCUCGGGCUAGCUAGCGAGGGAUUAUUGGAUAGGUGGUCCACCUCUCUUUUGUUUCUUUUUGGAGAGGUUGAGAGAUUUGUACCAUUUGUAGAGACCACCCCUUUUUGUACUUUUGAGAUGGAUACUAUAUAACUUUAUGCUUUACUUUUAUUGUUUAGUUAUGUUCUACCUAGUAUAGAUUCUAGAUGUAUACUUGCUCUGAUAUCUCUAGAUGUAGUUCAUCUUUUGUCUUAUUCUUCCGCUUUUGUUGUAGACGCCUUAUAUGUGUAGGCAUAUGGCGGGUCUGGGCGCGCUACCGGGAAGGCCUCCGUCGGUCCCGGGGCGUGACAACCUGAGUGGUCAGUUCUUGUUCUUCCUUACAGUUGAUGACCUAUACAGUCGGUGAGCCCUGUGGGCAGGAUUGUCGGCUGGUUGCCGAUGGUUGAUCAUUGAGCAUAUUGCAUUGAUCGCCCAAUACUCGUCACAUUUCACGAACACUGGCGGUCUGAUCCACCGCAAGGGGUGUUCUUUUCCGGAAAAUUGGUUCCAGGUGUUAACCCGUGAGCUCUAGAGGGGUUAUAUGCAUGGUUGAGUGGCAGUUGUAUUGUCAGGAGGUUUGCGGUGCGGACCUCCAGGGCACAGGCUUGAGGUUUGCGGUGCGGACCAACAGAGCAGCAGAUUUCAGAUUGGGUAUAUUUGGUCUAUACAUCCGGUUGACGCAUAUAUCUAUAGUAGCAGUCGUUGCAUGCAUACUUACAGUUCUUGCCUUACAGUUGUCUUACUACUAUAGUAUAUAUCCAUGUAUGCUUUUUGUUCUAGUUACAGUAGCGGUAGUCGUUAUUCUGUUAUAGUUCUACUUCCUUUCAGUUUAUUGCUACUGUAUUCAGUAUAUCUACUCAUUACCUUGUUUAUCUCUUCCUGAUCCAGUGAGUACUACUCGCCUUCAUCGGCUUGCGGUAUCCACUGGGAGGGGAGACAUGUUUACAUGUUCUCACCCCCCCAUUAUUUUUCAGGUAUUGCAGGCGGUAAGUGUUGGGACGAGACGUGAGAUACGUUGGUAGCGGUUGAUAGAGCUUCCGACCCGGUUUGUGUAGUUUAGUUACUACCUUCGUUAUUUCUGUUGAUAUGACUUAGACAUCUAUAUGGUUCAGUAUUUCAUUAUGUAUAAUUAUUCAAGAUUUUAGUUGGUUUUCCGAAUGAGAUAAAGAUUUCUGGAUUUUUGUAAAAAGGAAAGGUUUUCUACCCCUCGUGGUAGCGUGUUUUGAAAAGAAAAGAUUUUCGUGUGGGAAACAGCUUUCAAAAGAGUUUUCUCGUGGUUUUUUUGAAUUAGUAUUUCAAAAUAAGUUUCUAGGUAGGAAACGUUUCAACUGAUAGUUGUGGAUUUAUAUUCAGAUCUAUGUUUAUGAACCUGUGGUGAAUGGUGUAUGGAUAUUGAAUGUAUGAUGACUUGUAUAUUCAUUUAGUUGUGAUUGUAUCCUAUUUUACAUCUUGUACUUGUGCGACGCCGUGCAAAUAUAGGGAAGAUUCUGUCCGUGUGAAUAGUGGAAUCCCUGUAUUUGUGGCGGAUCUGGCAUACCCUGGGGUCAGAUUUAAAAAAAAAAAAUUCUAGUCACUUCCGCUGUAUUUUCAAACUAAAAGGAACUCCGGGGCGUGACAAUAUUAAUAUAGAUGUAUAUGCAUAUGUAUAUAUAAUUAAGAGGUAAAGACGAAGGGAAGAGAAAGAUGACAAAAUUCAAAAUUACAAUACAAUUAUAUAAAUAAGAGGUAAAAAAGUUAUUUUACCACUUAUAUAGCCGUGAUUAAUUUAUUGUACUUAUAGUUAUCCGUAUUUUUGUAACAAAAAAUAUAUUUGAAAGUAGGGAGAUUUUUGGAGGGAUAGCAAACAAGAAAAUUUUUAGAUGGAUAAAUUUGAUAACAGAAGUUUUAUGAAAAUAUAUAUACUUAGAGAGCAUUUGGAUUGGGUAUAAGAGGGGGAUAAGGGGGUUACCCCCCUCAUGUACCCAAACAGAAUUUUUGGUGGGCAACACUUACCGGGUUGUAGGUAGAGAGAGAGAGCGAGAGAUUUUUAUUUUAAAUUAGAAUUUAAAUUUUUAAAAUUUAUAAUUUCAAAAAUUUCAUUUAUAAUUUUAAAUUUUAAAUUAUAAAUUAUAAAUUUUAAAUUUGAUAUUUUUAAAUUUUAAAUUUUAAAUUUGAUAUUUUUAAUUUUUAAAUUUUAAAUUUGAUAUUUUAUAUCUUUUAAAUUUAAAUUUGGUCUUAAAUUUAUCAAAUAAAUUUGAUAUUUAAAAUUAAAAUUUUGAUAAUUAUAAUUUUAAAUUUUAAUUUCAAAAUUUAAAAUUUAAAAGUUAAAAUUUUCAAUUUAAAAUUAUAAGUUUAAAAUUUAAAAAUUUAAAUUCAAUUUUAAGGGUAAUAUCAUUAUUUUUUAUUUAUAACCAUCAACUAUUUCUCUUAUUCCCAAUAACCAUCCAAACAUAAUUUUUCUAGUUCCAACUUAUAUUCACAUUUCCAUCCAAAAAAAAAAUACUCUUGUUCUUACAAAAAUUCAUACUUAUACCUAUUUCUGGAAUAACUAGUUCCUACUAAUUUCCGAGCCAAACGAAGCCUUAAUAUUUUCUACAUUUAGGAAGAGCCCUAUGCAAUCAUUUUGUUUUAGGGAAAACUUCAAAAACCCCCCCUGUGGUUUCAUAGUUUCUCACUUUGCCCCCCUGUGGUUUAAAAUGUAUCAAUUUGCCCCCCUGUGGUUUCGUUUUUAUCUUUUCGGUACCUUUUUCGUUAAUAUUUCAUUAAAUUAUAUAAAAAAAACUUCAAAUAUCAAUCUAGAUUUAUCAAAUAUUCACUUUAGUAUCCUUUAAUUUUAACUUUAUCACUGAUUUAAAAAAAAAAAUAAUAAAAUUGAUAAGAAAGAGAGAAAAAAGAAACUAUACGGGGGCAAAUUGAUAUAUUUUAAACCACAGGGCGCAAAAUGAGAAACUGCGAAACCACAGGGGGGUUUUUGAAAUUUUCCCUUUGUUUUAUAAUAGUCUAUAUUUUUUUGUGUNUUUUUUUUUUUUUUUUUGUCCUAAAUUAGACAGCAGAUUUGGUGCUAGCGAAACAGCUGUCUGCGGUCUUCACUCUUUGUACUGUUUGUACUGUCUGCGUCUUUACACUGUCUCAGUUAAACUACUUUCGCCUUAGGGCUGAAAAACGUAGGCUAUUCUAUUAAGUGACCAUUGAGCCCGCCACCAUUCUACUGCUUCCAUAAAAGGUAUUGCCGAAUAAAAAAAGUAAAGGUUGCAGCGCACAAGGAAAGGAGGGAGAGUGGAGCUUAAUAGAGACGGAGAAAAUAGAAACGACGCUCUCUCUGAAGAGGGGGUAUAGAGAUCUGAUAUUAGGAAUUGGCAAUUAGUAAUCCAUAUUCCAUACUAGUGCUGUGGAGAUGGGCGUGUCCAUUUCGGUCGUCGCCGCCGUCUCCUUCCUCCACCUCCUCGCCUUCGUCCUAGCCAUCGGAGCCGAGAGCCGCAGAAGCACCGUUGGUUCCACUUACCACCUCCUUCCCUUUCGCAGCAUCAGAUAGAUACACUACCGUUUGUUUGUUUUCAGGAUUCUUUCUUUCUUUCUUUCUUUCUUUUUUGACUACUGAAAUAGCUUUUUUUUUUUUUUUUCUUUUCCCUUUCCCCUCCCGGCGACGAAGGGGAGGGUGGUGCCGGACGAGUACGACGACCGUACGUACUGCGCGUACGACUCGAACGCGUCGACGGCGUACGGCGUGGCGGCGUUCUUCGUGCUGCUGGCGAGCCAGGCGCUGUUGAGCGGCGUCACCCGCUGCCUCUGCUUCGGGCGUGGCCUGGCCGCCAGCGGAUCCCGAACCUGUGCAAUCGCGGCCUUUGUUCUCUCUUGGUAAAGCUCUAAUCUGUACUACCCAUGAUUGCCUAGUGGAACGGUGGCUUCUUAUGCCAUUCCAAUCUCUUCUCUCUUUUCUUUCGGGCCAUCUCAUGCUCCGGACUGCAUCGGAUGGGAUUGGAUAGUACAAGAGAGAGCGAUAUUGAAGGGAGGAGGAGGAUUUAGUUACUCGGAAUUUUCGCGGUGGCUUGUGAGAGGUUGAGUUCAUCCCAAAAUCCUGGUGGGCUGGGUUGAGUUGGGCUGGGCCGGGCUGGGAUGGGAUAAUCAAAUCUCAAUUAAUGGUGUUGAAUUGUUGAAUUAUUUCUUCUUCUGGCAUCGCUCUCUCGUUUUGUCCUAUGCAAUCCAAUCCCGAAUGCCAAUCAGGUCGUCAAUUUUGAUAAGCAUUUGAUUUGCCAUAUCUUUGGUAAAACAGCAGACUGAAACAGCUAAGAAGGACAUGCAAAUGCAGAAACGUCCAGCUCAUAUCUUGUCUGUAAACUACAUAAUUUAGUAUUGUUUCUGUCUGCAUCUAAUUAGUCUUCUUAGGCUUAUUGAGUGUAGGACAUAGUUCAUAUACUUGUGAUAACUUUGUUUAAGUCAUGCCUGCGGAAAUGCUUUAUUCUUACCUUUUAGCUUUGGCUGAUUAAGAUAAAUUAAUCACACAUGGUAAUUGGCAAGUUUUUUUUUUUUUUUUUCUUACUUUGUUUCAACCAACUAGAUUUCAUUGGAGAUAUUUAUAAUGGUUUUUACCUAGUUUUUUGGAACUUUGCAGUGUGAAGCAACUUUUUUCUCUUGUUAGUAUACAAUGGUAUGUGACUUGAUAACUUAUGUAAUCUGCUUUAUAGCAUAGUUUUCUGUAAUACGUAUUGAAAAAUUACUUCUGCGGAUAAAACAUAUGGUGGCGACAAAAGUUGCCACCGUACAAGGUAAUAUUGUCAUGAAAUAUCUUGUCGUAAUUUGCCGGCAACAGUUCCGCCAGUGAAAAUAUAGGUGGUGAUAUUCUCUGUCCCUGGAAGUUCAUACAAUAGUGGUGGUAAUUUUGCUACUGAUAAAUAACAUAAAGUGGUGCCAUGGGCUGCCACCGAAUGCGAAAUCUUAACACUUGGUCGCCAGGUUGUGUUGCCAACAAUGCCAUACAUUUGCUUGCGCCAUGCCUAGGAGUGUAAUGUGGCCCACAUUCACCUGGGUUGAUACGGGCCGAAGGCCGUCCCAACUCUAAAUUCCAGGAUAGGUCAUGCCAGCCCGGAUUUCUUAUAUCUGCGGCCCAACACGCCCCCUUGGCCUGAAUGGUAUGGGUUGUGCUUAGUCGGGCUUUGGACCGAACCUUUAUUUAUUUAUUUAUUUUUUAAAGUUUUUUUAAAUAAUGUAUAAAAUUUAAAAGGAUAAAAUGCAGAUAACCCUUGUUAAUGUAUAGCAUGUUGCACUUUACCUCGUAAAUACAAAAAAUAUGCGCUUAAUCCUCCUCAAAAAUAUGCAUUUUUUUUCCUCCUUAAGAGGGUUUAGAGCUUAUUUUUUUUAUUAAGGUUGCGUUUGAUUCAGGUAUAAGUAUGAAUUGCUUAUUUCAGGAAUAGGUACAAGUUCAGAUAUAAACAGGAAGUCAGGAACUAGACCAAUUUUGCGUUUGGAUGAAAAUUGUGUUGUUCCUAGGAAUAAGGUAAAUAGUAUUUAGAUGGUUAGAUUGGAACAUGGGGAAUAAGAUUUAUAAUUUUAAAUUAAAAUUAUUUUAUCUAAUUAAUUAACAUCAAAAUAUUACUUAAAAAUGAUUUAAUAAAUUAAUAAAUUUAUUAACUAUGAAUAUUGUAUAAGAUAAUGAAAAUAUAUUAAUUAAUUAAUUAAUUAUAAAAAAUUAACUUUUUAAUUAGUUAGUAAAUUAUUUUAGCUAGAUAACUAGUAAAAAAAUUAAUUAGAUUAAUAUAAAUAUUUAUGGUUGAUCAAUAUAAAUAUUAGUUUAUGAAUAAAUAAUUAAAUUAUUAAUAAUUAAUUACACCAUUUUGAUUAUAAUGAAAAUCUCCAUUGUGUCUUCCCUUGCGGACGUAGGCUAGUGGCCAAGCCAUGUAAAUAUUUAUGUUUAAUUUUUUUCUCUUUCUUGAUUCUUCUUUUGGUAUUUUCGUACCCAACGAAUUAGAUCUUUUUCCGCUUUUGUUAUGACAAACUGAUAUCAGAGUAAAUCUGAUAGCAGUGUAAGUGGCAGAUUUCUAACAAACAGGUAUCAGAGCAAAUCUGGUAUCAGUAUAAGUUGCGGAUUUCUAGCAAACUGGUAUCAAAGCAAAUCUGUUAUCUCUUUUUUUGUCUAUCUAUUGCUUCUUGCUUCUCUCUCGCCACCUCUUUCUCUUUCUCCAUGAUAAGUGCUCCGUCUGCGACCUCUUGGAAGGUUUGGAGGUUCGCCGAUUGGACGAGAUGGUGGAUCGAUGGCUUAAUCCUUAAACAUUCUCGCAUUUUUUCUGUCAUCCCUUACCACGUAGUUUAUGCCGUUUAUUAUAGGGAAAAUUUUUUGCUCAUAUUCUGCCAUUGUUUUUCUUUUUUGUUGGAGCUUCCUCAUAUCCUGCUCCAAAUGCCGUUUGACUCUCUCAGAGAAGUACCUUAUGAGCAGCAUCUUUUUGAACUUAUCCCACGAGAUCGUGGACAAGUCCAUGAAGAAGAAUUAGACCAAAAACUAGGAUACAUUUUGGGAGAAUGAAGCGUCCAUGGAAGAGAAGCAAAUGAAACACUUGCAUUACUCCUUUUUCUAGUGAACGUGUCACAGCUGAUUACUCUUUUUUUUUUUUCUUUUUCUUUUUUACAGUUUAAAGAUUGGCAUUCUAUGUCCAAUUACUGGUAGGCUUUCCUCUCUAGGUUGUGGACCACCUGCCACACACGUUCCUCAUCCGGGAUAAAGAUGUUGUGGAAGAUCUUCUCCAUAUGUAUAACCCACUUUUCGACCACCCAUGGGUCGGGUCCUUACCAUCAAACGAUCUUGGCCUGCACAGUCAAAUCCCUCCAAACGGGCAAGAACUUCUUUCCCCUGUGCUUGUCACUGCGGUAGGAAACACCGCCAGAGGUGUCACAUUAACAGGGGUUGGUGGGACGGAGCUCCUCCAGCUCUCUCGUCGAGACCCACACUCGUUGUUGGAGUCAGUAAUUGAUGUUGCGCUGCUUGAGUUGUAGCAACAACUCCUAUGGCGAUUUGGUUGGCCACCGAUGGGGGAGUCAAUUGCCCCUGCACAUAAUUGGCGGGCCAGGAGCUCCUCAAGUCGUUGCAUGCGCUCCUCUUGGUAGGGCGUGGCCUCUGCUUACUUCUCCACGCCCCUAACCAAGGCGGCUAGGUGGCUAGGCUACUCUUGGACCUCUCCAGAUCUAGAUGAUAGGGGUAUGUUGUGUUGAGUCGUCGUAGACCUUGUCCGAGAUCUUUCGUAAGGUGCCAUGUCUACUUCCUGAAACAUAAAGUGACAUCAGUUAUUAACAUAACCUAGAUUGGUCGAACUCAAUUAGAGAAAAAAAAAAUUAAUUCAAUUUGGGCAAAAUUUUCAAAAAGGAAUUUCCUUCCGUCUUUUGACUCUACAUUGUUGGUCACCAACGUGACUAUCAGAAGAGGGAAAUAGUAUCAUCUUGUUAAAGAUAUGCCUUCUUUUUUAUUGGUUUGGUUCAUACACCGGGUUUAUGGAAAAAUAGAAAGGAUCCCAUUAGGAUUUAUUUUGGUGGAUCCUAAUUUAAAUUGGAAUCCUAGGUGGACUAGGAUUGGUUUCCAUAUAAUACUCUAUAUUCAAUAAUCAUAUUGAAUUAGAGUAGGAUUGAGCCAAAUCCCUCUCUAUAUAUACAUGCAUAUGCAUGUACGGCUUGGGGAGCCGUGUGGUGGCCAAAAGUAAUUAGAGAGGCUAGAGGGCUGAGGCCAAUUAAAUUAGCAUCAGGUCCAUGGCUAAUUAAUCAAGGCUAUUGGCCCGGUCUUGACGACGUACGGCAGCAGCAAGAAGGUCGCAUGAAGGACUGACUUAAUUAGCAUGCGGAGAGAAGCUAAUUAAUUAAGGUGGCCGGUUCUCUUCAUGUAUAGCGGUACGGUAGCAAGAGAAGGAGAUGCGCGGUAGCACGCAUGUGACGGAUUGACAUUGGCGGCGGAGCGGCGGUUCUCAACCAAUUGCCUGAGCGGUUCGGAUUCUUCGAAGCAACGGCAUAAAGGAAUUUGGUUAGAGUUUCUAUACUUCUCUAAUUUGGUCUUCUCGGUUUUACGAAAAGAUUUUUUCGGUAUUUUCUUGGAGUUUUCGUUGGAACAAGAGAAAGGUGGGAUUCACCGUAAGGCUCUUGGUUUUUAUCCGGAGAAGACAUAAGGUGUAAGCUUGUACUUCUAUUUCUUCAUAUAGUGGAAUACAUCUCUCUCGCUCUCCCCGUGGACGUAGGCAAUUGCCGAACCACGUAAAUCUUGGUUUCUUCUUUCUGCAUUUAUUUCUUUUAGCCGGUCGUUCGUGUUUCUCUAUUUUUCGUGCAUCUUGUUGGUAGUGCAUGACGAAUGAUCAUACCGGUUCCCAACACAUUUUGAUUGGCGCCAGUAAGUUUUCUGGAGAUAUAACAUCCAUUCAUGACUUAAUUCGCCGUACUACCUAUAAAAUUGUUUCUCUACACGUUGUCCAAAGUCCUUAAGCGUCAGUUCAAUGCCUAGUUUUUGUUGGGAUCCGUAUUGCGCGCCGGUACCGAUCUCGUGAAUCGGCAACAGCCUCCGAUACCGACUCUCUAGGAUCCGGUAUCUAAAUUGUUGGGAUAUUCCGCAACGGAACGUCAAAUCGGGUUUUACUCGAUAAACCCGUCUCCUCAGCAAAAAGCUGAUACAAUCAUAAAAGAGAAAUACCAAAACAAAAAUACGGUAAAAUAAGAUUCAUUAAAUAAGUAGAAGAUUACACCUGACUCCUCUUCUGCACAGAGUAACUACAACCCAGCGCAUCUUUCUAAUCUUUUCUACCCUUCUCCUCGUCGUUCUAUAAUCAUAAAGAAGACAAUCAUCCGCCGCACUCAUCACUAGUGCACUAAAUAACUCUCUCCUCUCCCUUUUUUCUUCUCGGUUACGGCACCCAAAGAGCCUUUCUCUCUCCCGUACUCACAUCUCAAAAGCAAACCACAAAAGAGCUAUUUAUAAGGUCGCACAGAAAAAUACCCAAAUCCUAAUAUAUUUAGGAUUUCUAACUCCAAUUAAUAUCUAAAUCUAUCUUAAUAAUCUCUAAUAAUUAAAUUAAUCCUAAUCUAGUUAGAUUUUACCUCUAAUUUAAUAUUUAAAUCUUAAUUUAUCUCCAAUAGAUUUAAAUAUAUAAUUCUUAAUCAACUAGGAUUCAUACAAAUCUAACCAAUCUAAAAUCUCCACCUUGGUUGGAUUUGUAAUACUUCAAACGUCACGUCGAGCUCACCAUGCAAGCUCACCCUUGAGCUUGUCUCCUCCGCUCGAUGUCGCCGCAUCGUCGCUCUCGCCUCGAGCGACUGCACUCCGCGAACUUUUGGAACCAACGUCUUCGCUCCCGUUCGAUUGUGCUCUCGUUCAGAACGUACAAGUUGCCACGCUUGUUCGCCUCGCAACACGACCCAUCUCGUUUUCGAACUCUCAUAGCUCCACCUGAGCCGAAAUAUCGCAACCCUUCGAGUCAAUUGCGCCUAACGAGAUCAAAUUUCGCUUUCAAUCCAGGAACGUACCGCACACUCUGUCAGCGUCCUCACGACCCCAUCGUGCAUUCGGAUCUUCACCGUGCCGACUCCCAAAACUUUGCACGUCGUCCCGUCCCCAUUAGAGCUUUUUCACCUUUUGAUCGCCUUAUAGGUUGCAAAAAGACUCCUUCCCGGCAUACGUGAAAAGAACACGCCGAAUCGAGCACCCACGCGUCAUCCGAAAUUUUUGCAACCGUCCGGUCGCGCAUAUAGCACAUCAGAAUCGAACAUCUUCCGAUCUGCUCGUCUGUGCCGUUUCUGAUACGUCUCGUCCUGGUUCAGCGACAGUUCUCCUUCUGUCUGCUAACUCCUUCAGAUCAUCCUGAAGUUUUCGACAAUUUGCGCUUGAAUAUGCCUUUCCUGUGAGAUAAAAGCACUCUACCCUCAGAUAGCGGCUUCUUCUGUCGAUCUCCGGUCGCUGAUGUGUGCCUCCUUUUCGCUCUGACUACCAAAGCUGAUAUCCCGACUCUGUGUGCGCGACUCCUGAGUCAUCUUCCGCAUCUCGUUCGAGAGAACGCCGCCGUGACCGUCUCCACGCUUAUGGUCUCCUUGCCAUAAAGCAACGUGGUCAGCAGAUGCUCAUAUGUCGCCGUAGCGAAGAUAGUAAAUCAGCGCCUUAUCUUCGUCUAUCCACAUUGACUACGAUGCUGGUCAACUGGCCACCACUUGUUGAAUUCGUUUAGAUGCCAUGUAGGCUUGCCGCUUCUUGCAUCCGCAGCGUAAACAGUCGUGGCUUCAGAUACAAUCUGUCGUCAGGGAAUUUGGUCAUGUACAGUCUUCCAUAUUUCUUCCACAACUGUCGCCGGUGUCGUCUCGCUGGCUACGUUGUAAAGAACCUCAUUGCUAAUGAAUAGAUGAAGCGUACUCAGCGCUUCCGCUUCCAUCUUCGUCCAUGCGCAUCCGUGACCUCCGCCGGGCUUCGCCUCCUCCCGUUCAACGUCUCGUCCAAUUCUUGCUGUACGAGGAUCGCUCGUACUUUAAUUGCCACAAUCCGAAUAUUGUUCUGCCGUCGAACUUUCUCGAUUUCGAAUUCGUAGCAUUUCGUGGAUUCUCCCUCGGAUCGAUAACCUUCAGCUCUGAUACCACUUGUGGGAAUCGGUACGCCCCGGAACCGGAUCUCGUGAAUCCGCAACGCCGCUCCGAUACGACUGCUGUGGAUCAGGUAUCAAUUGUUGGGAUUCCGCACGGAAACGUCAAAUCGGUUUUUACCAUAAACCCGUCUCCUCAGCAAAAGCUAUAACAAUCAUAAAGAGAAAUACCAAAACAGAAAAUAUGCGGGUAAAAUAAAGAUUCAUUAAAUAAGAGAAUAUUACACCUGACUCUUCUUCGACAGAAGUAAUACAACCGAGAGCCCUCUUUCUGAUCUUUUCUACCCUUCUCUCGUCUUCUAUAAUCCCAUAAAGAAGACAAUCAUCCGCGCGCACCCAUGCACUAGGUGCACUAAAUAACUCUCUCUCUCUCUUUUUCUCUCUCUGGUACGGCACCCAAGAGGCCUUUUCUCUCUCCCGUACUCACAUCUCAAAAGCAAACCCACAAAGAGCUAUUUAUAAGGCUCCACAAAAAACGUACCCAAAUCCUAAUAUAUUUAGGAUUUCUACUCCAAUUAAUAUCUAAAUCUAUCUUAAUUAAUCUCUAAUAGAUUUAAAUAUUAAUCCUAAUCUAGUUAGAUUUUAUCCUCUAAUUUAAUAUUUAAAUCUUAAUUUAUCUCCAAUAGAUUUAAAUAUUAAUUCUUAUCUAACUAGGAUUCAAUUACAAAUCUAACCAAAUCCUAACAGGUUUCUUGUCUAUCCAUCAUAUCGCUCUGAUACCAUUCAAUCUAUCAUGCUCCAGUUCGAGCAGCGAAGGCCCCUAUUUAUCGAGGCCGUGGCAGACCCGUUGCACAGGCAGAGCUUCCCCUGCCCGCACGAAGUGGUGAGCUACUAGCUGUACAAUCAAUUCUUCACAAGAAUACAUUGCAGAUAGGAAACUCAUUAAUCACUUUAAACUAUUACAAAUUGUUUAUCUCCAAAUACACCAUCAUCAUACAACUAACAUCUCUUAUAAUUUAAUAAAAUCAAAUGGUCAACUAUGUGUUCCACUUGCUAACUAUGUCAAAAUGAGACAAUGGAUGAGGCCCACCGGCUAAUAUGUGCCGCCCUUGCCGUGAGCACACACCUCGGGAAGACGAAGGGCCUGUGGAAAAACAACAACAAUAGAGGGGUGAGAAUUUGAAAUAAAUUUUCAGUAGGUUCAACUGCCGAAGGAGGUGAUCUAUACUCACUCAGUCCAAAGGAGGCAUAAUAGGAAAAAAGGUAACGAUAUAUGAAAGCUACAAUUAUGUAUGGUGAAAGAGAUAUGAAUAAAUGCCACUACUAUACCUUUGUGAAGUUUUGAAGUUUACCAAGAAGACGUGCAACUUAUCUAUUCAACAUGGAAGAAGCUCUCCAGUGGGAACUAACAAUGUCUUACCCAAUUACCUCUACUGGCUUGUUGGUCUGCCCCUUGCUUGCUUACUAUCAACUCAUGGAAGGCCGAGCAAUAUCGACUACCAUCCCACUUGGUGUAGAUAAGGGCUGAGCAUUAUCGACUACCCAAAGCGACACUUCUGGAAGGUCUUGGCUCGUGGGGUUGCGAUCCCCACGAGCGAUGUGAUCUAGCAUAAUAUUUUGACUAAUACAAGUUUUAGUCACAAUCCACAUCCAUGGAUUUUCAUUUUUAUGUCACCUCAAGGCUUUGUUUGGUUCGGGUAUAAGCAAGAACUGUUUAUUCCAAGGAUAGGUACAAGUUCAGGUAUAAGCAAAAACUUGACCAAUUUUGCGUUUGGAUGAAAAUUGAGUUGUUCCCGAAAAUAAGAAAAAUAGUGUUUUGAUAGAUAAGAUGGAAUAAGAAGAACGAUGAGUAGUUAUAAAAAAAAAUAAUGAUAUUACUCAUUAUAUUUGAAUUUAAAUUUUUAAAUUUUAUAUUUAUAUUUUCUAAAUUUAAAAUUUUAACUUUUAAAUUUCAAAAUUCAAAAAUUAAAAUUCAAAAGUGAAAAUCUCAAAUUUUAAAAUUCAAAUUGAAAAUCUCAAAUUUUAAAUUUCAAAAUUUAAAAUCUCAAAUUUUAAACUGCAAAAUUUGAAAUUUAAAAUGUAAAAUUUGAGAUCAAAUUUAAAUUUGAAAAAUAUAAAAUAUCAAAUAAAUUUUAAAAAUAAAAAUUUAAAAUUUAAAAUUUAAAAUUAAAUUUUUUUUUUGAGAUUACAAAUUAUAAAUUAAAAAAAAUAAAAAUUUAAUUUUUAAGAUUUUAAUUUUUAAAAAUAAUUAAUGAUUUAAAUAUAUUAAUUAGAUUAAUUAAUGAUUUAAUACUAUAAUUAAAAUUAAAUUUAGAGUUUAAUUAAUCUUGUUCCCGUUUAUUCCAGGGAGAAGGGUGGAACAGCAAUUCUAGGCUUGUAUCGGAUUAUACCAGUUUAUUCCAGAUACCAGUUAAUUCAUUAAACAAUCCAUGCAGAAUUUACAGUUUUAGUUAUCAAAUGUUGAAAUGCUCAUUAUGCCCCAAUGUAAUAGUAUGAUCCGGUCUUGUCAACUCGAUCAGUGUUCUCAUCUUGGAUCCCUGAGGAACAGCCCCAGGAUUGACAUACUUUUAAUCUAUCCUCAAGCUGUUCAGCUUAUUUUUUAGUUGCUCCUUUCAUCCGUUCUUUGUAGGCGAACUGAUGAAACUUGGUGCAUCCAUUGUUGUCCUUCAAGCCGUUCCAAAAUUUUUGCUGUGUCCCUUUUUUUUUUAUUUUCUUUUUCAAAUCUUAGUUGGAUCACUAAAAAAACCAGCAAAGCAGCUAAAUUUUGAUCAUGUGCUGCCUGAUAUUGAUGCAACUGUCCUCUUAACCAAUCCUUUCUCUUGAUUUGUGACCCUCUAAUGACUUAUGUUGCCUGAUAAAUGCUGUCCCUUAGUUUUCCUUCACUAUAUGAUAUUUUUAUUGGUUCCUUAUAAUAUCAGUUAACUGUUUCAAGCUGUUUUUGUUUGCUUGGAAAUUGUAUAUUUAAUUAUAGAAAUUUUGAAAUGGAUGACAGAUGGUAUCUCUACUAAUAGUCAUUUUCCUUCGCCUUUGUAAAUUUGUAAGAAUUAUCUGAUCGCAUAUUAUUUGUGCAUAUUUCUGUUUCAUUUGUUUUUUUUUACCUUCUGAUUGCUGAUUUUCUUAUACUGAAGUGUGGGUCUGAGCUUGUCUAACUUUAUGAAAAGUUUAAACGUGUAAAUGUCCUAUGUUGAAUUAUUGAUAGGGGUAAAUUGAUUUCAAUCUGAAACAUUAGAAGAUUAUGUUAUAAAUUAUGACUCAAUCUUGUUCGUUGAGCUUGCAGUCAGCCAUGAGAUGCCGAGUAAUAUUUUUAUUCUUGCAGUUUCCUUCAGUCAUUGCAUUGGACCUUCUCCAUUUUCUUUACCGUAUGCAUUCUACGGUUUGUAAUGAAUGUGGUUACUUUUCCCAUUCGCAUCAGUUGUAGUCUCAUUAUCUUGUAUCACAUUUAUAUUUUAUUGAGUUAAAAUUGCAACUUUAUUUUAUUUUAUUUUAUUUUUUACAAUUUUAUCAUCUAUGAUGGGCAGAAACCUCUUUUUAGGCGUCUUGUCCGCAUUGGGUAUUAAUUCUCGUACGUACAUGCCUGAUACAUAUCAGAUAUUUGUCAUAAAAAUAUCAACCAUUUUAGAAACUUUAGAAAAAUAAUGGAUGCUCAUGGGGAACUUGUGGGACACGGUUGGAUUUCUUUCGGCUCUAACUGGGAAUGAAAAUCAUUCUCAAGAUAACUUGUAUGGCAAGUUAUCGUAGUUAUUACGCUUGGAUGACACUUGCAUCAUGGGCUCAUGUUUGAUGAAACUCGAGAUUAAUGUUGGUCUAGUUAAUUUUGUUUCUUAGUGAGCAAGGUUCGACUUUUUAUAUAUCUUUGCACCAGUUAGUUGGUUUAUUGUUUAUGUUGUCUGAUCACCUAAACCUCUAUUAAUAUAAAUCGUCAUAUGAGGUAAUACUAAUGUAUCAAAAAUUAUGUUUAUUGCCAUGUCCAUUACAUAUCACAUGCAUCCUAACAUUUUGAGAAUUUGUUUUUAUCUCUGAAUUUGUAUCAAAUUGUAUCAGUAUUCUGUAUUGUGCAACAAGUGGGCACGAAUGCCAAAACAAUUAUAAAGAGGCAUCAGAGAAGAGCGAUCACUGGUUAUUUGGUUCUAUCACAUUCUAUCACUAACUUUUUGGUUGGAACAGAGGGCUGAGGUCUAAAACUCUUUUUUGUCACACUAGUAACAAAACUUACUUAGUCGGGUGUGAUUAAAAAGAAAAAGAAUUAAAAGAAAAGAUGAGGGCUUCUGUAGUUUUUAAUUUGUUGUGUUUAUUCUGAAUUUUAGGGUUACUUGCAUAGUAGCAGAAGCUUGCCUUGUGGCGGGAUCAGCUAGGAAUGCGUACCACACAAAAUAUGUGGGUUACUACAUCAAGCGGGACUUGACGUCGUGCGCAGCACUUCGGAAGGGGGUCUUCGCCGCGGCAGCUGCUCUUGUGCUGGUCUCUUUAGUGGCAUCUCUCGUAUAUUAUUGGAACUACUCCAGGGCCGCCACCGGAGGUUGGGUGAAACACCAGAAUGAAGGCGGGGUAGGAAUGACGGAUUAUGGCACGGGUAAGGGUAAGGAUGAAUCCGGGGGUACUGCGACGGUUUGAGCAAACUUACCCAUGAUAGGUAGUCAUGUGCUUUUCCUUACAAUUAUGAGGCUUGUUGCAUGUUCUAUAUUAACUUGAAACUGUAGAGCUCAAAAAAUGUGGUUGCUGCUCUUUGUUGACUUCUCACAUGUGUUUCUUUCCGCUGAUGUCGUGACCGUGGUCGUCCGUUAAAUUUCAGUAAAGAUCAAAGUGUUCAUCAGUCAAACUACCGUUAUUUAUUUGUUGGAAGGUUGCAUCUCCAUCACGGGAAAGGGGCCUCGAUGGCUUUGACUUUCCCCCAGUAACCCAACUCGGCUUGGGGCUUGGGGUAAGACGACAACUCUACCUCAAUUUGCCCUUCUGUGGUGCAACUUUUACUUUUUUUACUUUAUCAUUUCGUGGUUUCAAAAGCAGCACUUAACUAACCAACCUGUAGUUUUAUCUCUAUUUUAUUCAGAAAAUCUCGUCAUAUAGAGUACGUAGCAAAAAGUCUUUGCUACCAUAGGGUAGCUAAGUGUAACUUUCUGAUCCCUAAGGUAGCAGUGUAAAUAAGUCAAAUCAUAGGUGGGGAAGUGCAACUCUUUGAGUAGCAUAAUAGCAGAGGUGAAAAUAAACUAAAACACAGUAGGGCGAAUUGAAGUUUACCCAAACUUCUUAACCAUUCUCUUGUUCAAGAAUGCAAUAGGCUCAAGCAAAGAGUCGCCCUGCGUUAUUAAUAAUUGUUAGUCGCAAAGGUCACAGCUGUAGCAACCCGAUCUUGCUUUUGAGUUAUGAAACAUGAAAUCAAGUGGGCAUUUCGAUUCAACUUGGAAAUCAAAUUUUGUAAGAUGCAACUUACCACCUUGGCUAUAUUGGUAAAAUAUAGGCCAAAAUUCCUUUUGUGUUCAUUACUUCUGGAGGUCCACUGCGGCGCGGUGCAUAUGUAUAUAGGGUUACUUACUAUUUCGUAUACCAAAAGAUUACCACGGCUAACCGCCCGCUCGGUUUGGGGACAAACGUGAUCCGGCAAAUGUUCGACCGUCUGGAAGCUUGAAGCCGGAGAAUCGUGUUUUUAUUGCGCCGCAGGAGCCCAAUCAGGCGCGUGAGUAGAGCCGCCACAGACCGGGUAUUUAUUGCCUGCAUAUGUUUGGCGUCGGAGUACGAAGAAGUAUAUUUUAUGCAAGCAUGAUAUAGUAGUAAUUGAAGGAGACUUAACCCAGGAUUAUAUUUUCUUUCCAUAGGACAUUUACUUGUUUCACAAAAUAUCCGAGUCCGCAGAUACAACCCAUGAAUCGUCUACAGAAGUUUAGUAAUAAAUUUUCAAUAUCCAAACGAAGUAGAAACCCCAAAAUGUGCCUCUCUAUUAGGUGGUGGCAAGUUAUUGCGCAUUCUCACUCCGCGCCAGACUAUAAAGUUCUCCUGUGGGUGCAAUCUACCGACGAGGACAAGCUGUACCGACUGCUCAAUGAAAGAACAAUGACAAUAACAGAGCAUAAUUGAAAGGAACUACAUCUAUAUCUAUCUAUAGUCUAUAUAUAGUAUAUAUGAAUCCUCAGUUUUGAACACCUGGCGAGCGCGGAGGCGCGGGCAGGGGCGAGCGUGGGGCGCGGGCAAGCGGGCGCGCCUGGCGGGGCGCCGUGUGGCGCGGGCGCGCGGGGCGCGGGCAGGCGGGCACGCGGGGAGGGGCUCCGCGUGGCGCGGGCGGGGGCGAGCGCGAGCGCGGGGCGUGGGCAGGCGGGCGCGGGCGCGGCGCGGGGGGCGGGGGCCGCGUGGCGCGGGCGAGCCGGCGGCGCGGGCGAGAGCGGGCGCGCGGGAGAGGAGAGGAGAGGCGGCGAGGGUGGCGGGGCGCCGCGUGGCGCGGAUUGCGCGCGGGGCGCGGCAAGGCGGGCGCGCGGGGCGGUGCCGCGUGGCGCGGGGAGAGGAGCGGGAGAGGAGAGGCGAGGGAGAGGAGAGGAGCGGAGAGGUGGGGCCAGGCGCCCACAGCCGAGGGGACAGGAGAGGAGGGAGGGAUUUUUUUUUUUUUUUUUUUUCGCCUCUUUUUCUCUCUUUAAUUUUUUCCCUUAAUUUUUUUUAUAUAUUUAUUCUCUUAAUAUAUAAUUAAAAAAAUUAUAAUUUUUGUAAUUCAAUCUAAAUUUUUAUUUAUUUUUAUAAAAAUUUAAAAUAUAUAAAUAUUUUUUAAAAAGUUAAAUUAUUUGUAUUAAAUAUAAAUUUUAAUUAAGCCGAAUAAAGAAUUGUUAAAAAUAUAUAAAAAAUAAUGAAGGAAAUUUACAAAUGAAACAAUAAAAAAUAAAAAAAUAAAAGGAUAAGAUAGAUAAAAGAAGAAUAGAGGCAAAAAUAUAAGACAAUAAAUCAUUUUUUCUAAAAAUUUAUAAUAUAUUAUAUAAUAAUUAUAAUAUAUAAUUAUAAAUAUAACUAUAUAUUAAUUUCUUAUUAAUGAUUAUUGCCUUUAUUUUUUUUUAAUCUUUCUUAUAAUUUAUUUUUAUAUUUUUAUUACAGUAAUAAUCUUAUUUUUAGUUAUUUUUAUAUAUUUUUGACCUAGCCCGGGGAGGGGUGAAGAGGAAGUUUUUUUUUCUUCUAUCUCAAUUGUUCCCUCAUUUAUUAUUUUUUUAAAUCCAAUUUGGGAACAGUGCGGAUGGACCCAACGGGGGAGAGAGGAGGGAGGUUUUUUUUUUUUUCCUCUAACUUCAAUUUUUUUUUUUGUUCAUGUACAUAGAAAGAAAAUUAUAUAUAUUUUUAGUCUAAUCUAAUUUUUUAUUUAUACUAUAAAAAUUUAAAAUAUUAAAAAAUUGAUAAAAAUGUUUUUGAAAGAUUGGAUUUACAUUUCCAUCCUUAUAGCUAUAAGACGAAUAAUAAUUUAAUCUCAAAUUUUUAAUGUAUUAUGAUUUAAACAAUGAGGUAUGUGAUAUUUUCAUCCCCAAUCUUUAAUUAGUUACUUAUUUUUCAGUUAUUUAUUUUAUAUAAUUUUUUGACUUUUUAUUUUGUAUUUUGUAAUUUAUUUAUUUAUUUUUAUAAAGUCAUCCCGCCGCAACGUGCAGGUCCUUCACUGGUACAUAUAUGAAACCGCAGUUACUAUACAGUGCAGCGAGGGGCGGGGGCGAGUGCGGGUAGGCGCGGGGGCGCUGUGCGGCAGGCGAGGAGCGGCGGGCGACGCGCGGGCGCGGGCGGGGCGUCCGUGGGUAGGAGGGACGCGGGCAGCGCGUGCGCGCGGGGCGGGCACCUCGGACGUGCGAGGAGCAAGCGCGCGGGGCGCUGCGCGGCGCAUGCGCGCAUGCGGUGGGGCCCAGCCGGGGAGAGAGAGUCGGCCAGGGGCAGGAGGCGGGUGGGGACGGUGGGGAGCGGAAGGAGCAGAAGGGGUGGGCCAAGGCGGGUGGGGCCCACCUCUUUUUUAUAUUUUUUUAAUUUGUUUUAUUUUUAAUUCUUUUUCUAUUAAUUUUGAAAAGCAAACUUUUUAAAAAUUUUAAUAUAAUUUUUCUACCUUAUUAUAACAAUUUAAAAUAUAUGCGUAUUUUUAAAUAGUUUAAAUUAUAUGUAUUAAAUAUAAAUUUUAAUUUUCUAGGAGAGAGAGGAGAAUUAGUUUGAAUUUUUUUUCUUAAAAAAAUCUAAGCCAAACCCUAAAUCACUGGAGGAGAGAGAGAGAGAGAGAGAGAGAGAGAGAGAGAGUAAGUGAGUGUUAAAGUAUUAUUGAUGGACUUAAAUCUCAUAUAUAGAAAAAUUUGAUAAUAAAAGUAAAAUUUGGAAAGAUUAUAUCUAUACUUUUCGUCCUUAAAACUAUAAGACGAGUGAGACUUUAAUCAUCGAACUUUAAUGUGUUAUAAUUUAAACUAUGAGGCAUGUGAUGCUUUCAUCCUCAAACUUUAAUUAAUUGUAAUUUCUGACUUGAAAUAUGAGAUAUAUCAUUUUAGUACUCAAUGUUUAUUGCUGCUAUAAAUAUAAUCUAUUAUUUCUAUGGUUUUACCCUAUUAUUUUUAUAUUUUUAUUGCAGUAAUAGCGGUUUAUCCCUUAGAUUUUUUUUUUUAUAUAAUUCAUUGACUUUUUUUUUACGUUUUAUUUUAUUUUAUUUAUUUAUUUUUACGAAAUCGUUCCGCCGCAACGCGCGGGUCCUUCACUAGUGUAAGCAUGUACGAGUGCAUGAGGUUUAUUAUUGAUAUGGAAGCAACUUUGUCUGAUGGCAUGUAAGUGAUGUACAAUUAUGCAUCUAUCAACACGUGUGAACAUCAAUUCAUGACUUAAUAAUCCUCCGCCCUAGCCUUUCAAUUUACAGUAAAACCUGAACUCUUCAGUCCUGCGUCGCUGACUAAAAGUCCUAACUUUUUAGUCCCGGGUUACUUAUGCUAGGUUGCCCUAACCUUUUGGUCCUCGGCCAAUUGUCAAUCAUGACGACUUUCAAGGAAAGGAUCACCAUACAGGUGGUUGAUCAGACCACUGAGCCGCCACAAGGGAGCAUAGCAUCAGUGUCAUGUCAUCCUGCUAUAUAUGAUCAACAAUGACGAGAGCAAUGAAAAGCCCAAAACAACGAUAAUGACAAUCUUGGCCAAAAUAAGCACCACUGCUGCUGCUACACCCAAUACCAUCAUGAUUAUGUUCAAGUUCAACUAGUGUGCUUUCCAUGGCAAGUAAAUGUAAUGACACGUCUAUGUGACUAAGCAUGCUAUCUAUCAUGAACAAAUCAAUAUAUCUAGUAAGUGUAUGAGACUAGCAAGAAUGUAAUUGCUAGGCAACUAGAUAAAUAUCUAUAAACCAAGAAGAAGGGGAUGAAAGAAAGAACCAAUUCCUUUUUGGGGUUUCACUAACACCUAUCAAGAGUUACAAUGCGUCCACAGCUUGUCAAUCAUUGCCUAGACAUAAAGAGAGCGUUAACAAGUCAUACUUUGUCACGCCCCAAUCCCCGCCAAUUUGGUCCGGUUCGGAUCACGUCAACAGACGCCUGACGGAUAGCAUCUCUCCUGUCCGCCCAAGGCUCAAACAAUAUGUAUAAUUAAACAAACAACAAAAAGAAUUUGCAAUUAUACAAGGCUUGCACGAGGGCAAGCAACAAUGGAAGCGAAAGCUCUAAGCUAAACAUACAACCAUACAUGAUAUUUGAUUAUAUUUAAACCAAAUACAAGUGAACUAAAACUAUUACAUCUUUUUUCAUUCAACCAUAAUUCUUUACCUUUUUUGUCAUUCUCCAAAAUACAUGAUAUGUUCUCAACUUUACAAUCCUAAAUCAACAAAAUAAAAGUUGAUACAUGUAGGCAAAAGGAAUGACUAAUGCAUAAGUUCCGGUGGCCACUAGCUAUGACGCAAUAUCCUUGCCUCGGUCCUCCGCCGCCCCGCUCGCGCUCGGACCUGUAGGGUUAGUGGUGUGAGAGCUGCAACAAAGUUCUCAGUGGGUUCGGCAACUGACCUCGCCGACUUACCCACUAGGUCCAAUUCAAGUAUAAGUAUUUCAAAGGAAAGAAAACUAUAACCAUUGCUAAUGCUAAUGCUAAUACUAUGCCUGCAAGAAAGAUGUUAGUGGAUAUAUAAUCGAAUAAUGAAUGCUUAUGCAUGCAUGCUUGUUCUAUACUUUACUUUAGCUUUUACCCAAUCUUGCCGGUUAACCUUGUUAACAACAAAACUCACCAUCACAAUUCCCGUCUACCGGGGGAGGCUUUAGGCUCAACCACCCGAGUGUUCAUCGACGGGGUACUUUUUCCGUGGUGUCUACACUCCGGAGUACAUCGCUUGAGGAGGAGCUACCUCCCUCAAGCCUAGUUAAUGUGAGUAUCGAUCCAAUCCUCAAUUUGAGGAUACAUAGCCACUAGUCACAAUGCCAUUGUCAUAAUAGGUUUCUACCUAUUUGAUCAUGCUACUUUCCAAGUCAUACCUGUCAUAAUGUCUCUAGGGUUAAACUAUAUUUAACAGCCAAUUUCUCAAUGCCAAUCAUGUCUCUAUUGUCAAUGUCACAUUUGUUUACUAUUGUCCAAGUCCAAAUCUCACAUUCAUACAAGUUUAGGGUUCUACCAUACAUGUCCAUUAUGGUUCUAUCAUUCUCUAUGUUCAACUACGUUAAAAGCAUGUAAAUGAAAUCCAACCAAAGUUCAUAUGUAAUUUAACCCUACUAUGCAUGAAUGACUAUCCAUCAAUAUGCUCAAUGAAAGGUGAAAUAGACAUAAAGGGAAAUCUGAUGAUUCCAGCGUGCACCCCCCACCUUGAAUUGUGUAGAAGGGUUGUAGUUCGACUCUCGCAAUUUUAGGACGCCUCUCCCGCGACCUAACACAAAAAUAAAGCCAAAUUAGGCCCUAUAUACAAGAUCUCAUAUCUAGACUUUUCGUAAUGUUAAACGGAGUUGUCCCACGCGUCGGGAAUACCCCUAAUUAGGUUUCCAAGAGGUCAAUUUAUCUCGGAAAUAACAGAAGGCAAAAGCCCCAAUUUUCAAGCCCUAACAAUGUCAUAUAGGGUUUUCUCCUAGAUUGAUCUUAUCUCUAAGCAAAUGAUAGCUUAGAAUUACCUAGGAAGCUCUCUAAUACUAUUACCAAGCCUUUCCAAACAUCUCUAGGGCAUCUAAUAUGAUCUCUAGGAGUUCACCAUAAGAGCUCUUGAGAAACACAUGGAUUUCAUGUGUUCAAGGCCUCUACAAUGAUCCUAGCCUUGCUAGAGGAUCAAAACUCCAAAUUCUAAGGUAAAAACCCAAAACCCUAGACCUACUUUCCAUAACAACUCACCUUGGCCACGAGCUCACCCAAGUCCACCUUGUUGGAGAGCCCCUAGAACCACCAAAGCCUCCAAAACCCACAUUCUCCAAGCUCCUCUUCUUCAACACUUUGCUCUAGGGUUGAGCUCUAGAGAGAGAAAGGGAAAAAUAAGACAGAAGGGUGAUAGGUGUUGUGUAAACCAGUGGGAGGGAGGUUGGGGACAUGUAUAGUGUGCUACAAUUGCAACUAGGCCCCCCAAAUAUUCUUAUUUGCAGCAGGUCAAUUUGUUGCUGCCAGACCAAAGUGUACUGGUACACGGGAUGCUGUCACCGGUAACACGAUUACGCAGAGGCAAACUCGAGAGCAAUUCUCGCAGAUUUUUUCAAAGUGUACCGGUACACACCAGGGGUGUCAUCGGUAACACAGGCAAAAUUUCUUAAAUCCGAGAGCUUCUCUGUCACGCCCCGGGACCCAGCGGAAGCCCGCCCGGCGCGUGCCCAGACCCGCCAUACGUCUAAAACGUAUAAGGCGUCUAAAAAUAACAAUAAUAAAAUCAAUAAUAAGAGACAUUUAGGAGUAUCAGAGUAUAACAAAUGUCUAAAUGCUACAACCAGGGAUAAGGAUAAAACUGUAAAUCUACUAAAUAAAACAUAAAGUGAUACAAGGAAAUCCCAGAUACAAGUGCUAUAGGUAGAUACAUAGGUGGUCUCUAUACAUGGAUACAAAAACCUCUCACUCUCUCAACUACAAAAGAAAGAGUAAACCACCUGGGCAAAGUAGCGCUCCUCGCUAGCUAGCUAAGCGAUCUCCUUGCCGCGAUCCCGUGCCUCCGCCGGUGCCGAAGGCUCUGAAAAGUAAACCAUAAAACAGGGGCGUGAGAACUAUUAAAAUAGUUCCCAGUGGGUAAUUACUGACUUCAGUGAAUGCGCCACGAGGCCCAAAGCUACAAAAGAUGUCAGUGACUAUAAAAGUGGAAAAGCGAAAGGUAAGUAAAAAUGUAACUUACUACAACAUGAUAUCUCUACUUAGCAUAAUUAGCAUAAGUAUGAAGCAACUAUGCAUGAAGUAAAAGUCUCCAACUAUCAUAAUGAUCACAAUGCGAAAUAGUAAAGUUCCACUGUUUACUAUUCUAGUCAAUGUCCAAGUAGUACACUAAGUCAUCAUCUGUCCACAUGUCGUAAUGAAUACUUAAAGUCAAAUCUGAAGAGACCCACCCGAAGGCUGUCUAUGGCCCUGAGACCCACCCGUAGGCUGUCUGGCCGAUGCUGAGCCUAGUGGCCUCGUGGUAGUCAUCAUCCCCACCCUAGGAAUGAGCCUGGCCCACGGCAAUCCACUUCGGCGCCCAAUCCCGCACGGCGAAUAUAAAUCGCGAUGGCCAUCUCCGGAGUGCCGGCUUGUAGGGAGCGACCCUCACAAGCAUGUGCGAAUGAGCACAAUGGCAAGUAGUCGUAUAUCCUAUCACAAGUACCAAGUCCUCAUGUUUAAUAACAUAGAAUGUAUCGAAUGUCCCAAAGGCCUGUCUCUAUGUCAUCAUGUCUCUAACAUGGAAUAUAUGGCAGAUGUACAAUGGCCUAUCAUCAUGUCUCUAAGUUGCAUUUUCAUAGUUUACUAAUUCCAAGUGCCCCUUUAUGACACUUUUGUUCAACGAGUCCCAAGCAUGGCAUUAAUAUGUUCAUGAUNNNNNNNNNNNNNNNNNNNNNNNNNNNNNNNNNNNNNNNNNNNNNNNNNNNNNNNNNNNNNNNNNNNNNNNNNNNNNNNNNNNNNNNNNNNNNNNNNNNNNNNNNNNNNNNNNNNNNNNNNNNNNNNNNNNNNNNNNNNNNNNNNNNNNNNNNNNNNNNNNNNNNNNNNNNNNNNNNNNNNNNNNNNNNNNNNNNNNNNNNNNNNNNNNNNNNNNNNNNNNNNNNNNNNNNNNNNNNNNNNNNNNNNNNNNNNNNNNNNNNNNNNNNNNNNNNNNNNNNNNNNNNNNNNNNNNNNNNNNNNNNNNNNNNNNNNNACUCAUAGCCACUAGUCACAAUGCCUAUGUCACGAUAGAUCUCUACCUAUUCAUUCUUGCCACUCUCAAGGCUUUACCUUUGACGAUGUCAAAAUGAGUUAAACUAUAUUUAACGGUUCAUCUCUCAAUGCAAAUCUUGUUUCUAUGCCAAUGUCACCCUUGUUUUCUAUUGUCCAAGUCCAAACUCACAUUCACACAACUUGAGGGUCCAAUCACACAUGUCCAUUUUGGUUCUAUCAUCCUCUAUGUUCAACUACGUUAGAAGCAUAUAAAUGAAUUCAAACCAAGUUCCACAUGUAACUACCCUACUAUGCAUGAAUGGGUAUAUAUAUAAAUAUAUAUGCUCAAAAAUAGAAAAAACAGACAUAGAAAGGAAUCCAACGAUUCCGGCGUGCACUCCCCACCUCUAUUGGUUGUGUGGGUGUAGAUUACGAAGGCUCCCGCACUUUACGAAAGCCGAUUCCGAGCCCUAUAAUCAAAAUAGUGCCAUAUUAGGCCCCUUUGUACAUGAGCUAUACUCUAAUAUUUUCGCAACGUUGAACGGAGUUGUCCAACGUGUUUAGGGCACCCCCAAUUAGGUUGCCACGGGGUCAAUUUGUCCCCGAACAAUCCUAGGGCAAAAGCCCCAAAUUCAAGCCCUAAUAUUGUCAUUUAGGGUUUUUCCCAUGAAUCGAUCCCAACCUUAAGCAAACAAUCGCUUAGGAUCAACUAAGAAGCACUCUAGUAAGGUUUCUAGACCUUUGGUACCAACCCUAGGGCUCCAAACACCACUUCCAAGGAUUCACCAUGAGAGCACUUUGAGCUCUCAUGGGAACCAUGGUGUACAUGGCUCAAAAGAGCCUUUAAUGCCUCUAGGGAGCACAAAGCUCCCAUUUUCAAAGCCAAAAUCCAAACCCUAGGCUUAUUUCUACCAAAAACUCACCUUAGCCCAAGCUCCUCCAAGUCCCUCUUGUAGGAGAGCUUGUAGAACCCACCAAAGCCUCCAAAUCCACCUUCCCUUGCUUCUUCUUCUUCUUCCCCAAGCCCUAGAGCAAGAGUUCUAGAGAGAGAAAGAGAGGAAAUGGGAGAGAAGGGUGAAAAUGGCUGUGGGAGAGAGGGGAUGAGUCAUAUAUAGUGUUGUAACAAUUGCACUUAAGCCCCUCCACUUGUUUCCUCUUGAACUGCCCAGAUUGGGCAUUUUUCGCCUUCGGGGAUCGGUCUCCCCCACCAGGGACCGGUUCCCGAACGUGGGUGUUCCAGGACUUAGCCAAAUUUUUGAGUUUUUCAGCUGUUGCGCAGCGAGGGAUCGGUCUGCCCGUCAGGGACCGGUCUCCCGAGGACCGGUCUCACUAUUAGGGACCGGAUACCUCAGGAUUUCCUGGCAGGCUACGCGCACGAGGACCGGUCUCUCCUUCAAGAAUCGGUCCCCGAGAGCUCAAAAUCUGGGACUUAGCCAGAUUUUCGGAUUUGCUCUCCCGGGCCCCUUUAGCCUCAUUUAUGGACUCUAAUACACUUAGGGUCCACUUUAACUCGUCCCACUCCAGGUUUCGCUCGUUUUGACGGAACUCGGCACGUCCUACAAGGGACGUGGUAUGUUACAUUCUCCACCCCUAAAAUUUAGUUUCGUCCGCGAAAUUACUUAUUCAGAGUCCAUACCUCAAUUCGACUCGUCGAAGAGUUGAGGGUGGCGCUCCCGCAUCUCGCUCUCGAGUUCCCAAGUUUCCUCCCGAUCACCGUGCUCACUCCAAUGAAUUUUAACAUAGGGAAUUUCCCGGUUCCUUAACUUUCUCACUUCCCGAUCCACGAUGUAAGCCGGGAACUCCUUAUAAGUCAUAUCAUCUUGGAGCUCUAUAGGUAUAUACGAGAGAAUAUGAUCCGGGUCGUAGACAUACUUGCGGAGUUGGGAUACAUGGAAUACGUCAUGCACUCUCGCAAGCCUGGGUGGUAAUGCCAACUUGUAGGCUACCACGCCAACUCGUUCCAAAAUCUCGAAGGGUCCGAUAUAGCGGGGACUUAGCUUCCCGCGUACACCAAACCGCNNNNNNNNNNNNNNNNNNNNNNNNNNNNNNNNNNNNNNNNNNNNNNNNNNNNNNNNNNNNNNNNNNNNNNNNNNNNNNNNNNNNNNNNNNNNNNNNNNNNGUCUCGAUCUGAUACUAUAGAAGUAGGUACCCCGUGCAAUCGCACAAUCUCGUCCAAAUAUACCUGUGCGAGCUUCUCUCCGGUCCAAGUAGUAUGAAUAGGCACGAAGUGCGCCGACUUCGUCAACCUAUCCACGAUCACCCAAAUAGGGUCAUGCCCGGCCUGUGAGCGAGGCAGUCCCAUCACGAAGUCCAUGGUGAUCUUUUCCCACUUCCACACUGGAAUCGGUAGGCUCUGCAAUUUUCCCGCAGGAACUCGGUGUUCAGCCUUCACUUGUUGGCAAGUUAGGCAUCUGGCAACAAACUCACCAACAUCCUUUUUCAUCCCGGGCCACCAGUAAAGUAACUUCAAGUCCUUGUACAUCUUGGUGCCUCCCGGAUGUAUAGCAUACGGUGCUCGGUGUGCUUCUUGAAGAAUGUCUUCUUUAAUGUCCAAGUCCGCCGGUACACAAAGUCGUCCGCGGAAACGCAUCAAUCCAUACCAUCUAAAGUGAAGUCACCGGUGUAACCAUCAACCAUCUUAGCUCGAAUCUUUUGCAACUCCGAGUCGGAAGCUUGCUUUUCUUUAAUCCUUUCCAAAAGUGUAGGUUGCACCACCAACGUCAUCAGUCUCAAAGGUGUAUCAGGAGCUACCACCUCCAACUCCAACCGCUUCAUCUGCUCGACCAACGGCGGUUGAGUAACCACAAGCAUUGCUAAGUUCUCAGUCGAUUUCCGACUUAGCGCAUCCGCCACCACGUUAGCCUUGCCCGGGUGGUAAAGUAUCGUCAAAUCAUAAUCCUUAAGUAGCUCCAACCAUCUGCGCUGCCUCAAGUUCAACUCCUUCUGAGUGAAAAGAUACUUCAAGCUCUUGUGAUCCGUAUAUACUUCACAACGCUCGCCAUAGAGGUAAUGGCGCCAUAGCUUCAAUGCAAAGACCACGGCCGCCAACUCCAAGUCGUGAGUGGG